UUUGAUAUUCGGAUUCGAUCUUGUUCCGAAGAGCUUCAGUAGAGAUCUCGUCCAGGAGGUCCUCGGCAUCAUAAACAGCAUCUUUGAGCUCAUCAGUCCAACUUUUGACACUUGGGUUGGUAAUCUGCUUAUUUUCAGCAUCAUCCAACACUGCUUUCACCGACAUCAAGGUUGGCUUCAGUUUCUUCAGCAGCACAGGUUCAAGUUUCUUUCCUUUGAUAAGCCUCAGAACAUCUCUAGAAACAAUCCUAUCAAGCAGCACCUCGAUGGAAGCAGAGAGAAAAGCUUCACCCACCAAAGCCAUUUUUUUUUCUAGUAAAGAAAAGGUUUGAAAAAGGAAGUGAGAUGCAGACCAAGGAAGAGAAUAGCCCAAAGUGAAAUGAAAGAGUUGAGAAGUUGCUUUAGAGAAAAGAAGAAGAAGAAGAAUAGAUAGAAUAAGUUUAGAAAUUGAUUUAAAUGAGCAACCAUUAAAGUUGACCUGAAUAUUAUUAAAAUAUCCAUUAAAAUGUAUGCAGCAUGUUCAUCGGCCAACUUCAUAAAAAAUUGAUUAAUGCAUUUUACAACAAUUGUUUUUGAGAAUCGAGAUGGUGCUUCACGUGCUUCACGAAUUCUCGAGAUGAUGGAAAGCGACUUGCAUCAAUUAAAUUUUUAUUUACUUCGAUAUUUUUUUAAUAAGAAAAUUUAUUCAUAUAUAUAUAUGUAACAUUACAAUUUAACCACAAAAUUAUUUUAUGUUAUUAAAUAUGGUUAAUAUUAAUUAUAUUAAAAAUUUUAAUACUUAUCACAUUGAUUAUUUAAAAUAUACAUUAUUAUUUAUAUAAAAGUAUCAAUUCUAAAAUUGCAAUAUAUUUUUUACAAUUAAGUAUUCAAACAUAUUGGUAAUUUUUAAAUAUUCAAACUUUAAUUAAUCUAUUGAAUUAAAAUAGAAAAUGGAUUUUUCAAUAGGAAUUUUUACAAAAUAUUUGAUUAGAAAAUUGAGGUUACCAAUAGAAAUUUGAGUAUCUUGUCCAAAGUAUUUUGUUACAGGUUAACCGAAAGUUAAUCAUUUUCUUUUUUAUAAAAUGACUUACCAUUUUAAAAAGCAUCAGUCAGUUCUCAAUAAAAAAAACUCUUUGUGAGUAAUUUUAUUUUUAUAUAAAAAUUAAGUAAAGUGAAAUUUAAUAUUAUUAUAUUAAUAAUAAAAUUUUAUAUUUAAAAAUAUUUAAAAAUAAUAGAAUAUUAUCAUUUUCAAUAUUAUUAAAUAUACAUAUUUAAUUAUUUAUAUUUAAUAAUAUAAUAAAUUAUUAAUAUAAUAAAUUAUUUUAAUAAAUUACUUAAUAUUUUAAUUUUAUUUUAAUAAUAAUUUUAAAAAAUAAUAAUUUUAAAUUACAUUCUUCAUAUAUUAUUGAAAAAUAUUCAAUAUUAAUAUUUUAAUAAUAAAUAUUUAUUACAAUUAUAAAUAUAUUAAUAAUAAAUAUUUUGUAGUAUAAAUGUUAAAAUAUGCCAUAAGUCUAUAUACUCUUAAAAAUUUUUGAAUUUAGUCCCUAUACUUUUAUUUCCUACUUUUUAUAUUUGAAAAUCAAGUCCAAUUGUUAGCAUUGUUAAAUUUUUUUGCCAAUUUUGUUGAUGUCACAUUUUUAAAUAAAAAAUACUCGGUAUUCAUGUAAUUAAAAAAUGAUGUUGUAAUGAACAUGUCAUAAUGAUGUUAUAAAAAGUAUUUAGUUACAAAGUUGAGUUUCCAAUAGGAGUUUGUGUAUUUGGCUACAAAAUUGUGUUUUCAAUAGGAAUUUGAGUAAUAGUUAUAGAUUUUUGUAGUUUUUAUCAAAUGUUGUUAUAUAAAUAAAUAUAUUGUUGUCAUAACUUAAAUGGAGCGGUAGUUAAAUUUCUUGUUAGACACCUGUUUGACUCGAGAUUAAACUGUGUUACCCAUCUCUUAUAUUGUAUAAAGAAUAUAUAUUGUUAUAAUUAGGGGGAUAUUUUGUUAUUUAUUAUAUAGUAGAUUUUGAAAUUGAUAACAUGGCAUAUUGACUAAGAAAAAAAUUAUAAAAAGAAAGUAAGAAGGUUUGAUUUUAUCGAAAAAAAAAUAUCAAAUUUGACUGUUAUAAAUGCAAAACCACACCAUUAAACGAUUAAUCACCGAAAUAGAUCACACAAAUAUACUCAAAAACCCAUGAAACGUUAUAAAACAUUAAAUCUCUCGAUCAAUAUAGACAAAAAUGAGCCAAGCUGGACUCAAGCAAUCGAGUCACCACGAACUCAAGCAAUAGGAAGAGAGAUUUCAAAUAAGGUAAUUGCCCAAGCGGUGGUAAGGAGCAGCAAAACCUCCAAACCUCUAGUUUUGCUAUCUUCUUCUUAAGUGUUGUUGUAAUUCCACACAUGCAAAGGGAAUCCUUAAAUUUCCACCCAAGUUGCUUUGUAUUUCGAGGAGAGUGAAGGAGUCCAAUCCUCAAUUUCCAUGAACUAAUCCUUCACCCAUGCCUACUUUAGCUUUUUGCUACAAUUUGAGACCCUCUAUCAACUUUACCACCAGCCUCAUCCUCAAAAUAUGUCAUAUUUGCAUAAUUGAAAAAGUUUUUUUUUCUUUUUUGGGUUUUAAAAACUUGUAGAUGUGAAAUGUUUCUGUUUUAAGACUAAAAGUUUUGGUUAGGGAGUUUGAAAAUUAAAUUAAUAGAAUUUGUAAAUGUGAAGGGUUAAAUUUAUUAAAUUAUUUAGAAUUAGGAUCAAAUUGAUAGAAUAUACAAGUAUUGAAGAUUAAAUGUAUUAUUAUACCAGUUAGAAAAAUGCUUUACGUUACCAAUUUAAUAUUGCGUGACCAAAAUAGAAACAAAUACAAACUUUAAGACUAAUAUUGAAAUUAUUUAAAAUUAACCAAAAUAAGAACAUUGACAUAGUUGAGUGAUGAAAAUAGAAACGAAAAAAUGCAAACUACAUACAUAAAAAAAACCAAAAUUACCCUUAAGAAAUCAGAUUAAAAAAAUAAAGCCCAAAGCUUAUUAGGAUAUGGCUUAUAAUGAACCUUUGUCAUUUGAUUUUCAUUAUCUUGCACAACUACAUAAGUUUGUGAUCAACAAUGCUAUUGUCUCUAAUAAAAUAUAAGAUUUAUCAUUACUCACUAAUUUAUGAGUAAAUUUUCGUUUUGAUAACUUCUUUUGACAAGUUAAUUAAUAACAAAAAAGGGGGUUAUACAUCCAAAUACAUGUGAAGGAAUGUAGUAGUAAGUAUACCCUGUUAGAUUUGUAAAAUAAAUCUGAAUUAAAACUUAAACUGUAAAUUCGGAUUUAUUAUGUCAAAUCAUCAAGAAUAAAUCAAGAACAAAACUAAAUGCAGAAGCGUAGCUAAAUUCAUCGAUUUCUUAAAAUCUACGAAUCUUGGUGUUUUGAUCUUCCAAAUUAGUACACAACUAAUCUAAAGAAUGUAGCUCUCUCUUUCCUAAAGAUGGGAUAUUAGAAAAGUUAGCUUGUUUGUAAUUUUGGGACCUUAACCCUAAUAUAUAUAACUUUGGCACAUUAGCCCUAAUUCCUAAUUAGCCAAUCAUUAAUUAGAAAUUGAAUAAAACUUAUUUACUAGAGUAUUCACACAUAUUUGACAUAUAAUUUAUUUAAUAAUUAAAGCACAAUAAGCCAUAACCAAAUCAGAUCACUUUUAAUUUGGGCUAACCUAUUAUGAUAGUAAAUAAUAACAUGUAAUUACCCUUAUUAUAUAUGUGAUGUCCAUAUUUUCAAACAAUCUCCUAGUUGGACCACAUAUAUAUACUAAUUACUCUAUAAUUACAUGUCAUUAUAUAACCUUAUGAGCUCAAAAUUUUACUAUCAUAUUCAAAAGGUAUUCCGAACAUCUCGUCCAUUAAUUAUGUUAACAUAGAACCAAGACAACUUUCAUUAUAUAUAUUGUAACUAUAUCCAUCCAUGAUCACGUAUAUUAAAACAACCAAAUGACAUAGAUCAAGUAUGGAUGUGUAGCAUGGAAAUUACAUGCAAUAUGAUCUAAACAUGUCUAUUUCCAACUAGUCCUCCUCAAACCUUAGUGAGAUCAAACCUUACCAAAACCAGAGUGUGAAUAAACCAAAUAAACUUUAUUUCUAUAGAAAAUAAAUUUAAUAUCCGUAAACUAAAAUAAUUGAAAAUGUGUUUAUAACAUGCAUUUAAAAGUACAAACUCCCACUAAAACCAAAUAUCCUUAAAUGAUAUUACACCUAUAUGAGCAAUGUGCUCAUGAAAAAUCUUGGGUGUAGUCCCUUAGUAAGUAGAUCUGCAAUCAUGGAGUUUGUCCUAAUAUGCUUUUGUAACAGCCUAGUUUUAGCUAAAUCGGAAUAGUGGUUUCGGAACCAAAAAUCUAAGGUUGGAAAAUUAUUUUAAUAUUAUUUUAUGUGUUUAUAGCAUGAUAGCAUGUAUGUGUGAAAAUUUCGUGAGCUAAUUUUAUCAUUUAAUAGCUCAAUUUGAGAGAAAAAAAACUUAAUUGCGUAAAAUGCAAAAGUUGCAUUCUAAUUGAUAAAGGUGUUUAAUUGCUAUGAUUUAUUAAAUGAGAAGUCCUUAUGUUGAAAUUAGACCAUUGAUAGUGGAAAUGGUCAUAAAUGGGCAUGUAUUAGGUAAAUUUAUAAUGAUUUCAUUAAGGUUACUUUUGGUAUUUGAUUAAUAAGGUAAUUUAUAAUAAAACAAAUCAUAAAAUUUGGGCAUUCAUCUUUCUUUGAACCAAAAAUAGAGGAAGAAGAAAGCCAUUUAGGGUUUGUUAUAUUCGACAAUUACAAGCUUUGAUUGAGGUAUGUUUUGAGCUCGAUUUUUGAUAAUUUCUAUGUUUUUGUAAUCGUUGCUUCGUGUUCUAGCUAGCCCGUACCUUAAUUUUUGAAUUUGUUCAUGAUUUUAUGAGGAGCCAUUGAUGAAUGUUUGAGAUCUUGAAUGUUUUAUGAUGAAAUAUGAAUAUUUGCUAAUACUUUUACAAGUUUUAUAUAGUAAUUUUUGAUGAAAAUGCAUAUUAGGGAUUAAUUUGUGAAAAGAAAAAAAUGUGUGGUUAAAUGUGUGAAAUGAUGAUAAAUAUGGGUUGCUAGGGGCUAAGGGUAAUUUUGGCCAAGCAUGGAAUAUUGAGAUUUUGUGUAAUUUGUGUUUUUAAGAAAUAAGGACUAACUUGUAAGAAAUGUGAAAGUUUGGGGCCAAAGUGCAAAUUACUUAAAUAUGUGUUUUAGGACUGAAUUGAAUGAGUCAAUGAAUAAAUGAGUUAAUUUUGAAUACAUAUGUAAUGCCCCAAAUUUUUGAUUUUCGGCUUUUGUGAGUAUUGGGCUUGGAAGUGUCUAAAUUUGUGAUUCAUGUUAUUUUGGCUUAAUUAUAUGUUGGGUUAAGUGAUUAUAGGUUCCAAGUUUAAGCGUUAACUUGGGCUAAAUUUUGGGUUUUAUUUGAAUAAAUUCUGACUUGAGGUCAGCGGGCUUAUAUGGAAUUGUGGGUAAAACUUAACAGAAUGGGCUUGCUGGUCUAGUGGUUAAAUGGCAAGGGAAUACGCUUAGGGUCAGGGGUUUGAUCGCGAGGUUUCGUGAUAGGUUUUAAAUAUUUAUAAUUACUCGUUCUUGGACUAACUAUUAUCGCGAUGUAAGCAAGUGUACCUAUCGAACAGUAGUAUAGUUUUAGCAAGACCGGAUUGUCGAACCCAAAGGAACUAAAUGUACUAGUAAUGACUGUCUUUUUAUUAUCUAACCUAAGAAUAAAGAGGUUUUGUUUUAAUUAACUAAUUAUCUAAACUAAAAACUCACAAAGAAAAGAAUUGGGGAAUUACUUUUGGGAAACUUGAUUGAAUGAAGACAAUACCUAAGGAAAAAUCCACCUAGACUUUACUUGUUAUUCUGGCUCCAAACCGGACGAUUUAUUCAUUCAACUUGUUCCGUAGAGAUCCCUAAGUUAUGUUAUUAUCCCUAUUCAAGACUAAUAACGUCUAAUCCUUAGAUUGAAUAACCGAGACUUUUCUCUAAUUAACACUCUAGGGUUGCAUUAACUCGAUCUAUGGAUCCCCUUAUUAGGUUUCACCCUAAUCCGGCAAAAUCUUGUCACCCUAUUUCUAGGUGCGCAAUCAACUCCGCUUAAUUAUGACAAAAGUACUCUUAGACAGGGUCUAUUCCUCCUCUAAAUAAGAGCAUGUCUUGAAUCAAUAUCCUAGGAUAUCAAAAUAAGAAUUAAGAACACAUAAUUAAGAACAAGUUAAAUAUUUAUCUACGAUUCAGAAAAUAAUAACAAGAUUCAUCUUAGGUAUUUAGGGGUUUAAGUUCAUAACUAAAUAAGAAAACAUCUCAGAAGAAUAAAGAAUACAAAACAUAAAGAAAACCCAAAACUCCUGAAGGGAAAUUGAGGAGAGAUCUUCAGUCUUGAUGAUGAAUCCGGCUUCUGAGAUGGAUCAAUCGGCUUCAUUGGAGUAAUUCUUUACUCCCUCUUCUCCCCCUUUUCUUCCUCCUCUAGGGUGUAUUUAUAGGCUUUGGAAUGCCUAGAAGCCUUUAAAAUUAGCCUUUUCCUUGGAGUAAAUUAUUGUAAUAAUAAGCAUUAGUAAUAAGUAAAAUAGAAGUGAAAAGAGUAAACAAACACUAAGGGAGAGAGAUUGAGCGUCAAAAACGAAGUUGAAGGCGGCGCACGGGCGUGGCAGGGGGCAGUGUAGAGUUGUAGCGGCUAGGGUUAGGUUUUUUUUGAAUGGGGAAGAAAGUGAAUAGUGCAGGGUAUUUAUAGAUUUUGGGGCACACGGCCAUGGCACACGCCCGUGUCCUCCAAUUUCAGCCCGUGUGAUUCGUGAAUUUCAAAUUUGGGUGCGUCUAACAUUUAGUACACGCCUGUGUUCUUCGGGCGUGUGGGUUCACAUGGCCGUGUUUAGCUUCGUUCGCUUCUCCCACGCUCGUGUGUUCAAGCUCCACGCCUUUGUUAAUUUAACAGGUUCGAGCACAGGUGUUAGACACGCUCGUGCUAGUUCCUCAGUUUCAACUACGGGUCCCACACGGGCAUGUCAUACGCCCGUGUUGUUUUGACAGGCUCGACCAUGGCUGUAUCGUACGGCCGUGGCAUUUAAUCGUAGCCCGUGUUGGGGAAAUCUUUUGCCCUAUUUUCACACAGCCUUAAGCACGCCCGUGUGCUUGGCCGUGUCUCUGUGGAAACACCUGUAUUCAAGAUUUCUAUUAGUAUGUUAGGGGUUAAAUACCAAAAUUCUAAGAAAUUAAUAUUGUUAGUGCUCGGGUUGCCUCCCGAGAAGCGCUUAUUUAUAGCCUAAGCUUGACUUACCUCUCCGUUGUAUGGUCAUGGUGGUUCGAGAAUUUUAUACUCCUCAUUCCUACUAUCAGUCUCAUCAAAAGAAGGUUUUAAACGGGUGUUGUUUACUUUAAAAGUACUGAACCUGGGAUGACUCACCUCCACCGUACCGAAUGGAAAAAUACUGAGUACCGUAAGAUAGAUUUCCUCAUUCGGCGUGGUAGUGACAAUGUGAGGAUCUACGGCAUCUAGUAAGACUCUAUCACCAACCUUAAGUUAAUUUGGAGAGGUAUCGGGCUCGUUUUGGCGUAGUUUUGGUUUAUCGUGUGUUCUCGGUUUAUGUGCUUGCCAUUCAUCUAGCUUAUCUAUUCGUAGCCUUCGUUCUUCAUGAAUGUGUCCUCUAUCAUUUCUGGAACAUGGCUCGUGAACUUCUUUAAAGCUCAAUUUCUGCAAGGUCAUAUUGUCAGUUUUAGUAGAUUGGUGUGGACCAUUACCUUCAAUGUUCGAUAUGAUGUUAGAAUUACAAGCUUGAAGGGUGAUCGUUUCGUCUCCCACACGAAGUGUAAGCUCACCUGUGCCAACAUCAAUAGUUGUUUUAGCAGUUGCUAAAAAGGGCCUCCCUAAAAUCAAAGGGGUGUUAUUAUCCUCCUCUAUGUCUAGAACAACAAAAUCAACGAGAAAUAUGAACUUAUCUACUUUCACUAGUACAUCUUCAAUAAUACCCCUAGGAAAUCUUAUAGUUUUAUCUGCCAAUUGAAUGCUCAUGCUAGUUUGUUUAGGUUUCCCAAGACCUAGUUGCUUAAACAUUUUGUAAGGCAUGACGUUAAUACUAGCCCCUAAAUCAACUAAUGCGUGAUUCAUAUCUAAACUACCAAUUAAGCAAGGAAUUGUAAAACUCCCUGGAUCUUUCAAUUUGUGAGGUAGCUUAUUCUGUAGAAUAGCUGAGCAGACUGCGUUUAGCUCUGCAUGCGACGCUUCGUCCAACUUUCACUUAUUUACUAAAAGCUCUUUUAAAGAUUUUAUUGCAUUCGGCAUCUGCGACAGAGCUUUAAUAAACGGUAAGUUAAUAUGUAAUUUUUUUAAAAGUUUAAGGAAUUUACCGAAUUGUUCGUCUGAGCGAUCUUUUCUUGUCACGUUAGGAUAUGGGACACGAGGUUUAUAUUCUUCAUUCACUGUUUUGUUAUGACUUACCUCACUUUUACCUUUGCUCUCCACAGUUUCUUGCAUCAAUUCUGGCUCAGGCGCAAUGAAUCAUUCCUUAUCUUGAGUACUAAUUGCGUUGAGGUGUUCCCUUGGGUUAGGUUCAGUAUAACUUGGUAAGCUACCUUGUGGUCAUUCAGAGAUUAGUUUGGAUAGCUGGCCUAUCUGAGUUUCGAGUCCUUGGAUCAAUGCUUGUUGAUUUUUAAGUGCUGUCUCGGUAUUUUGGAAACAGAUUUCUAACACUGAUAUGAAUUUUGAGAGCAUCUCCUCAAGGUUCAGUUUCUUCUCUUGUUGAUAAGGUGGCUGUUGAAAACCCUGAGGAUUUUUUGGCUUUUGAUUCCCUUUACCACCCUAGGAGAAAUUUGGGUGGUUCCUCCAACCUACAUUAUAAGUAUUACUGUAUGGGUUGUUUUGAGAUCUAAAGUUAUUAUUACCCAUAUAGUUGACUUGUUCCUCUUCGGUUGUAGGAUUGAAGGAUUAAUAUUCUGUAUGAACACCUCCCCCAUUUGAGUCACACCUCAUUACUGAAUGUACCUGCGUAGAACCGAGUAAACCAUCAAUCUUUUUAUUGAGAAGUUCUACCUGAUUUGAUAGCAUAGUAACUGAGUCGGCGUUAUAAACACCGGCUGUUUUUGUUGGCUUAGUCCUCAUGACUUUCCACUGAUAAUUAUUCAGUGACAUUUCUUCAAUGAAUUCAUAAGCCUUUUCAGGUGUUUUGUUGUUGAUGGUUCCUCCAGUAGCUGCGUCAAUCAUCUGUCUUGUCGAGGGAUUCACACCAUUGUAAAACGUUUGAACUUGCAGCCAUAGAGGUAACCCAUGGUAAGGGCACCUUCGCAAUAGAUCCUUAUAUCUCUCCCAUGCAUCGUAAAGUGUUUCUAAGUCCAUCUGCACAAUAGAAGAGAUAUUAUUACGUAACUUAGCCGUUUAAGCCUGCAAAAAAUAUUUUAGUAGAAAUUUUUCGGUCAUUUGUUCCCAAAGUAGUGAUAGACCCUCGUGGUAACGAGUUUAACCACUGUUUAGCUUUGUUUCUCAGUGAAAAAGGGAAUAACCAAAGGCGAAUGGCAUCAUCAGAAACGCCAUUAAUUUUGAAAGUGUCAUUAAACUCCAAAAAGUUCACCAAGUGAGUGUUGGGAUCCUCAUCCUACAAACCAUCAAACUGAACAAACUGCUGUAUCAUCUGAAUUGUGUUAGGUUUUAGUUCGAAAUUAUUUGCAGCAAUAGCAUGUCUAACUAUACUUAACUCAGUUCCUGUUAAAAAAGGUUUAGCAUAGUCAUACAUAGUACGUGGAGCAGGAUUUUGAUUAGCUUCAAUUGCAAGAGGUAGCUGAUUGCCUUGGUUUUUAGCCAUCUCUUCGGUUGGGGGUUGAGUAUCGUCUUCUUGCUCGUUCUCCGUAUGUCUUAAGCUUUGCCUUAUUUCUUUUUGGUUUCAACAAACUGUGCGAUCGAUUUCUUCGUCAAACAGUAAUUGUCUCGGUGGGUUUCUUCUAGUCAUAAACUAUGAAAACCUGUCAAGAGAAAGAAAAAAGAAGUUAAUAAAUAAUAAUAAAAUUAAAUUAAAUUGCAAGAAAAAUAAAUGGCUAAAGUAAUAAAAAUUGAGUGUUCCUAAUAUUUUAGUUCUCCGGCAAUGGCGCCAAAAACUUGAUCGCGAGGUUUCGUGAUAGGUUUUAAAUAUUUAUAAUUACUCGUUCUUGGACUAACUAUUAUCACGAUGUAGGCAAGUGUACCUAUCGAACAGUAGUAUAGUUUCAGCAAGUCCAGAUUGUCGAACCCAAAGGAACUAAAGGUACUAGUAAUUACUAUCUUUUUAUUAUCUAGCCUAAGAAUAAAGAGUUUUGUUUUAAUUAACUAAUUAUCUAAACUAAGAACUCACAAAGAAAAGAACUGGGGAAUUGCUUUUGGGAAACUCGAUUGAAUGAAGACAAUACCUAAGGAAAAAUCUAUUUAGACUUUACUUGUUAUUUUGGCUCCAAAUCGGACGAUUUAUUCAUUCAACUUGUACCAUAAAGAUCCCUAAGUUAUGUUAUUAUCCCUAUUCAAGACUAAUAAUGUCUAAUCCCUAGAUUGAAUAAUCGAGACUUUUCUUUAAUUAACACUCUAGGGUUGCAUUAACUCGAUCUAUAGAUCCCCUUAUUAGGUUUCACCCUAAUCCGGCAAAAUCUUGUCACCCUAUUUCUAGGUGCGCAAUCAACUCCACUUAAUUAUGACAAAAGUACUCUUAGACAGGGUCUAUUCCUCCUCUGAAUAAGAGCAUGUCUUGAAUCAGUAUCCUAGGAUAUCAAAAAAAGAAUUAAGAACACAUAAUUAAGAAUAAGUUAAAUAUUUAUCAUACGAUUCAAAAAAUAAUAACAAGAUUUGUCUUAGGUUUCAUUCUCCUUAGGUAUUUAGGGGUUUUAGUUCAUAAUUAAAUAAGAAAACAUCUCAGAAGAGUAAAGAAUACAAAACAUAAAGAAAACCAAAACUCCUGAAGGGAAAUUGAGGAGAGAUUUUCAGUCUUGAUGAUGAAUCCGGCUUCUGAGAUGGAUCAAUCGGCUUCAUUGGAGUAAUUCCUUACUCACUCUUCUCCCCCCCCUUUUCUUCCUCCUCUAGGGUGUAUGUAUAGGCUUUGGAAUGCCUAGAUGCCCUCAAAAUUAGCCUUUUCUAAAUUAGACUCAACUUAGGCUCGGUAGGGACACGCUUGUUUGCGAUUACUUUAGGACGUGUUUAAGCCUGUUAGAAUGGCACGGACGUGUGCUAUACCCGUGUGAAUCGUGCUUCAAUUCUGCCAGGUUGACACUGCCGUGUGGUCUGCCCGUGUGAAGAGGUCCAGGCCGUGUUGAUUUCGUACUUUGGCCCAUUUUCUCUAUUUUGGCCCGUUUCUCGUUCUUUUCGCUCUCCUAUGCUCUCCUAAGUAUAAAAUAUGAAAUUAAAGCAUUAGGAGCAUCAAAUUCACCAAUUCUAAUGAGAAAUCAUCCAUAGAAUGAAUUAAACAUGGGGCCAAAAUAUGUAUAAUUUACGGUUUAUCAGGGUUUGACUCCCUGUAGUGGCAAUGUGAUUAUUUUUGUUGCAAGUCUCAAUUAAGAGUUGGGCUUAUCAGAAAUCUGAGUUGGGGUUUUAAGGGAAAUUAUGGUUUAUUCCCUUCUUUUUGGAAAAAGGCAUUCUUUUUGUUCUCUGCCGUCUUUUCUUUUGUUUUCCCCAAAAACCUAGUUGCCAAAAUUAUUUUCUUUCUUUUUCCUUCUUCAUUUUUCUUCUCAUUCGAGUAGUUGUGGCAUUUUGCUAGCGAUUUUGUCAGUUCGGUUAGUUUGAUUGUUAAUAAAUUUAAGUGAUUUCUAUUGGAGGUUAUUAAGAGCGAUUUGUUUACUAUUUAGAAGAUAUUUAAGGUUUUAUGGAUCAUUGAUCGAGUUAUUAGCAGCGAGAAUCACCGUUCUUUGCCGAAGGUAAGUAGAUCUUCUGUUUUAAGAUUUUUCCAUUCUUAUGUAAGUCGAUUUAAGUGCCUAAUUUGGGCUCGAUAUUAUCAAUCUUAAGAUUUGGAGUACUCGUGGUUGGAUUAGCAGCGAAAAUGAAUUAGGUGUGUACUUCGGUUACACUAAAAAUGGUUUCAUUAAAAGUUGAAACCAAAACUGUCGAUGCCACACGGGCGUGUGGAUUUCCUGUGUGGAGGUCGUGCAGCUAUACACGGCCAUAUGAUCGAUGAGCCAGGCCAUGCGCGUACUACACGGAGACCAUAGACACGGGCGUGUGAUGGCUUGUAGGCCGUGUGCCAGGCACAGGCUCAGGCAAAUGGGCCAUGUGGGCCACACGGGCGUGUGGUCCCACACGAGUGAACCAUACGGGCGUGUGGGAAUCUGGGCCAGGCCGUGUGAUCCACAUAGGCAAGGCCAAUUUGCGUCGUGUGACCCAAACGGGUAGGGCACAUAGGCGUGUGAGUCCUAUUUGUUUUGGAAUAUUCUGUAAGGUUGCACGGGUCGCCUAAGUUGACCGUGACUAAUUGUAGGGGCAGUAAGUAUUACUUAGACUCCAUAUUCUGAAUGAUUGAUGAAUUGUAUGCUAAAGCAUGAUAAUAUAAGCAUGUGUGUCUGUCUGAUUUUGUAUAUAUGUUCUGCCAUGAUAUUGAUAUGAUCCGUUAUCUGCAUAUAAGCAUGCCAUGAUAUUUAUGACGUAUUGCAUUGGGUUGGGAUUGCUAUGAAGAGAAGGAAGUCUGAGAGGCGAUUAGCUUGUUAUCUGGCAGCUAAGCUGCGUAUAUCCUUUAUGUACUAUUUUAUGGUACCAUUUGGUGUGUAGGGCUGGGUGGGUCGAUUUUAUCCCCACAUGAUGUGUUGGGCUGGACGGAGAUAGUGUGCAGGGUUGGUAGGCAUGAUUUCUGAUAUCUGAUUUGUUAUGCAUGCGAUAUCUGUAAGGCUAAGGCUAAAUAUCUGUAAUCUGUUAUCUGUUUGUAUGCAUGUUGUUUGUGGGGAUGUACACACUGAGUUUGUGAAAACUCACCCCUUUAUUUAUUUUAUGUCAGGUAAUCCUCAGCAGUAGAUGGACCGGUGUGACGGAGGGCUUGAUGGUGACCACUGUUAAACACAUAUGGAUUUUGAGUAACAUUUAUUACAUCAGUUUUAUUUUUAUUUGUUUUGGGAUUUAUUUUUGGACUUGAACUACUUAUUUUGGGUUUUGGGAGUUUAAACUAUUAAGGUUAUGGUUUUAUUAAAAAUGAAUGAAAAUUUUUCUUCCCGUAAAAGAAUUGUUUUCUGGUAGUAAUUGGAAUAAGUAUUUCACGACUUAAGUAAAGAUAAUAAACUGCUCGAUUUGUAAUUUGCUAAGGUUUUCCAAAAGCACUCUCUUGUGACGUUGCCAGAUCCAGCCAUAACGUCUAGGCCGAGUUUGGAGUGUUACAACAUAUCAAUCUUGAAAGAAAGAAAUCAGAUUCAGAUCGGGGAAAAUCGAAGGUUAUUGAAUAGUCGACUCGAUACGUCAAUCCCUAAUACGAGGUAAGUUUAUAUACAAAUAAAUGUCUUUAAAUUUAAUUAUACAUUUUUAAUUAUCAUUGAAUUGUUAAAAAUGUUGAACGAGUAAUUACGAGCAAGAAUCGGCAGAGUUACGACAUCUGAAAGUCCCGUACGAACCUUAGGAAUAGUAUAGGAUACGAAUUUCAUGACAUUAGGUUACCGAGAUGUGAUUACAUGUAAGAACAUGUUUGGGACAUUGACAUUGUAUUGUGAUUACGUGUAAGACCAUGUCUGGGACAUUGGCAUCAUUAAUCAAUUUUGUGUAAGACCCUAUUUGGGACAGUGGCAUCGAUAUGUGAUAACAUUUAAGAAUAUAUUUGGGAUAUGGCAUUAUACGAGCUAUAUGUGAUUGUCGAGUAUCCUUAACGUUUUGGAACGGUUCAACGGGCAAAGUAAAGUCGAGAAAGAAUGUGUGAAUGAGUUAAGUGACUCAGGUACGCACGAGAUUCAUACGAGUAUUGAAAAGGGAAGUAUUUGAUGAAUUCAAUUAUGAUAUUGAAGAUGUGUACAAUGAGAAAUGUUUGUGAACUUGAAUGUAUAUUUAGAUGUGUUUAUUCAUAUCUUACUUAAUUGAUGGAAAUGAUAUUGAUUCAUGAGAUGAUUUAUUUGUAUGUGGUUUACUAAGCUUUUAAAGCUUACUUUGUGUGUUCUUUCCCCGUUUUAUAGAUAAUCAAAGCUAGCUCGGACUCGGGGAUCAUCAGGAACAUCAUCACACUAUUGAUCAACUUGUUGGUAUUUUGGGAUACUUUGUAAAUAUGGUAUAUGGCAUGUAUAGGCUAGUGAGUUGGUAUUAUAUUUUGAGCUAUGAUUUUAGCCAUGAGAUUUGGCUUGCUAAUGAUGUAAAUGUUGGUGUGUAUUUGGCCAUUUAAGUUGUCUUGAAUUAUGUGUUUGAGAAGUGAGAUAUGUGUUUUAUAAGUUACCUUGUGUUUUGGCAUUGUUUGCCAUGGUUGUUGAUAUGGCUAAAUGGUUGCUCAUUUGGUUAGUUAGUAAUUGAUAUAUUAAUGCUUGAAGAAUGAUAUAUUUUGGUAUGAUUUAUAGAUGAUGAAUUGAUAUGUUUAAGAAGUAUGAUUUAGUUUAUGGAAAGGUGAUAAAAUGCAUUUAGAAGUCAUAUGAGUUUGACGAUUGUGGCAUAUUAUUUUGGUGUAUUAUUGAGCAUGGAAUUGAGUAGUAGAAAGAAUGGUUAUACAUGGCAUAAUAUGUGUUUGAAAUAGCAUGUUUUGGUUGCUUAUAUAUGUAUUGAAAUGGCAUGAAAUGUCUUGUUGUAGGAAGGCUUGAGAAGGGUGAGAAAUGUGGCUUAAACCAAGCCUAUUUUCACUCCACACGGCUGAGCACAUGGUUGUGUGGCUCGACCGUAUGUGACACAUGGCCUUGGUACAUGGCCGUGUGUCCCUUGGGGUAGCCAUUUGAAUUAAGUUAUUAUACCCUACAGGUUUGGCAUAGCUUAGACACACGGGCGUUCUAUUGGUCGUGUGUGACACACGGGAUUGCAUAUGGGCAUGUGGCUGGCCGUGUGAUCCAAGUCAGUAACCUCUCUAGAUUUCACACGGCCUGGCACACGAGCAUGUGCUCGGCCGUGUGAUACAAGUCAGCAUGUAUGCCCUAUUUUCACAUGGCCUGUGAGAUGGACGUGUCUGGUGAUCGUGUGAGACACACAGCCUGUUCAAACGGCGUGUGACCCUUAAGUGCAUGAAAAUUUUCCAAGUUUCCCAAAGUUUUCAAAUGUUAUCAUUUUAGUCCCGAACCUCUUCUAAACAUGUUUAAAAGCCUUAUAGAAUCUUAUAAGGGACAAUGUGAAUGUAUUAGAUGGGUUUUAUAUAUAAAUGUAUAAAUGUAUGUGUUAUGUAUGUGAAUGAUGAGUAUUGAUCGGUAAUGCCUCUUAACCCUGUUUUGGCAUCGGAUACAGGUUAGGGGUGUUAUAUUUAUUGGUAUCAGUGCUACAAUUUAGUCAAUUCUAGAACUAACGUAGCGUGUGAGAGUCUAACUAUACAUGCCAUAUAUAAAAACAACGAUAGUAUGAUGAUUCAUGAUAGUUAAAAUGUGUUUUAUAUAGCAAAUGCAUCCCGAAAAAGCUACAGCUGACAACGUAGAGAGUAAUUCACCUGCUCCUGCUCAAAGGACAGCGUAUUCGUAUCUAGUAGUCACGAGGGAGAGGCUAAACAAGCCUUCUUUCAUAUGAUGAAUGAGUGGUUCACAGAAUUUGUUCGAAUGAAUCCAGCUGCUCAACAACCUGCACCCUCACCUGUUCCUCAAUAAGUCCAGUUGUGCCACAAGUAAUAGAUCCGAUUCGAUUGAGUAAGCCACCUGUUGAUAAGAUUUGAAAACACGGGGUUGAGGAGUUUCGGGUUGCCGUUAAUGAUGAUGCUGAGAGAGCUGAGUUUUGGCUCAAGAACACGAUACGAAUAUUCAAUGAAUUAUCUUGCACUCAUGAUGAAUGUAUCAAAUAUGUUGUAUUUUUGCUGAGAGAUAAUGCGUACCAUUGGUGGAAAACGUUAAUAUCUAUAGCUCCAAGAGAACGGGUUACCUGGGAGUUCUUCCAAUUUGAAUUCAGAAAGAAGUACAUAAGUCAGCUAUUUCUUGAUCAGAAGCAUAAAGAGUUUCUGGAGUUAAAACAAGGUCAGAUGACUGUUACUGAGUAUGAAAGAGAAUUCGUACGAUUAAGCAAGUAUGCCCGGAAAUAUGUUUCCACUAAAGAAAUCAUGUGCAAACGAUUUGUAGAUGGAUUGAAUGAAGAUAUAAAACUGUUAGUCGGGAUUUUUGAAUUAAAAGAAUUUGUUGUUCUGGUUGAAAGGGCUUGUAAAGCAGAUGAUCUCAGUAAAGAAAAGAGAAAAGCAAACUCAGAAGCUAGAGACUCAAGAAAGAGAUCAAUGAGUAAGCCGUAUCAAUCUUCAUCGAAGAAAUUCUGAGACUUGUUUAAUUGUUCUAAUGCAUCAGUGGGAUAUUCAAAUAGAGAUCGUGAAAAGCGACCUGUGAGUUCUAAAGCUCAAGCUACACCUAUUGCUAGUGCUGGCAGUGUGAGACAAAAUCGACCUAAAUGUAGACAUUGUGGAAAAUGACAUUUCGGUGAUUUUAGAUUGAAGGAACGGACUUGUUUUAAAUGUGGGUUGUUAGAUCAUUUUAUAAAAGAAUGUCCAAAAUUAGCUGAAAAAGAUAAGGCUCAGAGUACGAAGCCGAGUAACACUACAGCUAGAGGUAGACCACCUAGAAAUAUGGGAAACGUAAAUGAUAGUCGAGGGGUGACGAGAGACUCUACUGUGAGAUCUAAGGCCCAAGCACCUGCCCGAGCUUAUGCUAUCCGCGCACGGGAGGAAGCUUCCUUGCCAGAUGUUAUUAUCGAUACUUUCACUCUCUAUGAUACUAAUGUGAUUGUAUUGAUAGAUCCAGGAUCAACUCAUUCGUAUAAAUAUGUGAAUUUAGUAACCAGUAGGACUUUGCCUGUAGAGUCUACUGAAUUUGUUAUUAGAGUUUCGAACUCCUUAGGCAAGUGUGUUUUGGUUGAUAAAGUGUGCAAGAGCUGUCCAUUGAUGAUUCGAGAAUUUUGUUUUCCAGUUGAUCUGAUGUUGUUGCCAUUUGAUGAAUUUGAUAUAACUCUGGGUAUGGAUUGGUUAACAUUACAUGAUGCUAUAGUAAACUGUAAGCGAAAGACGAUUGAUUUGAGAUGUCAGAAUAAUGAGAUUAUUUGGAUUGAGUCAGAUGAUUUGAAUGGUUUACCAGCAGUGACUUCAUUGAUGUUAGCUCAGAAAUAUGUGAGAAAAGGUUGUGAAGCUUAUUUUGCUUACGUGCUUGAUACGAAAGUGACUGAAAAGAAGAUCAAAUCAGUGCUAGUUGUGUGUGAGUAUCUGGAUGUGUUUCCUGAAGAGUUACUGGGUUUACCACCGAUCGAAGAGGUUGAGUUUGGCAUUGAGUUAGUGCCGAGAACUAUGCCAAUAUCGAUAGCUCCGUACAAAAUGGCUCCGACAGAGUUAAAAGAAUUGGAAGCUCAGUUGCAAGAGUUGACUAAUAGAGGAUUUGUACGAUCGAGUUUCUCUCCCUGGGGUGCUCCUGUAUGUUUGUGAAAAAGAAAGAUGGCACUAUGAGAAUAUGUAUAGAUUAUAGACAACUUAACAAAGUAACGAUCAAGAACAAUACCCCUUGCCCAGAAUAGAUGAUUUGUUUUAUCAGUUAAAAGGGGCUAUAGUGUUUUCGAAGAUAGAUUUGAGAUCAGGUUAUUACCAGUUGAGAGUUAAAGACUCUGAUAUGCCAAAGAAUAUAUUUAGAACAAGAUACGGACACUAUGAAUUUUUAGUUAUGCCUUUCGGACUAACAAAUGCACUUGUUGUCUUUAUGGACUUAAUGAACCGGAUUUUUAGACCGUAUCUAGAUCAAUUUAUCGUUGUAUUCAUUGAUGACAUUUUGAUUUACUUUUGUAAUGAAUCUGAACAUGCCGAACAUUUGAGAAUUGUGCUACAGACUCUACGAGAUAAGCAGUUAUUUGCAAAGUUCAGCAAAUGUGAAUUCUGGUUGCGCGAUGUUGGUUUUCUGGGACAUAUUGUUUGAACUGAUCGUAUCUGAGUUAACCCAAGGAAGAUAUCUGUAAGUAUAGAUUGAAAGCCUCCGAGAAAUGUUUUUGAGGUCCGUAGUUUUCUGGAACUAGCGAGAUAUUAUAGACGGUUUGUAAAAGGCUUUUCGAUGAUUGCAAUUCGGAUAACAAAAUUGCUUCAGAAAGAUGUGAAGUUCGAGUGGUCAGAUAAAUGUCAGAAAAUUUUCAAUCAGCUGAAAGCUCUUUUGACUGAAGGUCCAGUGUUAGUAUAGCCAGAAUCGGGUAAAGAAUUUGUGAUCUAUAGUGAUGCAUCAUUGAAUGGUCUGGGCUGCGUUACAAUACAAGAAGGCAAAGUCAUAGCUUAUGCCUUGAGACAGUUGAAACAGCAUGAAAAGAAUUACCCGACUCAUGAUUUAGAUUUAGCAGCCACUGUGUUUGUGUUGAAGAUUUGGCGUCACUAUUUGUUUGGUGAGAAAUGUCACAUCUAUACCGAUCACAAGAGUUUGAAAUAUUUGAUGACUUAGAAAGAUCUAAAUUUACGACAGCGGAGAUAGCUAGAAUUGUUAAAAGAUUACGAGCUAGUGAUUUACUACCAUCCGGGAAAAGCAAAUGUUGUUGCUGAUGCAUUAAGCCAGAAAUGUUUGUUUGCUCUACGUGUAAUGAAUACUCAGUUGACUCUAUUUGACGAUGGCUCGGUUGUAGCUGAGUUGAAAGUGAGACUGUUUUUUUACAGUAGAUUUGUGAAGCUUAGAAAGUUAAUAAUGAAAUGUUAGCAAAACGAGCCCAAUGUGAUUCAAACCCUGAUUCAGAGUUUCAAGUUGAUUCCGAUGACUGUUUAAGAUUUAGAGGCCGAAUAUGUGUUUCGAGAAAUUCAGAGUUGAUUCAGAUGAUUUUGAAUGAAACACAUAGUAGUUGUUUAUCUGUUCAUCUGGGAAGCACGAAAAUGUAUAACGAUUUGAAACAGCUUUAUUGGUGGUAUGGUAUGAAACGAGAUAUUUCAGAGUUCAUUUCUAAAUGUUUGAUUUGUCAGCAAGUUAAAGCUGAGCACAUGUACCGUCAGGUUUAUUACAGUCUAUUAUAAUUCCCGAGUGAAAAUGAGAUAAAGUGAUUAUGGAUUUUAUUUCGGGGGUUUACCCCUAUUUCCAAGUAAGAAAGAUGCAAUCUGGGUUGUUGUUGACCGAUUGACAAAAUCUGCUCAUUUUAUUCUGGUGCAUAUGGAUUAUUCGCUUAACAAGCUUACUGAGUUGUACAUUUAAGAGGUUGUUCGAUUACACGGGGUACCUAUUUCUAUUGUUUCGGAUAGAGAUCAGAGGUUUACAUCGUAGUUUUGGAAGAAAUUGCAAGAUGCAUUGGGUACAAAUUUAAAUUUCAGUACUACUUUUCACCCUCAGACGGAUGGUCAAUCGAAGCGAGUUAUAUAGUUACUCGAAGAUAUGUUGUGUUGUUGUAUUUUUGAGUUCGAAGGUACGUGGGAAAAGUAUUUGCCGUUGAUUGAAUUUGCCUAUAACAAUAGUUUUCAAUCAAGUAUUAAGAUGGCACCAUACGAAGCUCUAUACGGUAGUAAAUGUUGAACACCGUUGUACUGGAUAGAGCUUAAUGAGAAUAAAAUUCAUGGGGUUGAUCUGAUCAGAGAAACUGAAGAAAAAGUGAAAGUAAUCCGUUAUUGUCUGAAAGCAGCGUCAGAUCGUCAGAAAUCGUACGCAUAUUUGAAACGGAAAGAUAUUGAGUUUCAGAUCGGGGAUAAAGUGUUUUUAAAAGUGUAGCCGUGGAAAAAGAUAUUACGGUUUGGUCGGAAAGGGAAAUUAAGUCUGCGAUUCAUCAGACCGUAUUAUCGAGCGAAUUGGGCCAGUUGCAUAUCGGCUAUCUUUACCAUCUGAAUUAGAGAAAAUACAUAAUGUGUUUCACGUAUCGAUGAUACGACAAUACAGAUCCGACCCAUCACAUGUCAUAUCUCCGACAGAGGUUGAAAUUCAGUCAGAUUUAUCAUAUAGUGAAGAACAUAUUCAAAUCUUAGCUCGUGAGAUCAAAGAGUUGAGAAAUAAAAAAAUUGUAUUAGUGAAAGUCUUAUGCAUCGACACGGGGUCGAGGAAGCUACGUGAGAGCCUGGGGAUGUUAUGAGAAAACAAUACCUGAACCUAUUUACUGGUAAGAUUUUUGGGGACGAAAAUCCCUAAGGGGGAGAGUUAUAAUAGCCCGAUUUUAGCUAAAUCAGAACAAUGGUUUUGGAACAAAAAAUUCAAGGUUAGAAAAUUAUUUUAAUAUUAUUUUAUGUGUUUAAAAACAUGAUAGCAUGUAUGCGUGAAAAUUUCGUAAGCUAAUUUUAUCGUUUAAUAGCUCAAUUUGAGAAAAAGGACUUAAUUGCGUAAAAUGAAAAAGUUGCAUUCUAAUUGAUAAAUGUGUUUAAUUGCUAUGAUUUAUUAAAUGAGAAGUCCUUAUGUUGAAAUUAGACCAUUGAUAUUGGAAAUAGUCAUAAAUGGGCAUGUAUUAGGUAAAUUUAUAAUGAUUUCAUUAAGGUUAAUUUUGGUAUUUGAUUGAUAAGGUAAUUUAUAAUAAAACAAAUCAUAAAAUUUGGGCAUUCAUCUUUCUUUGAACCGAAAAUGGAGGAAAAAGGAAGCCAUUUAAGGUUUGUUACAUUCGACAAUUACAAGCUUUGACUGAGGUAUGUUUUAAGCUUAGUUUUUGAUGAUUUCUAUGUUUUUGUAAUCGUUACUUCAUGUUCUAGCUAGCCCAUGCCUUAAUUUUUGAAUUUGUUCAUGAUUUUGUGAGGAGCCAUUGAUGAAUGCUUGAGCUCUAGAAUUUUUUAUGAUGAAAUAUGAAUAUUUGCUAAUAGUUUUACAAGUUUUAUAUAGUAAUUUUUGAUAAAAAUGCAUAUUAGGGAUUAAUUUGUGAAAAGACAAAAAUGUGUGGUUAAAUAUGUUAAAUGAUGAUAAAUAUGGGUUCCUAGGGGCUUAAGGGUAAUUCGGCCAAGCAUGGAAUAUUGAGAUUUUGUGUAAUUUGUGUUUUUAUGAAAUAAGGACUAAAUUGUAUGAAAUGUGAAAGUUCGGGGCCAAAGUGAAAAUUUUCUUAAAUAUGUGUUUUUGGACUGAAUUGAAUGAGUCAAUGAAUAAAUGAGUUAAUUUUGAAUACAUAUAGAUCCUGAAAGAAAGAAAUCAGAUUUAGAUCGGGGGAAAUCGAAAGUUAUUGAAUAGUCGACUCAAUACGUCAAUCCCUAAUACUAGGUAAGUUCAUAUGCAAAUAAAUGUCUUUAAAUUGAAUUAUACAUGUUUAGUUGUCAUUGAAUUGCUAUGAAUGUUGAACGAGUAAUUGCUAGUAAGAAUCAACAGAGUUACGAUAUCUGAAAUUCCCGUACGAACCUUAGGAAUAGUAUAGGAUACAAAUGUCAUGACAUUAGGUUACCGAGAUGUGUUUACAUGUAAUACCAUGUCUGGGACAUUGGAAUGUAUUGCGAUUACGUGUAAUACCAUGUCUGGGACAUUAGCAUCGUUAAUCGAUUUCGUGUAAGACCCUGUCUGGGAUAGUGGCAUCGAUAUGUGAUAACAUGUAAGAACGUAUUUGGAUAUGGCAUUGUACGAGCUAUAUGUGAUUGCUGAGUAUCCUUAACGUUUUUGAACGGUUCAAAGGGAAAAUUCAAGUCGAGAAAGAAUGUGUGAAUGAGUUAAGCAACUUAGGUACGCACGAGAUUCAUACGAGUAUUGAAAAGGGAAGUUUUUGAUGAAUUCAAUUAUGAUAUUGAAUAUGUGUACAAUGAGAAAUGUUUGUGAACUUGAAUGUAUAUUUAGAUGUGCUUAUUCAUAUCUUGCUUAAUUGAUGGAAACGAUAUUGAUUCAUGAGAUGAUUUAUUUGUAUAUGGCUUACUAAGCUUUUAAAGCUUACUUUGUGUGUUCUUUUCCUGUUUUAUAGAUAAUCGAAGCUAGCUCAGACUUGGGGAUCAUCAGGAACAUCGUCACACUAUCGAUCAACUUGUUGGUAUUUUUGGAUACUUCGUAAAUAUGGUAUACGACAUGUAUAGGCUAGUGAGUUGGUAUUAUAUUUUGAGCUAUGAUUUUAGACAUGAGAUUUGGCUUGCUAAUGAUGUAAAUGUUGGUUUGUAUUUGGCCAUUUAAGUUGGCUUGAAUUAUGUGUUUGAUAAGUGAGAUAUGUGUUUUAUAAGUUACCUUGUGUUUUGGCAUUGUUUACCAUGACUGUUGAUGUAAUAGCUUGGUUUUAGCCAAAUCAGAACAAUGGUUUCAGAACCACAAAUUUGAGGUCAGAAAAUUAUUUUAAUAUUAUUUUUGGUGUUUAUAGCAUGUGAUUAUAUAUUUGUGAAAGUUUCGUGUGAUAAUUGUAUCGUUUGAAUGCUUAAUUUGACGAAAGGACUAAAUCACGUAAAAUGCGAAAGUGGCAUGCUAUAUGUUAAAAGUGUUUAAUUGCUAUGGUUCGUUAAAUGAAAGGUCCUUAUAUUGUAAUUAGACCAUUGAUAGUGGAAUUUGACAUAAAUGGUCAUCCAUUAUAAGUUUUUAAUGUUUAUUCAUUAAGGUUAUUAUAGUAAAUUGAUUAAUAAUAGAAAAUGUAAAAGAAUUAAAAGAUGAAUAAGCUAUCAUCUUUCUUAUUCUUCAACAUCCAUGGUUGAAUAUAUCAUUAAAAGAGGAGAAUAAGUUUCAGCACUUGUGUGACUUAAUUAAGGUAUGGUUUUUGAUUCGUUUUUGAUGAUUUCUAUGUUUUUGAGAUCGUUGCAUCGAGUACUAGCUAGCUCGUGCCCUAAUUUUUGAGUUUGUUUAUUAUUUUGUGAAGUGCCAUUGAUGAAUGUUUGAGCUUUUGGAUGUUUGAUGAUGAAAAAUGUAUAUUUGUUGAUAGUUACACAAGUUUUGUAAAGUGAUUUUUGACAAAAAUGUCAAAUAGGGAUUUAUUUGUGAAAAUGUGCAAAUGUGUUGUUAAAUGUCUGAAUAAAUGAUAAAUAUGGGCUGAUAUGUGCACUAGGAGAAUUCGGCUAGCAUGUAUUUGAAAGAAAUUGUGUAAUUUUGUGUAUUUUUGAAAUAAUGUGAAAGUUUAGGGCCAAAGUGAAAAUUGGCUUAAAUAUGUAUUUGUGGAUGAAAUUGAUUGAUUUGGUGAUUAAAUGGAUUAAUUUUGAAUAUAUAUAGAUGAAGAAUAAAAGAAAUCAGACUUAGAUCGAGGCAAGAACAAAGUACUCGAUUAUUUGGCUAGUUUCGUUGUUUCUACGACUGAUGUAAGUUCAUAUGCAAAUAAAUGUCUUUAAAUUGAUUUAUACAUGUUUAAUUGUCAUUGAAUUGCUAUGAAUGUUGAACGAGUAUUUAUGAGCAAGAAUCGACUGAGUUACAACAUCCGAAAGUCCCGAACGAACCUUAGGAAUAGUAUAGGAUACGAAUGUCAUGACAAUAGGUUACCGAGAUGUGGUUACAUAUAAGAGCAUGUCUGAGACAUUGGAAUUGUAUUGUGAUUAUGUGUAAGACCAUGUUUGGGACAUUGGCAUCGUUAAUCGAUUACGUGUAAGACCAUGUCUAGGAUAGUGGCAUCGAUAUGUGAUAACAUGUAAGACCAUAUUUGGAAUAUGGCAUUGUAUGAAAUAUAUGUGAUUGCCGAGUAUCCAUAACAAUUCUGAACGGUUCAACGAGGAAAGUCAAGUCGAGAAAGAAUGUGUGAAUGAGAUAAGUGACUCAGGUAGGUACAAGAUUCAUACGAGUAUUGAAAAGGGAUGUAUUUGAUGAAUUCAAUUAUGAUAUUGAAUAUGUAUACUGUGAGAAAGGUUUGUGAACUUGAAUGUGUUUAGCUAUGCUUAGCAUAUUUGAAUUGAUAUGCAAAUAUUCAUAUGAUGACUUUAUUUGUAUAUGGCUUACUAAGCUUUUAAAGCUUACUUUGUUUAUUUUUCACUAUUUUAUAGAUUAUCGAAGCUAGCUCAGACUCGGGAUCGUCGAAAAACAUCAUCACACUAUCGAUCAUCUUGUUGGUACUUUUGGAGCUUUGUAUAUAUGGUAUAUGGCAUGUAUAGGCUAGUGUCAUCUUGGUAUGUUUUGAGUUAUGAUAUUAGCCAUGAGAUUUGGCUUGUAAAUGAUGGUGUGUAUGAUCAUUCAAGUUGGCUUGAAUUAUGUGUUUGAUAAGUGAUAUAUGUGAUGUAUGUAUAUGGCUUUAUGUUUUGGCAAAUUUUGUGAUGGUUAUAUGUUUGCUUGUGUAGCUAGUUGAAAAUUGGUAUAUUAAUGUUUGGAAGAUGGCAUGUUGUGGCUUGAUUUUAAGAUGAUGAAAGGGUAUGUUUUGAGGCAUGAAAUAGAUGAUAAGAUGAUGAGAAAAUGCAUUUAGAAGUUAUAUGAGUUUAAUGAUUUUGGAAUAUUGAUUUGGUAUGUUUUGGUUAUGGAUUUGAGUAGUUAAGUGGAUGGUUUAUAGAUGGUAUAAAAUGUGUAUGAAAAUGAUCAUGUUUUGGUUGCUCAUAUAUAUAUGAAAAUGAUGCAAUUUGAUGUGAUUUAGGUAAGCUUGAGGAGGGUGAGAAAUGCGGCUAAAACCAAGCCUAUUUUCACUCCAUAUGGCUUAGCACACGGGCAUGUGGCUUAACCGUGUGUGACACAUGGCCUUCGUACACGGUCGUGUGUCCCCUAGGGAAUAAUUAGAAAUUCAAGCCAGUCUUUUGCACAGUCUAGACAUACGGGCGUGUCUGAUGACCGUGUGAGGCACAUAGCCUUUGCUCAUGGGCGUGUGUGGCCAUUUCAAAGGGCACACGGGCUAAACAUAAGGGCAUGUGGUCGGCCGUGUGAUCCAAGUCAGUAAACCCUCUAGAUUUCACAUGGCCUGGCACACGGACGUGUCCUCGCCGUGUGGUGGAAGUUAGUAUGCAUGCCAUGUUUUCACACGGCCUGUGACACGGGUGUGUCUGAUAGCCGUGUGAAGCACACGGCCUGUUCACAUAGGCGUGUGACCCAUGCAUGUGUGAAAAUUUUCUAAGUUCUCAGAAAUUUUUAUAUGUGAUCGGUUUAGUCCUGAACAUCUUUUAAGCAUGUUUUAAGGUCUCGUAGACCUAUUUAAGGGACAUUGUGUAUAUGAAUGAAUGUUAUUCGAUAAUGAAUGUUUAUUGAGUUGUUAAAUGUUAGUUAAAUGUUGUGUUUGAUCGGUAAUACCUCUUAACCCUAAUCCAGCGACGGACUCGGGCUAAGGGUGUUAUAGUUGAUAUGGCUAAAUGGUUGCUCAUUUCGUUAGUUAUUAAUCGAUAUAUUAAUGCUUGAAGAAUGGUAUAUUUUGGUAUGAUUUAUAGAUAAUGAAUUGAUAUGUUCAAGAAACAUGAUUUAGUUGAUGGAAAGGUGAUAAAAUGCAUUUAAAAUUUAUGUGAGUUUGAUGAUUGUGGCAUAUUAUUUGGGUAUAUUAUUGAGCAUGGAAUUGAGUAGUAGAAAGAAUGGUUAUACAUGGCAUAAUAUAUGUUUGAAAUAGCAUGUUUUGGUUGCUUAUAUAUGUAUUGAAAUGGCAUGAAAAGUAUUGUUGAAGGAAGGCAUGAGAAGGGUGAAAAAUGUGGCUUAGACCAAGCCUAUUUUCACUACAUACGGUGAGUACAUGGGCGUGUGGCUCGACUGUGUGUGACACAUGGCCUUGGUACACGGCUGUGUGUCCUCUAGCGUAGCCCUUCAAAUUAAGUCAGUAUACCCUACAGGUUUGGCACAGCUUAGACAUACGGGCGUGUCUACUGACCGUGUGUAACACAUGGGCUGGCACAUGGGCGUGUGGCCAGCCAUGUGAUCCCAAUCAGUAACCCCUCUAGAUUUCACACGACAUGGCACACGAGUGUGUCCUUGGCCAUGUGAUGCAAGUCAGUAUGUAUGGCUUGUUUUCACAUGGCCUGUGACCCAGGCGUGUCUGGUGACCGUGUGAGGCACACAGCCUAUUCACACGGGCGUGUGACCCUUAAGUGAAUGAAAAUUUUCUAAGUGUCCCAAAGUUUUCAAAUGUUAUUGGUUUAGUCUCGAACCUUUUCUAAGCAUGUUUGAAGGCCUCAUAGAACCUUAUAAGGGACAAUGUGAAUGUAUUGGAUGGGUUUUAUAUAUGAAUGCAUAAAUGUAUGUGUUAUGUAUGUGAAUGAUGAGUAUUGAUCGGUAAUGCCUCUUAACCCUAUUCCGGCAUCAGAUAUAGGUUAGGGGUGUUACAGCUUUAUAGGCACUUAACCACUCUGAACUUUUACAUUAACAACCAGGAACUUAUGUGUUUUGAAUUUGAUGUGCUCAUGUUGCAAUUGGAAUAAAAGACUAUAAUUUGUUUUCACAAUUUCCACAUUAGUGACAAAAACUUGUAUCCAUAUUCCAUCAAAAUCGGAGUCUGUAUACCUGAUAAACUCUAACUAAUUAGACCUUCGAUAUGUGAGCAUGUAAUUUUUUGUUCUCUGAAAAUAUCUUAUAUCUCUCUUGGAUGUUGUCCAUGGUCCAAACCAGGGUUGCUUAAAAUAUCUACAUAACAUCCCAACAUUGUGCUGGUUAUUCCAAUGUAUACAAACCUGAACAUACAUUAGACUUCCCACUGCUAAAAUGUAAAAAAUCUUAUCCAUUUUUGUAAUCUCAAAAUCAUUCUUAGGGCAUUGAUUGAGACUAUACUUAUUAUUGACAAGCAGUAUGUCAUUAACAUAUAAAACCAAAUAUAGAACCCUACUCCCACUAAACUUAUGGUAUAUACAAUUAUCGACAAAAUUAAUCUCUAAACUGAAUGAGAUAAUCAUUUGCUAAAAUUUGAAAUACUAUUGACGAGAAGUAUGCUUAAGCCCAUAGAUGAAGUUAUUUAAUUUGCAAAUCAUUAACUUUGCAUCAUCAGACACAAAGUUUUUUAGUUGCACUAUAUAAAUGUAUGAUUAAUGUUACCAUUGAGAAACCAUUAACUUAAUAUUCAUUUGAUGCAGCUUAAGGUCAAAAUAUUCCACUAAAGCCAUUAUAACCCUUUCACUAGUGGACUUUUUUAAUGACAUUCAUUCUUAAGGUUGUUGAGUUUGUUCUUCUGGAACAAUUAACUUGUAACGGCCCAAAAAUUUAAAUUUUUGUUUUUGCAAAUGUGUGACACAAUUGUGUAUUUGCUUCAGUGGUUGAGUGUUCUGGGAGUAUGUGAGAGGUCCCAAGUUAAAGCUAUGCCUUUGGAAAAUUUUGGUAUUUUUAUGAAUAAAGCCCAAUCCUUGGUCAAUAGGUCUAGUGGUUAAGUGAGUGUUAGUUUGCUGAAGGUCCUGUGUUCGAAUCCCUGCGUGAGCGUGGGAGUUUAUUUUUACUUGUUUGAUCGAGAGAGCUUCUGUCAAAUAGGAAUUCUGAGCAGUGGGUGGUUUGAUGGAGAAAAUAGUGGGGAGUUGAGAUUUGGGAAUUAUCAAUUUAUUCUUCUAUUUUUUUUUUCAAAAAUUUUGUUUCUUUCCCCCUCAAAAUUUUUGACGUUAGUACUGCUUCUCUGCCGAUUCUUUCUUCCUCUUUCCCUUAUGUUUUGUUCAUUUUGAUUGGCUAUCACCUUCGCCUUCGUUAGUUUGAUUGUCGUCAUACAUUCCGGUAAGUGAAUCCUUGAUACUUUGUGAGUUGUGAUGCUAGAAUUUUUGACUGAGGUUGUAUUGACGUUAUUGACAACAUCAUAUCGAGAGGAUCAAGGCUCCCCUCGUGCUAUUUUGUAGUCAAUUGAUUCGUGGUGUUGGGGUAAGUAUUUGAGCACCUUAAAAGUGUUGCUAUCAGAUUCUCGAUUUUUGUUUUAUCGUAAAUUGGGAUUGAUUUUGGGGUUUUCUUAUGAUGGUUUUAGAUUUUGGUGAUCUUGGAAGAGUUUGGCAUCAAAAACGAACCUGGUGUGUACUCGAUUGCAUAGAAAUUGAGGUUUUAACAGAAGCUGAAAACCUUACUAUCAACGCCACACGGGCGUGUGGUCGCCCGUGUAGUAGGCCGUGUGACCUAACACGGGUAUGUGAUCACGAGGCCAGGCCGUGUGCAUUAGACACAGCCGUGUGAUGGCCAGAUAGGCCGUGUAUGACAUACGAGCUAAAAUGAUUUGGGCCGUGUGGGCCACACGGGAGUGUGGGAGUACACGGGCGUGUGGGAGAACACGGGCAGGCCAUAUGGGUGUGUAAGUCCAUUUUCACUAAAUUGAUUCUAAGGUUACACGGGUCACCCAACUCAACUGUGAACCUACUGUCGGGUUGGUAAGCAUCACUUAGACCCUUAAUUGUGUGAACUGACUGUUUGAUUUAUAUAUAUUGAGCAUGAUGAUAGUAUGCAUGUAUACUGAACUGGUUAUAUGUACUGAUAUCAUGAGACGACUGGUUAUCGAAUUCUUUGCGGUAAGUUUUUGAAUCAUUGUUGGUUUAGUUUCUUGAGUUCUAUGUUUGGGAUAUUUGGUUUGAUUGACAAAUCAAGUGAUUAAUUAAGGGAUAUAUUGGUCAAAUAUAGGUUUUUGAAGGCUCGGGUUACUUUGCAUAGCGAAUCAAUUUCAAGUGUGUACCUGAAACGUAGAAAACAGGAUUCGGCGAAAACCUAAAAUUGCUUGCUGUCGGGAAAUAAGAGAAAUAAGAGAAAAUGAUGCGGAAAAUUAUAGAGAAAGGAAAUAAGGGUGUUAUGAACUUGGAAAUCAACAUUUUGCACUAAAAUAGUUUUGGACAGCAGUAGUAGUCUAACUUUGAAAUAUCAUCAAAAAUAGUAGAAAUUGAAUUAGAGGUUUAAUAAAUUAUGAAAUUAAUUUAUUGAGUCUAGUUUUUCAUGGAAGAAAUAGUGUAAGCAAUGAAAUUGUAAAUUAUGAGAUAUAAUAAAUUUUGUGAGACAAGGUUAGAAUGAUUUCGGGUUCCCCUGUUCUAACUUUGGAAAAUCAUAAAACAAUAAUAAAAAAAUAAUUAGGGGCUUAAAUUUAUAUUUUUAAAUCCUUAAUGAGUCUAUUUUCAAGAGAAAUAAACGGAAACAUCAUCCAAAUUCCGUACUAAGAGAUAAAUAACGUUUAGUAAAGAGAGGUUGAAGCUGUCAAACAGCAGAAUAGGGAUAAAUUUGAAGAUUUUACUGUACUUAUUUGAUAAACUAUAAAUUCUAAAAAUUUUAUGGUAGAAAGGUAUUUGAGUCUAGUUUCAAAAACAUCAAGCAAAUCUUAAUUUGGAAUUUUGUAGUUCAAGAUAUAAAUAAUUUAGUGACAAUGACUCAAGUAGAUAGCUUUGAAUGAACAUAUAAGUAAAUAGUGAAAACAUAUAUGAAUAUUUAGCUAGCAUGAGUUACAUUAAAUAUGAAUCACACGGCCAAGGCCAAUUUGGGCUGUGUGGGCCAUACGGGCGUGUGAGUCCAUUUUUUUGAAAAGUUGUCUAAGGUUGCACGGGUCGCCCAAGUCGACUGUGGACCUACUACAGGGUCGGUAAGCCCUACCUAGACCCCUAUAUGAGUGAUCUGUCUGUUUGAUUUUUGUACCGAGCAUGAAUUAUGAUAUCUGAAUGUAUAUACUGUAACUGUAUAAUAGCAUGACAUUUUUUUAUGUUGCAUCAGCUCUACUAUAAAUUUCUGAUUAUGUGCCGCAUUUCAGUACAACAUGGUGUGUAGGGAUGGGUGGGUUUAUUUAAUCCCCACAUGGUGUGUAGGGAUGGACGAAGAUGGUGUGUAGAGCCUGAUGGGUAGGAUUCUGAUUUUCUGCUAUUGCAUAUUGUAUCUGAGAAGGGCCAAGGCCCUAAAUUAUAUCUGAGACUGUAUCCGAUUGGGCCAAGGCCCAAACUAAAUCUGUAAUGGGCUCAGGCCUUAGACUGUAAUUGAUUAUUUUCUGAUGUGUAUCUGUAUGUAUGUUUUCUGUGGGGAUUACACACUGAGUUUGCAAAAACUUACCCCUUUUUCUGUUUAAUCUGUAUAGGUAAUCCCUAAACUUAGGCGAUUGGUGCAGCGGAGGGCUCGACGGUGACCACCACUCCUGGUUUAUUACAACUUUUGAUUUUAUAUUAUCUUUGGGUAUUUAUUAUUGUAAUGUUGGUACUUUGGACUGUUUGGUUUAAAUUGGGAUUUUAUACUGUUUUUAUGGAUUUUUAAACUGCAACUCAACAAAACACGGUUUUUUUUUAAAAGCUAAGAUUUUUGGUUUUUUAAAAUAAUUGAUUUCCCAAGUUUAUGCUUAAAAGACAUGUUUUAAGGCAAAUCAGCUAGCUCACAUUUUUCUAAAUUAAAUAAAAGUUAAUUAACUGGAACGGUUUUGAUUUGUUAAUCCCGAUUUCAAACCCCAUUCCCUGUGGCAUCACUAGAUUCAGCCAUAACUCUAGGCCGGGUUUAGGGUGUUACACAAACCGUUACUGAUACUGAGAGGGGCUCAGGCUCAAAACUGUAUUGUGUCUACUAUUGUUUGUUUUCUGUGGGAUUACACACUGAGUUUACGUAAACUCACUCCUCUCUGUUUAAUGUGCAUAGGUGAUCCUUAGACUUGACGGAUCGAUGCAGUGGAGGACUCGACGGUGGCCACAUGUAUUUUAAACUGUUUUAACUUCAGCUUUGGUAUUUAAUUCUUAAUUAUUUUUCUAGGUUAAUUUUUUAUUUAAAUUGGACUUUUGGACUGUUUGACUUUAUGUUGGAUUUUAAACUGUUUAUGGGUUUUUAAACUACAAAGCUCAACGAACAAGCAGUUUUCUCUAAAACAAAAGGGGUUUUUCCUAAAAUGGAUGAAUUACUUAAUUAACUAGAUUCUUCAUAAAAUAAAUGUUUUAGUCUAAAGCUUCAGCAGCGAAUUAUGUUUUAAAACAAUCGACUAAAUGGGUAAGCAAUUUAUCAAAUCAAUAAGAGUAAUAAAUGAACACGAUUUUAUCGUAAUGAAUUAGUUUUCAAAAUUCCAUUCCAUGUGGCAUCGCUAAAUUCAACCAUAACGUCUUGGCCGGGUUUGGGAUGUUACAUAACUCAUCUUGAAUAGGGAGUUGUUCAACAUUGUCUUAUUGAGGUUCUUGAUUCACUUCUUAAUCAAUGAUAGGUAUGAAAACCUAAACAUCAUCAAAAGUGAUAGUUGGAACUGAGUUAGAAUUCAAGUCCUCCUUAAAAGCAAUGUCUCGAACCUUAUUUCUCCCUCCAAACUCAACAUCCUGAAAGAAUGUUGCAAUUCUCAUCUAAAAAAUAUUCCUAAUUGUGGGAUCAUAAAACUCAUAACCCUUAGAUCACUCAUAAUUUCCUUGACCCUUAUACUUUAUAGACAUCAAAGAAGUUAGAAAUGAUGUCAUUUCAACCUUAUCGUUUUUAGCAAAACGUUUCUUAAUUUCGUCAAGGAAACCUUGGCCUGAGUAAUCUUUUCAGAUUCAAUGCCCCUAAAGGCUUCUGAAAUGUUGUGCUUCAUGAUCAUUAGACUCAUGCAAUUUGAACGAUCCCACCGCUCAAAAUCUCUUUUAACAUAAGGGGUGUUUUCUGCAGUGAGAGGUGCGGGUUAUUCUUCCCUUAGUGCAAUGUCUAUGUUCAUACAGCCAAGCACUAUAAGUAAGUGUCUUUUCCAUUCAUUGAAAUUAGUCCCAUUCAGUAUGGGUACAGAAUUUAUAUUAGUAGAUAUUGUGGAACUAGAAGAUGAAUUAGCUGAAUAUAGAACAAAAAAUAAAUAAAAAUAAGCUCACAUCAAUAUUCAUAAGUAAACAUUAAAUUCAUGAUAAUGGCUAAUCGCAUCUCAAGGUACCAAACACAACAUUAAUAUCAAGUCUUUGGACAGUAAUAUUAACAGUAAGCGGUACCCUUGUUGUAGCAAUCAAACAUUGACAGUAAAUUAUGUCAAACAAUGAAUUAAUAUUUGGACUAACUUAUUGAUCACAUAAAGUAUCAUAUAAUUGUCACACAUUUAUUACCACAUAUGUCAUUGAAAUUCUGCCAAAUAUUAACUUACCUUUGGGUCAAUUAAUAAACACAUGAAUCACAAAAACAUAUAAUCAUCUUGAUAUUUUAAAUAAACUAAUCUACACAAAAGAGGUCACCUUUGGUGGCAUUUUGUUUCAACUAAUCUAUUUAAAAUAUUAUGCAUCCUUAAUUAAAACCUAAAGCCAAAAUUUGAAUUUAUUUGUUUCAAAAUAUUUCUCUUAAUUUCAUCUUUCAAUCAAAUUAAAAGAUAAUAGUAUAUAUAUGUAUAUAUAUUUAUCCCAAAAUAACAUACAAUGAUGUUGGCAAAUAUAAUAAUAGUUGAAUAAAUCAUAAACCGUAAACAACCUCACAUAAGACUUCAAAUUUAAACCAAAAUAACUUGAAUAAAGGUAAACUUCAUCUCAAGAAAUCGGAUACUCCAUUAAUGUUUUAUCUUUGGACAAAAUAUUAACUUGUAAGUGAUACAUUGGUGUAAUAACCAAACAAUGACAAUAACAACAUGUCGAACCAUAAAUCUUUCUUUGGGCCAAUUUAUUGCUCACAUGUAAAACCAAAAAAUUGUCACAUGUUUAUUACCAUAGUUGCACAUGUAAUAUUAUUAAUCUUCAUUUGGGCUGAUCUAUAUUAACAUAACUUAAGUUAUAUGCACACAACCUUUUAUAUUUUAAAAUAAAAUAAUUUAUACAAAAAAGAUAUCACUUUGGUGACUUAUUGCUUCAAUUAAAUUAUUAUAAAAAAUAUAUAAACAUGCCAAUAUUCAAAUUUAAAAUUUACCAAUAGUCAAAUGUCAAAACUAUUUUUUAUUGCUUUAUAGACUCCGAAAUAACCCAAAAUAAAGUUGUCUUAAUAAUGCAAUAAAAAAUCGAAAACCUUAAUCUUUGACUUUUUUUUUUUGGUUCCAAAAUCAUAUAUAUCAAAACCAAGCAGAAAUAAUGUAGUGGUUCAAAGCCAAAUAAUUAACAAGCAUAUGUAUUCAUAAAUUUGGCAUGGAAAAAAAACACCAAAGCAAUUCACGCAUAUACGUGUAUUCAUAAUUAAAUAGAAAAACUUAUCUAGAAUUUACCAUGUAAAUUCAAAGUUGUAUUUAUGAUUAAACAAAUAUUCACAUGAAUACUUGACAAAUAUUUUCAAGUCAUAAAUCUCAAAAACAAAAUCAUAAUAGUUGACAUACCCUAUAAUUCAUACAGUAGACCAUACCAACAUAAUUUAACUAAAUAUUAGAAAUAAUAAUAUGCUAAACCCAAAUAUUAUUCAACCAAGCUUAAAACCAAAAAAUAUAUAUGUUUAUAUCUUGGCAGCAUAGAUAAUUGAAAUUUAUCGACUAAUAUUAAUAAAUUUAAAAUAAGCAAUUAUGAAAAAAAAAUCAAAAUAAGCAGCAUAAUUGGUAAAAUUCAACCGUAACUAUUGAUGCAAAACUUUAAACAUGAAAAAUUAAUUCACCUUACACCACCACGAUGUCAGAUUUAAGAGCCAAUCUUAAUCAACAUUGUAUUCAAUUCUCCCCAAAUACUCAAAAGAACAAUUACAACAGAUUUUGACGCAUUUUCCUCAAAAUAAGCGUGUGAAAACAUCAACUAUAUUCAUACAUUAAACCAAUCAAACAUGCUUAUAUUAUAUAUGUAUAUAUAAUCGAGACACAUAUAUAUAUAUAUAUCGGAACAUAUUAUAUGAACUGAGCAUGUCAUACAUUGAAUCAAACAAAAAAUUUCUAAUGAGAAAAAAGAAUACGAGACUGCAGAAAUUUCAAUUGUGUACUCCAUGAACUUUACUAAAAAAAAAUUAUUGAAACUGUAUGAACAACACAAAAUUUUUAAUUUUUAAUUUUAGUCGGAUUUCAUAAAGACUGAAAUUUAUAUAAAAUAAUUAUAUGCAGAAAUCAAAAGUAAUCAUUUAUAUAUAUGAAAUUGAAUAAAAACAGAAAUACUAUAGAGUAUCAUGAAUAGCUUCUUUAUUAACAGAAAAGAAACCAAAAACUAUGUCCUCAACAGUCUGAGCUAAAGGAGUUUAUACAGAAUUUCUUAACUGCUUAAUAGCUAACAGCUAACCAUUUCUUAACAAACUAACUACUAACGGUUCAUUAGUUACAACAGGAACCAUUCCUUAAUACACAUAUAUAUAUCGAAACAUAUUAUAUGAAUUAAGCAUGUCAUACAUUGAAUUAAACAAAAAAUUGCUAAAGAGAAAAAAGAAUACGAGACUGCAGAAAUUUCAAUUGUGCACUCUAUGACCUUUACUAAAAAAAAAUUAUUAAAACUGUAUCAACAACACAAAAUCCUAAAAUUUUAAUUUUAGUUGGAUUUCAUAAGGACUAAAAUUUAUAUUAAAUAAUUAUAUGCAGAAACUAAAAGUAAUCAUUUGUAUAUAUAGAAUUCAAUUGUGAAUACAAUUCAUCAUGAAUAAAGAUAAAAGAUGAUAAUUCUAUAUAUAUUCAACCACAAUCUUGAACAGAAAUUUUAAUCAAAGUAAUUGUAUAGAAAAAGAAACCCACAAAUCAGUUUCAUACGAAAAAAAUCUUUUAAUAACCUUUAAACUGUAAAUCAGGAUCUAUCACGUCAAAUCAUCAAGAAUAAAUCAAGAACAAAGCUAAAUACGAAAGCGUACCUGAAUUCAUCGAUUUCUUGAAAUCUAUGAAUCUUGGGGUUUUGAUCUUCCAAAUUAGUACACAACUAAUCUAAAGAAUGUAGCUCUCUCUUUUCUAAAGAUGGGAUAUUAGAAAAGUUAGCUUGCUUGUGUGUAAUUUUGGGACCAUAACCCUAUAUAGAUAACUUUGGCACAUUAGCCCUAAUUCCUAAUUAGCCCAUCAUUAAUUAAAAAUUGAUUAGAACUUAAUUACUAGAGUAUCUGCAUAUAUUUGACCCAUAAUUUAUUUAAUGAUUAAAACCCAAUAAACCAUAACCAAAUUAGAUCACUUUUAAUUUGAGCUAGCCUAUUAUGAUAGUAAAUAAUAACAUGUAAUUACCCUUAUUAUAUAUGUGAUGUCCAUAUUUUCCAACAUACCCGAAUCUAUGUUACUUAAACUCGAGUGUAAGUGUCAGAUAUAGACGGUGUGCUAUAUGGAUAUUUUCAACUUUUUUUUCAAAGUUUUUCUAUAUAUUUAGAGAGUCUUUAGAAGAUCAUUGGAGAGAUAUAUCCUUAUACUCAUAUUCAAAUAUACAUCAAACAAAGAUAUUUCAAAAAAAUAAAAAUAAAAAUAAAGAGUUCAAGCAACAUACAUAUGAUUUGAAAAACAACAAGAAAGCUACCCUAGGUUCGGAUUAAUAGUGUCGAAGAUUUAAAAAGAAACUUUGCUACCUUGGAUAGUAAUCAGCUGCCAACUUUUCAAUUUGGGUUUCAAAUAUAUACACUUUUUGCACCAGCUUGCCAUCCUACAAGUUCAAAUCACUUUGUUUUAUGAUCAAACUUGAAAUAUCAUAAGAAAAUCAAAUACUAAAACAUGUAUAUAUGCGUUCUGCAAAAGGAUAAGCUUUUUGUACAUUAACUCAUCUCAACACUCUUUUUUUUUAGUUUUUAAAAUAACAAUUAAGCUUUGAAACAAUAAUAUCAUCAUCCUACUUCCUAUUGUUUCCGCUCUUACCUUCAUGUUCAAAAUUUUUAAAAAGAACAAAAAUAAAGAAGUUAAAUAUACCUACACAUGCUCAUAACUAGCACUUGCCUGAGUCUAAGUAACAUAUCCUUCAUCUAAGUUUCAGCAAAAUCAUAGAUAAGAUUUUAAGAUUGAAUAUAUUAUUCUCUGAAUCGAGGCAUAACAGGCGCCACACACUCAAAAGAUAGAAUCUCACAAAUAUACAAUGUUAUUAAUAAGUACUUGGAAUUCAAUUUAGCCAAAACUCUUUACAUAAAAAUUAUAGGAUCAUAACUCAAAAAACUUUUAUAAAAUUUGAUUUUAAAAUAGGUUUCGAGAUAUGUAGUAAAAUAAUUAACCUUAAAAAAACAACUUAAACUUUUAACAGUCUAGUAGUAUUGAAAAAAACAACUUAAACUUUUAACGGUCUAGUAGUAUUGAAAAUCUAUAAAAAUAAAAAUAAAAAUUGAAACAUCUUGAAUGAUUUAAUGAAAUGCAAUAAUAUCCAAAACUAUCAUUUUCCAGACUUCUCAUGUUCAUGAACAUAGUAAGAACCUGUAAAAAAUUAUUAUAAGAGGGAAUGAGUUUAACUAUUCAGUAAGUAAUAGGCAUUUCCCUUGGUUGGGUUAAGCAAACACAAAAACAUUUCGACCAAAUAUUUAGUAAAAAAUACAUAAUUGUAAAAUUUAUGGGUAAUUCAUAAUAAAUAAUUCAAAGCAUAUUUUGUGUCAAAACUGUAAUAAAGACAAACUAAUAAUUUUUGAAAUACCAAUCGACUCCUUUUUUAUAGCUAUCGUCACCCUUAACCUUGGUUAUAAAGGUCAUAGCCACAAUUAACCCCAACGGUAAUGGGUUGGAACAAAAGCCACAAUUAACCCCAGUGGUAGUGGAUUGAAAGAAAAACCACAAAUCACUCCAGAGGCCAUAGGUCAAAAACCACUAUUCUAAACCAGUAGAAUAGUUGAAAUCAAUUUUUAAGUAUAAAAUACAUGUCGACAUGACCAACAUUUAACUGCUAUUGGCAGUAUUGGAACAUAACAUUUUAGGAGCAAGUUCAAAAUUAGAAAAUUGGAUUAGUGUAAUGUCGUAAAAAUAUACAAAACAUACUUAACAUACAAAGAAAUCAUUCAAUAGUGUACUUUUUCGAAACAUAUCAUUUAUAUAUAUAACAAAAUAUAAUUUGAGUAGCAUAAGUAUACUAAAAAAACAUAGUUCGAUAACAUAUUUCUCUAUACUAGCAUGCUUAACUCAAUUUUCAUAAAAUAUGAACAAAAAUAUUAUAUAUCACAAAUAUAACAUAAAUUAUUGAAGACUGAUUUUUGGGGUAGUAAACACCAAAAGAAUGUUGAGUCACUUACCUAGUCUACUCAACCGACACUUCAGCAAAGAUUUUCAAAAAUCUUUUAGUAGCCUAAAAUUUUAGAAUGGAACUUGAAAAUAAAAAAAUUGAUCAAUUAAUUAGAGGCUUAAAAGGUACAAAUUUCUGUGGUGAUCCUAAGACAUUUCAGUUUUGCGACAAUUAACCUAACAAACUAACAAACUAAGAUACAAUUGUACAAUUUCAUUGAACUAUCUUUUAAAUCAAAAGUAAGUAAAUCUGAUUUAAUAAAAUACAUACGUAUUGUAAUAAAUUAAAUAAAUUAAUGAAAAUCAAUUUAGUAUGAUUUUACAAUCCAAUAAUAUGUAUUUGGAUGAAAAAUAUUUUCAAACAUAAUUAAAAAUCAAACUUUUAAUAUUAUGAAAGUCUAAACUUCAUGAUCGUUUGGUUAACUUGAAGUCGUUUGAACUAAAAAUUUACUUAGUAUUUUGGUAGUGUAAAAACAUGAAUUUAAAGAAUAAAUUAAAUACUGUAACACCCCAAACCCAGCGUAGACGUUAUGGCCGAAUCUGGCGAUGUCACAUGAGAGUGUUUUUGAAAACGCAUUGACCCUUAGACCGUUCGAGUUAUUAUCUUUGCUUAGUUCGGAAAAACACAUAUUAAUUGUCUUGCUUGCAUACAUUUCUUUUACGCGGAAGCUUUGAAAAAAAUAUCGUUUAUUAAAACCAUUUGUUUUUAGAAAGAAACCAUGUUUUCUAUCCAAAAUUUGAUCAUCUCAUGAUUGUCAUUAUGGAAUUCAAAAAGCAGUUUAAAAAAAAACGGGAAGUUAAAACCAAUGUCCAUAGUCCUUAAAUAACAAAACAAAACCCCAAAUAAGUAAUAACCAAAUAGUCCAAAAUUAUUACGAGUGGCCACCGUCGAGUCCUCCGCUGCACCGAUCCGUCUACUGCGGGGGAUUACCUGAAUAGAUUAAACAAAUAAAUGGUGAUUUUUUGCAAACUCAAGUGUGUACAUCCCCACAGUUUAGCAUGCAUACAGUCAGAUAACAGCAUAUAGUUAUAAUUCGGGCCUGAACCCUUUACAGAAUCGAUGUGGGCCUUAGCCCACUCAGAACAGAAUCAGACACUAACUUAGGGCCUUAGCCAUCUCAAUGUAGCAUCCAUAAUAGAUCAGAAUAACAGUAUCAUGCCCACCAGCCCUGUACACCAACUCCGUCCAACCUAACACACCAUGUGGGGAUAAAAUCGACCCACCUAUCCUUGCACACCGAAUAUGGGGAUAAAAUCGACGCAUCCAACCCUACACACCAUAUAGUAUCGUAGUGUGGCACAUGUCAUAAAUAUGUAGCUAAGUUGCCAGAUAACAGGCUUAUGAAGCCUUUUAGAUACUUCAUUCACUUCAUCAAACCCACCCCAAUGCAAUGCAUCAUACAAGGAUGGCAUUCUAUAAUGCAGAAUAACAAUCAUAUAUUCAUCUUCAGAACAAAACAAAUAUACAUGCUAAGUGUAACAUGGUAGUACAUACAUCACAAUAUCAAAUCACCGAAUCAAAGGUCUAAGUAAGGCUUACCAACCCUACGACAGGUCACAGUUGACUUGGGCGACCCGUACAACCUUACAGAACAUUUCAAAACAAUGGGCUCACACGCCCAUGUGGUCUACCCGUGUGGGCCCACACGGCCCAUAUUAACCUUGGCUGUGGAUCACACAGCUUGCCAAGAAUUCCACAUACCCGUAUGGGCCUACACCCCCGUAUAGCCCACACGACCUAAUUAGUCGAGCCCGUGUCUCGCACAUGGCCUCACUGGCCUUCACAUGGCCGUGUCUUUUGCCGAUUUCUCUUGUGCACGACCUGGCUCGUUGACCACACUCUCGUGUACUGCCACACGGACAAAUUCAUUUUUUGACUUUCACCCAUUCUAAUUUUAUGUGUUUUCGGAUACACAACUGGUAUUGUUUCGAAGCUAACAUAACCACGAGCACUCCAGAACCUAUAUUAAACAGUACGUCACUUAGUUAGUGACUUAAACUGAGUUACUAAGGAUAGAUAAAUCCCAAAAGUUAACAACGACCUUACCUCUUAACGAACAACGGUAGUUCCUCGCUGACUUAGAGCGCCGUUUUAGCAGUCCACAACACCUUGAUUGUCUCUUAAAUAGAAAACAAUCUCUUAACAACCCAACAUUCAUAAAAAUGAAACAAAACGUACCCCUACACUUACCGAAUUUGCGCCAAACGCAGAGAUAAGCAACAACGAUGGAAAAGGGCCAAAAAUCAAUAAUCAAAAAGAAAGAAAAUGGAAGCAAAAGGGAAAUUUCGAUUGGAAGAAAAGAAGAAAAACAAAGAAUAUGGAGAAGCGGAAAAAUUUACAGAGAAAAUUCGGCAGGGAGGGAGAGCAGAAUGUUUGGGUAGCUCUCAAAUCCCUUAUUUCGCUUCCACUAAACCACAUCUAUUGCAACUACCCAGUGUCCCAAACCAACUUAAACACUCCCACGACAUUUGCAGUAAAAUUAAUGCCUCCGCUUAGACUCGAACCCAAGACUUCCCUCACACCCAUACUCCACUUAACCACUAGACCAACAGGCUCAUUCUUGCUUAUUUUAAUAAACAAAUACUUUUAAGUCUAUUAACCAAAGGUAAGGCUUUAUUCAAAUAAAAACCAAAAUUUUUCCCAAGCUAAAGCUUGAACUUGGAACCUUUCACACACACCCAGAACACUUAACCACUGGAGCAGAUACACAGUUGUAUCAAAUAAUUAUGGAAACAUAUUUAUAAAAUUUGGGGCGUUACAGGCUGUGUUCGUUUAUUACUCUUAUUGAUUUUAGAAAUCGCUUACUCACCUAAUCGAUUGUUUUAAAACAUAAUUCAUUGCGGAAGCUUUAGCAAUCAUUUAUUUUGAGUAAAAUAGUUCAUUUUAUGGAAAACCUUGAUUAUUAGAAAAAUCCAAAUUUUGUUAAGUUUGAAGUUGAAAGCCCAUAAAAACAGUUAAUAUUUCCAAAGUUAAAGUAAAAUAGUCCAUAAAGUCUAACUACAUAAAAAUUCCCCAUAAUCAGUAAAACCAUAAACGAGAGUAAAGUAGUUUAAAUACAUGUGGCCACCGUCGAGUCCUUGGCUACACCGAAUCGUCAAGUGUGUGGAUUACCUGUACAUUAAAAACAGAAAAGGUGAGUUUACGUAAACUCAAUGUGAAAUCUCCACAGAAAACAUACAUACAGUCAUUCACAAUCAAACAGUCAAAUGUAGUCUGGGCCUAUGCCCAUCUUAGUCUUAGUAACAGUCCGGGCCUUAGCCCAUUUCAGUUUAGUAUCAAAUAUGCAUAAGUGCUUUAGCCCACCACAGUAACAGUAAUGCUAUUAGUAUCAAUGAAUAGAGUCCUACCCAACCAGCCUCUACACACCAUCUCCGUCCAACCUUACACUCCAUAUGGGGAUUAAAUCAACCCACCCAUCCCUACACUCCAGGUAGUACUGAAUGUGACACAAAACAGUAGUUUGUAGCUGAGCUGCCAGUAUAUUAGGCUUAAGAGCCUUUCAGUACACUUUCUCCAAAUAAAACUAACCCAACCUCAUACAAUGCAACAUAUAAUGGAAUGUCAUGCUAUCACAGAUCUAUCAGAUACACAUACAUUUCAGUAUACAUGCUUAUAUUUGUAUAACAUGCUCAGUACACAUUUCACAUAGUCAAUUUAGCGCAGAUAAGGGUCUAAUUAGUACUUAUCAACCGUAUGGAAGGUUCACAGUCGACUUGGGCGACCCAAGCAACCUUAACAAACAUUUCAGUGAAAAUGGGCUCACACGUUCAUGUAGCCUACUCGUGUGGGCCCACACACCUGUGUGGCCCACACGACCCAAAUUUGCCUUGGCCGUGUGAUGGCUCAAAAUCCCACACGCCCGUAUGGACCCACACACCCGUGUAGCCCAUACGGCCUAAAUCAGUCCAGCCUGUGUGUCACACACAACUUACCUGGCCAUCACCCGGCCGUGUUUAGUGGGUACGACCUAGCCUCGUCAAUCACACGCCCAUGUUAGGGCACACGACCUACCACAUGGGCGACCAUACGCCCGUGUGGCGUUGAUAGUGAGGUUUUUGACUUUUAUCGAAACCUUGUUUUAUGCAUUUCUGGGUACACACCUGGUAUCGUUACGCUGCAAAACAAUCUCGAGCCUUCCAAAAGCCUAAAAACAAAAAACCUAUCAACGAUUUAGCAAAUUUACUAACGAAAUCGAUACAAAGGGAGCGAUACAAAAUUCACUUGCCACCCACGACAGUUACUACUAACACGUUCUAAAUCAUUGGAGUUCCAACGGAGGGUUCCCCGUCAGUCCCUGCACAUAAUGAUCUUAUCAAAUUACUAUCCUCGAAAUAAAAAAGAUGUUGGAAAAAGCAGUCACUUAUCAAACAAGUGCAACACACGUUGAAUGAAAGGAGUCAAUUUUGGAAACUGAAAUAAGAGGAGAAAGCUAGAUACGUUCAGUUGAUGAGAGGAAAAGCAAUAAGUCGGAAAUAAUGGCAGAAUUUUGGGGAUUUGGAGAACGUUAAACGUCCAAAAAGAAAAAAUAAAAUAAAUAAUAAAAAUUUUGGAUAUAAUGUUUCCCCUAAAAUCCUCCCCUACUAACCCCUCAAUCACAACUACUUCAGCUUUUUUGUCCAACUCAAACACCCUUUCAACCAACCAAGAAAAAAUAUAAAAAUCCCGGCCUACACAAGGACUUGAACACAGGACCUCUAGCAACUUACACUUCACUUACCCAUCAGACCAGCAAGCCCAUUCUAAUAUGUUAUUACAAGUAAUUAAAUAUAAGCCUGCUGAACUAGUAAGGCUUAAGUCAGAAAAAUACCAUAAUUUGCCAAAGCUAGGGCUUGAAUUUGGGACCUCUCACACACACCCAAAAUACUUAACUACUGAAGAAGAUACACAAUUGUGACAAAAUUUACCAAAACCUGAAAAACAAAUUUUUGGGGCGUUAGAAAUACUAAAACUUAAAAACCUGUUUCACCAAAUUUGGUUACCAAAAGCCUUAUUUUAAAAAGCCAAAAUAUAAGAAUUUACCACAAACUAUCCAAAUUUUUUAGGUUAACAGUUUCAAGUAGCUUACUUUGGCUUUCAUAUCUUUCAACAUAAAAAUCAUAUAACCAAGAUAUUAAUACCAAAUGAAAGUUAAUAACUUCAUACUAUGAAAAACUUAUAAAGUUUGAAAUAAAUAAACAUUUAUAGAUAGAUUUCUAGUGUGUCAAGGUUGGUUAUAUGAAACUAUCAAACUCAUAUGAAAAAAACUUCAAAAAUUAUUUUCUUCUAAUAUAAUUGAUCAAAAAGGAUGCCACACAUACCAUUUUAAAGAUCUUGAAGAGAAAUUUCAUUUGGUACCAAGAAUGUUGCCAGAAUCUCAUUCGGAAGUCAAUGGAAUUUGACAAACUAUAAACUAACCCAAAUGAAAUACAUGAGUUUUAAGAAAAAUAGCUUAAAACCAUUGACUUAGAAAAACAGUGUAAAGUGAUUCUAUAUUUUCUUUUCCUUCUAUUCUUUUAUUUAAAAAAAAACCUAUAAAAUACAUGUAAUGACUUAAAAGUUAGUAGUGUCUAGAAAAUACAGUUUCGGGAUCUCGUUCCUGUAAACCAAACCCGUAAAUAACUAUUUAUAGAUUUAUGUUAUAAGUGAAUUGAACAUUGGAUAAGUAAUUUAGCCUAAUUAAUGAUUAAUUAAGGUACAGAGACUAAAUUGUAAAAAAGUUAUCACUGGAGGUUUUAAUUAAGAAAUGAGUUGAGGACCUAAAUUGCAAUUCAACUAAGAAUUAAAAUGGUAAAUAUAUCAUCUUAAAAAUAAUAGUGGACAACAGGGAGUUUGGCCUAAUAUAUUGAUUAAAAUAAAUUUUUUUAUGAAAUUUAAGUAAAAAAAUUAAUAUUAUAUGAAUAUUAUUAGAGAAAUGGAGGAAGAGAUGAACAUAUCAUUUUCUUCCUCACUUACCCAAAACAAUAAAGAAAGAAAAAAGGCUUAAUGCAAUUUAGGGUUUUUAGAAGCUUUAGCCUUAAAUUCAAGUAAGUCAUUUCUUGUAAUUUUUAUGUUUUUGAGAUCAUUGGAACUUAAUCUAGCUAGCCCAUGUAUUAAUUUGUUAAACUGUUAAAUUUUAGAAGGUUACCAUUGUUGAUUUCUUGGAAAUUAAGGUGUUAAACUCAAAGAUUUUUAACUUAUAGGUGAAAAGGGACUAAAUUGUGAAGUUAUUUGAUAAUUUCAUACAUCAAAAACUAAACUAAAUAAAUUGUAAUAUUGACUUUUGAAAUAAGAAAUAGGAGGUCCCUAAUGGAUUAUAAUGAAAUUGGACUUCAAAUUGGAGUUUUAAAUUGAAAGUUAUGCUAGUCUCGAUUUUAGGAACUACAUUGAAUACAAUGUAAAAUUUGUAUAAAAUGAUGAUUGACUGUGAAAUUGAUUGAAUCUUGAAGACAUUGUAUGCUUAUUUUAAUUCGUAGCUAACGUUGUGUAACGCCCUAAAUUUUGAGGCUAGAAGUUUGGAGUUUUGGUGGCUAGGGUCUAAGUGUGAGGUGUGCUAUUGUGGUUAGUUGCGUGAUUAGAUGACAGAAUAGGUCUGUUGGUCUGGUGGUUAGUUGUGUGUUUGUGUAUCUCUAGGACGCAAGUUUAAGUCCUUGUGUAUGCGCUUUGGAGGAAUGUUUUUAUUAAAUUGUUUAGUUUUAGUUAUUUAUUGAUUUUAAUUUAUUUUUUAUUAUUUUUCAUUAUUAUUUUAUCUUUUGUUUUAUUUUUUGUUUCCUUUUCUUUUUCCACGUUCUUUUUCUUUUCUUCUUUUUUGGUUUUGUUUUUCUCUCCUUUUGAAACGGUGGUGUUACGGUUCGUGAAGAGUUUCUAUUUCUAGUCAUCGAGUUGGCAUCGGGAUGUUUUCGAUCAUGAAACAGGUGUGAGUUCAUAUCUUCUUUAGCUUUAAUUGUGAAUUUUAUUUCGACUUCAUGAAAAGUCGACAUCGUGUGUGUGAGUGUUCGUAACUUGUUAAUUCUGAUGUUGUAUCGUUGUGUAAAUUUUCGAACUAUCGAGGGUUGGAGAGUGCUUCAUGACUGGAAGCACGUUUUUUAGGGCCAUUUUAAGGUGGUUUCAUGACCACAUGGGAGGCCACACGGGUGUGUGCCGAUACACACGGCUGUGUGUUUUUGGAAUUUAAGGUUUUCAGGCCAAUUUGAGCGCCACAGGGCCGUAUGGCCAAUUUGGGGUUUUUGUCAUUUUUUACACGGCCAUGUCCCUUGGACACAUGGGCGCGUGUGUUUAGGAAUUAGGGUUGAGUAAUUUGGUGCCACACGGUCGUAAGGUUAAUUUAGGGAUUUAAGGAUCACACACGGACGUGUGUUUUUGACACACGACCGUGUCUGGUGGGCACACGGGCAUGUGAGACCCUCAUAUGGCUGUGUCUUCCCUGUACUUGAUUUUAGCAUAGUUGGACAGUGAGUUACACAGCCUAUUCACACGAUCGUGUCCCUGGUCCACACUGGUGUGUACCUCAGCCAUAUGGCUGUGUGCCUUCCCGCACACGGGUGUUUUAACCCCCAUACGGCCUAGGUUUUUCCACACGACUGUAUGGUUCUAAGACACUAAGUGUUUAGAUUGUGAAUGUUUUUGUUUUGAAAGGUGUCUGUGUAUUCCGACCCCUGGCUAGUCUUUAGUGAGGGUCUAUAGGACUCUGAUUUGGCUUCUGUUUAUGGGUUAAUUAUGACUAUUAUGUGAGGUGUUCAAUUCUGAAGCUAGUUUGUUAGGUGUGUGUGUGCAUAUUGAAAUCAGUCUAUUUAUUUGUUGACGUGUUCAUUAUUUCUGUGAGAUUGAAUGCAUUCAUACACUGCAUAAAGUGUUUUGGGUGGGAUUGCAAAGAGAAGGGAGGUUGAUUCUGAUCUGAUCUAGCAGUUUUACUGCAAAAUAAUCGUACAGUGGUUUACCACACUGUACCGUAUGUACGUCAGCUUUUCUGCGUACCAUAUUUUGAUUUGGCAGUUCUACUACAAUUUGACUGUACAGCAGGCUACCGCAUUGCACUGUACGAUGUAUAUGUUAGCUCUGCUACAUAUUAAAAUCUGAGUGGCUUAGUCCACAUACAUGGUGUGUAGGGUUGGAUGGGCCCUCGAGGUCCUAUGUGAUGUGUUAUGGUUGAAUGAGCUUAAACAGCUCUUAUGGGGUGUGAUCGGGGGACAGAGAGGUGUGUUGGCUGGAUGGGUGAGUUUUAUCAUUUGACUGCAUUGCAUCCGUUUCUGUCUAUGAGUUCUGAAUGUAAGAUUGGUUGUCUGUAUUCUAUGUGUCUGAACAACAUUUGAGCUGGGUCUAUUGUGUGAACUUGGUGUGCUCUGAUUGUUAAUUUCUAUUAGGACAUUAGUUCCAAGAAUGCUUUCUGGCUCUGUGAGUAUCUGAAAAUCUAUUCUGCUACUGGAUUGAAUUUUGUAAUUCUGUCUCUUGUAUUGUUUCGAACUCACACUGAGCUCAUGUAGCUUACCCCUUUUUAGUGUUUCCCUUUCAGGUACCUUUUCUAAAUUCCGAUGUUGGGCUUGGCAUGCGGAGGCCUUGGACAGUUUUCGCGGAAAAUAAAUUAUCAGUUUGUGUUUCAAUUCUAUUUGUUAUUCAGUUUUUGAACUGUAAGAUUUUAUACAACUAUGGUACAAGUUCUAUUUUAAGAUUUAUUCAUUUUUAUUAUUUUCGGUUUGAUAUAUUAAAUUUAACUGAAAUUCUACAGAUUGAACUUUAAACGAUUAAAUGUUUUGGUUUGACGUGAUAACUUAGUUUUUUUAAAAUUUACUUAUGAUCACUUCGGUGAUCAAUAUGACAUCCGAGAUUCGGUCUAAACUUCUAGGCCGGGUUUAGGGUGUUACACGUUCAGUCAAAUUCCUCAAGAGGGAAGGGAAAAACUAAAGCCGUCGACGAAUGGCUCAAAGUUUUCAGUUUGUAUUUCUACAAUUCGAAUUGUUUAAAUUAUUGCAUAACUACAUAGUAUAACACAGUAAGAUAUUGAUGUGAGUUGGGAUUGAUCAGUUGAUUUGUGUUGGUAUGGAAAUGUUGAUCUUUAAAAUGAAGGACUAAAAUGAAUAAAAGUGAAAAUAGUGUAAAUUGAUGAAUGUGAAAAUUGAAUUGGAUUUGGAUUGAUUCAGUCUAUUAUAUGAAUAAAAUUAUUAUUUGAUUGAUGAAUUGAAUAUGAUAAAUUGUGAAUAGAUUAUAAUUGUAAAUUGAAUGGUUAUUACCCCUAUUAACUAUAUGAAAAAAGUCGGAUAUAAUUGGUAUGCCAUAGGAUAGAUUGAGUACGGGUUAGUACAAGUUAUUUCGACCACAAGUCGAUGAGUACUAGGCACAUUUAUACUUUGGUUAUACUGAUAAGCAUAGGGCACAACUUAAUUACUUCGGCAUCGUCCGAUGAGGCAUUGGGUGUCAAAUUGGUAUGUUGGUUGGAUUCACGUAUCUGUUUAAGUACGAGUCAGGUUAAUAGUGACUUAAAAUAAAAAUGUGAAAAUAAUAUUUGAAAUAUUAUGUGAACCGGAUUGAAAACUAGAAGAUUAGUAUAUGGUGAAUGAAUCAAUUGACCCUAUUUGUUUAAUGUUAUUGUUCCCAACUUAACCUUUGUUGUGUGGAUUGAAUCAUAUGAUAUAGAUGUUGUAAUUGAUAGCAUGAUUUGUAUACUAUAGCUUUACUUGCAUUGAUAUUUGAUUUGUUGAAAUACAAUUGAGUUUAUUACUCAUUGUAUGGUUUUGCUUUCUGUGUACAUGUUUGGUUAAUACUAGAUCUUGAGUAUCGACAUCAGUAUUUAGACGAAAUCCCAAACUCAGCAAAGUUGGUGAUAAUUUUUUUGUUAUUUUUCGCAUGUACCUAGUGAAGUCUUUUAUAUUUUUUUCUAUGUUGUGAUGUUUAAUUUAGAAUAUGGGUAAUGGCAUAUAACUAUGUUUUGCAAGUUGGUAUUUGAAGUGGUAUGUCUUGAUUUUUUGUUAAAUAUUAAAAUUUGAUAAAUUAGAAAUAUGCAAGAUUGAAAUGGGAAUAUAGUAUGAAUGAGUUAGAAUGUUAAGAUGAUAUAAUUGAAUGGUGUGAUUAAGUGAUUAUUUAGUGAAUGAAUACUUUGGUUGAUUGAGAAAUGGUUGGUUUGGAUGUGAAGUACAUUUUGAAUUGGUUGUGCUGGUUUUUAAGUGUGCAUUUAGGCACCAAACUGAAUAGGUUUUGUUUAGACAUGUAAUAGGUAUCAAAAUGGAGGAUUUUGACAAUUUUUGGCACUAAAGUACUGAUAUCUUGGUAAAGGUAUCUAUAACAACCUGAUUUUUAGUGGUAUCAGAAACAAUAGUUUCGAGACCAUAAUUCCAACGUAAUAAUCCAUAAAUAUUAUUUAUUUAAUAUUUACAAGGUCUUUAAUGUAGCACCUAAAAUUCAUAUUUCUGUUUCUGGAUAAAUUUGACAUAACUGUAUAUCUGCUUCAGUGGUUAUGUGUUCUGGGUGUGUGUGAUAGGUCCCAAGUUCAAUCCCUAUCUUUAGCAAAUUUUGGUAUUUUUCUGUCUUAAGCCUUUAUCUUGCUCAAAGGGCUUAUAUUGAAUUAUUUGUAAAACAAAAUCAAAAUGGGCCUCCUGGUCUAGUAGGUAAGAUAUGUGUUGGUGUAUUGAAGGUCUGGAGUUUGAAUCCCUGCGGGAGUGUGGGAGAUUAUUUUUACUCUGUUAACGGUGAGAGUUUCAGUUCAGUUGAAAUUCUGUGGAAGUUAUGAGUAGUGGGGCUAGAGGGGAAAAAAUAAGGGAUUGUGAUCAAGUGGGGGUUUCGAUUUAUCUUUUUCUUUUGAUUAUUAUUUUUUUAUUAUUUUAUUUUUUCUUUCCCAAAAUCUUGCUACAUCUUUCUGACGUUUUUCUCUCUUCUGCCUGCCACUUCCUAUUUUGUUUUCCUCAAUUUCUAUUCAAACAAUUGUUCAUCUUAUUUGUUAGGGCUCGAAAAUUGCGGUGGUGCAUAUUUCAUUUUGGUAAGUUUGUAGUUUGCCCUUUUGUUUUUCGUUCUCUUGAAUGGGGGUUAAAGUGGUGGUUGUGCUGUAUAGAAAAAGACCGAGGAACUGUGGAAUUCGUUUCAAUAGCCUAGUUCGUUUUAGAAAUCCCUGCUCGUCGACGGUAAAUGUGUAAAUGUUGUCCUUAAGUUUCGUCUUGGAUAAGUUCCGUUGAGUUUCGUAUUAUCGUCACUGAUUGUGGAGUUUGGAUUGUCAAUUUUUAGGUUUCUGAAGGUUCGAGAGUAUUUUCGCUGUGAAACAGUACUAGGUGUGUACCCAAAAACGCAGAAAAUGGGGUUUUAGAGAAAGUUAAAAACCCCACUGUCGAUGCCACACGAGCGAGUGGUCACCCCUGUGGUAGGCCGUGUGCCAUAACACUGGUGUGGGAUCAACGAGGCCAGGUCGUGCGCACAAGACACGGUUGUGUGAUAGCCAGGUAGGCCGUGUGCAACACACGGGCUAGACUGAUUUGGGCCGUGUGGGCUAUAUGGGCGUUUGAGUCCACACGGGCUUGUAGGUCCACACGGGUAGUCUACAUGGGCGUGUGGAAUUCUGGGCGAGGCCGUGUGAUCCACACGACCAAGGCCAAAUUGGGCCGUAUGGGCUACACGGGUGUGUGGGCCCACACGAACAGGCCACAUGGGCGUGUGAGCCUAUUUAACUGUAAUGUGUUCUAAGGUUGCACGGGUCGCCCUAGUCGAUUGUAAACCUACUAUAGGGUCGGUAAGGACUACUUAGACCCUUAAACGCGUGAAUUGAAUCUAUGAUAUAUGUACUGAGCAUGAUGAUUAUAUGAAUGAAUACUAAACUGUAUGUGUAACUGAUAUUCAUGUUUUAGCAUGUCAUAUACUGUAUGUUGUAUUGCAUUGGGUUGGGAUGUUGAUAUUUGGAGGAAGUGUACUGAAAGGCUCUUAAGCCUAUUAUCUAGCAGCUCAGCUGCAAUUUACUGUUUAUGUGCCAAAUUUGGUACUACUUGGAGUGUAGGGAUGGGUAGGUGUUUUAAACCCCACAUGGAGUGUAGGGAUGGACGGAGAUGGUGUGUAGAGGCUGGUUGGGUAGGAUUCUGUUUACUGAUUAAUGUAUAUUUGAUACUGUUACUGUGACGGGCUUAGGCCCUAAUGCAUAUCUGAUACUGGAACUGAAAUGGGCUAAGGCCCAAGCUGCUACUGAAACUGAAAUAUGCUUAGGCCCAAACUGUAUUUGACUAUUUGUUGUGAUUGACUGUAUGUAUAUCCUCUAUGGGGAUUACACACUGAGUUCACAUAAACUCACCCCUUUCUGUUUUAUCUGUAUAGGUAAUCCCUAGACUUAGACGAUUCGGUGCUGCGGAGGACUCAGCGGUGACCACAAGUCUAGUGAACGGUUUUAAUUUCUUUAAUGGUUUUAAUUCUAUUAGUUUUUGGGAGUAUUUUUGUUGUAAUUUGGACUUUUGGACUAUUUGCUUUUUUUGUUUUAUUUUACUAUUUUCAUGAAAUUUUGAACUGCAACGAAAACUCAAUUUUAAUAAACACAUUGUUUUCUUAAAUGUCAACGAUUUACUCUAAAUAACACGUUUUUUUAAAGUUUCCACUACAGAAUAUGUUUUAAUCGAAUCAAGUCAAUGAGAAAAUGAUUUUGAAAUUGUCAAGAGAUAAAUAGAAGCUAAUAAACAGAGACGAUUUUAACUUGAUAAAUUCGUUUUCAAAUUCCAUUUCAUGUGACAUCGUCAGAUUUGACCAUAAUGUCUAGGCUGAGUUUGGGGUGUUACAUUUAAGGUCGUAUUAAAUUUUAGUUAGAAUUUUUUAUCGUUUAGAUAGUUUAUUAAGUAAAAAGGACUAAAUCAUAAAAGCUACAAAAGUUGAGUUAUUUAAUUAAAUGGGCUAAAUGAAUAAUUUAACCCAUGGGAGUUAAGUUAGUGGAUUUAAAUGAUUAUAGGCAUAUGUGGAUAGUUUAAUUAGGCUUAAUAUUGAUUAAUUAAGAUUUAAUUAAGAAAGUUGAAAUAUUUAAAAAAAACCUAGGUAUAUAUAUUAAAUUAAAGCUAAAUUAAGAUGAUAUUUUAUUUUCCUAUUUUCUACUCAUAUUCUCCACAACAACAAAGCCAAAGCUAGGUUUUUUCAUGCUUGAAAUUUUAAAGCUUAAAUUGGUAAGUGAAACUUAGCCUGUUUUUAGUAAUUUUUAUAUUUUUGAGCUUAUAUUAGCUUAAUCUAGCUAACCAGAGGACUAAUUUGUGAAACUGUUAAAUGUUUUGGGUUGUACCAUUGUUGAGUUUGAGUUAUUCUUUAAAUUUCUUGGUAGAUUAUUGAGUUUGGUUGUUAGAUACGACUAUUUCGUAAAGUAGUUUCUGAUAUUUUAAUGUUAAAGGACUAAACUAUUAAAAUUGAUAAACUAUGAGGAUUCGAUGUGAAUUAACAAAAAAUAGGAGUUUUAAAGUAGGCCUAAUAGGUUCAGUCAAGGUGGGCUUUUAAUAAAAAUGGUUAAUUUGCAUGUUUGGGGCCUAUGGACUAAAUUGAAUAAAAGUGUAAUGUUGAGGGAAAUUUUGUAAAAAUGUCAAAAAGGACUUAAUUGCAUAAAAUGAAUUAGUUUUGCUGUUGAAUUAUUUAAUUGAAUGAAAUUAUUAUUCUAGAUCAAGAACGUGUUAAUAAUCGAAGAAACGACAAAGCAAAUGAGUAGUCCCUAUACUUUGGCCAUUACUGCAAAUUAGUCCGGUAAGUCCAUCCAGUUUAAUUUUAAAUAAAUUUAAAUGUAUAUUAGGUGAAUUAAUUACUUUGGUUGAACAUUACAAUGAUAUCAUGUAUAUAAGGUUGAAUUAAGGGAUUGUUAUAACAUUGAUCAUUAAUGAAAUGUUCUAAGCCGAUAAAUGUAGGAUAGAGUACAAUUGGCAUGCCAAUAGGUUAUAUUGCGCGCGGUACGGGGUUGAUAUGAGUAGUGGAGAUGGUUUUUGUAUAUUCUCUGUUCACUGGAUAUGUUGAGGUCUUGCAUUUGUUGCGGACUUACGUGGUAUAUUACAGUACUAUUUAGUGUACUGGAUGGUUUAGCUCAUACGAGCAUUUGGUAUGCUGGAUGGAUUAGCUCAUACGAGUAUCUAGUGUGCUAGAUGGAUAACGUGUACUCGUAUUCAUUUAUCGUUCAUCAGGCCAUGUUUAAUGAUCUCUGAUAGUUAUUAAAAUGUGGAACUGAUUGUACUUUUAUAUUGGGUUUUACUCACCUGUUGUGAGUUGUGAUUGACAGGAACUUUGUUCUUUAAUCUGAUUAUUUGAAUUAUUAUGUUUAAUUAGGUAAGAUUUAUUGUUUAAUUGAUGAACUUACUAAGCACCACGUAAGUUUACUCGUCUUUUAUUUUUUCUUGAAGAUUACAUUUUGUGACGGGAGGUCGGAUCAACCCGCAUAAUCACACUAUCUCGAGGAAUCUUUGGUAGAUUUUGUAAACAUUUUGGUUAUACGACAUGUAAUAGGACAAAUGAUUAUGUUUGUAAUGUUUCCAAGCUAUUUGUGGUGUUUUGGCAUGUUUGAUGUUGUGGAAUGGUAACCUUAUAUAGUAUGCUUGUUAAACUCAAAGUUGAGCUUGAGUGUUUGUCCAAGGAAUGGCAAGUAUCAUGUUUAAGUAUGAUAUGAUUAGAUUGAGAUAGAUUAGUUGGUGUGUAUGUUUUGACUUGUAGGUGAUAUGAAAUGAUAAUGUUUGGGUAUGAGCAUUAUUUUGUAUCUUCAUUUAUGAAACUUUGGUUUGGUCUUAGGUGGUUGAAAUUGGUAUGUUUUGGUUGUAUUUAGGUAUGGUUAUAGUCUUGUGAUCAUGUGUUAUGAAUUGGUUUAGGUACCUAUGUAAUUGGAUGAAAAGUAAGCACGGUUUUGGUCACUUUUGGGUAUACACGGCCUUGGAUACGGGCUGUCACAAGGUCGUGUGUCAUAUAUAGGUGACCUACACGGGCAUGUGCCCUUAGCGUGUUAGGUGCAGGGUUCACACGCCUGCAACACGGUCAUGUGACACAAGUCAGAGAGUUACACGACCCAUGCACACAGGCUUGUAUGAUCACACACGGAUGUGUGGGAUAACCACAUGGCCAUGUCUGGAGCCACACGGUCUAGGCUCUGUCACAUGGUCUGGACAUACGGCCGUGUAACCCCUGUUUUGGAAAAUUUUUAUUUUUGUCCCAAAUCUCCUGUUUUGUUCCGAAUUGGUCCCCGAUUGCUUCUAAGACCCAUGAAUGUAUGUCUUCCUUCAUUUUGAAUCAUUUAUGAAUAUUGUUAAUUAAUUUGAUGAAUUGAAGUUUAUUGUUAUACAAUUUCCAAAUUGUAUGGUAAUAUUCUGUAACCCUCUUCUGAUGACGGCAACGGGUUAUGGGGUUACAAUAUUGAUACUUAGCUCUUUUCAAGCAAAUUUUCAAGAAACAGAAUCUCAAAACAGUAUCAAUAUCGGACUAAAGUAUUAAUAAUUUAUACUAUAGUAUUGAUACUUUACAAGGGUAUUGAUGUGAUUGGUUUUGUUCAUUUUUGCUUUUGGCAAAACAUCGAACCUUAAAAUGGUAUUGAUAUCAAGGUAUUGGCAUCAAUACUUAAAAAUAAGCAUCGGUACUGUAGUCUUAGUAUCAAUACGUUUUGAUUUAAAUUGAUUUUUCAGAACAUCGAAUCUAAAAACAGUAUUGGUACCUAUUAAGGAUAUCGAUAUGUUAUUAGAAACUUUGAAAAUUUUGCAAGUUGGUUCUAUUUUAGGUUCAUAUUAGUAAUUGAGUUUUCAUAAGUUCUAUUGAGGCUAUGAAAUGUUUGUUUAAUGUAUAAUAUUUGUAUUAUGAAGAGUUUGAGUGUUCAAAUGAUCUUAAAUUCAGUAUUUUCGAUGGUAGUUACUCUAACAACAAAUGUGAUAUUUUGUUACUCAAACCCAACGAUUGAAUCAAGUAUCGAAGUGUUACAAUACACAUAAAAUUGGGCUUGAUAAAAAUGGGCUAAUGGACCAUAUAAUUAAUUGGGAACUUAAAAUAAUACCCAUUUAAAAAUUUUGGGUAUCAUUCAUAUAUAUAUAUGUUCUAUAGCAAGGUAUACUUACAAAUUUGGAAAGUUUAAGUUCUUGGAUAGUUCUAAUGCUGACAAAUGGCACCAUUGGUUGUUUGACACCUCAGCUUUUUAAAUAUUAUGAUUAGUGGACCCAUUAGUAUUUAAUAAAUUAAUUUAAUUUUAAUGUUUUAAAUAAAUACUAGUUUUUCUAUAUAAUAAUUCAUGGAGUUACACCUAUGAUAGUUAAUUUUGAAAUCAAAUAAUUAUAUUUACAUUUAAAGUUUACAAAAUUUAGUCACUUAUAUUAUAAUUUAGCCAAUAAAAGUAAGAGAUUUUUAACCCUAAUUUUAGUCUGUCAAUUCUCCAUAAGAUUAAUUAUUGAUCUUGGAUGCUAUAAAAGAAAUUAAACAAAGAAAAAAUUGAAUUAUAAAAUUAAUUAGCAACAUCAAAAUUUGCCAUCAAUUUUAGGUUUUCAAAGAAAUAGCAAACUAUUUUUUUAUAUUCUACUAUUAUUAAUACUACAUGUAACUAUUUAAAUUAGAAUUAUUUUAUACUCACUAAAAUUUCUAUGUACAAUUACAGCAAAAACAAUUUUAAUUUAUUAAAUAAUAAAUUUCAAAAUAAAAUAGCAUAUAUUAAAGCAUGCUACAUAAAUCAAUAAAUAAAAGGGAAUUACCAACCUUUUCUAUAACGGUUAUGAAUAUCAUUAGAAAUUAAUGAAAAUUUAUUCCUUAAUUUCAUACCUUAAUUUUUGCAACCACAUAUUUAACUUAAAUAUCCAAUUAGUUCUACUUAUCAAUAAAUUAAUUCUUUGCAAGUCUUAACCUAAAGGAAAACACUCUACAACCAUUUUAUAAUUCAUGUCACAUCUCGAAAACCGGGUUGGAAGAAAUUGGGUUAGUGAAACCCAGAGGGGUCACAUUAUGAUUUUUAAGUUAAGAUUCUGAAAUUAUGCUAAGUAAUUUGCUUUAGUUAAGAGGUUACUGGUUGUACUUGUGUGAGGAAGGUUUUGGGUUCGAAUCCUUUCGCUUGUAUUUUUGCCAAUUUGUCUAAAUACCUAGUUUUUGGUAUUUGGUUUAAGAAAUAUUUGAGUGCAUCUAUUAAUGAGAAUGAGCUGUUAGUUUGGUGGUAAGGUGAUUGUUAACUUAUUUUUUGGUCUUGUGUUUGAAUACUUGUGUGUGCAAGUGGAAAUUAUUUUUAUUUUGAACUAUGAGGGAAUCUAGUGGGUGGUUAUUUGUGGGACUUAGUGGGAUGUGGAUGGUUAAUUAUGGGACUUAGUGUGAUGUGGGUGGUUAAGAAAUUAUCCCAAAUUGUCUCUCCCAUUCUCACGUUCUUUUCUUCCCCUCUUUCCAUUUUUCUUCUUUCUUUUCUUUUAUUUUCUUUUCUCCGUUUCCAUUGGUUUUGCUUGCUGUCCUUUCAAUUUUAUUUUGUGUAAGUGUGUAAGAUUCACUCUUCGAUUAUAGUUUAAAGUGUGGUGUAAGUUUGUUAAGUUAUUUUUCUAUUAUUUUAGCUUUAAUUUGUUCUUGAAUAAGAUUUGAGGUGUUGGUGUUUAGUUUUCAUUCCAAGUUGUGUUAAGUGUGUUUGUUAUUUUGAUUAGGCGAAAGCUAUGAAAACCAAAACCCUCCAACGGAGUAGAUACAGUUACAACAUUGUUUCUGAGAAGUAAGUGUUUGAAUUUCGUAUUAGGGGCUAAACGUUUGGUUUAUGGAUGCUAUUUUUUGGACGAGUUUUGAUGAUUAAUUAGUGAGGUUUGAUGAAUGAUUGUAGGAUUUAGAGUGUGAUAUUUGUGUGUUUUAUCAAAAUUAUCAUCAGGUGUGUGAUUCUAACCCAAAACGUAAUUUAGAACUCGAAAAAUUCAAGAAAACUGAGGUUUUUUUGAGACUGUUGUUUGUCACACAACCGUGUGUCAGGCCGUGUGCACCACACGGGCAUGUGGUUGGCUAUGUGCCAGGCCAUGUGGAGCAUACAGGCGUGUGUGAUUACACUGUCAACUUAGGUAGGCCGUGUAGGGCACACGGGUGUGUGUGAUCACAUGGGCUGGUUAGGUAGGCCGCGUGGGCCAAUUUUUUGGAAAAUUUUCAGUUAGGUCCAUUUGACUUAGAAAUGCAUAAUUAGAUCUUUCGUGGGGUCUGUUUGGCUUAAAUAUGACCCGAAGUGUGACUAUUGUCAAUAUGUGUCAGUACGUGACAUGGUUAAGAUACGUGAAAAAUGUAAGUACGAUUUGUGUUCUGGUAACUUUGAAAAUGUAAUUAUGUGUUUGAUUACACAUGACAUCUUUUUAUGGAAUAAUUGUUAGUAUAAGAACUAAUAUACUAUACGAUCUGUAUAAGUUAUGUGUUGUGUUGUGCUAUGUGUUUUGGUACGCAUGACAUACCACCUAUGUGUUAUAUACGUAAGUUAAUAUGAUUUUGCAUUUGCAUUGGGGUGGGUUUUGAUAUGAUGGAGGAAUUGUUUUCUGGCAGUAUUACUGUAAUUUUGGCGGUUAAACCGUAAUAUCUGUCUAGCAGCUCAGUUGCAUCAUUCUGAGUGGCAUACCACCACGACCCGGUGUGAUUGGAUGGAUGGACUCUUGUAGUCAUAUUUGGUGUGAUUGGUUGGACGGAGUUAGUGUGUAGCAGAUAGAUGUAAGAUUUGUUCUGUUCUGAUAUAACAUUAUGAUCUGAUAUAUAUAUAAAUUUCUGAAAAUUAUUACUGUCCGAAACGAUAUAUGGUUCUGGAUCUGUUAUGACAUUUCGAUAUUGGUAUCUGCACUUGUAUAUGAUUAUAAAUAUCUAUAUUCGAUUUUGUAUGUGAGUGUUUGUCAAAUAUGUAAUUGAUAACGUGUCUGUUAUUUAUGUACAUUUGUUUGUAGGUCAGGUCAUACAUUGGGCUUCUAGCUCACUUGUUUGUUUAAUUCAUUUCAAGUGUACUUUCGACUUAGGACUUGGCAGCGACUUCGGAGCUCGGUUCACACAAUUUGGCAUAAGUUGAUUUUUUUUUAAUUUUGGACUUUACGGUCUUUCAGAUUUUAAUUUGUUUUGGAACUUUGAAUUCUUGGUUUUGGUAUUUGUUUUCGCGGAUGUUUUAUUUAAAAACUCGUAAACACACCCAAUAUGUAACAACCCAAUUUUCAGUGGUGUCGGAAAUAGUGAUUCAAGAUCACUAAAUCCGAUGAGUGAGUUCGAAAAAUUUUAUUAAUUAUAAUUUAUGAGUUAAGUAUGAUUUUAGAAAUAUUCUUGAAUUAGUGAAUUUUGUGUAUUAAAAAAAUUAUUAGGUUAAUUAGUUUCAGAACCGAGGGUCAUUGAGUUAGUAUUAAAGUUUUUUCUAAAUUAUUAGGUUAAUGAUUUUAGAAAUAUUCUUGAAUUAGAAAUAUGAUUUUAGAAAUAUUUUUCUAAAUAUUUACGGAGGGUCAUUGAGUUAGUAUUAAAGUUUUUUUAGGAAAUUUUAAUGUUUGGAUAGUUAAUUAAGUAAAAAGGACUAAAUCGCAAAACUUGCUAAUUAAAGGAGUAGUGAUUAAAUAACAUAAGUGAUAAAUAAGGGAGGAUCAAAAAGGCAAUUAUACCUUCAUUAUAGAACUUGGACGGCAUGUGUGCUUAAGAAAACAACAAAACUAGUGUGAACAAGAGGUAAAAUUGGAAAUAACAUAAAAUUUAAUAGUUAAAAAAGAAGAUGUAAUUGAAUAUCUAGAGAUUUCUUCCAAAUUCUCAACUGAAAACACUGUAAUAGCCCAAAUUUGCCCGGGCCUUAAACCAAAUAAAAUAAAUAAAUAAAUAAAUGUUUAUUUAUUUAAACAGUCCAUAUACAGAGUCCACAAAAAAAUACAUAACCUAGCAACCCAAAUACCUAAACCCUAUCUUAAGUCUACCCAGACCCAACAAACAGUGGCCUAAUGAGACUCAAGUCACUCGGGCCCAAAAGGCCCAGUAACUUAAAGAACCAGCAGGAAACCCUAGGGUUUUGCUUAGAACCUCAACGCCGUAAGAGCCGUUCCAGAAGCUUCGCCACAAUCAGUCCAAGAGUCAUGCCCCUUCGACUCGUGUCCGUUCGUCGAUCCAGCUACCCUCCAUCAGCGCCGCAAGCCAGUGCGCAGUCAGUGACUGAUUUGUCGUCACCAUCGUCAAGCCUCCAUCACCGCCGGAUUUUUCGGCGUUACCUGCAAAAGAAGGAAGGAAACAACAACAAACGAACGAAAUAGAUAUGGAAAGAAAGAAAAGAUUUCUUUCCCAAAAUGUAAUAGAAACAGUGGCUAUAAAAGCCCCUUUUGUAACCUACACUUACGAUACACACAUACAGAAAAAAAAUACCACAAAGAUAUUGUACAUCAAAUAUUUUGCAAUAAUAUAUCAGAGAUAUUUCACAAGAAAUGAAGGUGAUUUUUUUAUCUCAUAUUUUGUUUCUUUUCUCUUUUCUUAGACGAAUAUACAAACUGUUUUUUUUUUUUAAAAACUAGUAACAUUCAAAAGAAAAGGAGUUACCUGUGGAAGGACGAAGGUUUUUAAACCCUCAGACCACCGCGUACGACGGCGCGUGAGGCGCGUGUACAGGCACUGUACUGUAGUCGGAGACCGAAGGCCGGACUACCCCUUCUCUCCUUUUCAGAGAAUUUUCAAGUUUUUUUUUUAAAGUGGGGUACUAAAAUGAAUUUUGGGUUAAGGUUUUAAUAUUUAUAGUCCUACGAAAACGGUGUCGUUUUGGCUUAGCUUGAUAAGCACUAAAACGGCAUCGUUUCAACAGAGAAGAUCCGCGUGUUGACCCGAUUACCCGGGGAGGAUCCGUAUGUUUUUGUGAAUUAGGUAAAUUGCCCAAUUGAUCCUUCUUCCUUUUUAAUAUUUACAAUUUCAUUUUAUGUUUAUUCAAAUUGGCCCUAACUUCUUACAUUUAAUUCAAUUUAGUCCCAAUUGCCAGUAGAAUUUAUUCUGGGAAACGACGUCGUUUUUUAAGAUUAGGGCUAAUUGCCCAGUGAGUCCUCUGAAUUUAACGCGCAUUUGGAACCAAGCCCAGAAUUUUUACUAUUUUGCAGAUUAACCUUAGAUUUUCUAAUUAAAUUCAAUUUUAAUCCUUUUUAUAUUUUAAUUUACUUUAAAUACUUUAUAUAUUUUUAUAAAUAUUAGUUAUAUAUUAUUGUUAUUAUCCAAUACAUUAUUUUAUCAUAUAUUUUAUCUAUAAAUUAUAUUAUAUUAUAUAUUUUAUUUUAUAUAUUUCUUUAUAUAUUUUUAUAAAAUUAUAUUACUAUUUACUAAAUUUGUAAAUGGAAAAUAAAUUUAAAAAAAAUUAUUAAUAAAUAAUAGUAUAUAUUAUCCUUAUUUAUAAUAAUAUUCAUAUUCCAUUUAUAUAUAUUACACCUUUUCUUUAUGUAUUUUAUAUAUUAUUCAUUUUAUAAUAUUGUAACACCCCUCGCCCGUAUCCCUCGCCGGAACAGGGUUCGAGGUGCUACCCGACUUAAACUCAGUCAAUCACACAAAAAUCGUGCCAAAAAAUUUCAAUCAAUUUAAAUAUUUUCUUUUCACAUGCAAUCUGUCCCAUAUAUAGGCUUACGAGGCCCAAAACACUUUAUCAAUACAAGCCACCACAUUUGGCUAACUUAUAGUAUCACAUACUCAACAUUAAAACCCUAUACAUGCCAUAGACUCGAAAUACUAGGAUUUACUUACACCAAUAGCGUGAGCUCGACAAUGUGAUAAUAUCUCCGGCGAACUCCAACCCGAGCAAAUAACUGGAGCCAACAAUCUACAAAACAGAGGAAUGUAACAACGGAGUAAGCUUUCAUAAGCUUAGUAAGUUUUAAGCAAUGCAAACAAAUAAACGCAAUUAUACUUCGAUUAUUCAAUUUCUCAAGAGGCCAUAUUCUAGGUAUAUUGCCAUCUGGCCGAAUACACUCAAACACAUAAUGCACGUUCAGCAUUCUUAUCAUACUUAAUCUGAAUUCAUAUAACAUAAUUAACUCAAAUACUUUCACAUACUUUCACACCCUGACCUGAUGUAUCAUGAUAAUAGAUAUAGUUAUAACAUUUAUUCACGUAUGUAUCACAUUACACACUAAUGAGUCACUUCAAAUCAAACUCACAUAUGAGUACAUAAUGUGUACCUGGCCACUUAACGUAUUGAAUGUAUUCAUUUGUCAAUCUAACACGAGGUGCCUUAGUCUUAGACUUUUCUCAAAUCACCGGUAUUUCGCCUACUAGGAUCGAGGCCCGAUUAUCAUUUCAUCGGUAUUAUAGCCUGCUAGGCUCGAAAGCCCGAAUAGUAUCUCACCGGCAUUAUAGCCUGCUAGGCCCAAAGGCCCGAAUAGUGUCUCACCGGCAUAAUAGCCUGCUAGGCUCAAAGGCCCGAAUAUAAUACCAGCACUAGGCCUGCGGGAUUUAACCAGGAUAUAAUACCAGCACGAAGCCUGCGGGAAUUAACCCGGAUAUAUUACCAGCACGAAGUCUGCGGGAUUUAACCCGGAUAUAUUACCAGCACGAAGCCUGCAGGAUUUAACCCAGAUAUAUUACCAGCACGAAGCCUGCGGGAUUUAACCCGAAUAUAAUUCCAGCAUAUAACCUGCGUUCUUUAAGCCGGAUACAAAUAUCAUGCAUAUUUAAUCAUAUAUUAACACAUUUCAACACUUUUCUUUCAUCUCAUUUUCACACUUAGCAUUUGAUAGCUUAUGCAUAACAUUUUACUCACAUUCAUUUCAAACUUAUCAAUCGAUUAUAAAAGCACAUUGCAUAUUUACCAACAUGUUAUACUUACCAUUAGGCCAUAUAAGCAUGAUAUAAUACACUAUCAUUUCAUCUUAAACAUUCGGCUAAAUCCCUAUCUUACAAGGAACACCGAAUUCACAUAACAUUUCAUUUCACCGGCAUUAUAGCCUGCUAGGCUCAAAGGCUCGAAUAAUAUUUCACCGGCAUCAUAGCCUACUAAGCUCAAAGCCCGAUAUCAUUUCACCGGCAUUAUAGCCUGCUAGGCCCGAAGCCCGAAUAUCACAUUUCGAUAGAUAAUUCACCUGUUCUUUCCCACUUUCAUAACUUAUACUUCAAUCAUGUAUAACUGAAACACAUAUCUAUGAACAAAGAUUUUCAUCCUUUCAACUACAUAGGGUUUAAUUUCCACAUUGGAACACAUAUCUUAGUGCAUCAUUUAAUAGUAUCAAAUUCGACUAGAUAUGCUAGUCACAUACGGCUCAUAACUUUAAUUUAAUAUUCAUUCAACACAAAGAACAUAUGUAUAUUUUCACUGAAGCAUCAUCUCAAUACAAUACAUCUUGCUCACUGAUUUGCACACAACCAUUCAAAUUAGCAAUUAUAAGAUGGUUUCGCACAUAGCCCAUCCUUAUCGAUAAUUUACGAUGAUUUUAUCCUUACUCAUAUAUAUGACAUAGGCAUUUUCACCUAUGCUUCUCAAUUCACAUUCAUGAUUCAAUUCCAAUCGAUUUAACAUGCAUAAGUACAUAUCGCAUACCUGACCAACUUAAUGUAUUGAACAAAAUCGAUUGUCAAUUUAACACAAGGUCUCAUAGUUGAACAUAAACAUGAAACCAUUUCUUAUAUGUUCGAUUCACAUCAAUCAUCAAAUUCAUUUAAUUCACAUGUACUUAAUUAGGUUGUUCGUACCUGAAUAGCUUACUUUACGGAAUGAAUCCACAUAUCAUAUUAGCCCAUAGUCUUAUAGCACCACACUUUUAAUAGUUUACCUGCAAUUUGCCUGCUAGGUAAUAACCUGAUUUCAUCGCCGGCCAUAAGCCUGCCAGACCUUUAAGUCCGAUGUCAUUUCACAGGCAUUACGCCUGCUAGGUUUGAAAACCGAUUAUAUAUUAUAAUGCAUAACUUAUAUCAUCGAUCACUAACAGUUACCUCAUCAAAGUUCACAUUUAAUCACUUUAGUACCAAGCCACAUUCGACUACCACAAAGGACUAAUAAAAAUAAUUUUAUACACAUCAUGGUUUCCUUUAGAUAUUUAAUAAUCACAAAUCGUGAUAUCUCUACCAGCACAUAUACGACAUAGUUUAUUCAUUGUAACACUCAUUUAGUGCAUCAAAUUUCCAAAUCGAAUUCAACUUAAGCAUAAUAGCCAUAAUCGGCUUAUAGCCUUAAAUCAUUACAUAUUCGGCACAUUAACUAAAUAAAAUUUACAUUCUCUCUGCCAUAUUAAUUUAGCUCUUGGGCAUAUAAGAAGGAAUCAAGCUUAAACACUUAAGAACUUACCUUGAACGUUGCCGAAUGAUUACAACGGCUAUUCGAUUACUUUCUCUUUUCCCUUAUCCGAAUUUGCCCCUCUAUGCUCUUGAGCUUAAAUUCAAAGAUUUUAAACUAGCCAUUAUUCGACUAUUCCAGCAUCACUUUCAAAAUAUAAUAUAUAUAUUCGAAUUUCACACCUACUGAUCAUAGUAAGCUUAUAAGAAAUCAAUAAGCAACUCAUUAACAAAUUUUUAUCAAUGUUUACCACAUAAUCAUAAUUUCACUGCAAGCUGUCUUCCUAAGCAACAGUCACUAAAUCAUUUAUAACUGGAGCUACGAAACUCCAAAUUAAGUGCCGUUAAUUUUCCCUGAAAAUAGACUCAUAUAUAUUUUAUCCAUAAAAUUUUUAGAAUUUUUAGUUUGGCCAAUCAAUACCAGAUUUUUCUUAAAGUUUCCCCUAUUUCACUGUUCGACUAAUCUGACCACUCUUCACUACGAAUCAAUUUUCUCAUUGUACAGAAUUCAAAAUAUGUUCUCAUUUAUUUCAUUUGAAACUAGACUCAUUAAGGAGUCUAAUCAUAUAAAUUUCAUCUUAUGAUCAUUUUUUUUAAAAUUUAUAAUGAUUUUAUAAAAACAGAACAGAGGAUUUAGAAGUCAUUCUGACCCUGUCCCACAUCACUUCAAAUAUCUCAUUAUCGGAAAUUCUUUUGCUUACACGGUUUCUUUUAUAAGAAACUAGACUCAUUAAUAUUUAAUUACAUAAUUUAUUCAGCUCCUAACUCAUCUCCCACAAUUUAUGGUGAUUUUCCAAAAUCAUGUUACUGCUGCUAUCCCAAGCAGAUUUAUUACCAAUUCACUCUUUCACACAUAACUUGCAUGCAUGUUAUUCAAACAUGCAUAUCACAAAUCAAUCAUCACAUACCUAUGAUUUCACUUAAGCAUAAUCUCCAUUUCAUCAUUUUAAAGCAAAAACAUUACUCAAUGUUAUCCAAGUUCACAUUCGGCCAUAAUACACACAACAUGUUAGCCGAUUUUCCCCCUUAGCAUCUAAGGCACAUGCAUGCUCAUUUGUUUGGCUCAACUUCACCUAUCUUCCAUUAUUCAUCAAAAGAACAUGAAACAACAAUCAUUUCCUUCAUUUCCAUUCAUGACCGAAUGCUCACAAACACAACCAAAAAUAAAAAAAAUAUGCUUCAUGAGUUAACGUAGAAUCAAGAAGAACUCAUGAAAAUCAAGAUAGAAGUAAACUACCAUGAACUUACCUUGGAUUUUUCUUCCCCUAGUGACCUAAUUUUUCAAGAGCUUUUUCCCCUCUUGCUCUCCUAUUUUCGGCUAUGAAGAACAGGGAUGAACAAAAAACCUUGUCUUUUACUUCCUUUUGUUAUUUUAUUACUAACAUUUUAUGACACAAAAUAACAUAUAUUAUUUGUGCCAUACUUAUGCCAUAAUUUCAAUAAAAAAAGUUGCACAAAUGCUUAUCAUGCCCAUCAUGGCCGGCCACUAUGUUUUAAGGUGGGAAAUUUGACAUGCAAAUCCACCUAUUUCAUACUAUAAGUUAUUUGGCCACUACAAAUUAGCCUAUAGCAUUUUUAAAAAUUUUUACAUGAGUCCUAUUUCAUAAUUUCACUCACAAAUGGAAAAAUCAAAGCAUGAAAUUUUCACACAUGCACUGUCACAUGAAAUAAACAUAGAAUAUAACAUCUAAUUAUUUUUGUGACUCGGUUUUAUGAUCCCGAAACCACUUUCCAACUAGGGCCAAAUUUGGGUUGUCACAAAUAUUCUUAUGAAAAUUACUCAUAUCCUAUUUAUUAUUUUAUAUUUUACCUAUAAUGUGGGUUAUACAUCAUAUAUAUUUUUAAAUUCUAUUAUAUGUUAUAUAUUUUUAUAUACUAUGUUUCUAUGUGUAAAAUAUUGGUUAUUUUAUUAUUAUUAUACGUAUACCAUAUUAUAUUUCAUACUAUAUUUUUAUUACAUACAAUAUUUUUAUUAUUCAAUAUUCCUUAUAAUAUCUAUCUUUCUCAUAUAUUUUUUAUUAUAUAUUAUUUAAUUUUUUUUAUAUACUAAUUAUUUUACCAUAUUUUUAUAUGUAAAAUACUUAUUAUAUUUUUAUUAUUUUAUAUUAUAUUUCCUUAUAUUUUAUUCAUAUUAUAUUAUUAUACAUAACUUAUUUUAAACAUUUUUAAUUUAUAUUUUAGGUUUUUUUAUCAAUAAUUACUCACUUUAUUUUAUAUUUUUUUAAUAUAUAUUAUAUUAUGUCAAUAUAUUAGAUGUUGGUCUCAUAAUUUUAUUAAAUGUUGAGUGCUUGACUUAUUAUUAUUUUUAUUGUAUUUUUAUUAUAUAUAUAUGUGUCCAAUUGUAUAUCAUGCAUCAUUUUUAUUAUCAAUAUGUUUAAAUAUAUGAUGAAUUACAUGUUUAUGUGUUUUUACCUAUUCUUCUUAAAUAAAUAUCGUGUUUUAUGCAUAUUUUACUUAUUUAAAAUUUGCCAUGUUUCUUAUAUGUAUAAGUUAGUUAUUGUGCUUUUAUUUACCUAUUACUAUAACAUGUUAUCCCGUAUGUUAUGUUAAUAUGCUCCUUUAUGCAUCGAUCUAAAAAAUGAGACUUUAAAGUUUUCAAAAAUAAGGGCAAUACUUGGUGUUUGGAAAUUUCGAGAAAAGUAGUGCCCUAACUUAUUGGGUUGCAACUUUUCUCGUUGAGUUCGAAUAGUCAAGCACCCUUCUAAGUUUUUAAGGUUUUCUAGGUGCAAGCCACCGUCUCAGAAUUUCAAGGCGUUGUGUCCUAACUUACUGGAUAUGGCGUUUCGUUGUUUCGAGAUAGGGAUUUCCAACAAGGCUAACUUAGUGUCAGAUAUCUUAAAAAUAUUAUGUCCUAACUUAUUGGAUGUAAUAUUUUGAUUUAUUUGAUACAAGUGAACCCUAAUUUUCAAAAUAAAAAAUAUUAAAAGAGGAUUGCAUAUUAAAAUUUUUAAAUUUCCGACAUUAAAGACACUUGAUAAUUAAUUAGGUACCAAUUUUUGGGCGUUACGAGGGUGCUAACCCUUCCUCGUACGUAACCGACUCCCGAAUCCGUUUUCUCGACUUUCGUAGACCAAAAUUAAUGUUUUAAAACAAAAUAUUUUAUAAGGUGAUCCAAUCACACCUAAAAAGAUUGGUGGCGACUCCCGUUUUCGUUUUUCUUAAAGUCGAUUCCCAUUUUCCAAAACUCGAUUUUUAAAAAUGGUUUCGACAAACACCAUGGAAGAACUCUUAAGAAGUUGGUUUUCAUAAUUCACUACAUGUAAGUUCAAUUUUUGUUUAUUUCUUCAAUUUUUUGUGUUUUUAAGACUUUUACAAUUAGGUCCAACUAUCUAAUUCAUUAGUUUUUUUAUUUCAUGGGUAAUUUUGAAAGUUAUGAUUGAUGAGUGCUAGAUGUUUAUGAUGAAUUAACAUGGAAUUGAAGCUCUAAUUUUUUUAUGUGAUGAUUUUAUUUAGUAAUUUUGAUAGAUAUUGAUUUUAGGACCAAAUUGUGAAAGGUUAAGAAUUAGAGUUUGGUAUUGAAAUUCUGAAUAUUAAUGUUUGUAUGGUAGCCUAAAAUAAUUAGGUAAAUUGUCAAUUGAGAAAAAUUAGCUCAAUUGAUAGGAUAAUUAAUAAGGGAUUAAAUUGUAAAAACUAUAAAAAUUUGAGGUAAAUGUGUAAUUUCAAAAAUUAAAGGGUAUAAAUUGUAAAUUGAAUUAGAACUGAAUUAAAUGCUAAUGAAUGAAUAAUUUUAUAUUAUAGAUCAAGAAUCUGAAGACAAACGUGAAAAAGAGAAAUUAACCGAAUAGUCUCUGAAUUACUACAACUUCCACAAUUUACCCCAGGUAAGUUCGUAUGGUUAAACCUUAAUGUUUAUGUGUUAAAUUAAUGAAUGAUAAUAUAUAUAUAUAUUUAUAUUUAUUGUUAAAAAUAAAUUAUUGUUGAAACUAUGAAAUUGAAUUGAAAUGAUUGAAAAGAAUGGAACGCCGGAUUGAGUACAGUCGUUUAGUGCAAAGGAUGAAUUGACGGAUAAGACCAUGGUUGGACCAUGGAAAUUGUUAAAUGUAAAACCAUAGCUGGGUUAUGGCAUUUUAAUGAAAAGACCAUAACUAGGUUAUGGCACUACAAAUGUAAGACCAUGGCAGGGCCAUGGCAAUGUAUGUGUAAGACCAUAGUUAGACUAUGGCACAAAGAAAACGAUGUACUCAUAUCCGUAAGUUAUUCUCUAAUUUGGAAAGACUUGGUUAGAGAUAUGGAAAAAUUAUGUAUAUGAACUUGCCUGAUAAUUAUGUAUAUUUAUGAUUAUGAAUUGUUACUGAAAUAAAUAUACACGAAAUUCAUAAAAAUGAUGGUACAUGAAAUAUUAAUUGUUGAAAUUAUUAUUUAAUGUGUAUGGUAAGUGGAAUGAGGUGAGUAUUUGAUAUUAUGAUAUUGAGUUGAAUUCUUGAGGAAUUGUGAUUAUUGAAUUAAAAUGAAUAUUGGUUGAAAUUGAAAAGUGAUUUUAAACCUUAUUAACUGUAUCGAACUGAGUCGGAUAUAGUUUGCAUGCCAUAGGAUUAGAAGUGUUUAGGGAUUACUUCGACUUUGAGUUGAUGAGACACUGGGUGUCAAAUUGUUACUUCGGAUAAAUUCGAUGAGGUACAGGGUACCAAAUUACUUCGGCAUAGCUGAUGAGACGCUGGGUGUCAAACAUUACUUCGAAUUAUCUGAUGAAGCACUAUGUGCCAAACUGGUGUGUUUUGGUUGGAUCCAUGUACCCGUCCGAGUCCGAGUCGUGUUAAUAGGGGUAAAUGAAUAAUAAAGUUUUAUAAUUGAUAUUGAAAUGGUAUGGUAUGAGAAAUGGAAGUGAAAUAGUAAAUUGAAAAUAGAAUGUGAAACAAAUUGUGAAAAACCAUUUAAGCUAAAAAAUUAACGAGAAUUGAAUGUACUAUAAGUGAUCUGCAAAUAUUUAUGAAUUAAUAUUGAAAGACUUAUGAUUAUUAUCAGUUUAUACUUGAAAUACUUGGAAAUGAUAUUUAAUUGAUAUAUUGAAACAUGUCUUGGAAAUGAUAUUUGCAUGACAUAUUGAAACGUGACAUGGAAAUGGUAUUUACUUAAUAUAUUAAAAAGUGACAUGUAAAUAUGUGAUUAUCUUUGAUUAUGUUGAUACAAGGAAAGAAUGUAUAUGGUAACAUGUCGAGAAAAUAAGUUUAUCAAUAUUAAAUUUAUAUGUAAGAUGUGCAAGUACGCUAACUAUUGUUGUUGCUUGAUGUAUAGGCAAGUGCCAAGCUAUUAACUGAAUAGUAAUUUGUUUAUUUAUUUGAUGCAUCAAAAUGGUAAGUAUUUAAAUGAAAAAAAGUUAGUGUUCAUGAAGGAAUGGUAAGGUUUAGAUUAUGCAAUUUCUUAUGGAACGAUUUAUUAUGUGUCCAAUUAGAAUAAGGCUUUAGUUAAAUGCAUUAAUUUGUAAUUGUGGCUGUAUGACAUGCAUAUGGAAUAAGUGUGGAAGAGUUAAAGUUAUAUAAAAUUUUACUAAGCUUGAGGGUAUACGUCUAGGUGUGAUACUAUGGAUUAGUUGACCUUGUGAAUUAGUGAGAAUAGUUUAUGAGUAUUAAGGUAAUAAUAUUGGAUUAUUUUUUAUAUGUAAAGUUUUAUAAUUGAAAUAAAUUAGUAUGAUUAAAGACUAUACGAGCUUACUAAGCAAUCAUUGCUUAAGUAUUUGUUUUAUUUAUUUACCUUACAGAUUAUCGGAAGCUCAAACGAGUUGGAAGCUUAUCGGAGCUAUAUCACACUAUCCAUUCGUUUUAUUGGUAAUUAUUGAUGACUUGAUUCUGGUUAUAAUGGCAUGUGUAGGUUAUUUUGACUAAAGGUUAGUCUAUAAGUGUUUUGUUAAAAUUAGUCAUGUAUUUGGCUUGUGUUUGGUAUUGUGGUGUUUGCAUGAUUGCCUUAAAAUGUUGAUAUGACUGAAUGAUGAGAGGUAAAGUAGUAGUCGAAUAAACAUAAAAGGUGCAUAAAAUCAAAUUGGUUAUGUGUGAACAUAUAUGUAUAAUGAUAAUUGUUUUCAAGAAGAUUAUUUAGUAAAAAUUUGCAUAUACGUGUUUGAUUAAAUUAGGUAGAGUGCCUAUGAAGGUACAUUGGUUAGGUACUUAGAAUGUCUAUUUUGAUAUGUUUAGAGUGUGUUUAACUGAGUUUUAAAUUGGUUGAAUAAAUGGUUUUGAGUUGCUUGAUGUGUAAGAUUGCAGGGAAUGGUAACCUUGAUGUUUAAUGCUCAUAUUGAGUCCACACGGCCAGACACACGGGCAUGUGAUUGGAUCGUGCGAGACAUACGGCUAACACAUAGGUGUGUGAAUUGGCCAUGUGUCCCUUGCUACUUAAAAUUUUCAAAACAGAAUGCCCAGGAAUUUAUACACGAGCAGAGACACGGGCGUGUGUCUCAGCCGUGUGAGGCACAUAGACUAGCACACAGGCAUGUGGCAGGCCGUGUGACCCAAGUCAGAGAGUUACACGGGAUAGGACACGGUUUGAGACAUGGGUGUGUCCUAUGACUACACAGGCGUUUCCCAGAUUCACACGGGCGUGUGUGCCCUGUUUCUAGGAAAAAAAUUAAAAAUUUUACGAAAAAUUUCCUUGAGUGUUCGAAUUAGUUCCGAAUUGUUUCUAACACGUAUUUUGGGCCACGAUGGCUCAUGAAAGGGACAAUGUGAUUAUUUGUGAUGUGCAUGUUAGUUGGUUGUGUAAUGUGCAUAUUUGAUCUGAAAUAUCUGGUAAUGCUCUGUAACCUUGUUCCGUAGCGAAUAAGGGUUAAGGGUGUCGAAACCAUUUUCAAAAUUGAGUUUUGGAAAAUGGGAAUCGACUUUAAGAAAAACGAAAACGGGAGUCGCCACCAAUCUUUUUAGGUGUGAUUGGAUCACCUUAUAAAAUGUUUUGUUUUAAAACAUUAAUUUUGGUCUACGAAAGUCGAGAAAAUGGAUUCGGGAGUCGGUUACUUACGGGAAGGGUUAGCACCCUCGUAACACCCAAAAAUUGGUACCUAAUUGAUUAUCAAGUGUCUUUUAAUGUCGGAAAUUUGAAAGUUUUAAGAUGCAAUCCUCUUUUAAUUAAAAUGUCUCAAUUUUGAAAAUUAGGCUCACUUAUUUCAAACGAGUAAAAACAUCACAUCCAGUAAGUUAGGACGCAACAUUUUAAAACCUUUGAAACUAAGCUCGUCUUUCGAAAAUUUCUAUCUCGAAACAACAAAACGCCAUAUCCAGUAAGUUAGGACACUAUGUUUUGAAAUCUCGAAAUAAUUGUUUAAGUUUUGAAAACUCAAAAUCACUUAGAAGGGUGCUUGACUAUUCGAAUUCAACGAGAAAAGUCACAACCCAGUAAGUUAGGGCACUACCUUUCUCGAAGUUUCCAAACAUCAAGCAUUGCCUUUUAUUUUUUUUAAAAAAAACCUUGGAAUAUUAUUUUAAAUGACGUUUUAGGAUGACAUAUUAAUGCAUCAUGAAGCAUAGAUGUACAAAAUAUUCUAACAUUUCCAUACAAACAUAAAUAAUAUCAUUAAGACAAAACUAAAUAACAUGAACAUACGUUUAAGGAAAAAAAUCAUACUAGGGUAAAUAUAAGAUAAUAAACAAAUAAAAACAUAAGUAAACUAAAAGAAAAACAUAAUACAUGCAAAAAUUAUACAACAAUAUAUAUCAUAAAAUAGCACAUAAAAGAAAUAAUUAAACAUAGCAUAUAAAAAAAUGAAACUAUGCACAAAUAAGAUAAAUGACAUGCACUAAAAAAAUGAAUAAAUAGAACAUUUACAAAUUAUAAAAAAUAUAAUGCAAUAGUUCAAAAUACAUGAAAUGAUAAUAUAAUAUAUAUACAUGCAUAGAAAAUAUAUAUUUGAAAAUAAACUAUAUAAAAAGGUUAAAUAUUAUAAUAUAUAAAAUACAUAAUCAAAUGUAUAAAAGAUAGGAAUAAAUAUACAUAUUUGAAAAAUGAAGAAAAUAAAAAUAAAAAUAAAAGAUUGAAAAACUAAGAUAGACGAAGAAUAAAAUAAGAACAAACCACAGAAAGUAAGAACGCAAGAGGGAGAGAAAUUUGAGUGAAUGCUCUCAAGAAUUCUUAUUGCUUCCCAAAACUCAAGUCUUUUACAAUGAAGGGAGAGACCUCUAUUUAUAGUUGAGCCUCCCCAAAUCCAACGGUACAGAUCAAUUACAUCAACGGUUAAGAUUAAAGGAUAUCUACAAAUUAAAUCUCCAAGAUUACAAGAUCAUAUCUUCAAGAUUGCAUAUCAUAUCUAGGAUUGCAUAUCCUUAAAGAUUAUAUUUCCAUAUGAGUCAAACUUAUAGAUGGACCUUAAAUCUUUUCAAGUAAUGGGCCAUUCCGAUUGGGCCAAAUUAUAUGUUUGUAAUUUUGUACUGGACUUGGACUUCGUUUUAUUUUUAUUUUUUGGGGGUUUAUUAUUUUAAAUACUGAAAUGGGCCGGGCAAAAAUGGGCUAUUACAAAGGGGUGCUACACAAUACGACAUAACUAACGGAUCUUAUGAUUUUAAGAGAUAAGAGUUUUAAAAGUAUUUUUGUUAAACAAAACACAUUAGCGAACAAAGAUUAAUAUAAAUAAUUAUAUAAACAAAUAAAACAACUUAAUAUAAGCAAAUAUUUAUAUAAACAAAUAUUUAUAUUUAUGUAAAAACACCAGAUUUAAAUAAACCAAAUUAAAUAAAUAUUUGUAUUUAUUUAAAACACCAUAUUUGAAAACAAUUAAAUAAACAAGAUUUUGGGAAAACCAAAAUUCGAAUAAAGGGAAUCGAGUUUUACUGGAUGUUAAGGCCUGUUUUCAGAGUUUCCUUAAGACAGAUUCGACCGCUCCUAUCGUACUUGGAGAAACGUUGGUUGACUGUCUCCCAGGAUACAACAAUAAAAUGAUCAAAUUAGUAGUACCUCUACAGUGAUCAACGAACAAACCUUGCCUUCCCUAUCAAGGAAACGUUUGAAAAAUAUGGAGAGAGAAAAGAAGAAUUUUCAAGAGCAAAAUAAGUUUGUAUAAUAUUUGUAACUUCAUGUUGGGCUGAAAAUAUAUUUCGCGUCACCCACAUCGUGCAAGCACACCCUCAACCCCAACAAGUUUGGACCUACACCCCCUCCUAUGCACAAGAUAGUAGUUCAAGUUUAGUCAUUCAAUUACCAUUUAAGUGAGUUCUAAUAUAUAUACAUAUCUCACACUUGGUAUUUAACCAAUGUGGGAUCUAGGCUUUUCUUUUUCUUAACAAAUAUUCACAAGUAGCUUACUUUGAGCAUCAAUUUUUCAUUCAUCACUCAACUAUUUUGAACAUAUGAUAUACCAUUGUAAAGGUCUUAUGGAGUAGAAUAUAAAACCAUAAUUUUAUGAUUCAACUCUCCACCUUUACCAAUUGAGGAUAUGCCUCAAAGUUUCUAAAAAUUACAUAUUUUCCAACAUUUUUCUGCUACAAGGUUUUGAAAUUAAUUACGACUUUUUACAAUUUAAUUGGUUAAACAUUCGGGAUUAUUUUUAUAAAAUUAAUAAAAUAAGAUUUUCAUCUAAGUGCUUACACUCGUUCUUCUGAAAACUUUGUGUUGUCGAUAAAUUUAAUAACUUUAUUACUCUAGAAUUAAAACUAAUUUUUUUUUAUAUGCGUAAGUUAAUUGACAAUGUUUUUACAAGCGUUUUAACCUCCAUAAUCCGACCUUAACGUCUAGGCCGAAUUUGGGAUAUUACAAUUCACAAUUCAUUUAAUUUAUUACCAGACUAUCAAGAAUAAUGUAUUUUUUGUUUCAAUAAAAUGUUUUAUAUUUAUUUAAAUUUACGCAAUAUAUUAAAAUUUUUAUUUCACAACCUUAAAAUUCUAGCAACUAUUAAUAUUUUGAUUUUUUUUAAACGUACCUAAAAUUUCAAGUUUUCCAGGUAAACUUUUACAAUCAUGCUUAGCUUAUCAUCUUCAAAAUUAUUCUUGAUCAAAUAUGAACAGAUCAUUAAUUAAUUUUUUUAAUUAUUUAAUGCAAGUUUUUUAAAUAUGCAUUUACUAUAUAAUUGAAAUCUUUUUUUAUGAACAAAUUGCAGAUUUCAUUAUUGUUCUUUCUCAAGGUUAUCAACACUAAUAAAAAGGUCACUUUAUUGAUUUUAAUCAUUUUUAAUUUAUAAAGUAUCAAUAUAAAAUUAAUUAUUAUUUUAUAGCAUAAAAAUUUAAAAGUGAUUCAUUCAAAUUAUAGCAUCCAAAUAUUCUUAAUUUCAAAUAUUUUCGCAUCCCAACCCUCCCUUGAAUUUGAACGGUGAAAGGUCUCCAUGGACAAUAAAGAAUAACAUAUUAUGAAACAAAACUUAUCUAAUGAUGGACACGACAAAUGGAGGUUAUCAGUGUUGAAACUUUGUUUGUGUUUUCAAAGGAUUUUAGUUUAUUUUUGUGUAAAAAGGGGUUGAUCAAAUGCGACUCCAUCAAUGGAGUAACAAUGACAGCUUCUAUAGAAUAGAAGAGUAAGAAAUAUAGAGAGUGUGUUUAGGGUUAUGUAAAAGCAAAAGAAAAUUAAAUAAUUAUGUAAUUUUUUAUUUUAAUUGUUUCUUGGGUAAGCAUAAAAUAGUUACUUUUGUUUACCAUAGGUUACAUUUUAGUCACUUAUGUUUAAAAUGUUAUGUUUUAGUCACUUACGUUAUUAUGUUGUAAUAUUUUAGUCACAAAGCUGUUAAUUGUCAUUAACGGUGUAACGGUAAGCUGGUGUUGUGUAACGGCCCGUUUUCAGUGAAAUCCAAACAGUGGUUUCGAGACCACAAAUCCGAAGUUGAAAAAUUUAUUUUAAUCUUAUUUUAAUAUCUACAGCAUGUUAAUAUGAUAGUAUAACGAAAUUUUACCGUUUGUAUGCUCAAUUAGUGAAAAAGGACUAAAUCGAGUAAUGGACGAAAGUUGUGUUCUAUUAGCUAAAGGUGUUAAAUAGCUAUAGAAAUUUAAAUUGGAGGUCCUUAUGUGGUAAUUAGACCAUUAAAUGAGUUAUUGGAUGUGCAUGGCUUGGUAAUUGAGUAAUUUUUAAAGUUAGGUAAGGGUAAUUUGGUAAUUACCCAAUUAAAGAUAAAAAUAAAAUAAAACAAAAUUGGUCAUCAUCUUCCCUCAUGCAUCAACCAAAUUUUACAGGAAAGAAUGGCCAUUUGAGAGCUUAAAAUUUCAGCAACAUAAACCCCUUGCAUGUAAGUGAAUUUGAUGUUCGUUUUUGUUGAUUUUUAUGUUUUUGGAAUCAUUGUUGCUUAACCUAGCUAAUUAGGGGAUUAAUUUGCAAAAUGGUUGAAAGUAUAGGGUUUUUCCAUGAGAGCAUUCUUAUUGUUCUUGAAGUUUAAUGGAAGAAAAUGAAUCCUUGUUGUUAAUUAAACAACUUUUGCUAAGUGAGUUUUAAUGAAAUUACCAAAUAAGGGUUAAAUUGAAAAAUGUGAAAAUUGUGUGUCAAAUGUGUCAAUUUGUGAUGUGUAUGGGCUGCUACGAGCACAUAGGAUAUUUGGCUAGGCUUGGGUGUAGUGAAAUUUCAUGAUUUUCAUUUUACGAGCCUAGGGACUAAAUUGUAAAGAAGUCAAAUGUUUAGGGGCAAAAUGGUAAUUUUUCAUUUCAUGAAAUUUGGAUUGAAUUGAUUAGAAAUAUGAUUAAAUGAUUUAAAUUUUCUUAUAUAGAUUAAGAAAAGCAACAUUCGAAACUAAAUUAGGGAAAAUAUAAAGUCGCGAACUAAAUAAUCGUAUUCUCCAUUUGAGUUGGAGGUAAGUUCAUGUAAUUAAAUUGUGUAUUUAUAUAAUUUAACUAAAACAUAUGUACGUGAAUUGUGUAAUUACGGUAUAUAACUAUCAAACGCUUGAUCGAUAAAGUACGAAGAAUACCGAGCCCCGUUUGAACCUUAGAAAUUCGUAGGGUACAAAUGACAUGUCAUUAGGGUUACCGAUUUGGUUGAGGUUUUGUAUGUGUUGCGGACUCACCACAGCUCGUAUGAGCUCACCAAUUCUUAGCUCGUAUGAGCUUACUGUGUUUUAGCUUGGACGAGCUUACCAAUUAUGGCUCGUAAGAGCAUACAUGUACAAGAAUUGACAGAUUUACAGUUUAGUACACCUCGUGUGUACUACCCACGUGUCUAUCGAUAUUCUAAGUGGUUCAACGGGCAUAGUGAUAUUACAAGAUUAUACAAGUUCAAUAAGAACUAGUGCAGGUAAUUACAUGGAAACGGUAUGCAUAUGAUAUACGGAUACAUGGUAUAGAUGUUACAUGUACAUGAAAUAUAAUAAUUUUUAAAUUCAUACAUGAUUCUCGGUUUUUAUAUGAAUACAUAGCUAGCUUGGUUAUUGAUUAUGUGAUAGGCUUUUUCCAGAUUGAAUUGCAUUAUGGUUUGAGUUACUUACCUAAAUUGCGGUUAUAUGGUGAGUUUAAUUCCAUAAUAUACGAACUUACUAAGUUUAAUUGCUUACUCUGUUUAUUUUUUCAUGUUUUAUAGUGAUUCAGAAGCUUAUUCGAAUUUGGAAGCCGUUAGGGAUCUCGUCACAGUAUCAAACCUUAUUUUGGUACUUUGACUUUAUAUUUUGGGUUAAAUGGCAUGUAUAGGUUAUUUGGCUAAUGGUAGCCUUUAUGUUUUGGUCAUGUAUUUAGCCAUUUGAUUUGGCUUGUUUUGGUAUACUUGGUUAUGUAAAUAUGUGUAAAUGGCCUUAUGUUAUGUGGUGUUUUAUUGCUAUGUGAAUGCCUUGUUGUGAAUUGGUAUUUUGGGUACCAAAUGGUUGAAAUUAAGAUGUGGUAUACAUGCUAAGUUUUAGGCACAACGUCUCAUUUAUGUGAUUGACCAUCUAGGUAUAUUUUAGAAGUAUAUUUGGUAUGUUUUGAAAGUGGUCAACUGAUGUACUUAUGGAAAUCAUGUGGUAUGUGUGGACAUUACAUGUUAUAAACUUGAUAUUGGUUCGUUUUGAAGGCUUAAUUAUACCAUGGUUAUACGCAAAUUGUGGUGUUCAGGUUUGUACCUAUUUGGGUGAGAAAUGUAACACCCCUUACCCGUACCCGAGACCGGGACAAGGUAUGAGGCAUUACCGUACAAAAGCGUGAAUAUUCCAAGAAAGACGGGUUACAAAAUUUCAUUCCAAAUUUAAAACCAAUCAAACAAAAUCAUGUUGUCCCUAUUAUGGACCUACAAGGUCCAAAACGUACAUUAGAAAUGGUCAGGGACUAAACCGAGAACAUAAGAAAAUUUUCAAAAAAAUUUCAUGUUUAAGCCUUACACGCCCGUGUGGAGGCAAUGCACACUCUCGUGUCCUUUACCCGUGUGAAAUUAUUAAAAUUUUAUUUUUCAUUUCGAACCUCAGGGGUUUUCACACGGCCAAGCACACGCUCGUGUCCCUGGCCUGUGUCCCUCACACGGCUUAGACACGCCGUGUUGUCGCUGGUGUCUAAAAAAACCUAGACAUUCUAUUUAUGAUGUAAUCACUCAUUUAGGGGCACAUAGCCAAGACACACGCCCGUGUGUUAGGCCGUGUCCUCCACACGAUCGAGACACACGGCUGUGUCUCUACCCGUGCGUUCACUACCAUGCAUACUGACUAUAAAAUUUUAGGUGCAGGGGACACAUGGCCAGACAACACGCCCAUGGGGCUAACCGUGUGUCACACAUGGCUUAGACACAUGCUCGUGUGUCUACCUGUGUGGACCAUUUUGGUGGCUAUUUACCAAGCCUUUGGUCACCCACACUCAUCAUACACACUUAUACCUCCAAUGAUGUUUGACAUGGUAACUUGUACACUCAUGUCUCUUGUUAACCUAUGUUAACAUUACCCUUUUUAUGUUGAGGUUACCAUUUCAAAAAUCACAUACAUUCUUGGCCAAUUAUCUAAUUUAUACCAUUUAUGGCCUAAUACAGCUCUAUGUGAUUUGACCACAUUCCACAUAUUCCUUCAUGAUAUAUCAUAUUAACCAUCACAAGAAACAUUCAAGCAUGAACUUGUAUAAUUAGUAGGUUUACAACCUACAUCAAUGUAAGCCAUAUCUCAUGGCCAUUUACAAAAUGAAUAAACAUAUCAUUCAAGCCCCUUACAUUGGCUAGCCAAAUGACACAUAUAACCAAAAUGACCAAAAUACCUAUACAUGCCAUUAUAACAAAAUAAAAGUUUCUAUAUACAAAGUAAGACAAGUUGAUAGUGUAGACAAGGCUCCUAUCAUCUUCCAAUCUUCACGAGUCCACGAGCUCUGUAAAAUAAGCGAAAGGAAAAGGGGGUAAGUAUUAACAUGCUUAAUAAGUUCGGUAACGGGAAGGUAAACUUAUCGAUUAUUUAACAUCCAUUCAUAUUAGGUAUUCAUACCCAACAACUAUAAUAUAAUCCCCUAUCACAAUCACUCAAACAUCAAGUUAAUCCCAUGUCAAUAAAUUAUGACAUCAACAUUUGAUGAGCUCAUCCAUUUCAAGAAUUUCCAUUUCCAUUUCUCAUGUUAGUCCCAUUGAAUUUUCUCAGAAUCUCGAUGGAUAUCCAUUUACACUCAAAUCAUGCCAGUGAUCAUUUCAAGUACUCACUCUUGCGAACCUCGUAUCUUACGGCGGGAUUACUAGUCCAGGCUAAAUCCACCGUAAUGUAACUUAUAGAGUAGAUGUCAGAUUACCAGUCCAGGCUAAAUUCCUUACAAGGACAUGUACUCUAAUGAGCUCGAAUCUAAAUUACUAGUCCAGGCUAAAUUCAGACCCUAAUCGGAUUACCCGUCUGGACUAAAUCCAUAAUUGCACACAUAUUCUUCGGGAGGCUAGAUCACAUAAGGAACACCCAUCCGGGCUAGAUCAUUUUUACUAUUAAUUCAUUUUUUAGAUAAUCCAUCGGAUUUCCUUUUUAUUCAAUUGGGACAUUUUCUCAUAACAUCAAAUUAUUCAUGAAUUAUCAUACAUUAAAUAUUUCUAUUAUAAGUCAUACAUGAACAUAAAUUUUAGUAUAUUUUGAAAUAGUUUACAUUCGAGUUACCUGAACUUACUUGGAAGAUGUUUUCAUAAUCUAAUUUCAGUUACUCCGAAACCUAUUAUUUUCCACAGUCGACCUCCGGAAUUGGUCUCUCGGGGUUUAUAUAAGCAAAAUUGAAUCAUUAAUAUGUCACAUUAUUCAUAUUGAGCCUAAUUUACACCUCGGGCAAAAUGACCAUUUUGCCCCUAACAUUUCACAAUUUUACAACUUAGUCCUUAGGCUCGUAAAAUGAAAUACAUGUAAUUCCUUAGUUACCCAAGCCUAGCUGAAUGUAUCCUAAGCUCAUAACAGCCCAAAUUUUCCUCUAUUUCGCAUUUCUACCACACAUUUCUACACCUUUUGCAAAAAGGUCCUUUUAGGGGUUUUUCAUGAAAAUCACUUAGGAAAAGAUGUUUAACAUACAUCAAACUUUCAUAUUCCUCCAUUAAACAUCAAAAUACAAACCUGUCACACAUGGGUCAUUUUUCAUUCAUGAACCCUAGCUCAAAAUAUGGGUAGAAAUGGAGAGAACAUGUUACAAGGAUCUAAAAAAUACAAAGAACAUUAAAAACGGGGUAGAGAGCACUUACUAUUGAGCUUGAAAAUGUUGAAAACCCUAGCUAUGGAGAGCUUGAGAAUUUCGGCAGCCACAAGGAAGAAGAUGGCUUAUUUUAGCUCUCUUUUUCCCUUUUUAUUUCAUUUAUUACCAAAUGACCAAAAUGCCCCUCUUUACUAAACUUUCAAAUUUUUCCGUGCAUGCCCAUUUUUGUCCAAAAUCUUAGAAAUUGGGAAAAUUCCUAUUUAAGACCUCCUAAUUUAUAUUCCAAAUCUAUUUCAUACAAAUUGCUUCUAAAACCUAAGUUUUACAAUUUAUUCAAUUUGGUCCCUAAUUUCCAAUUGGACAUCUCAUACUUAGAAUUUCUUCAUAAAACUUUGACACAUGUUUAUUCUCAUAUCCUAGGCCUCAUAAUAAUCAUAAAAUAAAUAUUUUAACGUCAGAUUUGUGGUCCUAAAACCACUAUUCUGACUAGACCCUAAUUUGGGAUGUUACAUUUCUUCCCCCUUAGGGACUUUCAUCCUCGAAAGUCUUACCAGUAAACAGGUUCGGAUAUUGAAUUUUCAUAGCUUCUUCAGGUUCCCAUGUGGUUCUUCCACUCCGUGUCUAUACCAUAGAACUUUCACCAAGGCUAUAUUCUUAUUCCUUAAUUAUUUGACUUCUCGAGCCAAAAUCUUAACAGGUUCUUCACCAUAAGUCAUAUCCGGUCUAAUAUCAACUUUCGUCGGUGAAAUCACAAGAGAGGGGUCUGAUCUAUAUUUUCAUAACAUGGAAACGUGAAAUACAUCAUGAAUCUUUUCCAAUUCGGAUGGGAAAGCUAAUCGAUAGGCUAAUGGUCCAACUCUUCCGGUAAUUUCAUAAGGCCCAAUAAACUGCGGGCUCAAUUUGACUUUUCGACCAAAUCUCAAAACCUUUUUCCAUGAAGACACUUUCAAGAAUACUUUAUCUCCAACUUGAAACUCAAUUUCUUUCCUUUUCAAAUCAGCAUAUGACUUUUGCCUAUCCGAUGCCGCUUUUAAAUAGUCGCAUAUCACUUUAAAUUUUUCUUCUGUUUCCUUGAUUAAAUCAACUCUGUGAAUCUGGUGUUCCUUGAGUUCCUUCCAAUACAAUGGAGUCCGGCACUUCCGGCCAUACAAUGCCUCAUAAGGUGCCAUUUUCAAACUCAUCUGAAAACUACUGUUGUAGGCGAAUUCCACCAAUGGUAAGUAUUUUUCCCAACUACCUUGAAAUUCAAGGGCGCAGCACCAUAACAUAUCCUCAAGAGUCUGAAUCGUCCACUCAGACUGACCAUCAGUUUGUGGGUGGAAUGCCAUACUAAAACUCAACUUCAUUCCCAAAGAAUCUUGUAGUUUCUUCCAAAAUCUCGAAGCAAAUCUCGGGUCCCUAUCUAAAUGAUCAACAACGGUACCCCGUGUAGUCUCACAAUCUCAAAUAUGUACAAGUCAGCCAAUCUAUCAAGAUAAUAAUCCAUCCGUAUAGGAAUAAAGUGAGUCAACUUUGUUAUCUUGUCAACUAUAACCAAAACAACAUCUUUCUUUUUCGGGGUUAAUGGUAAUCCCGUUACGAAAUCCAUGGUAAUCCUAUCCCAUUUCCAUUUAGGAACCAUCACAGGCUGUAAUAAACCCGAAGGUACUUGGUGUUCUGCCUUAACCUGUUGGCAUAUCAGACAUUUUGAUACGAAUUCAGAGAUAUCUCUUUUCAUACCAUUCCACCAGUACAUUUUCUUCAAGUCAUUGUACAUCUUGGUACUUCCCGGAUGAAUAGAUAAACGGCUAUCAUGUGCCUCUUGUAAAAUUUUCUGAAUAAGUUCAUUAUUUUUGGGUACAUAGACCCGAUCUCAAAACAUCAAGCAACAAUUAGAAUCAAUCUAGAAAUUUGAUUCAACACCCAAUUCAUAUUGUGCUCUUUUGACUUGUAAGUCACUAUCAUUGAUUUGAGCUGCGCAAAUCUCUUGGAAAAAUGUCGAUCUGGCUCUUAACUCCGCGAAAAUCAAACCAUCAUCAGACAACAACAAUCAUGUGUUCAUAGACCUCAAUGCAAAUAAUGACUUCCUACUCAAGGCAUCGGCGACUACGUUCACCUUUCUAGGGUGAUAAUCAAUUAUCAACGCAUAAUUCUUAAUCAGUUCUAUCCAUCUCCGCUGUCUCAGAUUCAAUUCCUUUUGAGUCAUUAAGUACUUCAAACUCUUAUGAACGGUGAAUACACGGCAAGUCUCACCAUACAAAUGGUGUUUCCAAAUCUUCAAGGAAAAAACAAUGGCAACUAGCUCCAAGUCGUGAGUCGGAUAAUUUUUCUCGUGUGAUUUCAGUUGCCUCGAACCAUAGGCUAUCACCUUGCCCUCUUGCAUAAGUACACAACCUAGUCAAUUUAAAGACGCAUCACUAUGGACUGCAAAUUCUUUUCCUGGUUCAGGUUGCACUAAAACUAGAGUUUUAGUCAAUAAUGUCUUCAACUUAUCAAAACUCUGCUGACAUUUCUCCAACCAUUCAAACUUAACAUCUUUUUACAGAAACCUCGUCAAGGGAGUUGCAAUCAUAGAAAAUCCCUUUACAAAGUGUCGGUAAUAACUGGCUAAGCCCAAAAAGCUUCUAACCUUUGUUACGUUCUUUGGCGGCUUUUACUCGACAAUAGCAGAAAUUUUAUUCGAAUCAACUCGGAUGCCAUCACCCGACACAAUAUGACCGAGGUAUCCAACCUCUCGAAGCCAAAACUUGCUUUUGCUAAACUUAGCAUAUAGUUUCUUAUUCCGUAUAGUCUGUAAAACAAUCCUCAAGUGUUCGGCAUGGUCGGACUCAUUUUGGGAAUAGAUCAAAAUAUCGUCUAUGAAUGCCAUAACAAACUUGUCCAAGAACGGUCGGAAUACAUGAUUCAUUAAAUCCAUAAACGCAGCUGGGGCAUUUGUUAGACCGAAAGGCAUGACAAGAAACUCGUAGUGACCAUAUCUCGUCCUGAAAGCAGUCUUAGGCACGUCUGCCUCUUUGACUCACAACUAGUAGUAGCCGGAUCUCAGAUCUAUUUUUGAAAAUAUGGUGGCUCCCCUCAACUGAUUGAACAGGUCAUCAAUCCUUGGUAAAGGAUACUUAUUCUUAAGAUUCACCUUGUUGAGUUACCGGUAGUCUAUACACAACCUCAUCGAUCUAUCCUUCUUUUUCACGAAUAAUACAGGAGCACCCCAAGGUGAAGAGCUCGGUCUUGCGAAACCUUUGUCAGUCAAUUCUCGCAACUGUGAGUUUAACUCUUUCAACUCAAUUGGGGCCAUUUUGUACGGAGCAAUGGAGAUAGGCAUAGUUCCCGAUACUAGCUCAAUACCAAAUUCCACCUCUGUAAUAGAAGGUAAUCCAGGUAGCUCUUCUGGGAACACGUCGGGAUAUUCACAGACUAUCGGUACUGACUCAAUCUUCAACUCAAAUUCUUUAGUAUUCAAUAUAAAGGCAAGGUAAGCUUUGCACCCUUUUCUCAUGUACCUUUGAGCCAUCAUUGAAGUAAUCACAGCUGGCGGUGCAUUCAACUCAUUCGAAUCAACCCAAAGAAUUUCCCCAUCUGAGCAUUUUAAUUCUAUGUACUUACUAUCGUAAUUUACAAUCACACCAUGGACGAUCAACCAAUCCAUGCCAAGUAUUACAUCAAAUUCUUCAAAUGGAAAAAGCAUACGAUUUGCCAGAAAACAAUGACCUUGAAUUAUCAAAGGACAAUUCUUACAAACCUUAUCUACUAGUACCGACUUGCCUAGAGGGUUUGAUACUCUAAUUACAAAUUCUGUUGAUUCCACCAACAUGUUCAUGCUAGACACCAAUUUCAUGCAUAUGUAUGAAUGGGUGGAUCUCGGAUCAAUCAAGGCAAUAACAUGAGUAUUAUGGAGAGAAAUGUACCCGUAAUGACAUCGGUAGUUAAAGCUUCCUCUCUAGCGUGUAUCGCGUAAGUUCUCGUUGGGGCUCGAGCCUCUGAUUUUUUUGUAACACCCUGAAUUUGGGCCUAGAAGUUUUGGGCCUUGAGCAUGGGAGCGGUUGAAGGCAGCUUAUAAUAUUCUGUUAUGCGUGAAAAUUUUGUAGUUGAAGGCUUGUUUUAGUGGUUAAGUGUGCUGAGAAGUGUUGGAGAAGUCCUGGGUUCAAACCUGGACUCUAGUAAAAAUUUUGGUUUAAGGUGAAUCAAACCUUGGGUGUAGUAGGUAGGCCUUCAGAAUAUUGUUGGAGAAAUUGUGACACAAAAAGCCUCGUGGCUUAGUGGCAAGUAGCGUGUGGAGCAUUUAAGGGGAGGCAUGAGUUCGAAUCCCAUGGCAAGCAAAGAGCAUUUAUUUUGCUAACAAGGGGCGGCAAGAGUUGGUGUUGAAUUUAAACUCUAAUGAUGGAGGGUCCCACAUCGAGAAGCUAACAUAAGAGUGGUUGCGAAGCUGGCUUUAAAUAGAGAGAACCAUGAGGAGAGUAAAUGUACCCUUCUUGGCUGAUCCCUUUCGCUUUGUGGCGUGCUCGGUUGGGUUGGACGCCGACUAAGAGUGCUCAGAGUGUGGAUUAACUCCAGUCUCCAAUCAGGUGUGUAUUUCUCACUACUCUAGCUGUAGGAUGGCUACUUCGGGCCGCGAUGGGCCGAAAGAGGCAUGUGGGCCCAACGGGCCUACGGGCCCAAUUGGAUAAGUUGUUGAUUGUGUAGUAAAUAUUGGACUAGGCUAGGUGAAUCUCAUAUCUGUUGCUAGAUUUGGGCUAAAAGGGUCACACGAGCGUGUGGGCCCGUUUGGGCCGAGAAAGGGUUUUAGGCCCAUUCGUAUUAUUAUCCCUGUUUAGAAUACUUUAGUUUACAAAAUUACCGAAAUACCCUUGUAGGGUAGAAAUAUCGAAAUACCCCUGUAGGGUAGAAAUACCGAAAUACCCUUGUAGGGUAGAAUUACUAAAAUACCCUUAUAGGGUAGAAAUACCGAAAUACCCUUGUAGGGUAGAAAUAUUGAAAUACCCUUGUAGGGUAGAAAUACUGAAAUACCCCUGUAGGGUAAAAUUACUAAAAAUACCCCUGUAGGGUAGAAUUACUAAAAUACCCCUAUAGGGUAGAAUUACCGAAAUACCCUUGUAGGGGUAGAAAUACCAAAAUACCCCUGUAGGGUAGAAUUACUGAAAUACCCCUGUAGGGUAGAAUUACUGAGAUACCCUUGUGGGGAAAAAUUACCAUUUUACCCCUAGGGUGUUAAAUGACUGUUUUGCCCUUGUGGGCAAGUGACUGACUUGGACUGUGUGUUGACGGAUUUGAUUGUGAAUAUAUGUUGGUGAUGUGAAUGACUUGAUUGUGAUUGUUUGAUUCAAAUAUGGACAUGAUAUUUUGAUUCUGUAUGUUGUAUGCGAUGACAUGUAUAUCUAUUGCAUGGGAUAUGGGUUAUAUUGAUGGAGGAAACGUUCUGGCAGCCUCACUGCAAUCUGGUGGCCUCGCCACAUAUAUCUAUUCUGGUGACUUCGUCACAAUAUUUGGCAGCCUCGCUGCAAUCUGGUGGCCUCGCCACAUAUAUCUGUUAUAGUGACUUCGUCACAAUAUCUGGCAGCUUCGCUGCAAUCUGGUGGCUUUGCCACAUAUAUAUAUAUAUAUCUGUUCUAGUGACCUAGCCACAAUAUCUGUAUCCGGUGACUUCGUCACAAUAUCUGGCAGCCUCGCUGCAAUUUCUGUGGUGUGUAGCGGUUGGGUGGGUCGAGUAGUCUCCCCACAUGAUGUAAGGUUGGUACGGGGGUGUAUACGGCUGGAUUGGGUUGGGAUUGCAUUCACAUUCUAAUUUUGAUUCUGUUACCUGAUACUGAUUCUAAUUCUGAUUCUGUCACCUGAUUCUGAUUCUGAUUCUGAUUCUAGUUCUGAUAAUAUUUCUUAUUCUGUAAUGGGUUAAAGCCCAUCUGGUACUGUUUGUUAUAGUGGGCUAAGGCCCAAUUGAUACUGAAACUGUAAGUAAGGUUGGGGCCAGACUUUUAAUUCUUUUAUAUGACUGACUGUUACUUUUUAUAGUAGGGGAUUUCACACUGAGUUUUCGUAAACUCACCCCGUUUAUUAACCUUUCAGGUAAUUUCCAGCCUUAGACGGAUCGGAGCUGCGAGGGGCUCGGAGGAAGCCACACACAGUGUUUAUUUUAUAGUUUUGAUUAUUACUUUUAAAUGUUUUAUAUGGGUUGUAGUAAAGCCGCUGUAAUUUUCUGGAUUUCAAAUUUGAAAUUUUACUUAUUGUUCUUAUAAUUGCUAGUAUUAGAACACAGUUUUCCAAAGCAACUACUGUUGUUCAAAACAUUACGUAUCCGCAAUUGUUUUUAAAUUAAGCUUCCGCAACUACCAAGAUUUUUACAAAGUUGUUAAGAAUGUUAUUCAGCUGAGGUUUUCUCACAAGGUUUAAAAAGGGUAUAAGUUUUUAAUUAUUAAGAAGGGUUUUUAAAGGAAACAUGGUUUUCGAAAAACACUUUAAUGUGACACGCCAGAUUCGAGCCAAACUUCUAGGCCGGGUUUAGGGUGUUACAUUUGUAGUAGAAUCCUUUGCAACAUUUCGACUGCCGCUAGCACUUCCAGGGUGUCAUGAUGGUCUACCUCGGGAACUAGGAGCAUUAGACUUUGGAUCUAAGUCCACUUCUUUAUCGGUUCAUUCCAGGAAAUCUCUAAGAAAGUGGUCAAGAGAACUACAUCUGUGGCACGCUCCGCUCUUCAGUCGACACUCUCCGAAAUGAAAUUUGUUGCAACUUUUACAUGAUGGCUUUUGAUCAUCCACAUUUCCCACACUAGUUGCCAUAGGGGAGGAAGACUUUGGGUUGUGACGUUUAGAACUUCUUGUUCUACCCAAAUAUCCCACAGAUGCAGUGGAACAUUCUUGUUGACCCCUCGAUUUCUUCAUGGGGAACUAGUGUGCUCUGUCGCUAGAUCUCUUACUCGAAGCUCUAGCUUCUCUCUUUGCUUGGUUUCUUUUAUUAUUUAGUUCUUCGGCCUUCUUGGCCCGAUCGGCUAAUGUAACCAAUUCCCUUAUCUCAAAGAUCCCAAUUAACAGCUUGAUAUCCUUAUUCAGACCUUCCUUGAAGCGCUUACACAAUUCUACCUCUGUCUGGACCCAUUCCUUUGCAUACUGACUUAGUCUUACGAAUUCCCUUUCGUACUCUGACACAGUUCUGUUUCCUUGUUUGAGUUCCGGUAACUCCUUUCGCUUAUGGUUUAAAAACCUUUGACUAAUAUAUUUCUUCCUAAAUUCUACUUGGAAGAAUUCCAAUGUGAUAUUCUCUCUCGGUGCUACCAAGGAUAUAGUCUUCUACCACUAGUAUGCUGUGUCCUUCAAUAGCGACACUGCGCAGUUCAAACUUUCCUCAGGAGUACACGACAGUUCGUUGAGAACUCGUAUGGUGUUUUCAAGUCAAAAUUCAACACGCUCCGGGUAAUCAUCAAUUGAGGCCCUAAACUCUUCAGCUCCAUAUUUCUUAAGUUUAUCCACUAGGGCCUUACCAAUUCUCGCAGGUGCCAUACCCGGUGGCACUUCUCCUUCAGGUCGAGCAGGGGGUGGAGGAGGUCGUGGUAUAUUGCGGCAAUUUCUCAUGUAAUCACCAAACCAUUCAUCCAUCAUUCUGAAAACGGCAGCUUUCGCCUCUUCCUGGCCUUCAGACUGUCGAAACCCUUUUUUAUUUUGAAAACAAUGGGGAUCGACAUUUGAAAACAAAAAUGUGGAGUCACCACCAAUCUCUUGAUUUAGGUGUGAUUGGAUGACCUAUUAAAACGCUUUAUUCAAUGAAAAAUAAAUUCGAUUUAGGUAAAAAUAAAAAGAAACGGGUUCGGGAGUCGAUUAUGCAUGAGGAAGGGUUAGCACCCUCAUUACGCCCAAAAAACUGGUACCAAAUUGAUUUACUGUUGUCUUUAUAUCAAAAGUUUUAAAGGAAAAGAUUUUCCGAAGUAUGAUUUUUUUUCUUAAAAAUGUUUGAAUUGCUCAAAUUAGUGGUAAAAAAUCUCUCGUUUCAAAGACAUGCGGUUUCAUACCCAGUACGAUUGGAUACGAUCCCUUACACCUUUAAGAUGCGAUCGAUUUUUGACUUUUGAAAAAUUCGUGCAUUAAAAUUAUAAAAGGUUAUCUAAAUAUUUGGUUUACCGGAAAAGUCAUACCCAGUACGAUUGAGCACGAUUUUCUAAAUUCCCCAAAUAUUAGAUAUUACCUUAUUUCAGAUUUUUUGAAUAUCAGAAAAUUGAAAAUUUGCUCAAAAACACGUUUAUUUGCAUAGAAACUUGGGAUACAUGUUUAUUGAAAUUGUUAUUACAAAAUACAAAGUUCAAAUCAAAUUAUAUAUGAAAUAUUUAAAACACAAAUCCAUUCAAAAAUUGAUAAUUCUCAUGAUACCUUAAAUAAUGUAUUAAGAAUGACAAUACAUGAUAUAAAAUAAUGUACAAAAUAAAUUUAUGAAACAUGUAUAUACAAGUAAAAAUUGGGUAUAUUUAUUUGUAAAAAAAAAUUAAUAAUGUAUGAAAGAAAUGAAGUAAAUAUAUAAGUUAUAUAAGUAAGAAAAUAUAUAUAAAAAAAUAAAUAAAACAUAAGGAUAAUAUGAGACUGUAUAUAAUAAAUUAUAUAGUUUAAAAUAGGAUUCUUAAAAAAAAUAUUAUACACAUAAAUAAUUUUAAAAGAGGAUAUAUACAUAGAAAAAUAUUUACAUAAAGUUAUAUGAAAAUAAUAAGAUGUACCAUAGUAAAAAUAAUUUAAUAUGUGCCAUAUACAUGUGAAAAAAUAUUAGAAAUAAUUAUAUGUCAAAAUAUCAUUUAAUUAAAAUAUGAAUUAUAAAAUUAACCAUAACUUAUAUACGUAAUAAUUUUAAAAACACCAUUAUAUGAGUUUAUUUAAAAAAUAUAUAUGUAUAAGAAUAUCUUGGCUUUAAUAAUGAAUACAAAUUAAAUAUAAGUUCUAAAUAUAUGUUUAAUAAUAACUUAAAUAAUACACAAAAUAUGUGGGAUUUUUUUUUUGAAUAAGAAAGAUAUGUGAAUAAAUCUAAAAGAAAUUAUAUGUAUAAAAAUACUAAUGUUUAAAAAUGUAUUUAAAUUAUAUAUACCAAUAAUUUUUGUAUAUGUAUAGUUAAAAUUUAAUUAAUGUAUACAACAUGCGAUUUCAUUUUGAAAAAACAUAUACAUAUAUAACAUUAAUAUGUGAAAAAAAAAAGUUAAACGUAUAUAAUAAUUUAAUGUUAAUAAUGUUCAUGGAAUAAAACCAAUUAUUAUGAGGUAUAUACGUGUAUAAUAACGCAUAAAACACUACAUAAAAUAAUAUGCAACAUGGGGAACUUCAAUUAUUCAAAUUACAACAAAUAAGUAACCAACAAUACAAUUAAUACAAUUAAUAUUAACAUUACAAAUAAUAUAAACAAUAAAAAACAAAAACGAAAAUAAAAUAAUGAUGAAUAUACAUACAUUAAUAAAAGGACCGAAAAUAUAUGAGUGAAUAAACCCAAAUUUAUAACAUAAAUCUAAUAAAAUACUUAAUUGAAAUCAAAGUAAAAAUAAAAAGAUAAUUUACAAAAUAAGUAAACUACUAAUGGAAACUCAUAUAUAACACACAUGAAUUCACAGGGAUCAAGAUUGAAAUAAUCCCUGAUCCUGAAACAUUGUGUUGAGAUGCGGACUAAAACAUAAAAGUACUUCAAAUUUUGGGAAUAAUCUAAAAGAAAAUAAAGCAAAUCAAAUGCAAAUGGGAGCAGAUUACAACGCGGUGCAAGGAGGAAGGAUCAAACAUGAAAUUAUCCAUUUAAAUAAAAAGGCACAAAUCCAACUUCUAAAUCAGGUUUUCACGCAAACCUUUACCUUUCUCAAACAGUGCCAUUUUGUUUGUUUCAUAAAAAACAAAAGGAAAAAAAAACCUAAAAUACUAACAAAAGAGAGAAGACAGAAGCACUCUAAUUCACUCCUCUCUCUUUGGCUGAUUCCCAUAGCCCCCUUAUUCGCAUGUUCUUGCUUCGUUUUGAUCAGUGACUCAAGAUGUACAGAGGAACCAUGGAGGGUUAAACCUCGAAGACUAUUUGCUUCGAUUUCAAAAUCCCGUCCCUACUUCGAUUGCGACGAAGAAGACGGUUAUUGACUACUAAGGUAAAUCCCUUCUUUUUAUUUUAAAAUUUCAUGUAAAUCCCCUUCUUUCUUUUGUUUUAAAAUUUCAUGUAAUCCUAAAGAAGAAAAACGCGAAAAAAAGAAAAAAAAGGAAAACAAUAAGACUGGAAAUCACCUUUUCGAUUUUUAUUUCUCUUUCAAUAUGCGUCUGUAUUUCUGUGGAAAAAAAAAAUAAUCCCCCAUUUACAGUAUACAAUUGGCUUUAUAUAGCCAAAAUCAAGAUUUACAAAUUUCCCCUUUUUCCCCCUUAAUUUGUUUGCUAUUAUUCUGUUAUAUUAUCUGUCAUUUGCUGUUGUGAUUUCCAUUUGUUGCAGGUAUGGAGCCAGCUGGCUGAUGGCGCACGUGGGACUGGCCGGAGGCAGCAACGGUGCUGGAAGCUGCUGGAAACCUGUUAGGCGCAAGAGAACCUUAGGGUUUCUGCUGAAAAUUUGGUUUAGUUUUGGGCCAUGGGGUGCUGGGCUAUUUGGGUUAAUUGGAUUAAUAAAUUUGGGUUAAUUGGAUUAAUAAAUGUAAAUGGACUUGACUUUUAAAUUAUUUUGGUUUUAUUAUUUUUCUAUUUUGGUUUUGGUAUAGGCCUGGGCGAAAUGGGCCUAUUACACAGACCUCGGCCUUUUACUACUACUAGAAGUAGCUCAUUGUACGAAAGCUGAAGUAUGGCUCUCACCUCCUUCGGACUCAUGCUGGGCUUGAUUGGAAAACAUUUACUAUAUUCAAAUACAAUUAAAAGGGUUAAGAGAUGUCACACUAUCAUAACUUGUAUAAUGGCAUGUAUAGCUAGACCCGAUACACGUUACGUUAGUCCGAGAAUUGACUAAACUGUAGCUCUGAUACCACAAAUAUAACAUCCCUUACCCGUACCCGGGACCGAGACAAGGUAUGAGGCAUUACCAUACAAAAACGUGAAUGUUCCGAGAAAGACGGGUUAUAAAAUUUCAUUUCAAAUUUAAAACCAAUCAAAAAAAAUCAUGUUGUCCCUAUUAUGGACCUACGAGGUCCAAAACGUAUGUUAGAAGCAUGCAGGGACUAAACCGAGAACAUAAGAAAAUUUUUAGAAAAAUUUCAUGAUUAAGCCUCACACGCUCGUGUGGAGGCAAUGUACACGCCCGUGUGCUUUGGAACUCUCCCGUGUCCUUUACUCGUGUGAAAUUAUUAAAAUUUUAUUUUUCAUUUCGAACCUACAAGGGUUUUCACACGGCCGAGCACAUGCUCGUGUCCCUCGCACGGCUUAGACAUACCUGUGUUGUCACCCGUGUCUAAAAACCUGGACAUUCUGUUUAUGACGUCAUCACUCAUUUAGGGCACAUGGCCAAGACAAACGUCCGUGUGUUAGGCUGUGUCCUCCACACGAUCGAGACACAUGGCCGUGUCUCUACCCGUGUAUUUACUACCAUGCAUUCUGACUUUAAAAUUUUAGGUGCAGGGGACACACGGCCGGACAACACGCACAUGGGGCUGACCGUAUGUCACACACGACCUAGACAUACGCCCGUGUGUCUACCUGUGUGGACCAUUUUGGUGGCUAUUUACCAAGCCUUUGGUCACCCACACUCACCAUACGCACUUAUACCUCCAAUGAUGUUUGACAUGGUAACUUGUACACUCAUGUCUCUUGUUAACCUAUGUUAACAUUACCCUUUUUAUGUUGGGGUUACCAUUUCAAAAAUCACAUACAUUCUUGGCCAAUUAUCUAAUUCAUACCAUUUAUGGCCUAAUACAGCUCUAUGUGAUUUGGCCACAUUCCACAUAUUCCUUCAUGAUAUAUCAUAUUAACCAUCACAAGAAACAUUCAAGCAUGAACUUGUAUAAUUAGUAGGUUUACAACCUACAUCAAUGUAAGCCAUAUCUCAUGGCCAUUUACAAAAUGAAUAAACAUAUCAUUCAAGCCCUUAUAUUGGCUAGCCAAAUGACACAUAUAACCAAAAUGACCAAAAUACCUAUACAUGCCAUUAUAACAAAAUAAAAGUUUCUAUAUACCAAGUAAGACAAGUUGAUAGUGUAGACAAUGCUCCUAUCAUCUUCCAAUCUUCACGAGUCCACGAGCUCUGUAAAAUAAGGGAAAGGAAAAGGGGGUAAGCAUUAACAUGCUUAGUAAGUUCGGUAACGAGAAGGUAAACUUACCGAUUAUUUAAUGUACAUUCAUAUUAUGUAUUCAUACCCAAAAAGUAUAAUAUAAUCCCAUAUCACAAUCACUCAAACAUCAAGUUAGCCCCAUGUCAAUAAAUUAUGACAUCAACAUUUGAUGAGCUCAUCCAUUUCAAGAAUUUCCAUUUCCAUUUCUCAUGUUAGUCCCAUUGAAUUUUCUCGGAAUCUCGAUGGAUAUCCAUUUACCCUCAAAUCAUGCCAAUGAUCAUUUCAAGUACGUACUCCUACGAACCUCGCAUCUUACGGCGGGAUUACUAGUCCAGGCUAAAUCCCCCGUAAUGUAACUCAUAGAGUAGAUGUCAGAUUACCAGUCCAGGCUAAAUCCCUUACAAGGGCAUGUACUCUAAUGAGCUCGAAUCUGAAUUACCAGUCUAGGCUAAAUUCAGACCCUAAUCGGGUUACCUGUCCGGGCUAAAUCCAUAAUUGCACACAUAUUCUUCUGGAGGCUAGAUCACAUAAGGAACACCCGUCUGGGCUAGAUCCUUUUUACCAUCAAUUCAUUUUUAGAUAAUCCAUCAGAUUUCCUUUUUAUUCAAUCGGGACAUUUUCUCAUAACAUCAAAUUAUUCAUGAAUUAUCAUACAUUAAAUAUUUCUAUUAUAAGUCAUACAUGAACAUACAUUUUAGUAUAUUUUGAAAUAGUUUACAUUCGAGUUACCCGAAGUUACCUAGAAGAUGUUUUCAUAAUCUAAUUUCAGUUACUCUGAAACCUUUUGUUUUCCACGGUCAACUUCCAGAGUUGGUCUCUCGGGGUCUAUAUAAGUAAAAAUGAAUCAUUAAUAUGUCACAUUAUUCAUAUCGAGCCUAAUUUACACCCCAGGAAAAAUGACCAUUUUGCCCCUAACAUUUCACAAUUUUACAACUUAGUCCCUAGGCUCGUAAAAUGAAAUACAUGUAAUUCCUUAGUUACCCAAGCCUAGCCGAAUGUACCCUAAGCUCAGACCAGCCCACAUUUUCCUCUAUGUCACAUUUCUAUUACACAUUUUUACACCUUUUGCAAAAAGGUCCUUUUAGGGGUUUUUCAUGAAUAUCACUUAGGAAAAGAUGUUUAACAUACACUAAACUUUCAUAUUCCUCCAUUAAACAUCAAAAUACAAACAUGUCAAACAUGGUUAAUUUUUUAUACAUGAACCCUAGCUCAAAAUAUGGGUAGAAAUGGAGAGAACAUGUUAUAAUGAUCUCAAAAAUACAAAGAACAUUAAAAACGGGGCUAGAGAGCACUUACUAUUGAGCUUGAAAAUCUUGAAAAUCCUAGCUAUAGAGAGAUUGAGAAUUUCGGCAGCCACAAGGAAGAAGAUGGCUUAUUUUAGCUCUCUUUUUCCCUUUUUAUUUCAUUUAUUACCAAAAAACCAAAAUGCCCCUCCUUACUAAACUUUCAAAUUUUUCCAUGCAUGCCCAUUUUUGUCCAAAAUCCUAGAAAUUGGGAAAUUUUCUAUUUAAGACCUCCUAAUUAAUAUUUCAAAGCAAUGUCAUACAAAUUGCUUCUAAAACCCAAGUUUUGCAAUUUAUUCAAUUUGGUCCCUAAUUUCCAAUUGAACACCUUAUACUUAAAAUUUCUUCAUAAAACUUUAACAUAUGCUUGUUCUCAUAUCCUAGGCCACUUAAUAAUUAUAAAAUAAAUAUUUUAACUUCAGAUUUGUGGUCUCAAAACCACUAUUCCAACUAGACCCUAAUUUGGGAUGUUACAAGAAAUGUGACUUGGAAAAUGGCCUAUUUUUGUCCACACAGGCAGAGACACGGGUGUGUGUCUCAGCCGUGUGUGACACACGGCUAGGUGACACCGCCAUGUGUCCCCUGAUGCUUCUAUAGAUAUCAUGUCAUUAGCUUCACAUGGCCUAGCACAUGGGUGUGUGGCUUGGUCGUUUGGCACAAGUCAGUAUCCCCUCCAGUUUUUACACGGCCUAUCACAUGGCCUGGCACACAGGCGUGUGAGGCCAUUUCCAAGGGUACAUGGCUUGGCACACAGGCAUGUGGGUUGGCCGUGUGACCCAAGUUAGUGACUUACACGAGGUCGGACACGGGCUGGGACACGGCCGUGUUUCCCCAUUUCGAAUGCCCACAUGGCUUGAGACACUGGCGUGUCUCUUGGCCGUGUGAGACACAUGGCCUGGCCACACGAGCGUGUUUCCCCUGCACUUUGAAAAAUUUUAAUGUUUUUCUAAAAAUUCCUUGAGUACUCGGUUUAGUCCCGAACCAUUUUUAAUGACUAUUUUGGGCCUCGAGAGCUCGUAUUAGGGACCAUAUGAAUGUUUAUGAAUGGUUUUUGAUUUGAAUGAGAAUUGUACUUGAAAUUUUUGAAUGAUUGAGUUAUAUGUCUGGUAAUACUCUAAAACCCUAUUCCGGCGUCGAAUACAGGUUAGGGGUGUUACACGUAGCACGUUAAAUCAUCAUUUCAAACAAAAAUUUUAGGUUAAUUUAUACAUUUAGUCUCCAUAUUUUUUCAUUUUGAGUAAUUUAAUUGUUUUCUUCUAUGUUCUUUUAAUUUUUUUUCUUUAUUCCCAUUCUCUUCUACUUCUUCCUCUGUUAUCAUCCCUUCUCAAUUUCUUUUAAUGUAGUUUUUCUAUAUUUUCCAUUUGUUCAAACUAGUCCCUAUAUUUUUUUUUGAAAAUUUUAAUUUUUUCCGAGCGAGGCAAGCUUGUGGACUAGUUUUAACAAACAAAAAAAAAUAGAAAAACUACGUCAAAAUAAAUGAAGAAGGGAGGAAAACAAAGGGAGAAGCGGAAGAGAAUGGAAAAUAAAGAAAAAGAAAGAAAGUUAAAAGAACAUAAAGAAAAAAAAAUUAAAUUGCUUAAAAUGAAAAAAUAUAGGGACCAAUUGUAGAAUUUAAUCUAAAUUUUUUGUUUGAAAUGAUGAUUUAAUGUGUCACGUCAACUUACCAUUACACCAUUAACAACAAUUAAUGGCUCAGUGACUAAAAUGUUACAACACGAUAAUAUAAGUGACUAAAAUGUAAUUCGAGGCAGAUAAAAUUGACUAUUUUGAUAGUUUACCCUAUUUGUUAUGUUUAAAAGAUUUGGUAGAAAUAUUUCAUUAAUUUAAGAUACAUUGAUUUUCUCUUUAUUUUCAAAAUAGUUUAAACAAAUUAAAUAUUAGUAUUUAUCAUUAUGUUAAUUAGAUAUCAAAAUAGUUUAAAUAUGCUAUACAUUAACUGUAGUUAAUUAAAUGAUAUCAAUAUUAUUUAUGUUUAUUUUAUUAUCAUGUAUAUUUUAUUUUAUGAUUAGAUGUAUAUAUAGUUUAACAUUCAUGAAAGUUAAUACUUCUUACAUUGUAUGUUUUUCACUAGUGAAAUAUUUAAAAUUACAAUAUUGUUAAAACAUUUAUUAAAUUUUACUUAUCGCUUAUUAUUAUAAUUUACAUUUUACAACAACUAUUUUUUCAAUUAAAUUAUAUAUUAUUGAUUAUAAUAUACGUUGUAAAUUUUUUUAUUAAAUUGUUAUUUAAAUAAUAAUUUUAUAAAAUGCAAUAAUAAUUUGCGCAUCGCACGAGAAAGAAAAUUAGUGCAUAUUACCCUAUAUUCACACCAAGUGACGUUCUCUCAAUUUUUUUCAUUUAAUUUCUAUUUUUUAUUUAAAAUUUUUUUAGAGUUAUGAAAUAUACGAUUGUGUUUUUUUAGAAAAUGAUGGAAUGUAUAUCUAUAUUUAAGUCUUUUUAAUUUGAUAUUAAUUCAGUUAAAAAUUAAAAAAAUUAAUUUUAUAAUUUUAUAAAAGUAUUUAUAUAUUUAUAAUUUUUUAAAUUAAAUAAUUCAGAUUAUAGUUUUUAAGAAAAUCAAAAUGGAUGAAUAGUUAAAGUCAAUAAAUUCAAGUUCAUCUGCUCACAAAUCACAUUGAUUUUACUAACUAAAGUUAUGUGUUGUGCAUACAUAACUUUACCACAAAUUUAUUCUAAAAGACUUGAGAACCAUGCGUGUGUUAAUCUAAAAUUUUCAUAAAAUUAAAAAUAAAUGACAUUCAUAUACAUUCAUAAGGAAAGGAUAUCACAUUUAAACAAAUAUAAUAAAAUAUGUUAGUAACUAUACAAGGAAAGGAUAUCACAUUAUUCAAUAAACUUGAACAUUAAACUGCUUUUUCAAGAUUCACAACUGCCCUUUAUUUGGAAUAAGUAAUACUCUGGUAAUCAAUCAUUAUCAUAAAAAUAGGAUUUAAUUAUUGUAUUAUAAAAAUACUUAAAUUGUUAUGAAUAUCUUAUUAAGUGGGAUGUCUAUCAAGAUCAAAAUAGGUUUUGAUAUACUUUAAAUUCUAAUAGUCAUGAGAAGUAGAUCUCUAUUUCAUUUAUACUUAUGCCUAUAAAUAGAGAUUUUGGAGAAGCUUUGUAAAUAUCUCCAUUGAUCAAUAAAAUAUGCUCUCCCAUUUUCUUUGUUUUUUACUCUCUAUCUAUUUAUUUUAUAACACGUUAUUAGCACGAUUAUGUUUUAAUUGAUUUUCUCCAUAAGUCACAAAAAAUUUUCCCUUUCACCAAGCCUUACCCCUUUCAAGCAACAACCAAUGGAAUAGCUAGUCACUCAAAUUUGCUACUCAAGCUAUUGUCGAUUACCUUCUAGAGCUACUAUUAUAUCAGUCUACAGUUAAGGCUUGCACAUUAUGGGUAAUCAUUAUGCAAAGAAACUUUAUAUAAUCCUUACAUGUGCUCGUGAUAAUAGCUAGGGUGAUAACAAUGAUGUUACAGAAUCUUAUGUAUAUUUUACUAUGAUUUAUUUAUUAUAUUAUGUUUAUCAUAAUUGGAGACUAAUCAUGACAACAUGAAUAGAUAGAUUUUGAUUUGAAAUCCAAGCAUAUUUUGCGAUACUGAUUAUGAAAUAAAGAAUCAAUGGAGGCGUUUAGAAGUUUGUCCUACCAGAUUUGUUGCAUUCCCUAAAGUGAAUGCAAACAUAAAGAAAAUAAAAUAUAUAAUCAUGGACCACUAAAAGUGGGAAUAUAGUAAUAAAUAAGAGAACAAUAAGAGUUCUCAAGAUAACUCUUUAAAGGGUAAAAAUAAUCUAUGUUACCAAUGUGAUAUGAAAGAUUAUUGGGCACAUUAUAUCCAAAUAUUUUGUUUUUGCUAAUAUUCUUUGAGGAAGGAUAUGAGAAUGUAGUAAUGAAUUCUAUCAUUAUGGAUAGAAAAUAUUUAUCUUAUUUGGUACUAAAACAAACAAAUAUAAUUCUAAUAUUUGAUAGUACAAAAUUAGAUGAAACCUCCAGAAGAGCAGCUAAUAUAUCAGUAUCUAAAAGAACAAAAUUUGUGAUAGUUGAUGCACUGGUUUGAAAAGAUAUUUAUUGUAAUGGAUAUCAUAUUGAGAUUAUGAAUGAGGAAAAUAUUAUAUUUCACAUAAAUCACUAUUGCUAUAAAUAUCUACUUUGAAAAGGUGGAAAAAAAGAAGGAAGGUUGAGUUAUUGAUUACUCUUGUUAUUAAAUUGAAUUGAUUGUGACUAUCUUUGUGAUCUUCUUUUGUCAUCAUCCCCAUUAAAGGGUUGAAAGUAAAAUAUUUGACUGUAAAAGAUCUUGUAACAUCCCAAACCCGGCCCAGACAUUAUGACCGGAUCUAACAUGCCACAUCGAAGCGUUCAAAACAUUUUAUAUUGUUGAUCCAGAAAAACUUACUUAGUGUUUUAAAAGAUAAUUUCAUUAUAGGUUAAAGUGAAUGGAAGCUGUGCACCAGGUAGGAAACCGGAAAAGAGGUGGUGAGUCCAUCGGACUACUUAAGUACCAAGCUCCAUUCGGAUCCAAUCCUAGACAUGCAUACCGCCAUUGCCACACCUUAAUGUCAUGGAUAUUUCUAGGAAACCGAUUUGAUUAAGUCAUUUUUAGGAAAAGUGAUUAAUUUUGGAAAAUACUUUCAUUGCGGAAGCUUUGCUUGUUGUCGUGUUAUUUUGAAAUCAAUUGUUGUUUUUGAAAACACGCCCUAAAGCUAUCCAAUUUCAACAGUUAAAAUAAGUAAUACCUAUCUUAGUAAUACAUAUUAAAACCAUCAAAAAUAAUUAAGCGGUCUUAUUACAACUUAAAACCUAAAUCAUAAAAAUAAAAGAAAAGAUGUCCAAUUCAUCGGAAGAAAACAGGAAUUUGUAGAAUAUGUGGCCACUCCGAAUUCCCUCACAGCUCCAAGCCCACUAUGGUUGGGGAUUUCCUGCGUGGAUGAAAAUAAAAGGGGUGAGUUUGGGGAAACUCAGUGUGUAAGGAAAACCCAUUCAAAGCCCAAGUCAGCUCAAGCCUAUUGGGCCUAAGCCCAUUCAGGUAACAGUGGUACUGGACCAGAGCCCUUUUCAGAUUACAAUAAACUGGGCCUUAGCCCCUUAUUUAGAUAACAGUAUGGCCCAUAGGCCCAUUUCAAAAUACAUGCAACAUCAAUAACAUAUGCAAGCCCAUUUGGGGAGACUACUCAACCCACCAACCACUACACUCCACCCGUACCAGCCCUACACUCCAUGUGGGGAAUAGCUCAACCCACCCAGCCCAACACUCCACAGUUGCAGCCUUGCUGCUCAGUUAACAGUAAAUUGAGGCAAAGCCUCCAGUACGUGGACAAGCCACUUUCAGUACUUCCUCCGUCAAUAUCCCAAUCUCAUGCAUUAGAUAAUAACAACAUGGCAUGCAGUAAAUAACAACAGUCAAACAUGCAUUUAGGUCAAUUUAACCCUAGGGGUAUUUCGGUAAUUUAUCUACUAGGGGUAAAACUGUAAAUUUUCCACUUUUAAAGGUAUUUCAGUAAUUUAUCUAUUUUAGGGUUUUUCAUGCAUAUUCCUACUUUUCACGUACUAACAGAAUCAUGUACUGAGGGUUCUUACCGAAUUGGGCCUGUUGUUCCAUCAUUCCAAUUUUGGCCCAUUAAGCCCAAAAAUAUCUAGGGCAUAGAAAUCAUGCACUUUGCAGUCCAAAUUUUGCAGCUUACCAAAAACAUUAAUCGAUUUACCUCACGAGCAUUCGCACACUCGCAAAUCUAUAAAAUACCGGUUUUCAGCAUUUCGGCUUUUCGACUUUUGCUGAUCCAGACUAAGAAAGAGGGUGUUAGUUACACACCUGUUUGCGACGAUAUGCUGACGAGAUCUACACACGAACUACCUACAAUUGGAUUACUAACGCAUUAAUCUAACUAUUCAAAUACGAACUACGUAUUAACCCCUUACAAUAUUCAGCCAACCAUACCUACAGAUCAAAGUAAGCUUAUAAGAAAACAAUAAGCAACUCAUUAACAAAUUUUUGUCAAUGUUUACCACAUAAUCAUAAUUUCACUGCAAGUUGUCUUCCUGAGCAACAGUAACUAAAUUAUUUAUAACUGGAGCUACGAAACUCCAAAUCAAGUGCCGUUAAUUUUCCCUGAUAAUAGACUCAUAUAUAUUUUAUCCAUAAAAUUUUCAGAAUUUUUGGUAUGGCCAAUCAAUACCAGAUUUUUCUUAAAGUUUCCCAUGUUUCACUGUUUGACUAAUCUGACCACUCUUCAUUACGAAUCAAAUUUCUCAUUGUACAGAAUUAAAAAUAUGUUCUCGUUUAUUCCAUUUGAAACUAGACUCAUUAAGCUUUAAUUACAUAAUUUAUGCAGCUUCUAACUCAUCUCCCACAAUUUAUGGUGAUUUUCCAAAGUCACGUUACUGCUGCUGUCCCAAGCAGAUUUAUUACCAAAUCACUCUUUCACACCUAACUUGCAUGCUUGCUAUUUAAACAUGUAUAUCACCAAUCAAUCAUCACAUAUCUAUGAUUUUACUUAAGUAUAAUUUCUAUUUCAUCAUUUUAAAGCACAACAUGUUAGCCGAUUUUUCCCCUUAGCAUCUAAGGCACAUGCAUGCUCAUUUGUUUGACUCAACUUGACCUAUCUUCCAUUUUUCAUCAAAAGAACAUGAAACAACAACCAUUUCCUUCAUUUUAAUUCAUGACUAAAUGCUCACAACACAACUAAAAACCAAAAUAUGCUUCAAGAGUUAAGGUAGAAUCAAGAAGAACUCAUGAACAUCAAGAUAGAAGCAAACUACCAUGAACUUACCUUCAAUUUUCUUCCCCAAGUGACCGAACAUUCAAGAGCUUUCUCCUCUCCUUUCUCUUCUCUAACUUUAGGCUAUGAUGAACAAAGAUGGACAAAACUUUGUUCUUUUUACCCCUUUUUCUUUUAAUAAAAUUUCAUAUUUCAUCCAUUUAAUUCUUUAAUACAAAAUAUAUGAAAUUCCCAUCAUGGAACAUUUACCUAAACCAUUAUCAUGGAACAUUUACCUAACCCAUUAUCAUGGAAUAUUUACCUAAUCCAUUAUCAUGGAACAUUUACCUAACCCAUUAUCAAUUUGUACCAUGAAUUAUGGAUAUCAAGUGCUCAUAUUGUCUACAACAACAUGAUGGCUAGCCAUUUCAUGUAAAAUGGGAGGUUUGUCAUGCAAAUCCUCCUAUUUUGCACUCCUAUUUAUUUGGCCACUUCAAUUUAGCCUAUAGCAUUUUCAAACAUUUUCACAUAGGUCCUAUUUCAUAAUUUCGCUCACAAAUGACAAAAUUAAAGCAUGAAAUUUUGCCAACAUUCACAGAAUUCCCGAAAAUUGGGGCGUUACAACUCUACCCCCUUAAAGAAAUUUCGGCCUCGAAAUUUACCUGAUCCAAAUAGUUGAGGGUAUUGUUGACGCAUAGUCUCUUCUGAUUCCCAAAUAGCUUCUUCCCUUCCAUGAUUACGCCACAGUACUUUUACCAAUGGAACUGACUUCCUUCUUAGAACUUUAACCUCUCGAUCUAAAAUUUGUAUGGGUUCUUCUUCAAAGGUCAAAUCAGUCAUUACUUCAAUCUCCUCCACUGGCACAACAUGUGAGGGAUCCGAUCGAUAUCGUCUUAAUAUAGACACAUGAAAGACGUCAUGGAUUCUGUCUAACUCUGGUGGUAACUCUAACUGAUAUGCUACUGGCCCUACCCGCUUAAGAACCCGAUAAGGCCCUAUAAACCGCGGACUCAAUUUGCCUUUCUUGCUGAAUCUCAAGAUCUUCUUCCAAGGUGAAACCUUUAAGAAAACCAUAUCACCUAUUGAGUACUCAAUCUCCUUACGCUUCAAAUCUGCAUACGACUUUUGCCUAUCAGAUGCUUCUUUUAACUGUUCCCUAAUUAUUCUGACCUUAUCCUCAGUAUCAGCUACCAACUCUGGUCCAAGAACUUGUCGCUCUCCUAGUUCGGUCUAACAACUAGGUGUACGACACCUUCGUCCAUACAGUGCUUUAUACGGUGCCAUUCGAAUACUCGCCUGGUAAUUGUUAUUGUACGCAAAUUCUACCAACGGCAAGUAAUCCUUCCAACUACCUCGAAAGUCAAUCACGCAUCCCCUCAACAUGUCUUCCAGAAUCUGAAUAACCCUCUCUGACUGACCAUCAGUUUGGGGAUGGAAAGCUGUACUAAAAUUCAAUCGCGUCCCCAACGUCUAAUGCAACUUUUGCCAAAACCGAGAUGUAAAUCUGGGAUCCCAGUCAGAGACAAUCGAAACUGGGACUCCAUGAAGUCGUACAAUCUCCGUGACAUACAGCUUGGCUAGCUUUUGAAGCGAAAAGUCAGUACGUACAGGUAUGAAAUGGGUUGAUUUGGUCAACCUAUCCACAAUCACCCAUACCGAGUCUUUCUUUGAUGGUGUCAAAGGUAACCCACUCACAAAGUCCAUGGUUACCCUCUCCCACUUCCAAAGUGGUAUCUUCACCGACUGUAAUAGUCCAGAAGGUAAUUGAUGCUCAGCUUUCACUUGUUGGCAUGUUAGACAUUUUCCUACAAACUCCGUUACUUCUCGCUUAAGUCCAGACCACCAGUACAAUUCUCGCAAGUCGUGAUACAACUUAUUCCCUCCAGGAUGCAUGGCACAUAGUCCCCCAUAAGCUUCCUUCAAUAUUGACUGCCUUAAAUCAAAGUCCCUCGAAACACAAAUUCUUCCUCGGAAACACAGAACUCCAUCACCAUUUAAACCGAACUCAGAAGUUUCCCCUUCCUUAACUUGUUGAAAACGAGUAACCAAAGACUCAUCUUCCAACUGCUUUUCCUUAAUCUGGUCCACCCAGGUUGGCCUUACUUGCAAUUCAGCCAACAAACUGCCAUCAUCAUACAGACUCAAACGAGCAAACAUUGUUCUCAGAUCAGAUACGGUUCUACGACUUAAAGCAUCGGCUACCAUAUUAGCUUUGCCUGGGUGAUACUCGAUCGAACAGUCAUAAUCCUUAAGCAACUCAAUCCAUCUCCUUUGCCUAAGGUUCAGCUCCUUCUGAGUCAACAAAUACUUUAGACUCUUGUGGUCUGUGUAUAUAAUAUACCUUUCUCCGUACAAGUAAUGUCUCCAAAUCUUAAGUGCAACUAUCACUACUGCUAACUCUAAAUCAUGAGUUGGAUAGUUCCCCUCAUGAGGCUUAAGCUGUCGUGAUGCAUACGCAACCACUUUACCCUCUUGCAUUAACACGUAGCCCAAACCCACGUGUGAUGCGUCACUGUACACACUAAAAUCCUUCUCAAACUCCGGCUGAAUUAACACAGGUGCUUCAGUCAGAACUUUCUUCAACUUCUCAAAAGCUCCUUGCUGCUUCUCAGUCCAUACAAACGGUUCUACUUUCCUUAUGAGUUUUGUCAGGGGUGCUGCCAUAACAGAAAAACCUUCCACAAACCUUCUGUAGUAUGCUGCCAACCCUAGGAAACUUUGAAUUUCUGACACUGUCCUAGGUGGCUUCCACUCCAAAAUUGCUUCAAUCUUUCGAGGGUCCACCUUAAUCCCUUCGGCAGAGACCACAUGUCCUAAGAAGGUUACCUCCCUCAACCAAAAUUCACACUUGCUGAACUUCGCAAAGAGUUCCUUCUUCCUUAACACUCGCAGCACUAUACGGAGAUGCUCAUCAUGUUUCGCUUCAGUUUCAGAAUAUACCAGGAUAUCAUCAAUGAAGACGACUACGAAUAGAUCCAAGAAUGGUUGGAACACCCGAUUCAUCAGAUCCAUAAAUACCGCAGGAGUGUUCAUCAGUCCAAAUAGCAUAACCAAAAACUCGUAACGACCAUACUAAGUCCUGAAUGCCGUCUUAUGGAUAUCCGCCUCCUUGACCCUUAACUGAUGAUAUCCAGAUCGGAGGUCGAUCUUGGAAAAUACAGAAGCUCCUCUAAGCUGGUUGAACAGAUCGUCAAUCCUUGGCAGUGGAUACUUAUUCUUAAUCGUCAGUUUGUUCAACUAGAGAUAAUCAAUGCACAUCUGCAUCGUACCAUCCUUCUUUUUCACGAAUAGCACCGGUGCUCCCCAUGGAGACACGCUUGGCCUAAUAAAGCCCCUAUCCAACAACUCUUGAAUUUGAGCCUUUAACUCCACUAACUCCUUCGGUGCCAUCCUAUAUGGUGCGAUGGACACAGGCGCCGUUCCAGGCAACAAAUCUAUUCCAAACUCAACUUCUCGAUUCGGAGGCAAUCUUGGAAGCUCCUCCAGAAAAACAUCUUGGAACUCCUUUACGGUCCUAACCUUAUCCACUGUCCGUCCCUCCUCUUCCGACUGACUUACAAAUGCCAAAUAGACCUCACAACCUUUCCGAAUCCACUUUUUGGCUCUUAAUGCCGACACCACAUUGGACAAAUAAUCCCUUCGCGCACCUAUCACCAUAACCUCCUCAUCCUUUGUGGUCCAUAACACCAUUCGUUUAGCAGCACAAUCCAGAGUCACCUUAUGCUUAACAAGCCAGUUUAUUCCCAAAAUGAGAUCAAACUCUCCGAACAGUAACUCCAUCAGAUCUCCAGGGAAAAUCUUACCUUGAGUUUCUAAGGGUACAUCCCUAUACAGUUUGUCUACCCUAACCGAGUGACCUAAAGGACUUAGUACAGAUACCCCACUCACAAUCUCCUCAGAGUAGUCCAAGUUGUCCAUAAUCCGUUCUGUGGCCUCCAACCAAUAUUCCGCCACAUUCGGGGCUAUACCAGACACGCCCCUAAAGAUCUCCGCUCCGUUAGCCUGAAGUCGUUCAGAAAUAGAUCCCCGAAUUCCGUUGCCCAUACUUACCCCAGCAACCCUUUCCAGAACACGAAGCAUUGCCUGUGACAGGGCAUCAUCCCCGACACCGCAGUCAUGAGACUCUACCUCUGUUGCCGGUGGUACCGGUGCAUCUACCACUGGCAUAUGUCCCGAAGACGAAGAUCUCACUCGAGCACUUCCUCGGCCCCGUCCACGGCCUCUUCCACGAGCGGCUCUUGUACUCAUAUCGUAUUAUCUUGAUUAUGAAUUUUUAUGCAUCAAUUAAUAUUCCAGUGUUUAUUAUAGAUGUUUUAUGAAUCAGAUAGUAAUUCAGAGUUUGUUUUCGCAGAAUCGAAGUCUAGCUACAGUUUCAGUCUCUUAUCAAAAUUUUCUAUGGUUUCAGUAUCAUCCUAUCUAGAGUAUCCUAGCAGCAUUUUAGUAUAGACAGAUAAUUCAGAAAAAUAUUCAGAGAAGUUCAGAGUAAUACUUACAGACUUGAGCCAGAGAUUCGGAAUGCCACCUUCUAAAGAUCUAAAUUUUGAAAAUCGCAUUUUUCGCAAUUUUUUUUUUAUUUUUGAAAAUAUUUGUUUUUUUGUAAACCCAUUCCACGGCCGAGUUGUUGCAACCUAGGCUCUGAUACCACUAAAUGUAGCACCCCAAACCUGGCCCAUACGUUAUGACCGGAUCCGACAUGCCACAUCGAAGCGUUCAAAACAUUUUAUAUUGUUGAUCCAGAAAAACUUACAUAGUGUUUUAAAAUAUAAUUUCAUUAUAGGUUAAAGUGAAUGGAAGCUGUGCACCAGGUAGGAAACCGGAAAAGAGAUGGUGAGUCCAUCGAACUGCUUAAGUACCAAGCUCCCUUCGGAUCUAAUCCUAGACAUGCAUACCGCCAUUGCCACACCUUAACGUCAUGGAUAUUUCUAGGAAACCGAUUUGAUUAAGUCAUUUUUAGGAAAAGUGAUUAAUUUUGGAAAAUACUUUCAUUGCGGAAGCUUUGCUUGUUGUCGUGUUAUUUUGAAAUCAAUUGUUGUUUUUGAAAACACGCCCUAAAGCUAUCCAAUUUCAACAGUUAAAAUAAGUAAUACCUAUCUUAGUAAUACAUAUUAAAACCAUCAAAAAUAAUUAAGUGGCCUUAUUACAACUUAAAACCCAAAUCAUAAAAAUAAAAGAAAAGAUGUCCAAUUCACCGGAAGAAAACAGGAAUUUGCAGAACGUGUGGCCACUUCGAAUUCCCUCACAGCUCCAAGCCCACUAUGGUUGGGAAUUUCCUGCGUGGAUGAAAAUAAAAGGGGUGAGUUUAGGGAAACUCAGUGUGUAAGGAAAACCAUUCAAAGCCCAAGUCAGCUCAAGCCUAUUGGGCCUAAGCCCAUUCAGGUAACAGUGGUACUGGACCAGAGCCCUUUUCAGAUUACAAUAAACUGGGCAUUAGCCCCUUAUUCAGAAAACAGUAUGGCCCAUAGGCCCAUUUCAAAAUACAUGCAACAUCAAUAACAUAUGCAAGCCCAUUUGGGGAGACUACUCAACCCACCAACCACUACACUCCACCCGUACCAGCCCUACACUCCAUGUGGGGAAUAGCUCAACCCACCCAGCCCAACACUCCACAGUUGCAGCCUUGCUGCUCAGUUAACAGUAAAUUGAGGCAAAGCCUCCAGUACGUGGAAAAGCCACUUUCAGUACUUCCUCCGUCAAUAAUCCAAUCCCAUUCAUCAGAUAAUAACAACAUGGCAUGUAGUAAAUAACAACAGUCAAACAUGCAUUUAGGUCAAUUUAACCCUAGGGGUAUUUCGGUAAUUUAUCUACUAGGGGUAAAACUGUAAAUUUUCUACUUUUAAAGGUAUUUCAGUAAUUUAUCUAUUUUAGGGUUUUUCAUGCAUAUUCCUAAUUUUCACGUGCUAACAGAAUCACGUACCGAGGGUUCUUACCGAAUUGGGCCCGUUGGCCCAUCAUUCCAAUUUUGGCUCAUUAAGCCCAAAAAUAUCGAGGGCACAGAAAUUAUGCACUUUGCAGUCCAAAUUUUGCAGCUUACCAAAAACAUUAAUCGAUUUACCUCACGAGCAUUCGUACACUCGCAAAUCUAUAAAAUACCGGUUUUCGGCAUUUCGGCUUUUCGACUUUUGCCGAUCCAGACUAAGAAAGAGGGUGUUAGUUACACACAUGUUUGCGACGAUAUGCUGACGAGAUCCACACACGAACUGCCUACAAUUGGAUUACUAACGCAUUAAUCUAACUAUUCAAACACGAACUACGUAUUAACCCCUUACAAUAUUCGGCCAACCACACCUACAGAUCAUAGUAAGCUUAUAAGAAAACAAUAAGCAACUCAUUAACAAAUUUUUGUCAAUGUUUACCACAUAAUCAUAAUUUCACUGCAAGUUGUCUUCCUGAGCAACAGUCACUAAAUUAUUUAUAACUGGAGCUACGAAACUCCAAAUCAAGUGCCGUUAAUUUUCCCUGAUAAUAGACUCAUAUAUAUUUUAUCCAUAAAAUUUUCAAAAUUUUUGGUAUGGCCAAUAAAUACCAGAUUUUUCUUAAAGUUUCCCAUGUUUCACUGUUUGACUAAUCUGACCACUCUUCAUUACGAAUCAAAUUUCUCAUUGUACAGAAUUAAAAAUAUGUUCUCGUUUAUUCCAUUUGAAACUAGACUCAUUAAGCUUUAAUUACAUAAUUUAUGCAGCUUCUAACUCAUCUCCCACAAUUUAUGGUGAUUUUCCAAAGUCACGUUACUGCUGCUAUCCCAAGCAGAUUUAUUACCAAAUCACUCUUUCACACCUAACUUGCAUGCUUGUUAUUUAAACAUGUAUAUCACCAAUCAAUCAUCACAUAUCUAUGAUUUUACUUAAGUAUAAUUUAUAUUUCAUCAUUUUAAAGCACAACAUGUUAGCCGAUUUUUCCCCUUAGCAUCUAAGGCACAUGCAUGCUCAUUUGUUUGGCUCAACUUGACCUAUCUUCCAUUUUUCAUCAAAAGAACAUGAAACAACAACCAUUUCCUUCAUUUUAAUUCAUGACUAAAUGCUCACAACACAACUAAAAACCAAAAUAUGCUUCAAGAGUUAAGGUAGAAUCAAGAAGAACUCAUGAACAUCAAGAUAGAAGCAAACUACCAUGAACUUAACUUCAAUUUUCUUCCCCAAGUGACCGAACAUUUAAGAGCUUUCUCCUCUCCUUUCUCUUCUCUAACUUUAGGCUAUGAUGAACAAAGAUGGACAAAACUUUGUUCUUUUCACCCCUUUUUCUUUUAAUAAAAUUUCAUAUUUCAUCCAUUUAAUUCUUUAAUACAAAAUAUAUGAAAUUCCCAUCAUGUAACAUUUACUUAAACCAUUAUCAUGGAACAUUUACCUAACCCAUUAUCAUGGAAUAUUUACCUAAUCCAUUAUUAUGGAACAUUUACCUAACCCAUUAUCAAUUUGUACCAUGAAUUAUGGAUAUCAAGUGCUCAUAUUGUCUACAACAACAUGAUGGCUGGCCACUUCAUGUAAAAUGGGAGGUUUGUCAUGCAAAUCCUCCUAUUUUGCACUCCUAUUUAUUUGGCCACUUCAAUUUAGCCUAUAGCAUUUUCAAACAUUUUCACAUAGGUCCUAUUUCAUAAUUUCACUCACAAAUGACAAAAUUAAAGCAUGAAAUUUUGCCAACAUUCACAGAAUUCCCAAAAAUUGGGGCGUUACAGAUCUACUUAUGAGCAAUAGAAUAUGGUAAAUCUAUCUAAAGCUCGUUAUGAUUGGAUGCACCUGAAGGUGCAAGUUUUUAAAACUAUGAGUAUAACUCUAUAAUAUACAGAAUAAGUUCUCAAUUAAAAUUAUGUGGAAAAAUAUUACUGAUGAUAAAUUUGCAAGAGAGGACUUAUUCAACUUUUCAUAAUUCAAAUGUUCUCCUGCGAUAGCAAUAUCAUGAAAAAAAUUACUUAUGAUUGAACAAAAAUUUUUAAUCACGAAACCUAACCAUUCCCUAAAGAGAAUGUAGCAAUAUGUAAUAAAUUAGAAAGACAUAAUCUUUAAUGUGGAUGUAGUAAAUUGGACUAUAAUAAUAGUCAAGGGGGAUUGUCGUAAUAAAUUUUCUCACCACCAGAAGAAGAAAAAUGAAGAAAGCAAGAAAAGAACAAGAAUUUCCAAAAACUUUUUAAGAAUAGAGACAAUUUGUUUAUGAAGAGCCCUUGGUUAUAUACCUAUUGUACACUUGAAAAAUAAGAUCCACUCUCAAAGUUUGCUAUUAAUAGAUUUUGAUUGGAUUCAAAGUCUACUAUUGAAAUUUAAUUUGCUUACUUCUUAUCUUCAAGACUCAACUAUGAACAAAAAAAUGUACGUCUUUAAAUAUUAAAUCAACUUGAUAUAUAGUUUAAUGAUUUGAGAUGGUCUUCUUUUUAAGUUUUGAUUACAUGGAUUACAUAUUGUUUUAAGCAUUUCAUUUGUUCAUGAAAAUGAAUAUUAACUGAUUUAUUUAUGUCGCUGUUGUAGGUUUUAUAAUUAAAUAAUAUAUUUGAUUAAAACAUAUCUAGUAUGCAAAUUUAUGUUAACAAACCAAUAAAUUUUAUGGUUAUUCGGAUUUGAUUUAGUAGUCAUUCGUACGUUUUAUAUUAUUCCAUGUGUUAAUUAUUUAGAGAAAUGACAUGAGCAAUUGUAAAUGAAAAGUUCUAUGAGCUUGAAUAGUUGGAUUUUGAAUUAAAUUUCAUGCAUGUUUAAGAUGAUGGUUAUGAAAAAAAUUGCUAGUUUCCACUAUGCCAUAUUUUUAUGUUUGAGAUGUGAUGUUUAUUGAUAUAUUUAGUAUAGGCUUGUUUCUAUACAUGACCUAGUUAGUUAUUCUUCGUAGUUAACUGAUUAUGCAAAACUCUUGUUAAAAGGGUUUUAAAAGUAUUUUGAAUUGAACUCGGGACUUCUCGCAUCUGAAAUAACGAUCAUACCACUAGGACCAAAUGCCCUGCAUUUGAAGAUUUUGACAUAUUCCCUGAAGCGAAUAUUGCAUAUAAUUAUUUGGAAAUUAUAUUUAUGGCAUUAUAGACUUCACAUUGAUUUAGACAUUUCUAAUAGUAAAUGUCACAAUAGUACUUAUAUGUAGAUACAAAGUAAUAGGAAUGAUAGCAAAAUGAUCAAUUUGUUACAAUUUAGUAAAAUUGUAACGUAUGUUAAAAUAAACUGGAAGUUUACUAAUACAAAUGCAUCUACUACUUGGCGUGACCAAUUAGACCAUCUUGGAUCAUAUAUGAUACGAAAAUUAAUUGAGAAUUCAUAUGGACAUUCAUUAAAGAACCAAAAUAUUCUUUAAUUUAAAGAAUUCUCGUUGUUCUUUGUUUUGAAUGAAAAUUGAUAGUUAGAAACUCAUUAGCUAAAGUUGAGAUUUAAUGUCUUGCAUUUCUGAAAUAAAUAUGGGUCCAUUCAUCCACCAUGUGGAUGAUUUUGAUAUUAUAUGAUUUUGGUAGAUGCAUCUACAAAAUAAUCACAUAUGUGUCAUCAACUUGCAACCCGUCAUUUGCAAGAUUGCUUAUUUAAAUAAUUAAUUUCAAAUCAUGCAAUUAAGACAAUUCAUCUUGCUAAUACUGAUGAGUUAAUAUCUCAGUCUUUUAUUGAUUGAGUUUUAAAAACUUUUGUAAAAGUUUGUUAUUUAUGCACAUAAUGAUUUAAAGAAAUUAUUGAUUGAACUCAGCUGUUUGAUGUCUAAACCAUUACUUAUGAGAGCUAAACUUCCUAUUUCAACAAGAGAAUAUGUUGAUUUAUGUGUUGUACGCAUCAAGCCAAUAAGUUAUAAAUACUCCCCAUUACAAUUGGUUUUUGAUCAAGAGCUAAAUAUUUCUUAUCUUUGAAUUUUUGUAUGUGCGUAUAUGUUUCAAUUGCUCCACCACAACGCACAAAGAUAAGUGAAUUUUCAAAGAAAGUUGGGAAAAUAUAUUAAUUACAAGUUUCUUUGUACUAUUAGAUGUUUUGAAUGUAUUGAAGUUUCAAUUAUGACAUGAUUUGCAAUUACAAUUUUGAUUCGAUAGUUUUCUCGACUUUAAGGGGAGAAAUAAUAACUUGUAAUGAGUUAGGGGGAGAGUAAUUUGAACCAGAAGUUCAACCAGGAUACCUCAAUACAAGUUAACUUUCAGAUGUAUUUACAAAUUUAAUGCGAAUAACCAACCGCUAUAUAACAUCUAAUAUUUUAAUUUGAAUCAAAGUCUUAGUAGGACAAUCAGUUAGAAUAAAUAAUAGAUUGAUCAAUUCCAAAGAUGAAAAUUCUUCUAGAUGGUCAUAUAGUGAAGGCGAGUGCUCUAGAAGAGACCCAAGACAUAACUAAUAAGUAAAACUCUAGAAGAGAUUCAGGUACCUGAAACUGAAUUUUAGAAUAAUGAAAAUAAAAUAUCUUGAUAAGUUACGUUAAUCCGAGAAAAUGUUGAACCGAAUAAUAAAAGUUGUCGACAAUGAUUUUGCAUACAAUAUUAUUAUUGAAAUAAUGAAAUAAAAGGAGGAUCUUGAAUAAAUCUAUUGAGAAAUAUAGAUAUGAAAUAAAUUGAUCAAAAUAGAAAGAUGCAACUUAAGUACAAUUAAAUUUGUGGAGUUUUUUUGGAUCAGUAGUCCAAAUAUCUAAAGGUAUAAAGCCAGUGAGGGUGCAAAUGAAGUAGUUUUGCAAAAGCAAAAUAAAAAUAUGAAGUUUUUUUUUGUUAAGUGUUGGCAUUGAUUAUGGAAAGAUAUAAUAUUAUUUUGUGGUGGAUGCAAUAACCUUUAGAUAUAUUAUUUUAAAAAUUCAUAAAAGAUUUAACUUAUGUCUAAUGCUUGUUGUUAUAACCUUUUAUGAACCACUAUAUAGUAAAGUUUAUAUUAAAAUCCUUGAAGGAUUUAGGAUGCUAGAAGCAUAUUAAAAUUCUCGGGAACUUAUUCAGUUAUAUGAAAUGAAAUAAUUUGAACAUAUUUGGUAAAUAUUAGUUGAAUGAGUAUUAUAAAAUGAUCUAAAAUACCUAUUUGUGUUUUUAUAGAAGAAUCGUGAUUAAAUUUUGCUAUGAUUAUUGUUAAAAUUCCUGAAGAGACCAAAAUAUAUGUCCUCAAAAUUUUCCCUCACUCAUGACUUUCAAAAAGAAUGGUGAUAUAGAUGCUUAGAAAAUACAUUCAAAUAGUCAUUUGAAAGACUAGUAUUUAAGAUUGAAUACGUAGAAUAUGAGAAAAUAAGUUAUGUUUUCAUGAGGAGGAGUAAAUAUGCGUUGUACUCUUUUUCUCUUAACCAAGGUUUUGUCCUAUUGGGAUUUCUUGGUAAGGUUUUUAAUGAGGCAGUUUAUUAUGCGUAUUAUAGAUAUGAGUAUUAUUUUUCCUUCACUAGGAAUUUUUUUUCUCAUAGGGCUUUUAUCUCAGUAAUGUUUUAACGAGGCACAUUAUCUACCAAUAGACAUUCAAGGGGGAGUGUUAUGAAUAUCUUAUUAAGUGGAUGUCCAUCAAGGUCAAGAUAAGUUUUGAUAUGCUUUAAAUUCUAAUAGUCAUUAGAAGUAGAUCUCUACUUCAUUUAUACUUCUUAUGCCUAUAAAUAGAGACUUUAGAGAAGUUUUGCAAAAAUCUCAAUUGAUCAAUAAAAUAUACUCUCUUUUUUGCUCUCCCAUUUUGUAACGGCUCGAAUUUUGGGCCUAGAGGUUUUGGGGUUUUAUGGUUAGGGUCAGUGAGGAGGUUGCACUUAUGAGUCUAGUUGCACGUUUAAGUGGUAAAAUGGGCCUGCUGGUCUGGUGGUUGUGUAUGUGAUGGUUUUACUCUAGGUUCUGUGUUCGAGGCACGACAUGGGCGUUUUGGAAAAAAACAUUGCAUCUAUUUUAGUUUUAAUAAUCAUUUAGCUAUAUUUGUUUAUCCAUUUUAUUAUUUAUGAUUUAUUUUUAUUUAGUUAAUUUUGGUUUUUCUUUAUUUUUUCACGUUCUCUUCUUCCCCUCUCUCGCUUGGCUUUUCUUUUUGCUAUUUCUCUUUUCUGUGAAAACGAGUGUUGUUGACUGAUUGUGGAUCUUCGCUCCUCUGUCAUUUCCUUCAUCAUCGAAUCAGGUGUGGGAUUCGAACCCUUACUCCAUUGUUUUAUUUUCACAAAGUUUAUGUUUGGCUUUUCUUGACCUUAUUCUAAUAAUUGGUUUAGGGUUUUUAAUCGAUGGAAGUGAUGAGAAAUCAUCAUUUUUUGAUGAUUGUUGAUAGGGCAAAGGUUAAGGGCAAGUUUGGUGGCUAAAGCGGUGGUUUUGGGGUGGUUUCGUGACCUUCCCGAUGGUCACACGGCCGUGUGCCAACUCACACGGCCUUGUGCUUUUGAGAAUUAAGGUUUCAGGUGAAUUUUGGUGCCACACGGCCUGACCACACGAGCAUGUGUCUCACACGGGCAUGUGAGAAAUCCACACAGUCGUGUCUCGUCUAUUCUUAAUUUUUAGCAUUUUUGGACAGAGAGUUACACGGGCUGUUCACACAGGCGUGUACCCCCUCCACACGGGCGUGUGUAGCCUCUACAUGGGAGUGUAGACCCCCACACAGCCUGGGAAAUUCCACAUGGCUGGGGCACACGGCCGUGGGGUUCUACCUUGCGAAAUUAUUGUAUUAUGUUAAUUUUUACCCUGUUUGUGGUUCUGUGUGUUUCAAUAUUCAACUAAGCCUUAUUGAUGGUAAUUAUAACUCUGGUAUGGACUUGAUAUGUGCGUUAUUUGUGAUUGGUUGUGUGAUAAGCUUGGUACUGAAUUCGAGUUCUGAGUGUGCUCAUGUCUGAUUCUGUAACUGGUUGAUUGAAUGUGAAUGUUUACUUUUGAUUAAAUGUCUAGAAUUGGUAUUCUGAUUGUGAACAUUUGACUGCAUACAUACAUAUGCAUACACUAUUUUGGGUGGGAUUUUGAAGAGAAGGAAAAUUGACUGAUCUGAACUAGCACCUGAUCUGUUGGCUGAAAGCCCUAUUACCUAGAGGGAUGUGGGCGGUCCUAAUACCCUGAGGGUCGUGGACAUUACUGAUAACGGUAUAGCAGAUUCUCGCCUUGCACUGUACCGUAUGUACGUUAGCUACGCUACGUACCACUAUUUGAUCUGGCAGUUUAUACUACACGUCUGUACCGCGAUUUACCACAUUGCAUAGUAUAGCUUAUACGCUAGCUUUGCUACAUAAUAUAUUUGAUCUGGCAGUUCAUACUGCAUGUCUGUACCGCAGUCUUCUGCAUGGCACUGUACAGCUUACUGAUAGCCCAAUACCUAAAGGGUCGUGGGCAGUCCCAAUUCCCUAAGGGUCGAGGACAGUUGUAAUGCCCCAAUUUUUGGAAUUCUGUGAAUGUUGGCAUAAGUUUAAUUAUGUUAGUGGGCCUCUAGAAAGCCAAGCUUAAGAUAGAACCCGACAAUUUUAGUUAAUUUUUGUUCCAUAAGAAAAAGGGGGUGAAAUCAUGAAAUAGAACCUAUGUGAAAAUGUUUGAAAAUGCUAUAGGCUAAAUUGAAGUGGCCAAAUAAAUAGGAGUGCAAAAUAGGAGGAUUUGCAUGACAAACCUCCCAUUUUACAUGAAGUGGCCAGCCAUCAUGUUGUUGUAGACAAUAUGAGCACUUGAUAUCCAUAAUUUAUGGUACAAAUUGAUACAAAUUGAUAAUGGGUUAGGUAAAUGUUUCAUGAUAAUGGAUUAGGUAAAUAUUCCAUGAUAAUGGGUUAGGUAAAUGUUCCAUGAUAAUGGUUUAGGUAAAUGUUCCAUGAUGGGAAUUUCAUGUCUUUUGUAUUAAAGAAUUAAAUGGAUGAAAUAUGAAAUUUUAUUAAAAGAAAAAGGGGUGAAAAGAACAAAGUUUUGUCCAUCUUUGUUCAUCAUAGCCUAAAGUUAGAGAAGAGAAAGGAGAGGAGAAAGCUCUAGAAUGUUUGGUCACUUGGGGAAGAAAAUUGAAGGUAAGUUCAUGGUAGUUUGCUUCUAUCUUGAUGUUCAUGAGUUCUUCUUGAUUCUACCUUAACUCUUGAAGCAUAUUUUGGUUUUUAGUUGUGUUGUGAGCAUUUAGUCAUGAAUUAAAAUGAAGGAAAUGGUUGUUGUUUCAUGUUCUUUUGAUGAAAAAUGGAAGAUAGGUGAAGUUGAGCCAAACAAAUGAGCAUGCAUGUGCCUUAGAUGCUAAGGGAAAAAUCGGCUAACAUGUUGUGCUUUAAAAUGAUGAAAUGGAGAUUAUACUUAAGUAAAAUCAUAGAUAUGUGAUGAUUGAUUGGUGAUAUACAUGUUUAACUAACAAGCAUGCAAGUUAGGUGUGAAAGAGUGAUUUGGUAAUAAAUCUGCUUGGGACAGCACCAGUAACGUGACUUUGGAAAAUCACCAUAAAUUGUGGGAGAUGAGUUAGAAGCUGUAUAAAUUAUGUAAUUAAAGCUUAAUGAGUCUAGUUUCAAAUGGAAUAAACAAGAACAUAUUUUGAAUUCUGUACAAUGAGAAAUUUGAUUCGUAAUGAAGAGUAGUCAGAUUACUCAAACAGUGAAACAUGGGAAACUUUAAGAAAAAUAUGGUAUUGAUUGGCCAUACCAAAAAUUCUGAAAAUUUUAUGGAUAGAAUAUAUAUGAGUCUAUUUUCAGGUAAAAUUAACGGAACUUGAUUUGGAGUUUUGUAGCUCCAGUUAUAAAUAAUUUAGUGACUGUUGCUCAGGAAGACAGCUUGCAGUGAAAUUAUGAUUAUGUGGUAAACAUUGACAAAAAUUUGUUAAUGAGUUGCUUAUUGUUUUCUUAUAAGCUUACUAUGAUCUGUAGGUGUGGUUGGUCGAAUAUUGUAAGGGGUUAAUAUGUAGUUCGUAUUUGAAUAGUUAUAUUAAUGUGUUAGUAAUCCAAUUGUAGGCAGUUCGUGUGUGGAUCUUGUCAGCAUAUCGUCGCAAACAGGUGUGUAACUAACACCCUCUUUCUUAGUCUAGAUCGGAAAAAGUCGAAAAUUUGAAAUGCCGAAAACCGGUAUUUUAUAGAUUUGCGAGUGUGCGAAUGCUCGUGAGGUAAAUCGAUUAAUGUUUUUGGUAAGCUGCAAUGUUUGGACUGCAAAGUGCAUGAUUUCUGUGCCCUCGAUAUUUUUGGGUUAAUGGGCCAAAAUUGGAAUGAUGGGCCAGUGGGCCCAAUUCGGUAAGAACCCUCGGUACGUGAUUCUGUAGUACGUGAAAGGUAGGAAUAUGCAUGAAAAACCCUAAAAUAGAUAAAUUACUGAAAUAUCUUUAAAAAUGGAAAAUUUAUAGUUUUACCCAUAGGAGAUAAAUUACCGAAAUACCCUUAGGGUUAAAUUAACUUAAAUGCAUGUUUGACUGUUGUUAUUUACUGCAUGCCAUGUUAUUAUCUGAUGCAUGGGAUUGGGAUAUUGAUAGAGGAAGUACUGAAAGUGGCUUGUCCAUGUACUGGAGGCUUUGCUUCAAUUUACUGUUAACUGAGCAGCAAUGCUGCAACUGUGGAGUGUUGGGCUGGGUGGGUUGAGCUAUCCCCACAUGGAGUGUAUGGCUAGUACGGGUGGAGUGUAGUGGUUGGUGGGUUGAGUAGUCUCCCCAAAUGGGCUUGCAUAUGUUAUUGAUGUUGCAUGUAUUUUGAAAUGGGCCUAUGGCCCAUACUGUUAUCUGAAUAAGGGGCUAAGGCCCAGUUUAUUGUAAUCUGAAAAGGGCUCUGGUCCAGUACCACUGUUACCUGAAUGGGCUUAGGCCCAAUAGGCUUGAGCUGACUUGGGCUUUGAAUGGGUUUUUCUUACACACUGAGUUUCCCCAAACUCACCCCUUUUAUUUUCAUCCACGUAGGAAAUCCCCAACCAUAGUGGGAUUGGAGUUGUGAGGGAAUUCGGAGUGGCCACCCGUUCUGAAAGUUUGAUUUUCUUCUGCUGAACUAGACAUCCUUUUAUUUACGUUUGAAGUUUUGGGUUUUUUUAAAUGUAAUAAGGCCGCUUAAUUAUUUUUGAUGGUUUUAAUAUGUAUUACUAAGAUAGGUAUUACUUAUUUUAACUGUUGAAAUUGGAUAGCUUUAGGGCGCGUUUUCAAAAACAACAAUUGAUUUCAAAAUAACACGACAACAAGCAAAGCUUCCGCAAUGAAAGUAUUUUCCAAAAUUAAUCACUUUUCCUAAAAAUGACUUAAUCAAAUCGGUUUCCUAAAAAUAUCCAUGACGUUAAGGUGUGGCAAUGGCGGUAUGCAUGUUUAGGAUUGGAUCCGAAGGGAGCUUGGUACUUAAGCAGUUCGAUGGACUCACCAUCUCUUUUCCGGUUUCCUACCUGGUGCACAGCUUCCAUUCACUUUAACCUAUAAUGAAAUUAUAUUUUAAAACACUAUGUAAGUUUUUCUGGAUCAACAAUAUAAAAUGUUUUGAACGCUUCGAUGUGGCAUGUCGGAUCCGAUCAUAACGUCUGGGCCAGGUUUGGGGUGCUACAUUUAGUGGUAUCAGAGCCUAGGUUGCAACAACUCGGCUGUGGAUAGGGUCCAAAAAGGGUUUUCAAAACUUUAUGCCAAAAAAAAGAAAAAAAAGGGUAUUUUUUUGGAAAAAACUGACCUUUGAAAAUUUCCUGUUUAAAGGAGAUAAUCUCCUAACUUGUUUUUUUUAACACAAAUGUUUGGAAAAUGGAUUUCAAAAAGUCUAAAUCUUUUGAGUUUAUCUGAAAACUGAUGAGGUGGCACACUGAAUCCCCGACACAAGGCUGUAAGUACUAUUCUAUUUUAUAUACUGAACUGUACUGUAGUUAGUACUAAACCUUAGAGAUAGUACUAUAGAUAAUAUAGCGUAAAGGCUACGAAACUGAGACUGUAGGGUAAACUAAGCCCUAGGAAACUGAGACAGUAGCUAAACUGUGGUUACGCGAGAACAACUCUGAAACCUUAUCUGUUCAUAAGAUAAUCUGUAAUAAACAGUGGAAACAGUAAACUAACUGCAUAAAAUUCGUAAUCAGAUAAAUUGAUAUGAGUACGAGAGCCACUCGGGGAAGAGGCCGUGGUCGAGGCUGUGGUCGAGGCCGAGGUAGUACUCAAGCUGGAUCUUCAUCUUCUGAACACAUACCCACUGGAGUAGCACGACCACCACCGGUGGAUGAGAAUGGGCUAUAUGAUCGGGCCGCGGGGGAUGACGCUCUGUCCCAGGCCAUGUUAAGAGUUUUGGAAAGGGUGGCCGGAGCUAAUAUCGGGCACAUGAAUAGGGGGUCCAUUUUUGAGUGACUCCGGGCCAAUGGAGCGGAAGUUUUUAGGGGUGUAUCUGGAGUAGCCCCAAAUGUGGCUGAGUACUGGCUGGAAGCCACGGAGCGGAUUAUGGAUGACUUGGACUGCUCAGUAGAGCAAAAGUUAAAAGGAGCAGUAUCCUUACUACGAGAAGAGGCGUAUCAGUGGUGGAUCACUGUGAGAGAGGGUACCCCAGCUGAGAGGGUAACUUGGGAGUUGUUUAAGCAGUCCUUCAAGGCGAAGUAUGUCAGAGCUAGCUAUGUGGAUGCGCGAAGGAAGGAAUUCCUGAACCUGACCCAGGGUGGUAAGACCGUUGCUGAAUAUGAGGUAGAGUUUUUGUGAUUGAGCCAGUAUGCUAAUGGUAUUGUCUCUACCGAAUACGAGCGCAGUGUUCGCUUUGAGGAUGGCCUCAGGGAUGAGCUAAGGGUACUCAUAGCUCCGUAGAGAGAGCGCGAUUUUGCUGCACUGGUAGAAAAGGCUAAGAUAGCAGAAGAGGUGAAGCAAGCUGAACGAAAGAACCGCGAUAGGGAUCGAAAUCAGUUCAGGAGAGAUGUUAGACCAACUGGUGCUGCAAACCGGAAUGUUAAGAGAGCUAGGAUGGAGGAACCAGUUCGCGCGGUUACGGUGAAUACUGUUAGACCACAAGCUUGUGGAGAUUGUGGUAGAAUGCAUCUGGGGGAAUGUUGGAAAUGCUCUGGGGCUUGUCUUCGUUGUGGAUCAAAGGAACAUAAGAUCAGGGAUUGUCCUAAGAGGCUAGCUCAGGCUCAAGUGGUUGAACAAAGGGCUGUGCAACCUGUGCAAACAGCGCGAGGUGGACCGUCGCCGUCGAGAGGUCAUGGCCGAGGUCGCGGUGGCAAUAGCCAUGGACGUGGGGCACCUGGCAAGGGUACUGUUAACACUGAGGCUCGUCAGCCAGCUUUGGUAUAUGCUGCUGUCGCCGCGAGGAGGGUGACGCACCUGACGUCAUAACUGGUACAUUUUUUAUUUCUAGCUUGCCGUAUACUGCCUUGGUGGAUGUUGGAUCUACUCAUUCCUAUGUUACAUGUGCCAUAUCUGGGCCGUUGGGUGUGCACUCUGAGGAGAUUGUGAGUGGGGUAUCUGUACUAAGUCCUUUGGGUCACUCGGUUAGGGUAGACAAACUGUAUAGGGAUGUACCCUUAGAAACUCAAGGUAGGAUUUUCCCUGGAGAUCUGAUGGAGUUAUCGUUCGAAGAGUUUGAUCUCAUUUUGGGAAUGGACUGGCUUGUUAAGCAUAAGACGACCCUGGAUUGUGCUGCUAAACGAAUGGUGUUAAGGACCACAAAGGAUGAGGAGGUUAUAGUGAUAGGUGAGCGAAGGGAUUAUUUGUCCAAUAUGGUGUCGGCAUUAAGAGCUGAGAAGUGGAUUCGAAAAGGUUGUGAGGCCUAUUUGGCAUUUGUAAGUCAGUCGGAAGAGGAGGGACUGGCAGUGGAUAAGGUUAAGACCGUAAAGGAGUUCCUAGAUGUUUUUCUAGAGGAGCUUCCAGGAUUGCCUCCGAACCGAGAAGUUGAGUUUGGAAUAGAUUUAUUGCCUGGAACGGCGCCUGUGUCCAUCGCACCGUAUAGGAUGGCACCGAAGGAAUUAGUGGAGUUAAAGGCUCAAAUUCAAGAGUUGUUGGAUAGAGGCUUCAUUAGGCCAAGCGUGUCUCCAUGGGGAGCACCGGUGCUAUUCGUGAAGAAGAAGAAUGGUACAAUGCGGAUGUGCAUUGAUUAUCGCUAGUUGAACAAACUGACAAUUAAGAAUAAGUAUCCACUGCCAAGGAUUGACGAUCUGUUUGACCAGUUUAGAGGGGCUUUUGUAUUUUCCAAGAUCGACCUUCGAUCUAGAUAUCAUCAGUUAAGGGUCAAGGAGGUAGAUAUCCAUAAGACAGCAUUCAGGACUCGGUAUAGUCAUUACGAGUUUCUGGUUAUGCCAUUUGGACUGACGAACGCUCCUGCAGCGUUUAUGGAUCUGAUGAAUCGUGUGUUCCAACCAUUUUUAAAUCAGUUCGUAGUCAUCUUUAUUGACGAUAUCCUGGUAUAUUCUAAAACUGAAGCGAAACAUGAUGAGUAUCUCCGUAUGGUGCUGCGAGUGUUAAGGGAGAAGGAACUCUUUGCGAAGUUCAGCAAGUGUGAAUUUUGGUUGAGGGAGGUAACCUUCUUAGGACAUGUGGUCUCUACCGAAGGGAUUAAGAUGGACCCUCGAAAGAUUGAAGCAAUUUUGGAGUGGAAGCCACCUAGGACGGUGUCGAAAAUUCAAAGUUUCCUAGGGUUAGCAGGAUACUACAGAAGGUUUGUGGAAGGUUUUUCUAUGAUGGCAGCACCUCUGAAAAAACUCAUAAAGAAAUGAGUACCGUUUGUAUGGACUGAGAAGCAGUAGGAAGCUUUUGAGAAGUUGAAGAAAGUUCUGACUGAAGCAUCUGUGUUAAUUCAGCGAGAGUCUGGGAAGGAUUUUACUGUGUACAGUGACGCAUCACAUGUAGGCUUGGGCUGCGUGUUAAUGCAGGAGGGUAAGGUGGUUGCAUAUGCAUCACGACAGCUUAAACCUCACGAAAGGAACUAUAUUACUCAUGAUUUGGAGUUGGCGGUAGUGAUAUUUGCACUUAAGAUUUGGAGACAUUACUUGUACGGGGAGAAGUGUAUUAUAUACACAGACCACAAGGGUCUUAAGUAUUUGUUGACUCAGAAGGAGCUGAACCUUAGGCAAAGGAGAUGGAUUGAGUUGCUUAAGGAUUAUGACUGUUCGAUUGAGUACCAACCAGGUAAGGCUAACGUGGUGGCUGAUGCGUUGAGUCGAAGGGUUGUUUCUGAUUUGAGAGCCUUGUUUGCACGUUUAAGUCUGUUUGAUGAUGGAAGUUUGUUAGCAGAAUUGCAAGUGAGGCCUAUUUGGACUGAGCAGAUUAAAGAAAAAUAGUUGAAGGAUAACUCGUUGGUUUUUCGGUUUCAUCAAGUUGAGAAGGGUGAGAAUGAGGAUUUUGGACUGAAUACUGAAGGAGUUUUAUGCUUCCGAGGAAGAAUUUGUAUUCCAAAGGAUUCUGACUUGAGACAGUCAAUAUUGAAGGAAGCUCAUGGGGGACUUUGUGCCAUGCAUCCUGGAGGGAAUAAGUUGUAUCACGACUUGCAAGAACUGUAUUGGUGGCCUGGGCUUAAAUGAGAAGUAACGGAGUUCGUGGGGAAAUGUCUGACAUGCCAGCAAGUGAAAGCUGAACAUCAAUUUCCUUCUGGAUUACUGCAACUGGUGAAAAUUCCAUUGUGGAAGUGGGAGAGAGUCACUAUGGACUUUGUGAGUGAGCUACCUUUGACACCCACCAAGAAAGAUUCUGUGUGGGUAGUGGUGGAUAGGUUAACAAAAUCUGCCCAUUUCAUACCAGUUCGUACUGAUUACUCCCUGCAAAAGUUGGCUAGGUUGUAUGUGGUAGAGAUAGUGCGACUACAUGGAGUGCCAGUGUCGAUUAUUUCCGACCGAGACCCUAGGUUUACGUCUCGGUUCUGGAAGAAGUUGCAGGAGGCAUUGGGUACACGUUUGGAUUUCAGUACUGCUUUUCACCCACAGACAGAUGGACAGUCGGAGAGGGUUAUUCAGAUUUUGGAGGAUAUGUUAAGGGGUUGUGUCAUCAAUUUUCGUGGGAGUUGGGAGGACUACUUACCAUUGGCGGAGUUUGCAUACAAUAAUAGCUACCAAGCAAGUAUUUAGAUGGCUCCAUAUGAGGCACUUUAUGGGCGGAGAUGUCGUACGCCUACGUGUUGGACAGAGUUGGGUGAACGACAAGUGCUUGGACCGGAGAUGGUGGCAGAUACUGAAAGUAAGGUUAAGUUGAUAAGAGAUCGAUUAAAGGAGGCAUCUGAUAGACAGAAGUCGUAUGUGGACCUAAAGCGCAAAGAGAUAGAGUUCGCGGUUGGGGAUAUGGUUUUCUUAAAGGUUUCACCUUGGAAGAAGAUCUUGAGAUUCGACAAGAAAGGAAAAUUGAGUCCGCGGUUUAUAGGGCCUUAUCGAGUUCUUAAGCGGGUGGGGCCAGUAGCGUAUCAGUUAGAAUUACCACCAGAGUUAGACAGAAUCCAUGAUGUUUUUCAUGUGUCUAUGUUAAGACGAUAUCGAUCGGAUCCCUCACAUGUUGUGCCAGUGGAGGAGAUUGAAGUAAGGACUGAUUUGACCUUUGAGGAAGAACCCAUACAAAUUUUAGAUCGAGAGGUUAAAGUUCUAAGAAGGAAGUCGGUUCCGUUGGUAAAAGUACUGUGGCGUAAUCAUGGAAGGGAAGAAACUACUUGGGAAUCAGAAGAGACUAUGCACCAACAAUACCCUCAACUAUUUGGAUCAGGUAAAUUUCGAGGCCGAAAUUUCUUUAAGGGGGUAGAGUUGUAACGCCCCAAUUUUCGGAAUUCUGUGAAUGUUGGCAUAAGUUUAAUUAUGUUAGUGGGCCUCUAGAAAGCCAAGCUUAAGAUAGAACCCGACAAUUUUAGUUAAUUUUUGUUCCAUAAGAAAAAGGGGGUGAAAUUAUGAAAUAGAACCUAUGUGAAAAUGUUUGAAAAUGCUAUAGGCUAAAUUGAAGUGGCCAAAUAAAUAGGAGUGCAAAAUAGGAGGAUUUGCAUGACAAACCUCCCAUUUUACAUGAAGUGGCCAGCCAUCAUGUUGUUGUAGACAAUAUGAGCACUUGAUAUCCAUAAUUUAUGGUACAAAUUGAUACAAAUUGAUAAUGGGUUAGGUAAAUGUUUCAUGAUAAUGGGUUAGGUAAAUGUUCCAUGAUAAUGGUUUAGGUAAAUGUUCCAUGAUGGGAAUUUCAUUCUUUUGUAUUAAAGAAUUAAAUGGAUGAAAUAUGAAAUUUUAUUAAAAGAAAAAGGGGUGAAAAGAACAAAAUUUUGUCCAUAUUUGUUCAUCAUAGCCUAAAGUUAGAGAAGAGAAAGGAGAGGAGAAAGCUCUUGAAUGUUCGGUCACUUGGGGAAGAAAAUUGAAGGUAAGUUCAUGGUAGUUUGCUUCUAUCUUGAUGUUCAUGAGUUCUUCUUGAUUCUACCUUAACUCUUGAAGCAUAUUUUGGUUUUUAGUUGUGUUGUGAGCAUUUAGCCGUGAAUUAAAAUGAAGGAAAUGGUUGUUUUUUAAUGUUCUUUUGAUGAAAAAUGGAAGAUAGGUGAAGUUGAGCCAAACAAAUGAGCAUGCAUGUGCCUUAGAUGCUAAGGGGAAAAAUCGGCUAACAUGUUGUGCUUUAAAAUAAUGAAAUAGAGAUUAUACUUAAGUAAAAUCAUAGAUAUGUGAUGAUUGAUUGGUGAUAUACAUGUUUAAAUAACAAGCAUGCAAGUUAGGUGUGAAAGAGUGAUUUGGUAAUAAAUCUGCUUGGGAUAGCACCAGUAACGUGACUUUGGAAAAUCACCAUAAAUUGUGGAAGAUGAGUUAGAAGCUGCAUAAAUUAUGUAAUUAAAUCUUAAUGAGUCUAGUUUCAAAUGGAAUAAACGAGAACAUAUUUUGAAUUCUGUACAAUGAGAAAUUUGAUUCGUAAUGAAGAGUGGUCAGAUUAGUCAAACAGUGAAACAUAGGAAACUUUAAGAAAAAUCUGGUAUUGAUUGGCCAUACCAAAAAUUCUGAAAAUUUUAUGGAUAAAAUAUAUAUGAGUCUAUUGUCAGGUAAAAUUAACGGCACUUGAUUUGGAGUUUUGUAGCUCCGGUUAUAAAUAAUUUAGUGACUGUUACUCAGGAAGACAGCUUGCAGUGAAAUUAUGAUUAUGUGGUAAACAUUGACAAAAUUUUUUUAAUGAGUUGCUUAUUGUUUUCUUAUAAGCUUACUAUGAUCUGUAGGUGUGGUUGGCCGAAUAUUGUAAGGGGUUAAUACGUAGUUCAUAUUUGAAUAGUUAGAUUAAUGCGUUAGUAAUCCAAUUGUAGGCAGUUCGUGUGUGGAUCUCGUCAGCAUAUCGUCGCAAACAAGUGUGUAACUAACACCCUCUUUCUUAGUCUGGAUCGGCAAAAGUCGAAAAGCUGAAAUGCCGAAAACCGGUAUUUUAUAGAUUUGCGAGUGUGCGAAUGCUCAUGAGGUAAAUCGAUUAAUGUUUUUGGUAAGCUGCAAAAUUUGGACUGCAAAGUGCAUGAUUUCUGUGUCCUCGAUAUUUUUGGGCUUAAUGGGCCAAAAUUGGAAUGAUUGGCCAACGGGCCCAAUUCGGUAAGAACCCUCGGUACGUGAUUCUGUAGUACGUGAAAGGUAGGAAUAUGCAUGAAAAACCCUAAAAUAGAUAAAUUACUGAAAUACCUUUAAAAAUAGAAAAUUUACAGUUUUACCCCUAAGAGAUAAAUUACCGGAAUACCCUUAGGGUUAAAUUGACUUAAAUGCAUGUUUGACUGUUGUUAUUUACUGCAUGCCAUGUUGUUAUUAUCUGAUGCAUGGGAUUGGGAUAUUGACGGAGGAAGUACUGAAAGUGGCUUGUCCACGUACUGGAGGCUUUGCCUCAAUUUACUGUUAAUUGAGCAGCAAUGCUGCAACUGUGGAGUGUUGGGCUGGGUGGGUUGAGCUAUCCCCACAUGGAGUGUAUGGCUGGUACGGGUGGAGUGUAGUGGUUGGUGGGUUGAGUAGUCUCCCCAAAUGGGCUUGCAUAUGUUAUUGAUGUUGCAUGUAUUUUGAAAUGGGCCUAUGGCCCAUACUGCUAUCUGAAUAAGGGGCUAAGGCCCAGUUUAUUGUAAUCUGAAAAGGGCUCUGGUCCAGUACCACUGUUACCUGAAUGGGCUUAGGCCCAAUAGGCUUGAGCUGACUUGGGCUUUGAAUGAGUUUUCCUUACACACUGAGUUUCCCCAAACUCACCCCUUUUAUUUUCAUCCACGCAGGAAAUCCCCAACCAUAGUGGGCUUGGAGUUGUGAGGGAAUUCGGAGUGGCCACCCGUUCUGAAAGUUUGAUUUUCUUCUGCUGAACUAGACAUCCUUUUAUUUACGUUUGAAGUUUUGGGUUUUUUUAAAUGUAAUAAGGCCGCUUAAUUAUUUUUGAUGGUUUUAAUAUGUAUUACUAAGAUAUGUAUUACUUAUUUUAACUGUUGAAAUUGGAUAGCUUUAGGGCGCGUUUUCAAAAAAAACAAUUGAUUUCAAAAUAACACGACAACAAGGAAAGCUUCCGUAAUGAAAGUAUUUUCCAAAAUUAAUCACUUUUCCUAAAAAUGACUUAAUCAAAUCGGUUUCCUAGAAAUAUCCAUGACGUUAAGGUGUGGCAAUGGUGGUAUGCAUGUCUAGGAUUCAAUCCGAAGAGAGCUUGGUACUUAAGCAGUCCGAUGGACUCACCACCUCUUUUCCGGUUUCCUACUUGGUGCACAGCUUCCAUUCACUUUAACCUAUAAUGAAAUUAUCUUUUAAAACACUAAGUAAGUUUUUCUGGAUCAACAAUAUAAAAUGUUUUGAACGCUUCGAUGUGGUAUGUCGGAUCCGGUCAUAACGUCUGGGCCGGGUUUGGGGUGCUACAACAAUGCUGAUGUCCAUCAUUGCCGGGCAAUCCGGGAUGGCAUCAUAUGGAGUGUAGGAUUGGAUGGAUGAGUUGAUUAUAUCCCCACAUGGAGUGAUUGGUUAGACGAGCUUAAUAGCUCUAUUGAUGUGUGAUCGGGGACGGAGAGGUGUGUUGGCUAGAUGGGUGGGCUUUCUUUAACUCGACUACACUCAUAUGCAUUUUAUCGACUGUUUGUGAAUACAACUGACUGUAGCACUGUUUGACUGAAAGCCGAUGCUGACAUUGUGUACUCUGAUUGCGACUGUCUGACUGAAAAAUUAUAGUGGUUGUGUAACUGAGUGUGUUCGAAUAUGUACUAAAUAUUGAUAUUGUAAUAACCUGAAUUUUACAGUUAUCGAAAAAGUGCAUUUUCGGGUCUCCGUUUCUGAAAAAUGGAUUCUUAAUAUUUAUUAAAAAUAUUUAUGAAGUUAAGUGGGUAGUUAAUUAAAGUUUAAUUAAGUAAAUUUAGCUUAAUUAAGGAUAAUUGGAUAAAAAGAUUAAAUUGAAUAUAGUGUGAAAGUUUAGUUCUAAAGUAAUAGAAAAUAAAAAGGAUCAAAAUAACAAUUAAGCCAUACCCAUGAAAUGAGGCGGUAAAUAAAAGAAAAAUCAAGAUUUUUCUUGAAUUAUGUAUAUUAAAUGUUAUAAUUGUUAUUAUUAUUAUUAUGGUUUUAUAUUAAAUUAUUAUUAUUUAAUAGGUAUUAUUAUUAAGUUAAAGAUAUUUACUAAAUUAAAUAAAUAAAAGAAAGACAAGUGUAUGGUAAAAGUAAAAUACAUGUGUAAUAAAUAUUAUACAUACAAUUAUAAUACAUGUAUGUAUUUACUUAUUAUUUAAGUAAAUAUUAAUAUAUUUAUUAUUAUUUAAUUCAUAUUAUAUUAUGAAAUAAAUUAAAUAAAGACAAAUAUAUGGUAAUGAUUGGAUACAAGUGUAUUAAUGAAAAUACAUACAAUUGUAAUACAUGUGUUUAAUUAUUAAAAGUAAUUAUUAUUUAUAAAAGAUAUUUAUAUGAUAAAUAAAGAAAAGAAUGACAAAUGUAUGGUAUGUAUAAUGACAUGUGUAAUAUUAGUAUACAUACAUUUGUAAAAUACAUGUAUGUUUACUUAUUAUAUAAGUAUAUUAUUAAGUUAUUAUAUAUAUAUAUAAGAGAAGAAAAACAAGUGUAUAAAAAUGAUUGGUACAAGUGCUAAAUAAAUAUUUGUUAUUAAAUAGAUUUUUAUUAUAAUUAUUAUUUUUAUUAUAUAUAAAAAAACAAAAGAAUAAAAAGAAGGAAAGAAACAGAAUAGCAGGGGACGAAAUAGAGAAGGGAGAAAGAAGAAAAGAAAAAGGGAAAAAAUAAGGUUUUAAAGGUUUCAAGUUAAUUUGGUAAGUCAAUUUAGCCCCUUUUCUUAUGAUUUUUGAGUUUUUGGAAUCCUAGAGAUAAAUACUACUUGUUUUAAGUGGAAAUUUUGAAAGUUAUUAGAUUUCUAAGUAUGGUUCAUGUUGAAUAAAAUGAUGGAAUUGGGGGUUUAUUUGAAAGAAAUUUUGAUUGGAAUUGAAUAAAGGAUUGAAUUGUAAACUAAGCUAUAAGUUUUGAGUUUUAGGGAUUAAAUGGAAAUAAAUUCGAAAUUAUGAAAAUAUGCUGGAAAUUUAAUAGUUAAAUUUGAGUUUGGAUAAAAUUUGAAUGGAAAUAAAGAGUGAAUUUAAUUAGGAAAGUGAGUAAAAUUAGUAAGGAUUAAAUUGGGAAUUAGGAGAGAAUUGAUUAGAAAUUUAAUUAUUUAUUAUAAUUAUACUAUAAUUAAUAGUAUAAUUAUUUUAAUUACUGUAGCUAACAUUGUGCCGAAAGCCUCGGCUAAGCAAGGAAAAAGGCAAAGACAACGAGAGUUAGCUUGGAAAUUACGGUUUGUAUUUCUAUAAUCCGAACUUAAUACUUAAAUUGUUAGAUUUAUUAUUUAAUAUAUAUGUAGUAGGUGUUUUGAGAUGAUUAUAUGAAUUGGAUUGAAUAUUGAUUAUAUUGAAUUGAUUCAUGAAUAUAUGUGAAUGUUUGAAUUGAAAUGAAUAUUGAUGUGGAAAUUGAAAAAUAAAUAUUUUUUAUAUUGGAAAAUAUAUGUAGUUGGAAGUGUGAUGAAAUUGAUAGAAAAAUGUGAUUAUUGUGAAAUUGAAUAUUUAUUAGUGAAAAGUGAAUGGAAGUAUAUUGAAUUGAAAAUAUAUAGUUAAUUAAUUAAAAUAUGAAUUAAUUGAAAAUUGAAAAGUGAAUUAAAUACCCUAUUAAUAGUCGGGCUAGUCGGAUAUAGUUGGCAUGCCUUAGGAUAUGGAAGAGUACGGGUUUUGCCGGCUUACUGAUCAGGCACUUAUGUGCUGACUACUGUUAUUGUUACCAUUACCGUUACUGUUACUGAUUCGGCACUUUGUGUGUCAGAUGUUGUUACUGUUACCGUUAUUGUUACUGUUUCGGAUUUGUUCCAAUGAGGUACUCCGUGUACCGUACUGUUAUUGUUACUGUUUCGGCUUUGGCCGAUGAGGCACUAUGUGCCGUACUGGUGUGUUGGUUGGAUCCGUGUAUCUGUCUAGGUCCGAGUCAUGUUAAUAGGGGUAAAUAAAGGAACUGGAAAGAUCGACUGUUACUGAAUAAUUUAAUUGUUACUGUAUAUUUGAUUUUUACUUAAUAAUUGACUAUUACUGGAUAACUGAUCAAUUGAUUGAUACUGAAUAACUGAUUAUUAUUGAAUAAUUGAUUGUUACUGAAUAACUGACUAUUACUGAAUAAAUAAUUGUUCUGAUUGACUAAUUGUUAAUGAAUAUUACUGAUUGAUUAAUUGCUAUUGAAAAAUAAUAAAUGAUUUUGAAUUUAAAGUAGACUAAAACAUUGGUUGGAAAGUGAAUGUUUGAAUACUCAUUGAGUUUGAAUAGUUCAAUAUAUAUAAAUUAAUAUGUUUUAUAAUUGUUUAAGUGUUCAGAUUAUAGAAAUACCACUGAGUGUAUACUCAGCGUACGGUUUGUUUCCGUGCACAGGUUAAGUUAAGGGUAGUGUGACAGCCCUAAUGUGACCCUAGUCGGAAAGUGGUUUCGGGACCACAAAACUGAGUCAUAAAAAUAAUUAACCGUCAUAUUUGAUGCUUAUUAUAUGUACAUAUGCAUGUGUGAAAAUUUCAUGUUUGAAUUUUGUUAAUUGUAAGUGAAUUUUAUUAAAUAGGACUUGUGUGAGAAAAUUUAGAAAUGUGCUAGGCAAAUGUUAAAGUGGCCUAUUGAUGCAUGUUAGAAAAUGCUUGUACUUGCAUGUCAAAUUGGCCAAAUUCUAGAUGGUGGCCGGCCAUGUUAUGGACUAAAGCAUAUUAUAAUUAUUUUGUGUUAAUAUUUUAUGCUAAUAAUUUUAUGUUACAAAAUGAAAUAAGGAAUAAGGUUAAUAAAAUACUAGUUAAUGGGAGGAGAAACCAAAGUUUCUCCAUCCUUGCUCCUCAUUGCCGUAACUAGAAGAGAAAAAGCUUUGAGAAAUUCAGCUAUGGUGGUUAGCUAAAUCAAGGUAAGUUCAAGGAUGAUUCUUGGAUUUUUAGCAUUUUUUUUGAGUUAGUCAUUAAGUUCCUUGCUUAACCCAUGACCAAAAUUGAAAUGGUGUGGUGUCUUGAGCAUUCGGCCAUGGUAGGAAAUGGAAGAGAUAUAUGGUUGUUUUCAUGUUUAAUGAAUAAGUUACAAAUGGUUGUUAAUUAAGAUAGUUUAAGGUAUUUGUAAGUAGGUUGAAUAAAUGAACAAUAAUAAUAAUAAUAAAUCAUCUAGUGAAUUGGUGUAAUUGCCGAAUUUGAACUAGGAAAUUAUUGAGUAAUGUUUGUAUUUUAAGUUAUAGAAUAGAGUGAAUGCUUGGAAUGUGAUAUGUAUGAAUUAUAAGUUGGAUUAAAGGCUGUUAUAUUGCCUUAUCAUUUUCGGAAAUGUGCUUUGUCAAAGAAAUUGAGGGUUGAUGUUUAAGCGAGGUAAGUAUAGGUAUAUUCGGCUUGUAGUUUUAUAAAUGUGAUAUGAGUAUUUUGUUUUGUAAAUGAGUAGUAAGUAUGUUAAGAAUGGUUCUUGUAUAUAUACGUAUAUGCAAUGAUGUUUAAGUACGAAUGUAUUUGGAUGGAUGUGCUUAUAAGAAUAACUUGAGACAAAUGGUAUUUAGUCAAUACAAAUAACCAUAUUUGUAGAAUGUAUUAAAUAUAUAAUCGGCCUUAACAUAGAUAUGCAUAUAUCUAUAAAAAUUGUUAAUGCCUAAGUAAGAUGUUGGGUUGUACAUGACUAGAGAAAAUAUAUAUAUAUGCGUAUGGUGUUUGAUAGUUAACCAUUAAGUCAUAUGUACCUCAACCUUAUAAUAUACAUGUAUUAUAUUAAAUCGCCUAUUUAAUUUGAAAUUAAAUGAAUUCAAUUGUUUUAAAUUAAGUUCAAGAGCAAAGAGGAUCUAGAUCUGAUAAGGGAAAGGAAAAAGUAAUCGAAUAGCCGUUGAAGUCGUUCGACAACAUCCGAGGUAAGUCUUCGAGUAAUGAAACUUAGUUUAUGAUUUGAUUAAGUCAUGACAUAUAAGCAUAACAAAUAAACGGUGAUAUAAUAAUUCUACUUGAAUUAUAUAUUGAGGUGAUUAGUUUAUACCUAUGACGGGUAACCGAAUGUGCAUAGAGAUCAUGUUAUAAAGCCAAUCAAAAUCAUGCUCUUUGUAUGUGGCUAUUGAGCCGAAAUUGGUAAGGUUUGAUAAGUGUCUUGUGUUUGAGCUUUAGUAAUGAAGAUGAAAUAUGGAUGUGUCAUGAUUUAUUGAUAUAUGUGAAUGAUUAUUCGAAUGAUAUCCGGGCUAAGUCCCGAAGGCAUUUGUGCUAGUGACUAUAUCCGGGCUAAGUCCCGAAGGCAUUUGUGCUAUUGACUAUAUCCGGGCUAAGUCCCGAAGGCAUUUGUGCUAGUGACUAUAUCCGGGCUAAGUCCCGAAGGCUUUUGUGCUAUUGACUAUAUCCGGGCUAAGACCCGAAGGCAUUUGUGCGAGUUGCUAUAUCCGGCUAAAUCCCGAAGGUACUUGGGUUUGGAAAUGAGCGAUCUUGCUGUAAUAAUUUCAAUUAAUACGCUCAUAAAAUCCAAACGAUAAGGUAUGUUUCGUAUAUGCAUCGGAAAAGUUAAUUCCUUUUUAGAUAGUAUUCGCUCUAUUGAUUAACAACUUCCGGCCUUUAGUUAGGUUUGAUCCCCUGUGUAUGAAUAUAUUGGUUGAGGUGUGAAGUAAGUAUGAUUUUGGGAAUAUGCGUAUAUGCAACUAUUCAUUUAGUCAUAUGAACGCUAUACUUUAGUCGUAAAUAAUUUCAUUACUUGAACUUACUAAGCAUUAAAAUGCUUACUCUGUUACUUUGAUUCUCUGUUUUAUAGAUUUUGUUCGUCAGCUAUCGGACUCGGGAGUGUCAAAUUCGAAGUCAUCCACACUAUCUAAGCCACUUUUUGGUACUGUUUUAGUUCAAUUUUGAAAAUGGCAUGUAUAGGGCUGACCCUUGUUGUUAAUUAAGUACCCUUUGGUAAUGUGUAUUCGUAUAGCCAUGCGAAAAUGGCUCGUAUAUUUUGAAGUAUAACAUUAUGGUCUUGUGAUAUGGUUAUUAAGCGGUGUGGAAAUGUUUGGUAAUGACUAGCCAUUGGAAUGGCCAAUCAUGGUCCUAUUGGUGCUACGUACGUCAUGGCUAAUCGGGAUUAUCCUUGAUAAUAAUGUAUGUCAAUUUGCUAUUCGAUUCAUGGAAAAUUAUGAAAUAGGUAAAAUUUACCUUAAAAUAGAUGCUGACAGUAGCAGUGACGUAAGUUGGAAAAAUCACUAAAAAUAGUAGGAAUGGAAUUAAAUCGUGAAUAAAUUAUGCAAUUGAAUCUUGAUGAGUCUAUUUUCAUAUGAAAGAAACGAAACGACCAUAUGAGCAGUAUUUUGUGAGAUGUUUAAGUUUUCGUGAAACAGGGCCAGAGCAUUUUCUGGAUCCCCUGUUCUGACUUUGAAAAUUUACCAUAAAUUAACCAGAGACAAUUAGAAGUCGUGCUUUAUAGGUAUAGAUUCCUUUUUGAGCCUAGUUUCAUUAGAAACAAACGGCAGCUCUGUACAGGGAGAUAUCUAAGUCGUAAUGCAUGAAGGUCAGAGUAGUCGAACCCUGAAACAGGGGAGACUUUAACUAAUAAACUGUACUAAUUGGCUUGACCAAAAAUUCUAGAAAAAAAUUUGUAGAUGGACAUAUGAGUCUAGUUUCAGGAAAAAUUUACGGAAUCAGUUUUCGAGUUUUGGAACUCGAGAUAUUAUUUUUAAAGUAACUGUGAUGCAGUUAGCCAGCUUGUCCGGAAAUUUUAAAAUGAACUAUGUAAGUAAAUGAAUUAAGUCCGUUAACACCUCGUGUUCGAAUCCGGCAACGGUCUCGGGUACGGGGCGUUACAGGUAGACCGUUGAAUCAGCAUCCCAGCUAGAUCCCGAAUUUGAUGAGGUAAAGUAUGUUGAGUAUUGGUAAUGGCAUGUACCUAGGAUGUCUUAUGAGAGUCAUCUAGGUUGUGAAAGUAUUGAUGGAAUAAGUAAAUUAUGAUUGGCAAUGGUAUAUAGUAUGAAGUUGAAAUAAUUGAUAAAGUAAGUGAUAUGCUUAAAAAGAUUCAUUGGAUAAGUUAUAAAAUGUUUUAGAUUGGUAAGAUUUGAAUAUAUUUAAGUGUAUUUGGAUUAUUUGAAUGUUGGCAAAUUGUAUUGGUUGAAGUUUUAAUUUGCAGGGUUAGAAACAUUUAUUUUAAUAAAUGACUAUAAUUGAACUGUACAGACCGGUAAUGCCCUGUAAUCCUGUACCAGGGACAGAUAAGGGUUAGGGGGUGUUACAGAUAUCUACCGGUACGUCUGUUUCAAAUGUACCAAUUGGUUCCAUAUAGUUCUGUAAGUAUGUUCCGCUUCCGAACUGUUUUCUGGAUUCUCUGUUUUUGAUUCUGUAGUAGUUGGCUUUGAUCUCACACUGAGCUCCAGUAGCUCACCCCCUCUUUUGUUUCCCCUUUCAGGUACGUUUCGGAAUUUGGAAGCUGGACUCAGUACGCGGAGGUCUUGGACAGUCUUGCAAACUAUGAAUUAUCAGUUUUGUUUCCAAUUACGAUUUUGUUAUUUGGGUUACUUUGAACUGUAAGGCUUUAUAAUAUUGUGGAAUAGUUUUUGUUUUUGAUUUUUAUACGUACGUUUAUUUCGGGUUUUAUAUUGAGUUUUACUGUAAAUUCUACUGACUGGUUAUUAAAUGGUUUUAUAUACUUUUGGUUUACUGAGAAGAGUCGUUUUGUAAAAUUUUCCCUACGAUCACUCUGGUAAUCAAUGUAACUUUCUGGAUUCGGUCUAGACUUCUAGGCCGAGUUUGGGGUGUUACACAUUUUUUUGUUUUUUACUCUCUAUCUAUUUAUUUUAUAACAUUAAUUUAUUUAUAGUGUUAUAAGUUAUUUUUUUAUGAGUUAGAUUGUUUAAUUUUUUUUAUCAAAAAACUAUUCAUUCCUGAACUUAAAUAAAAGUGUACAUAAUAAUAUUUUUAAAAGUUGACGUUUAGUGUUAAAAAUGAAUUGUGGUUUAUAUUUUAUGUUAAGUUCUUAGGUGUAAUAUACUUAGGUUAAUAAAAAUAUGUAAGUUUAAGUAAUUAAUAAACCACAUUAAAAGUAAAAUGGAGAAAAACUGCCAACUUUCUCGAUGUUCAUCGUCUUAAACAAAUUAAAACAUUUGAUACACGAUCGACGGAUCAUAAUCACAUAAUUUGUAUAUUAAAUCGUGUUUGUUCAUGUUAAAUUCUUUUUAAAGUAUAUUAACUCUUUUAUGAAAUCAAACCAACUUUUAGUAAUAGGUUUAAUCUACGAAUCAGUUAAUAGCAUAAAAAAUUUCUGGAAAAAAAUUACAAUUUAAAAAUAUACCUACUUUUAUAACCAUCACAAAAAUAUUUUAAAAAACGAGUCGUUUGAUUCUUAUUUUUUGUUUUGCUUAGUAACGAUGUUAGUUUUUGAGUUGAUUAUCGCCCGCUUUUUUCCUCUCCCAUCAACUUUUUCUUUCUUUCUUCUUCUUAUUCACUAUAUACGUCUUCUCUCUUUUCAGUUUGCAAAUCUAUUUUGUGGGUAUUUUUGUUAUCUUCACAAGUUGUGAUGGACAUAUGACGGUACCUGUUGUUCGCUAAAACUCCAUCGGCCACCAAUAGUUUUUCUUAGAAAGUGGAUGGCUCUUCGUCAACUUCUUAAUUUGUUUCAAGUUUGAGAGUAUUUUAGAAUAAUAAAUGAUUUCACAUGUCAAUUUGGACCCGUGUUAUCAUAAGUUUUAUAUGUUUUUUAUUUGUUUUUCCAUUGUUUAAUAAGUCUUCAGUUUUAGAAGUUUUUGUAUGCUCUUGUAGCACAUUUUUUAGUCUUACUUAUGCAUGUAAUUUUAGUUUUACAAGUGAUUUCAUGGAUGAUUUUUUUGUCGUCCUCUUUAGUUUGGUGAAUACUCGAUUCUUUUGUUGAUUUUUGCUUGCCGCUUUGGACCAUCCGGGGCUGAUUUCAUUAUCGUAUUAAGUGCUCGCAAUCACUCUAGAUCUGUCGUGCUUGAGUUGUGACAAAGUCAAUUGUCAACAUGUCAUAAUGUUCUAUUGAUGCUGAGACUAAAGUCUUAGUUGUGUUGAUGGAGUUUAUCCUUCACCAUCUACGACUAGUGUUUACUAUUUUUUUUCUCCCUGAAUUGUAUGGUUCCAUUCAUUGAAUGAAUUAAUAAAUUUACUUUUUAAAAAAAUAUUUUAAAAAACUACUAAAAAAUCAUUAAUAAUUAUGUAUUUUUCAUUUUUUUCCCUACAAUUUUUCCCAAUUACAUAUCACUUUUAAGUUGAUUAUGUUUUUUCCCAAUUACAUUAAAAAUUUAUACCCACAAUCGAUCCGUGCAACUGCAAGCAAAUGUUAGAUAUAUAUAUAAUGUGGAUAAAAAUAUGUAAGGGAUAGAUAUGAAUAUAUAUAAUAUGAAUAAAGAUAUGUAAAUAAAAUGUGAACGUUUUCUUAAAGUUUUUCCCAAUAUGACGAUAUCUUAUAUGUAAAUCUGUAGGAAACCAAACAGGGAUCUUGCAUACGAGUUCUUACGAAAAGAAAAGUAAGAGCUCCUUCACUUUCUUUGUAAUCAAACCACAUAAUGUUUGAUCAAACUCGUUAAAUGGGAAAAAAUGAUGCCUCAAAAUGGACAUCUCCUUGUUUGGAACUGGAGAUCCCAUCAACUUCAAAUAGUGGAUGACGUUUACAGAAUGGGAAAAUUUUAUCUAAUGACCCUCCAAAUUUCUUCAAAUAAAUGAAAAAAAAAACUUGAAUAUAUUCAUAUAACAUACAAAUCCACAUCCGAAACUCACAUUUCACUUUGAAAAACUUAGAUAUAUGUUAUAAUUUCAUAUAUUAUUAAAAGCUCCAACCGAGCACAGUAAUUUAUGGAGACGAAUUUAGGCAAAAGUUUACAAGAAAUUAAAUAUUAAAUAGGGGAGGGAAUGAAAUUGUAACUAAACAUUUGUAUGGAACCAUAACCCAGAAUUUAUAACCCACAUUUGAAUUCAAUCAUAUAAGCAUUUCAGUUUCAAAUUCAGCAUGGCCUUCAGAUGGUGGACGGCCGUUGUUAUUGACCUCUGAUUGUUCCAACGAAAACGAAAUCGAUGUUCAAAUGUAUGAACAAUGUAAGAUCAUCCUCACGUUGCUUUCACAAUCCAAAAUUUCGACCAACUUGUUACAGACACAUUCAACCUCUUGCUGAAGCCAGUGGAAUACAGGUUGAAAAGUUUGAGGUAUCACCUCCAACCCCCCUAGUUUUGCUAUCUUCUUCUUAAGUGUUGUUGUAAUUCCACACAUGCAAAGGGAAUCCUCAAAUUUCCACCCAAGUUGCUUUGUAUUUCGAGGAGAGUGGAGUCCGAUCCUCAAUUUCCAUGAACCAGUCCUUAACUUUUUGCUAGAAUUUGAGACCCUCUAUAAACUUUACCACCACCGUCAUCCUUCAUUUAUGUUACAAGUAUGUUAUAUUUACACAUAAAUCGAAACGAUUUGAGAAACAACAAAAAAGCUACCCUAGGUUCGUUGUGAUAAAUCGGAUUAGUAGUGUCGAAGAUUUAAAAAGAAAAUUUGUUACCUUGGAUAGCAAUCCGCUACCAACUUUUCAAAUUUGGGUUUCAAAUAUAUACACUUGCUUGCCAUCCUACAAGUUCAAAUUACUUUGUUUUAUGAUCAAACUUGAAAUAUCAUAAGAAAAUCAAGUACUAAAACAUGUCGAUUUGCAAAAUGAAAAGCUUUUUGUACAUUAACUCAUCUCAACACUCUGUUUUGCUAAUUUUUAAAAUAACAACUAACCUUUGCAACAAUAAUAUCAUCAUCCUACUUUCUAUUGUUUCCACUCUUCAGUUUCUUAAAACAUUCAUGUUUGAUACUCAUGUCUGAUGUAUAUGUAUAAAAUAUGGUCCCACAAAGAACUUUCAAAUACAUGCAAAAACUUUAAAAAGAAAAAAAAAUAUGAAGAAGUUAAACAUACCCAUAUCAGACACAUGCUCAUAACUGGAAUUUGCCCAAGUCCAAGUAACAUAUCCUUCAUUUAAGUUUUAGCAAUAUCAUAGAUAAAAUUUUAAAAUUAAACAUGUUACACUACAAACGUCGCGAAUCUCACGAAUAUACAAGACUAUCACUAAGUAAAUGAAAUUCAAUUUUGCCAAAACUUUUUACAUAAGAAUUAUAGGUCAUAACUCAAAAUUUUUUUAUAAAAUUUCAUUUGAAAAUAAUUUUUGAGAUAUGUAGUAAAUUAAUAAACCUUAAAAAAGACAAUUCAAACUUUUAAUAGUACUGUAUUGAAAAUCUAUAAAAAUAAAAUAAAAAUUGAAACGUCUUGAAAGUUUUAAUGAAAUGCAAUAAUAUCAAAAAUUGUCCCAGACUUCUCAUGUUAACGAACAUAGUAAAAACUUGUAAAAAAUUAUUAUAAGAGAAUGAGUUUAACUAUUAAGCAAACACGAAAACAUUAGACCAAAUAUUUAAUAAAAAAAUUACAUAAUUGUAAAAUUUAUGGGUAAUUCAUAUUAAAUAAUUCAAAGCAUAAUCCCUGUCAAAAUUGUAAUAAAGACAAAUUAAUAAUUUUUGAAAUACCAAUCUAAUUCAUUUUUUAUACUUAUGGUCACCUUUAACCUCGGUGACAAAAGUCUAAACCAUAAUUAAUUUUAAUGGUAAUGGAUUGGAACAAAAAACACAAUUGACUCCAAUGGCAAUAGGUCAAAACAAGACCAUAAAUCACUCCAUUGGCAAUAGGUCAAAAACCACUAUUCUAAAUCAGUGGCAUUGUUGAAAUCAAUUUCUAAGCAUAAAAUAUAUGUUUGCAUGACCAACGUUUUAACCCCAUUGGUAGGGUUAGAACAUAACAUUUUAGGAGCAAGUUCAAAAUCAUAAAAUUAGAUUAUCAUAAUGUCUCAAAUAUAUGCAAAUUGUACUUUAUAUACAAAGACAUAAUUCAAUAGUAUGCUUUUUCAUAACAUAAUAUUUAUAUAUAUAACAAAAUAUAAUUUGAGUAGCAUAAGUAUACAAAAGCACAAUCUAAUAACAUAUUUCUCUAAAAAUAAUCAUACUAGCAUGUUUAAUUUAAUUUUCAUAAAACAUAAACAAAAAUACUAUAUUUCACAAAUAUAACAUAAAACAUUGAAGACUAAUUUUUGGGGAAUUAAGCAUGAAAAGAAUGCUGAGUCACUUACCUAGUCUACUCAAUCAACACUUCAACAACAGUUAUCAAAAGCCUUAUUUUCAAAAGACAAUAUAUAAGAAUUUAUCACAAAUUAUUCAAAUUUUUUAGGUUAACAGUUUCAAGUAGUCUGCUUUGGAUCUCAGAUCUUUCAACACAGAACUCAUAUAAUUAAGAUAUUAAUACCAAAUGAAAAUUUAUAAUUUCAUACUACAAAAGAUAUUUAAAUUUCGAAACAAAUGAACAUUUAUAGAUAGAUUUUUAGUGUGUCAAAAUUGACUAUAUGAAAUUGUUAAAACUUAGAUGACAAAAACUUCAAAAAUUAUUUUCUCCUAAAAUACUUUAUCAAAAAAGAUACCAAACAUACCAUUUGAAAAAUCUUAAAGACAAAUUUCAUUUAUUACCAAAAAUGUCUCCAAAAUCUCACUGGAAAGACAAUGGAAUUUGGCAAACUAUGAAACUAACCCAAAUGAAAUACGUGAACUUUAAGAAAAUUAGUUUAAAAACAUUGACUAAGAAAAAUACUGUAAAAUGAUUCUAUCUUUUCUUUUCCUUGUAUUCUUUUAUUCAAAAUAACCUAUAAAAUACACAUGAAGUUGGUCUUCAUAACAAACGGGCUAAUGGACCAUAUAAUUAAUUGGACAUUAUAUAUAUAUAUUAUAAGUUUUUGAAUAGUUCUAAUGUUAAAAAGUAGGGGCGAGUAUUCGAUUGAGUCGAGUUAAAAAAUUUUAAGUUAGUCAAGUUAACGAAUCAUAUUUUAGCAACUGAACUCAAUUUGAAAACUUUUGAAUUGAAUCGAGACAAAAAAAAUUAGUUAAGUCGAGUUGAGUUAUCGAAUCUUAUCAUUUAUACUCAAUGUUGUGUUUACAUACACUGGUUAUUUAACUAGUAGACAAAUUACAAGAUUAUUUAAUUAUAUAAACAAUAUAAUGGUUUUUCCAUUUAACUUAAUUAAUGGGUAAACUUUUAUCAAAACGACGAAGUUUUGUAUUUUCUUAUUCGGAUUUUCUGAUAACUCGAAUUGUAUAGUUCAUAUUCAAGUUAAACAAAAAAUUUUGAUUUUUUAUUCGAGUUGAUCCGAAUAACUUGAUUAACUUGAACUAUUUAAUUCAAAAUUUAAAUUUUUUUAUCAAUUUUUUCAAAUUGAAUAAAAUUUUGCUCACCCCUAAUGAUAAGUAGAACCAUUGGUUACUUGACACAUAGUUUAUUUUUCAAUAUUAUGAUUAGUGGGCCCAUUGUAUUUAACAUUUUUAAUUACUUUAAUUUUAAUGUUUUAAAUCAAUAUUAUUUUUCAUAUAUUGCAAUUCAUAGAGUUACACUUAUCAAGAUUAAUUUUGAAAUCAAAUAAUUAUAUUUACAUUUAAAAUUUACCUAGUUUUGUCACUUAUAUUACCAAUCAGUCAAUGUAAUAUACUUGAUUUACUAAAAAUAUAAGAUUUUUAACCUUAAUUUUAGUUGUCAAUUCUCUCGUAGAUUAAUUAUUGAGCUUGGAUGCCAUAAAAGAAUUUAAACAAAGAAAACAUUAAAUUAUAAGAGUAAUUAGCAACAUCAAAUUUUGCCAUCAAUUUUAGGUUUUCAAAGAAAGAGGAAACGGUUUAUAUAUAUCUGCUACUAUUUUUUUUUUUGGUAAACUAUAACAAAGGAUUACAUAGAAUGAAUCAUAAGGGAAUUGUCAACAAAAUUCUCGCCCUGCAAGAUUUCUUUAAUUCUCAAGGGGGUUCCUCGAAAGUGCGCAACGAAUCAACGCUUGACAGUGCCAUUUUUUCCAAGGCAUCAGCUACCCGAUUUAUCUCUCUGGGACCAUAAGUCAAGUACCAAUUCUCUUCAAAGGCCUGAAUUUGUUAAAUCCUCCUUAUCAGUGCAUUUUUUAAACCACCAGACCUGCUUUCAUUGAUAGAAAUCACAUUCUCAAGAUUGUCCGAGCGAAUAAUGACCUCAUUGUAUCCUUGUUUCUGAAGGAUAAGUAGACCAUCCAAUAGACCCCAUAGUUCAGCAGUCUCUGCUGAGCAUAUUCCCAAGGAACGAUUAAAGCUUAGGAUCCACUCCCCUUUGUUAUUGCGUAUCACACCACCUACAGCAGAGCAACUAGACAUAAAGUUAACCGCACCAUCAGUAUUAAGAAAUACAUACAUACCUGAGUUAUGGCGAACUGAGAACUGCUUUAACUGCACAUCUGCUUCAUUAUGCAUGUAGAGGAAAUGUUUCGCCCAACUAUAGGAGAUGCCGGGAGUAUCCUUUGGACUCAUACCAUUUCCUUGAAAAAUACUCAAAUUUCGAUUCUUCCAAAUGUGCCAAAGGGUGAUCCCAAAGAAGCCAGCCCAAGAAGAAACACUCAGCUUGUUCGUAGAAUGAAGUUGCAAAUUCAAGAUAAGCCACUCCGAAAUAUUACCAAAAAAGAUAUUCCUAAAUUGAUUAGUUGGAAUGAUCUGAUGCCAAAUAUCCUUUGCAAAAGAGCAAUCUCUAAGAAUGUGAAGAACAUCCUCUAUAAAAUAUCCACAAAGCUUACACGACGCGUCUUACGUAAUACCCCUCCUAACUCUCUCCGAGUUGGUUAAAAGUCGCUGUUUGAAAAUUAACCAGACGAAGUGUUUCGCACGAUGCGGCCCAAGAAUUUUCCAAAUCAUAUUCCAACUCUUCUCCUCCAGACACCAGGUCUCCUCCAGACACCAGGUCUCCUCCUUCAACAAAUGAUAGGCACUCUUAACAGAAAAGACCCCAGAUGUCGUUCUAGACCAAGAAAGGAUAUCUGGUCCAGCUUGGUUUAAGGGAGGAGAAAUGCUAAUUUUACGAUCAAUCACUUCUUUAGGCAGCCACAAUCUGAAAAAGUCGAGAUUCCAGUCACCAUUGGCCAAAACCAUCUCACUAACUAUGGUCUCAAAAUCAAUAUUGCCAUGCCUUGAAACAUAAUGAUUAAGGGACCCAACAUUAGGAACCCAAAUAUCCUCCCAACAACGAACAGUCCUACCAUUACCAAUGGACCAAAUCAUAUUAUUACAUAACAGAGGCCAAGCUUUGGCAACUGCUCUCCACAUAUAAGAACAACUACUUGUCAUUAUAGAAGCCGACAUACUUUCACUCACUCCAUACUUAGCUCUAAAGACCUGGACCCGUAGAGCUUCAGUCUUAAUAAUAAGGUUGUAGCCAAUUUUCAUCAUAAAAGCAUUAUUCUGAUCCCCCAAACGAUGAAAAUCAAGGCCUCCAUGAAUCUUAGGCUGACAAAUAUCAUCCCACCCAACUAAAGCCAUAUUCCUUUUACCUUCAGUAGCUCCCCAAAUGAAUUGUCUAGCUAACCCUUCAAUAGAGUCACAAAUUCCUUUGGGGACAAGAGUCGAUUGCAUGAGAUAGCUUGGAAUAGACAACAGUACAGACUGCUAAAGUGACCCUUCCCUCAAAGGAAAGUAGUUUAGCAUCCCAACUAGAAAGCCAGCUACGGACUCUUUCCACCAAAAAUUCUAAAGUGCUCUUAGUAAUUCUUUUGUGCAGAAGUGGCGCCCCAAGGUAAUGGCCUAAGUCAUUAACUUCUUGAAAUCUUAGAAUGUCCUUAAUAUCAUUCCUUAAAGGUAUAUUGACCCCAGAAGAAAAGAACACAUUCGUUUUCCUAGCAUUCACCUUGUGACCAGAAUACUCACAAAAAUUACUAAGAAAUCUCUUAAGGAGGCCAUAGUAUGUCAAAUCAGCUUGACUAAGAUCACCAAAUCAUCGGCAAAAAACAAGUGUGAAAGACUUGGUCCAGUGCGCCAUAAAUGAAUAGGGUUCCACUCUCUUGCAAAGAUACUUCCAUGAAAACUAUGACCCAACCAUUCUAUAUAGAGAAAAAAUAGAUAUGGUGGCAAAGGGCAACCUUACCGAAUACCCCUUACUGGCCUGAGUUGGCUCACCAUUCCACAAUACCUGCAUAGAGGAUAAAGAGAUAGCAUUCAUAAUGACUUUAACCAAAUGAGAAAGAAUACUUGCUGCAUUGAGAGAAGCUUUUACAAAGUCCCAUCUGACCCUAUCAUAUGCCUUUUCCAGAUCAAUCUCGAUUGCCAUUCAUUGAAGACUCUUCUUAGUUCUCAUAGAGUGUAAGACCUCCUGAGCGAUAAUGACAUUAUCAAUAAUACUUCGACCUAUAAUGAAGCCUGCUUGUUCUUGACCUUUGAUCUUCGGAAAGAUGCUCUUAAAUCGAUUAGUGAUGACCUCUAUGACCAACUUCUACAGCAUCGAACAAAGGCUGAUAGGUCAGAAUUGAGAGAAAUUUUCCAGGUUCUGAACUUUGGGAAUUAACACAAUAAGAGUGUUAUUAAAUUCCUGGUCAAUGAUUUCACCUUUAAAAACUUUUUUAACCCAUUCAUAUAUGGCAUCUCCUGUAACACCCCCAUACCCGAGAACGUCGCCGGAGUCGAGCAUGAGACAUUACUAAACUUAUUUUAGCAUUUAAACAAGUUCAAACAAUUCUCGCAGUAAACUAUCCAUCUGCGUCACAGUCGCUAAAAAAAUCAUAUCUCGAGUUAAAAAAACUUGAAAUUCAAUUCCGUAAAUUUUCCCUGAAACUAGACUCAUAUAUCUACUUACUAAUUUUUUUCUAGAAUUUUUGGUCAAGCCAAUUAGUACAGUUUAUUAGUUAAAGUCUCCCCUAUUUCAGGGUUUGACUACUCUGAACCCUGUGCACUACGAAUCAAAUUUAUUGUACAGAAAUCCAAUGACUAUGCGUUUGUUUCACUUAAAAAUGGACUCAAUAAGGAAUCCAUACAUAUAAAGUGUGAGUCCUAAUUAUUUUUACACAAUUUAUGGUGAAUUUCUAAAUUCAAAACAGGGAAUCCAGCAAUUGCUCUGGCCCUGUUUCACCAAAACGUAAAUAUCUCAUAAAAAAUAACUUUUUUACCUAUUUUGUUUCUUCCACAUGAAAAUAGAUUCAUUAAGCUUCAAUUAAAUAUUUUAUUAAUCAUCUAAUUCUAUUUCUACUAAUUUUAGUGAUUUUUCAAAUUCACGUCACUGCUGCUGGAUGACACUAUUUUAUAGCCAAUUUCACCAUUUUAUGGUUUUCCAUGGAUUAGGUAAUACAUUAAGCAUACAUAACACUAAAUGUAAAUUUUAAUUAGCCAUUCCAAUAGCUAAUCAUCAACAAGCAUUUCCACAUCACUCAUUCACCAUAUCAUAAGAUUAUAUACACAAAAGGAUUAUAAUGCUAUACAUGCCAUAUUCCCAAAAUAUGCAAGCCACUAUAUUGAGAUGGUUCGUUGAUAGUGUGAGCGUGCCUCCGACCGUCCUGAUCUCCAAGCCGGCUUGUCAAAACUACAAGGAAUGGAAGGGAGGGAGUAAGCAUAAAUUCUUAGUAAGUUCACAUGUAAAUAUCAAGUAACAUAACCAUGCAAUAAUACGAAGUCCACAUUUGCAUAAUAUCACCAAAGCAUUCAUAUCAUAUUUCCCAUUCAUGAUCUUACCAUAUUUUUGUUAUAUUGAAGUCUCAACCCGAGGGUUAAGUACAUACCUGUACAAAGUAUCCAUUCCACAACACUUACCAACUAGUCACUUUUAUCUCGAGAAUUCUUCUAUUUCACUAGAACUUUACCUGUUGAACACAUCGGAAUAUAAUUCGGAUACACGAAAUCAAGCUACCAUAAUCUCACCCAUAAUGAGCUCGGAACACAACUCAACGAGCUCGGGUGUUUGCAUCCAUAAUGAACUCAGAACACAACUCAACGAGUUCGGAUGCUUGCAUCCAUAAGUGAACUCGGAAUGCAACUCAACGAGUUCGGAUGCCUCAUAAUUCUCACGAACUCGGAACACAACUCAACAAGUUCGGAUCUCAAUUUCCUAGUGACAUGUCACUUGUAUCCUAACCUAUUCCUAAGGUUCAAACGGGCUCUUUCCUCGAUCAUACUCCUUUGCCAUCUUCCAUGAAAUGUCAAAAUCGAUACUUCUGUGAUAGUUCAUACUCAUCAAGUAAUUCACAUAAUUACAUAUUAUUCAACAAUAACCACAAAACAUAACAUUUCAUGAUAAUAAGCAUCAUAUCAUAUAAACAACAUUAAAUUGCUUAAAACAACAAUUAUGUUACCUCAUUUACUCAUGAACUUACCUCGCAUGCGAAAAUGGUCAUUUUUACCAUUUUGUCCACACUUGGUAUUUCGUCGAUUUUAGCCCGAAUUUUGAUUUUCCUUAUUCUAUCAUUUGAAAUAUAGCCUAAUUAGGACUCAUAUUAUUCAAAUCAACCCAAAAUCAUAUUUUGGAAAAAUUACAAUUUUGCCCUUAAACUUUCACAUAAUUACACUUUUUCCCCAAAUCUCGUAAAUUAAACUUCAUCCUAUUUUCUUAUGUUUUAUGAUAUGCUGAUCAUUUUUCCCUUCUAUAGCAACAUCCAAUUCUCACUCUAACAUGUACUUAUGAACAUUAGGUAUUUUUACCGAUUAUGCCAUUUUACUCGUUUUCACGUAAAAUCGCUUAGCAAAAGUCGUUUAUCUAACACCCAACCUUCAUUUUCUAUCAUUAGACAUCAAAAUACAUGCAUAUUAUUCAUGGGUAAAUUUUUAGACAUGAACCUUAGCUCAAAUUAAUGGUAGAAAUAAGUAGAACAAGUUACCGGGAUUUCAAAAAUGUAAAGAACUUUAAAAACGGGGCAAAAAUGGACUUACAAUCAAGCUUGGAAGUUUUAAAAACCCUAGCCAUGUCUUCCAUCUCCAUAUACGGUUAUGGCAUGAGAAAAAUGAAGAAGAUGACAUCUUUUUCUUAAUUAUUUUAGCUUUAUUAACCAAUUUAAUAAAAUACCCUUAAUGAAAAAUAAAUAAAAACAUACCAUGCCAUGUCCAUUUUUGUCCACUAAUUACAAAAUGGGCUAUUUACUAUUUAAGGACCCCCAAUUUAAAAACCCAUUACUCACAAGUACUUAGUACCUUUGUAAACUAGAAUACACAUUUUGCAACUUUUACAAUUUAGUCCUUUUGACUAAAUUGAGUGCCCGAGCGUCAAAAUUUUCGAACGAGAUUUUCACAGAAUUAUUCUGUAAAAUCGUAAACCAUAAAAAUAUAAUAAAAAUAAAAAUUUUCUUCAUCGAAUUUGUGGCCCCGAAACCAUUGUUCCGAGUAGGCCCAAAAUUGAGAUAUUACAUCUCCAAUAUUAUCCCAUUGAUUCUGAAAAAAACCAGCCUGAUAACCAUCACUACCAGGGGCUUUAAAGGGUGCCAUAUCAAAAAGAGCAGCCCUUAUCUCUUCAUUUGUCACAUUCUUCUCGAGAAAGUUAGCAUCAUCAGAACUUAGGCAAGGGAAAGCACUAGGAGGCAUAUUUCCUAAUGAUCACAGAUUCUCCCCAUAGAGCUUCUGAAAGAAAUUAGCUGCUUCAGCCUUGAGAACAUUAGGACCGAAGAUCCAAUCCCCAUCCUCAUUACAUAAAGCAGUGAUUUUAUUAAAAUUCCGCAUCUGAAUAGUACGUCUAUGAAAAUAACUAGUAUUGCCAUCCCCCAAUUUCAGCCACUCAUGUCUCGAUUUUUGCUUCCACAGCAUCUCUUUAUGGUGAAGAAUGCUUUCGAGUUCAUCCCAAAUCAAAUUUUCCUAUUCACGAAGGGAGACGGACCCUGAAAGAUCCACGGCUCAUUGAAUUUUGGAAAGCUCAUGCAUUAACUAUCUCUUCAUCUGAUAAAUAUGACCAUAUACGCAUUUAUUCCAGCUUUUAAGCUUAUCCGUGAAAAUAGAAAACGCACUAGUCAUAUUAUCGUCAAAAUUCCAAUUAUCCCUGACUAAGUCAGAGAAAUUAUGGUGCUCCAACCAUCCAGCUGAAAACCAGAAAGGACGAUUAGGAACAAUUCUAUCUUCAUGACAUAAACGAUGAUCAGACUUAAUUCUAGGCAAAUGGGUCACCAAACAGUUGGGAAAAAAUUCCAACCAAAUUUCAUUACUCACAGCCCUAUCAAGUAUUUUCGAAAGAUUUCCACGGUGCCACGUAAAAGGAGGUUCUUGAAAGCCCAGAUCAUGUAAUUGGGCUUUGUCCAUAAAAUCACCAAAAGAUUGACAUCUGCAACCUUUGAUAUGACUGCCUUUUUUAUCAUCUGAAGAGAGAAUGACGUUAAAAUCUCCAAUGGCCAUCCAAGGGUCAUCUUCCAGUAGAACUGAGUGACUAAGAUCAUUCCACAAAAACUUCCUUUUCAUUUUAUCAGGAUUCCCAUACACAAAAGCAACAAAGAUUGGCCUAGAGAACAAAUUAGAACAAAUCCGAGUCAAAAUGAAUUGAGGAUGGUUACCAAUCACCUUUAAGUCAAUCGAACUUUCCAUCCUAUCCAGAUACCCCUCGAGAAACCAACUGCUUCUACACGAUGAGACUUGUCCCAGCGCAACUUCGCGAUAGUUAGAUCAGCUUUGUUCUCGCUAAUUCUCGGCUCAAGGAGACUAAUGAUAUGAGGCUUGUGUUGAUUAUUGUACUCAUGAUAAGCCCACAUAAAUUUAUCCGACACACAUCCCUGUACAUUCCAAGAAAGAAUAUACAAAUUCAUAAUAUUAAAAAAAUUAAAAGGGUAAAGGACUUAUCUUAUUGACUAUCAGAAGAAGAAUACUCCACUUCCUCUCCUAGAUGUAUCGACAAAUCCUUUUCAGAUUCUCUAUCAAUUUCAGAUGUAAUAAGAUCCGCUGCCCUCUUCAUAGAAUCAAAGAAUGAAACAUGAGAUUUUCUGAAUUUUUUAAUCAAUUUCCUGCUCCUUAUAAAGUUUUGUUAAGCUUCCAUCCUCCUUUAAAACCAUUUCCUUUGAUAGUCCGACUUUUAAAACCCACCUUAUUUAAAAAACUACCAGCCGGUUGACUACCUCCCGAUUCCUCAACCACGGCCUCCAGAGGCCAUUUAUUACUAAACACAACUGCUGAAUGAUUUUUGGCCUCCAAAACUCCUUUCACCUCCACAUUCGCAAAGGAAUUUUCUUCAAAUGUAGGGUUAAAAUGCACCACAUGAUCUGUUUGUUUAUAAAGGGAAAAUUUGGGCUCCAAUUGUUUUUGACCUGCAACAACAUCAAAUUAUGAAUUUAAAUUUAAAGGAAAAGACAGGCUAGAAUUACCAGCAAUUAAAGUCCUGGAAUUAUCUUCAACAUUCGGCAUGGAAUUGAGCAUGGCAUUAGAAUCCUUUAUCGGGUCUACUACAUGGUUGUCCAAAAUUUGCGCCUCCUGUUGUGAUCCAUUACUUGUGCUGCAAGGGGUCUGUCUGUUAUUCACCAAAGGAGAUGAAUUGUUGCCAGCCCAAGCCAUCAGAGAGUCCAAGCCCGUCUUAGACCCAUCCACGAAAAGGCCAUCAAUAACUUUAUUGGACCUAGUGGCGCAUGUCUAUCCCUUCUGAGCUGUACCCACCGUCAAGCCCAGAUUAGAAAUUUUAAAACCCUUAUUAAUGGAUUUUUUACCUGUUGAAAAGUUGACUUAAGUGUCUAUUUAGGGAUCUUUUCCUUUUUUAUUCAGAUCAGAUUGAGGGUUCUUAGAUAUUUCUUCCCCUGUUGAAACCGCCUCCAAAUCUGCAAGGGAUUGAAAUCUUGAUCCCAAGAUUUCCCCCCUUUUCGAAGUGUUUCCUUUUUUCACUCCCUCCAUGGUGUCGCGCCUGGAAUUCCACUCCACUAGCAUCUAAGGUCCGUACUUGUAACACCCCUAACCCGUAUCCACCGCCGAAAUAGUGUUUCAGAGCAUUACGAGAAUUUACAGAUCAUAAAAAAAUUUUCACUUAAAUACUUAUCGAUUCAAUGCAUUAUAUAAAUAAAUAUAUUACCAUUAAAGCAAUAAUUUGGCUCUUGCCUAAACUUCAAGUAACAACAUUGGUCAGCGUACUUUAAUAUUGACAAACUUAUUUUCCUGACAUGUCUCACUUGAAUUUAUUACUCGUCUUAAUAUACAUAAUCUUCCUUGAAUCAACGUAUCAAAGAUAGUCUUAUAUUUACAUGUCAUGAUACAUAUCAUUCUCUUGUUGUUUCUUCCUAAAUAUAAAUCAUUAAAUUCAUUAUGACAAUAUUCCAUGUACCAUCAUUUUCAUGAGUUUAGUGUAUAUUUAUUCCAGUAACAGUUCAUAAUCGUGAAUAUGCAUAAUUAUCAGGAAAGUUUUACAUACAUGUAUUUUCCAUGUCAUAUUUCAAUAUAUCAAAUAAUUAUCAUUUCUAUGUAUUUCAAGUUUAAUUUUUCGUGAUUUCAAGUACUUACCAUUUUCUAUAUUUAUCCCGUUGGAUUUCUCAGAAUUUCAAUAGAUUUCCAGUAGUACACUUAUAGUGUACAAUCUCAUUAACUGUCAAUUCGUAUGCAUAUAUACAUAAAUCCUUUUCAGAGAGCACACUCCCGCAAACCUCAUUGCUUACAGUGGGAUUACCAGUCUAGGCUAAAUCCCCUGUAAGAGAGCACACUCCCGCGAACCUCAUUUCUUACAGCGGGAUUACCAGUCCAGGCUAAAUCCCCUGUAACAUAUACUCAAAGAGUAUUGUCGGGAUUACCAGUCCAGGCUAAAUCCCCUGCAAUGACAAAUACUCUAUGGAGCUUUAUCUGGAUUACCAGUCCAGGUUAAAUCCACACUCACACAUAUUCUUCGGGAGGGCUAAUACCAGGAUCACCCGUCCGGGCUAGAUCCUUUUUACCGUCAAAUCUUUUUUAGUGAUCCAUCGAAUUCUACUCCAUCCAGCCGGGAUUUAUUUCUCUUUUUAUCAAUUAUUAUCAACAUUUCAUCUAUUAUCAUACAUUAAACAUUCAAUUCACAUUUAUGUCACAUGAAUAUACAAUUCAAGCAUUCAAGUUGCACAAACUUACCUUGUUGCUUGUUCGUGUUUAUAAUUUUACUAAUUCGAUAUCUUUUCUUUCCCAUGUUCAAGUCUCAUAUUUGAGUCGUCCGGAUCUUUAUAAAUAAAUUUGAUCAUCAUUUUCAUUCAUUUAAUGUUAUGAUAUAUUCAAUUAAUGCUCUAGGCAAAAUUAUCAUUUUGCCCCUAAACUUUUAAUUAAUGACAAUUUCAUCCUUAGGCUCAGAAAAACAAAUUCUUGUAAUUUAAUCCUUAUUUCAAGCCUAAUUAUUCUCAUACAUAUUGAUAACAACCCAUGGAUUCAAUGAAAUAUCAAAAUUUUCUAUAAUUUUAAUUCUUUUCAAUUUGAUCCCUAAAACAUGUUUUCACUCGAUCAUGAUCUAAAUUAAUAAUUUCAUUCAAUUUUUUAAUUUAAAUAAUAAAAUAAUCCAUUUCAUGCAAUUUGGUCAUUUCUGAUAUUUUUACAAAAUUGCCGAUAAAGUUUUACUUUUAUUCAAUUUAGUCACUGAGCCUAAAACAUGCAAAUUAGCAAUGCUAGCUGGAUAUACAUAUAUAUAUUCCUCCUCCUCCUCUCUAUUCCACAUCCUUAAUUUAUAUAACAUGCUUAUAAGUAGCAUUAUCUAUGAUUUCACUAUUUACUUAUAAAUUUAUUCAAAGCUGUCCAUUUGAGUCAUAGUCACUAAAUCAUUUUUAUCUUGAGCUAUGGAACUCCAAAUUAAGAUCCGCUAAUUUUUCCAGAAACUAGACUCACACAUAUUCUUACCAUAAAAUUUUCAUAAUUUUUGGUUCAGCCAAUAAGUACAGUUUAUUCUUCAAAGUCACCCAUGUUUUGAUGUCCGACAGUUCCAACCCCUCUUCACUAAAAAUUAAUUAUCUCCUCAUACCGGAUUUGUAUGAUGUUCCCGUGAUUUUAAGCAUAUAAAUUAUAACCCAUAAAUAUUUUUAUAUCAUUUUUAAUGAUUUUCCAAAGUCAGAACAGGAGAGCCCAAACUCGUUCUGACCUUGUCUCAUUAAAUUUACUAUAUCUCCUAAUCUACAAUUCCAUUUCUUACACCGUUUCUUCUAUGAAAAACUAGACUAAAUAAAAUUUAAUUUCAUAUUUUAUUCAACUUCUAAUUAGAUUUCCACAAUUUUUGGUGAUAUUUAAAAGAUAGACCACUGCUGUUGUCCAAAACUAUUUUAGUACAAAAUGUUGAUUACCAAGUUUAUAACACCCUUAUUUCCUUUCUGUACAAUAUUUUCCAUCACUUUCUCUUAUUUCCUUCACUAACAUAUCAAGAACAUAAAACUUUAUAUAAGAAAACUCUACAUUCACAUCAUUUUCAUGUUUUUCAAUAAUAUUAAACUUAAAAAUAUAUUGAAAUCUUGAUAUUCUUACCUUGUUCUAUUGAUUUCAAUCUUUAACUUGAUUUUCUUUCUCCUCUAGCUUCUAUUUCUUGAAUCUAACUUGAUAUUCUAGCUCUCCAUUGUAACACCCCAAACCCGGCCCAAACGUUAUGCCUGGAUCCGGCGUGUCACAUUGAAGUGUUUUAUCAAAAACCUUGUUUUCGUUGAAAACCCUUCUUUAAAAUAAAAACCUUGAGUAAAAUCCCAGCUUGUAUUUUUAAAAAUACUAUUCCUUCUUGUAUGAUAAUAAUUACUUUGUAAAAUCUCUUUUCAGUUGCGGAAGCUUUAUUUAAAAUAGAUGAUCUAUGAAAACUUGUCAUUUAAAAAUUGAGUUGUGGAAACAUAGUAUUUAAAAAUAGUUAGGGUUUAGGAAAACCAUGUUCUACUUCUAACAAAUAUAAAGCAUAAAAAUAAUGAUAAUCCUAAUUUGAAAUAAUAACCAGAGGAAAGGCCUUAUUACAAUCCAGACUGAAAUAACUUUAAAUACUAGAAAUUAUAGGCUCAAGAAAACAAGUCCAAGUCGUCUUGCUAACUGGCCACCUCGGAGUCCCUCCAACCCUCGAACCACCUACUGAAGAUCACCUAAGAAAAAUAAAAGAGGGGGUGAGUUUUCGAAAAAUCAAUGUGUACAAACCUUGGCAAAUAGUAAAGCAUGCAAUCGCAAGUCUUUUUGGGCCUAAGCCCAAUUCAAUAUUAGAGCAAUUGUAAAGCAAACAAGUAUGCAUGGAUCCCACUCAUCCAACCACUACACACCAUCUUCAUUCCCCGAUACACACCAUGUGGGGAUAUAAAUAUCGACCCAUCCAUCCAAUACACUCUAAUGGUAGCCAGGUUGCGGUACUGCCUAACAUUGUAGCAAGCUGCUACUCGUAUAUUGGGCUUAAAAAGCUACCGGUGGAUCCACUGUCGCCAAGCAACCAUGCGAUCCUCAUAUACUUCCUCCAUUCCAUAAUUCCCAACCCAUAUGCAACCUAGACAGAAUAUCAUAUGAAUGCAUCAGUUUACAUGUAACACCCAUAAAUCUUACACUCAACACAUAGGGGUAUUUUAGUCAUUUUCACCCUUAGGGGCAUUUCGAUAAUUUCUUUUAUUAUGGGUUUAUUACUUACCUUGGCCCGUUAACAAGUCCUCGUUAGCUAAAGUGAACAGAUACUAUGCACCAGGUAGGAUUCCAUAGAAGAGGAGGUGAGUCAUUAAGACCGCUUAAGUACCAAGCUCUCCCUAGAUCCAAUCCUAGACAUGCAUAUACGCAUUGCCACACCUUAACCUUAUGACUCGUCCACAGUCGCAAUUAAUUAAUUAUUUAAGUUUUUUGUCUGAUUGAGUAGUUACCAAAAACUAGGUCCACAACCCCUUACUAAACACUAACAAAUCCACACUUAUUCAUUUGGCCCCUUUAGGCCCAAUCUCAUUCAUAUGGCCCAUCGGCCUAAUCACAUUCAUAUGGCCUAUCAGGCCCAAUCAUAUUCAUAUGGCCCGUCAGGUCCAAUCACAUUCAUAGUCAUGAAAUCAUAUAAUUUUUCAUCACUUAGUAUCAAAUUGCCAAUUUUGCCUAUUAUGGGCACUACAGCCCAUCGGGCCCAUUUAGCCCAUUCUGGCCCGGUUGGCCAAUACAUGACCCAAGUCCAUGGAAUCGCUCAUGGGCCUCUGAUAACCUAUCGAUUUCCCCCCUUAUGAGUGUUCGCGCACUUGCAAGACUAUUGUAGCCAAACUUCUGGCUUUUCGGCAUUUCGGGAUUUGUCGGUCUACUGUGUGUGUGCAGUGUAUGUACACAUCUGGUACUAAAAUGUGCUGCGAUCUCCUUAACCACGAACCUACAAAUGAUGUCACUCAACAAUUAAUCACACACUUAUCAAAUAUGAUCACCAAAAGCUACAAAUCUCACAUUUGCCUUACCUUGAACGACAAGCCUUAACAGCCUUCCUUGAUCACUAAUCACAAGUAUUUCUUAAAUCUACAUCAAUCUUAAUCAUCAAGAACUAAACAAAAAAUGAUUCACAAUCAUCUUAAGUCACUCUUAAAUCAUCCAUGACCAUUCGGCCAACCUUAACCAAUAAAAAAGGAACACUUACCCAAAACUCCAAAACGCCUAAGGAGCAAUUCGACAUAGAUCUGAAAUCCAAGAUUCGUACUAAUCCCCUACCAAAACCGAUUUAAAGAGAGUGAGGGAGAGAAAAAAUUGGUACUAAGAAAACCAACUGAAAGAGUAAAGCACUUACACAAGAAUCGGCCGAAGUAGAGGGAGUGGUGGUGGCACAGAGGGUCUUCAGCCAAAGAGGUAUUUGGCUUUUGAGAUUUGUAUGGUGAAAGGGGUUAUUCUGCACAAAUAAGAAGAAGAGAAGAAGGAAUAGGCUAAAACCAAAGGUGAAUCAAAAGAGAAUUUGAGAAGAGAAAGGAUGGAAAAUUGGUAAGCAAGGAACAAGGAAUUCGGCUUCUGAGCAUUUAGAGAGAAAAGUGUUUUGGCAACACAACAAUGAGGAAUUUGGCUAAAGGAAGAGAAGCAAUUUUGGCACUACCGUAGAAUCCCCAAAAUCGGCAACUAUAUAUACUAUAGUCGAAUUCACCUAUCCCUAAAUUCCCACUUCGGCUCUACUUUUCUACACCACUCAUCUCCUAACUUUUCUCCCUGAUAACUCCUUAAUCCCUUACUUAAAUUUCUUUUCUGAUCACUCCCUUCAGAGUUCACAUCCAACGCCACUACUGGCCAUUUAUUGAGCAAAAAUAAAUCCUUCUUUUGAGCCAAGAGGGAUUCGAGCCCCAAACCUCCUUGCCAUGCAUGUGACGCCACCUCUAUGCCCCACAUGUGACGCUACUUGCCACUCCAACACAAGGCUCCUUGUGUACAAUUCCUCCUUCAUUUAUUUAAAAACCAAACUACUUGCCAUCAAGGUUCUUUUAAUUAUUAAACUAUAAUUUCCUUGUCAUCUUUCUCUCUUGAUAGCUAUGGAAAUUCUUUUGAUUUCUAAGUGAAAAUGGUAGAUUUUUUUAUGAAAGGACCAAAUUGUAAAGAAAAGAAAGUUUCUUUCUUUCUUUUCUCUUCAUACGUUGGGUGCAUGGGAAAAAUUCUUCAUCUUUCUUUCCUUAUAUAUACUAAAUAAAAUAAUAAUAAAAUAAUAAAAUAUCUUAUUAAUAAAAUAAUAGUUAUAAAAUAUCAUCAACAUCAUUAUUACUUUUUAAAUUUCUCUCUCUUCCAAUUGACGAUUUUACCCUUUAUUAUCAUUUAAAAUUCCAUCCUUGAGUCAUCAUUUCAUUUGGUAAAAUUGUAAUUUAGUUCCUCAUAAUUCUUCACCUAUUCAAUUUGGUCCUAAUUCAUCCAUUUUCCUUAGUUUCUAGAUCAUUCUACUCUACCCUUAAAAUAUUUGCACUAUUGGUCCUUCAACUUUUUCAUAUUUACACUUUAACCCUUAAGUUUUAAAUAUUUACUCUUAGGCAACAAAACUUUUCUCACUUUUACAAUUUAGACCUUUCCUGAAUCAAGAUAUCAUAAUUUACUUCUCAAUGUUGUCAUAACUCAAAAUUUCCUUUUUUGUCACUUUAUUUCCUUAUUUUACUAUAUCAAAGAUAAUAUCUUACUGUAGAAAUUUUCAGGGUAUUACAGUACUCUCCUUCUCCGACCACUGUAACAGUUGCAGAAACCUGUUCCGAUGACUCACCUUUCUCAACCACCUUGGAAGAUUGUAUGAUCAGCGAACAUGUCUCUUUAGUGUGGCCGUAGUAACCACACUUGAAACACACUACCGGUAAGUUUUCAUACUCUAUUCUUUUGGGAUUACUGUUCAUAAGAAUUUUAGAGCCCAAUGGUCUCCCCAAAUUGACAAACACUACCAUACGAGCGUACUGUCCCGUUGCCCUACUAUCCGUAUUAAAAUCCAACUUUGUAACUUUACCAAUCAAAUCACCAAUCUCUAUAAGAAUUUGUUUCUUGUACAAGUGACUAGGUAAAUCGGGGAAGCGAAUCCAAGUGAGCACCACAUUCGGGUAGGGUAAAUUAGGGUUAAAAUCGAUCGUCCACGGCUAAACUGUGAGAUAGUGGCCGAAAAUAACCCGCAGCCCCUGAGAAAGUAUCUUGUCAUAGUUUUUCAGAAUUCUGAAAUGUUGCAAGAAAGUAACCAUUUUCAAUGUCCAUUAAUUGAAAAGGCUUAGUCGACCUCCAAAUCCCAUAUAACCUAUUUUGUAAGGUCGUGAUUCUGAGAUUUCUUCCAUUUCUUCCCAGCAUCUUAAGAACCACAGAGAUUGACAUUUCCUUUUCCAAAAGCCAAUAGACUCUCUACGAGAAAUCAAUGAAGGGAACACCAUCGACAAACGAUUUCUUGGCAUCCUAGUCAAUAAGGGAGAAACUAUUAGCAAAGGGUUCGCCAUCUUUCUUAUUAUUUGGAUCUGAAGUUUCCUUUCACACUAACAUAUCCUUCCAUGUCAACGUAGGCACUGGUAUUGGAUCCACGACCAUCACAUCUUCCAGAGUUGCAUCCGUGUCCUUAAAACAGAUCUUCUUAGAAUUAGAGUCCUCAAUAAUAGAGAUAUCAUCUCCAUUCUUUAUCGCAAUAUUAGCAGGGGGAGACGAGAGCAUUUUUUAGUGAUGAAAUGAUAAUUUAAGUACAAAUCUAAAAAAUACUAUUCUACUACUAUUAGUACCAUAUGUAACUAAUUGAAUUACGAUUAUUUAUUACUUAACAAAAUUUCUAUGUACAAUUAUAAUAAAAAUAAUUUUUAUUUAUUAAAUAAUAAAUUUCAAAAUACAAUAACGUAUAUUAAGGCAUGUUACAUAAAUUAAUAAAUUAAAUUGAUUUACCAACCUUUUCUAUUACAAUUAUGAAUAUCAUUACAAAUUAAUGAAAAUUUAUUCCUUACGUUCAUACUUUAAUAACCGCAACUACAUAUUUAACUUAAAUACCCAAUCAAUUGUACUUAUAAAUAAGUUUUUUUUUCCUUUUGAGAGAAUUCUAUGAGAGUUAGGGCUUUGUAUUUGGGGUUUUGGGUAAUUUAUGUUUGGUACAUUUAGGUUUAUUUUCUCCAUGUUGUACUUUCAUUUAUUUACACAUUUAGUGAAAAGCUAAAGUCCCCUUUGCCUGUGAUUUUUCUCCUCUUCAGAUGAGGUUUCACGUAAAUAGUUGUGUGUUUGACCUUCUCUAUUUUUCUCUUUCGUUGCUUAUAUGAGUCAGUCCUCAAUAAAUUGGUAUCAGAGCUAGGUUCAGCAUUUGCAGAUUGGCUCCUUUGAUGACACAACAACGAAUUUGGAUAUCGAGAAGUUUAACGAGAUCACAAAUUUUAAUUUUUGGUAGUUUCAAGUAAUAACAGAGGUGGAUGAUGUGGCCGAGCACAAGGGUGAUGAUUCGUUGUUCUCUACAUAUAAUCCAGUUGAAAGUGGUAUCAUGUCAGAUGUCAGACAUGCGCUUGAUUUAGAGAAGAGUAUCAUCCCCUUUUGGUCUUUAGGAGUCGAAUAGUUCGUAAAGUGUUUGAGACAAAGUUGGUCGUAGAGGGUUACAGUCAAGUGGAGAGAGUUGAUGUUUUCUCUCAUACUCGGGUAUUAUUGGAUCUUGUUGCAUUAUACAACUUUGAUUUGAAGACUAGGAGUCUUUUAGUUUCCAAGUUCGAGCACAAUUUAGACUUGGUUAACCUCGUAUCUUUCGGAUAGGUUGUAGGCACCUUUGACGAAAAUCAAUAAGCAACCAAAGAAGGACCAAAACAGGCCUGACGAAAGGAUGAGGCGGUUCCCGACUAUAACGCCCCAAAUUUGUUAUGAUUGAUUCUAUAAAAUUUUGACUGCUUCAGUGGUUAACUGUUCUGGGUGUGUGUGUGAGGUCUUAAGUUCAAGCUUUACCUUUGAAAAAUUUUGGUAUUUUUCUAACUUAAGCCUUAUACUUGCUUAGUGGGCUUAUAUUAAAUUAUUUGUAAAACCACAUCAGAAUGAGCCUGCUGGUUCAAGUGGUAAAGUUGUUGGUGUAUUGGAGGUCCCAUGUUCGAAUUCCUGCGUUGGCUUAGGUAGUUAUUUUUGCUCGGCUUUGGGAUAGAGUUUCGGUUGCUUUCGAGUUCUAAGUAAGGAGUGGUUAAGGAUGAGAGAUUGGAGGGGAUUUGUCAAAUUUGGUUUUUAUCUCUUUUUUUUUCAAAAUUUUAUUUUUCUUUCUCCUGCCGAAUUUCUGCUCAGAUUUUUGACGUUCUUUCUUUCUCCUCUGAUGUUUUUCCUUUUUUUUUUCAAAUGCAAUAUUUUCUCUCUUCAUUAAUUAUUUUGGAAAAAAAUUGUGUGUUCUUGUUGUGGGUUUUGAGGUUGCGUGCUUUUCGUUUGGUAAGUGGUAGUAAGUUUUGUCAAAGAGGAAGCUCUGUUUGUUCUUUUAGGCCUUGUCGAAUUCUCUGUUAAAUGUGGUGCUUGUGUUUUGACAGCAACAAAUCAGGAGAAUAGGUGCUUCUCUUGUUCAGAAUCAUAAGUGGAUCAUCGGGGUAAUUGAGUAAGUGCUAGAUUUCGGUAUUGGUUUCGUAGUUAAGAUUUAGUUGUGAAUUAAGUCUGACUCUAAGUGUUGGGUUGUCGAUUCUUAAGUUUCUAAAGGCUUGGCAGUGGUUUUGCACUGUAACGUUACCAGGUGUGUACUCGAAAUGUAGAAAAUGAGGUUUCAGUAGAAGCCAAAAAAGGCCAUUGUCGACACCACACGGGCAUGUGGUCACCCAUGUAGGCCGUGUGCGACAACACGGCCGUGUAGUCGACGAAGGCAUGGCCGUAUUAGCACACAAUCGUGUAGUGGCUCAGUGUGGCCGUGUGAGCCAUAUGAGCAAGACACACAAGCGUGCCGAUUAUUGGGCCAAGCCGUGUGGGCCACACGUGCGAGGCCAAUCUAGGUGUGUAGGCCCAUGUAUCUGAAUUUUUUCGUAGGGUUGCAUGGGUCGUCCUAAUCGACUAUGAGCCUACCAUAGGGUCGGUAAAUGCUAUCUAACCCUAAAACCAAGUGAUCUGCUAGACUGAAAUAUGAUUAUGAGCAUACUUUGUUUGCAUAUCUGUCAACUAUUUAUAGAAAGCAUGUUAAGCAUGAUAUAUGAGUUAAUUCUGUAUGCGUGAUCUGUUACUGUUAUUGGGGUGGGAUGAUGUAUAUCGGAGAAAGUGUUCUUAAAGGAAGUUUAUGCCUAAUAUCUGGCAGCAUGGCUACAUUAUAUUUUCUAUGUGUCGCAUCGGUACAACAUUGGUUUGUAGGGCUGGGUGGGUGUUUUGAACCCCAUAUUGUAACACCCUUUACCUGUAUUCGACGUCAGAAUAGGGUGCGAGGCAUUACCGGACUUAUGCACAAGCAAUUAUGCAAAAUUGAGACAUAAAUUUCCAUCCAAAUUAAAACUAUCAUUAUUCAAUCAUAACGUCCCUAUUAUGGGCCUAUGAAGCCCAAAACAUGCACUGGAAGUGGUUUGGGACUAAACCGGAAACUUUGGAAACUUUUGGGAAACUUAGAAAAUUUUUCAUGAAAAUAAGGCCACACACCCGUGUGGACAAAGGCACACUCCCGUGUCCCUAGCCCGUGUAACUCUCUGCUUAUGAAGUUACAGACAAAUUAGGGUCACACGACCAAGACACACGAUCGUGUACUUAGGCCGUGUGGACGAUUAAUUUUCAUAAUUUUUCAUAAAAUAGGUGCAGACUUCACACGCCCUGGACACACACCCAUGUCCCGGGGCCGUAUCCUUCGCACGGCCGAGAUACACUACAGUGUCUCGUACCCAUCUGCACGAUAUUAAAAUUUUGUUUGACUAAUUAGGGUGCAGGGGACACAUGGCUGAAACACACGUCCAAAGGGCUGACCGUGUGUUACACACGGCCUAGACACACGUCCGUGUGUCUACCCGUAUGGACUAAAACAAGGUUAUUUGUCAAGCCAUUUUGCCACCCUUACUUGUACAUACCUACAUAACACCAUACCGCACUAAACCAAGCAUAUACAAGCAUCAAAACCAUCACAACCAAGGCAUUAUCACAUUACACAAGUUCAAACAUCUAACAUGCAUCAACAUCACAUAUCUUCCUUUCCAUUUAUGCCAUCUUCACAUUCGUGAUAGGCAUUAUCAAAAGAAUAUAUCAACGGCCAAUAUAACCAAAAUAAGCCAAUUCCUAUGGCCUUUACAAAAUGAAUUAUCAACCAUUAAAAACCAACCCUUUUGACCAAUUAAAUAUGACACAUAAAAAAAUAACCAAGUCUCCUAUACAUGCCAUAUCACAAAAUACUUGAGAUCAUUGGUACCAAAAUAAUUGUCAUAGAUAGUGUGAAUGAAUCUUUGAUGAAUCUACGAUCUCGAGCUGCUUGGCGACACUCUAAGACAAAGGGAAAAAGAAAGGGAGUAAGCUUUAUAGCUUAGUAAGUUCACAUGCAAAUAAUAAACAACAUUAAGCAACAUUAACCAUAAAUAUCAUAGAAUUAGCUUAACAUAAGUCCCAUAAUUAUCAUCAUAAUUUCAUAAGCAUAAAUUAAUUAUUCUUAGCCUUACCAAGUGUUCAUCACAUACCGAGCUCAUUCUUAUGAGUUUAUCGUACAUACCUCUACCAACUCAUAACAUAUCACACACUUUCUCAUCUUUAACAUACCGGUUGCACAAUUGGAAUACUAAUUGGAUACACAAAAAGUCUUUCCACAUAAAUGCCAUAUAUGUAGCUAAAGCUACCUCAUAUCUCAUAUCACAUAAAUGCUCGCUCUCGAGCUAAUCACGAGCUGUUAACACAAACUGUCAGUCAAGACGUAACUGCACGUGCUACGUACACAAGCUGUCAAGUAUCCGCAACACAUGCCGGACUACCCAGCCACCGAUAGGACUGUAACAGCCCGUUUUUAGGUCAAAUAGAAACAGUGGUUUUGGGACCACAAAUCUGAAGUCAAAAUAUUUAUUUUAUUAUUUUAAUAAAGUUUACAGCAUGAUAGAUUAUUUAUGUGAAAGUUUCGUAGAGAAAUUUUACUGUUUAAAUGCUUAAUUCGGUAAAAAGGACUAAAUCGCGUAACGCGUAAAAGUUGAGUACUAUUGUUUAAAGGUAUUAUAUGGCUAUAGUUUAAAAUGUGGGAGUCCUUGUAUGUCAAAUAGACCAUUAUAAGGGUUAGUUGAAGUUGUUAGAUUGGUAUUUUUGAAAUGUUUAAAGUUUAAUAAGGUUAAAAAGGUAAAUUGAUUAAUAAUGUUAAUUAUAAUAAAAAUAAAACAAAAAUUUUCAUUUUGUUCAUCUUCUUGUCGAAAAACUAGGGUGAAUAAACACCAUUUUUGCUUCAUACAUUCGUCUAGCUUCAAUCCUUGAUUAAGGUAUGGUUUUGACUCAGUUUUUAAUGAUUUCUACGUUUUUGAGCUCGUUGCAGCUUAAUCUAGCUAACCCGUACCUUUAUUUCAAAAUUGUUAUAGAUUUUGAAAUGUGCCAUUUUUGAAUACUUGAGUUCUUUGAAGUUUAAUGAUAGAUUAUGGAAGCUUGAUGAUAGUUAUACAAGUUUUAUAAAGUGAUUUUUUUACAAAAAUGAGAAUUAGGGAUUGAUUUGUAAAAGAUAGAAAUGUUGUGGUUGAAAUUGUGAAUAAAAUGAAAAUAUGGGUUGUUAUGUGACUAGGUGAAAUUCGGCUAAGGUAAAUUUUGGUUAAAAAUGUGUAAUUUGUCAUUUUGUGUAUAAAGCAUUAAAUUGCAAAGUAGUCAAAAGUCUAGGGGUAAAUUUGUAAUUUGGCCAAAAAUGUGUGUUUUAGGCUAAAUUGAAUUGAAUGAAAGUUUGAAUGAGUUAAAUUGAUAUCAUAUAGAUCAAGAUAAGCAAAUACCAGAAUUAGAUCGGGGGAAACGAAAAGUAGACGAGUAGUCGAUGGUUAUUUGAGCAACUCGAGGUAAGUUUGUAUAAUUAGAAUCGAACUAUACUAUACUUGCAAUGGUUGAAUUGAACGUAUAUAAUAGAAUUAUUUGAUAUAUGAAUGCUUUGAUGAUAUAUCAAAUCUAUUACCGAGCUUUAGUUGAAUUAUGUGAAUUCAUUGGAUACGAGUGACAUGUUACUGUACCUACCGAAAUGGUCAAGCUCUUGCAUUUGUUGCGAACUCACCAUAGCUUGUAUGAGCUUACUGAUUCAGCUUGAAAGAGCUUACUGUUCAGCUCAAUAAAGCUUCCCGUUUUCAACUCAAUAGAGCUUACUAUUAUCAGCUCAUGAAGAGCUUACUGGCCAUAUCUCGAAGAACAUGUAUGAUGAUGAAUUGAUGGAUUAUGGACAUUGUUCACUCGGUUAUCCUUUGAAGUUCUAAUAGAUUCAACGGUCAUGAAUAAUGUUAUAUGAACAAGUUACGAUUUAUGUAUUAGUUAAAUUACUAACAUGUUAUGAUAUUGUGUAAUUAGGAUGGCUUAUAUUGAAUGGUUUGCAUUAUACUAUUUCUUUGAUUACUUUAAUGGUAAGUUUAAUUCUGAAUUAUACGGGCUUACUAAGCUUAGAAGCUUACUAUGUUUCCUUUUUUAUGUCUUAUAGAGGUUCAUUAGCUCGCUCGUUCUGGACAAGUCAGAGCUACACGUCACACUAUCCAAAUUUCCAUUUGGUAUUUUGAACUUAUGAACUUAUGUAAAUAUGGCAUGUAUAGGCUAGUUUGGUAGUAAAAGUUAUGUUUUGGAAUCAUGGUUUGAGUAUGAAUUUGUAUAUAAAUUAAGCCAUGUGAUUUGACUUAUUUUUGUACCAUGUUUUGAUUGUAUAUAUAUGUCUUUGAAUAUGGUAUAUUUUGGUAUGAUAAUGUUUGAAUGAAAUUAUGCAAAGCUAGUCUUGAUUUAUGGAUGUUAAGUGGAUGAAUUGCAAUGUUGUUAUAUAGGUAUAUGGUCAUAUAAAUGGUAAGUUUGGAUAUGGCUUAUAAUGUGUAUUGAAUUGGUUCAUUUGGUUACAAAUUGAGUUGUUUAAAUAUGGUAAAAUUUAAAUGUAUAUGCGUAUUUUUUAGGGUGGCAAAUUUGGCUAUUCAAAUGGCCUAUUUUUUUGUCCACACGGGCAGAGACACGAGUGUGUGUCUCAGCCGUGUGCGAAACACGGUCAAGUUACAUAGCCGUGUGUCCCCUGGGGUACCCUACAAAUUAAAGUCAGUAUACCCUCCAGUUUUGACACGGCCUAGACACACAGGCAUGUCUAUUGGUCAUGUGUGGCACACGAACGUGUAGUCAGCUGUGUGGUCAAGUCAGUAACCUCCUUAAUUUUCACACAGCCUAGCACACGGGCGUGUCAUGUGGCCGUGUCAGUAUGUAUGCCCUAUUUUGCCUUGGCUUAGACACACGGGAGUGUUUAAGGCCGUGUGAGGCACACGGCCUGUUCACAUGGGCGUGUGACCUUUGAAAAGUUGAAAAUUUUUCUAUGUUCUGAAACUUUUAUAUGUUACUGAUUUGGUCCCGAAUACAUGUUUUAAGUAUUGUUGAUGGUCGCUAAAUUGACUAAAAAUUCGACUAAGGUAAGUGCACCUAUCGAAUAUUAGUAUAGUUGUGGUGAGACCGGAAAUAUCGUAUCCACAAGGACUAAAAGUACUAGUAAUUACUAUCUUUUUAUUAUCUAGCCUAGGAAUUAAAGGAAAGUUUUUAAACUAAGAUUAACUACUUAAUUAACUAAAAAGAUGAUAGAGGUAAAAAUUGGAAAAUACUGUUGGAAAAUCGAUGGAGAAGACAAUACCCAAGGAAGAAUCCACCUAGACUUCACUUAUUACUUCCAAAUUAGAUGAUUUAUUCACUUGACUUAGUCUGUAGAAAUCCAUGAUUUAUGUUAACAUCUCUCUCGAGACUAAGAAUAACUGACUCUAGGUUGAUUAAUUGAAAUCUCUUUCUAAUUAAAACCCUUAUUGUCGCAUUAACUCGAUCUAUAGAUUCCAUUAUUAGAUUUGACUCUAAUUCGGUAGAUUUACGUCGUCCUAUGUCUAGGAUUGCAUUCAAAUCCGCUUAAUUAUGAUAGAUCUACUCUUAAACAGGGACUUUUGCUCCACUGAAUAAGCACAUUAGACUUGAGCUAAUAUCCUGAAAUAUUAAAGCAAGAACUAAGAACACAUAAUUAAGAAUAAGAACAAGUAUUUAUCAUAUAAUUCAAAUAGUAAUAAGAUCUAUCUUAGGUUUCAUCUCCCUUAGGUAUUUAGGGAGUUUAGUUCAUAACGAUGGGGGAAAACAUCUCAAAAUUAGGAAAACAACAAAACAUAAUGAAACCCAAAGAACUUCUUAAGGAAAUUGAAUGGAGAUCUUCAGUCUUGAAGUAGAUCGUGCUUCUGAGCUAAUUCCAAUGGCUAAUUUCAAGUAUUCUCUGUGUUCUACUCUACGUCCCUCUUUUUGAUCCUCUUCUAGUGUGUUUAUAUAGACUUUGGAAUGCUUCAAAACCCUGAAAAUUAGCCUUUUCUGAGUAGAAUUAGACUUGGGUUUGAUAAGGGCACGGCUGUGUGGCACGCCCGUGUGAAGGUGCCUUAAGCCGUGUGUAAUUCUGACAUGGUUUUAAGUUGACACGGCCAUGACACACAGGCGUGUGGACUACCCGUGUGUCUCACACGGGCAUGUGGAUUACCCAUGUGGGAGUGUCUAGGCCGUGUGAAGCACUAAAAUAAACCCAUUUUGUCCGUUUUUGGCCUUUUUCUUGCACUUUUCGCUUUCCUAUGCUCAUCUGGAUAUAAAACAUGAAAUAGGAAGGAUUAGGAGCAUCAAAUGCACUAAAUCUUAUGAUAAAUCAUCCAAAAAUAUGCCAAGCAUAGGGUUAAAAUAUGUUACUUUUGAGGUUUAUCAAAUAUCCCUACACUUAAGCAUUUGCUUGUCCUCAAGCAAAAUCCUCAACUCACAAUUAAAGUUAAUUCUUCUCAACUUAUAAUUCUUAUCAAAUAAUGUUUUGAAAUGAUCCACAAAUAAUCAUACAUUGAGAAUUCAAUUAAAAGAAUAUUAAAGUUUCAAACAAUCCAAGUUGAGCAUUUUAAUCAUAAGACCAUAGGUAUCCCCCUUUAUCUAAGUAAUUACCUUUAAUUCCAAAUCGACAAGGGUUGACAUCCUCACUAAAGAUUCACUCAAAUCACUCAAAAUGUUUAAGGUUUAAUAAUUAAGCACUCAAUAGUCAAACAUGAAAAGUUAUUACCAUAAGCUUGCAUCAAAAUCAAAUCUCCACCACUAUAAAUGAGAUGAUAUACAAAUCAAAAGGUCUUUAACAGGGUUGUAAUGGGGCUUGGGUUAAAGGUGUGGAUAAAGGCUGACAAAGAAGGUUAGAAUUGAGAUUAAUUUAAUAAAUUACCAAACUUAAAAAGAUAGCCUAAUUACUAAAUUACAAACAAAUGCCAAAAUUAAAGCUAUCCAAGACUAAUGAAGUGAGCUUUCUUUCGGAAUAGUAACUUUGACUUGUAUAAGCUCUUUAUGAAGGAAUAGCAAUAUGUAGUUACAUGACUAUAUAAGUUUUUUUAAAGAAUAAGAAUAAGAAAGUACAUAAUAAGAAAUAAUUCAGCAACUAAAAUGAACGAUCAUAGUUAGGUAACUAAUCAAAUCAAAUCUCGAUAAAAAGGGAGUCAAUAAGAAGAGAAAAAUUCUUAAUGAAUCAAAAAGGGUUAAGUUGUGGGUUAAUGUUUAAUGAGACAAUAUCAAGAUUUGGUGUUUACAGCUCUAAGGGGUUCACUAAGAGUUAAUUAUGUGGGUAGGCUUUUUAUGGAGUGAGUGAGUUAAAACCAAAGUGCCUUCAUCAUCUCAGUAUAUCAACUCAAAGGUGUGGUCUCGACAUGUAUAAUCAAUGCAAGUUCUAGAAUAACAAAUCAGUGUUGACUCACUCAUAACCAUCAAUAAAAGUGAGAAAUAAAGAUAUAUGCUCUAAAAGGUUCAAAAUCUUACAAAAUUUAUGGGUUUUUGAUGUUAAUCCUGUAGAUUUAUAACUUCAAGAUAAUACCUCAAUUCAGGGAAACAACCUAACAAUUUUAGUUCUCAAAAAUUCAACUUAUCAUGCUUGAUUCUCUAUUGUCCUAAAGUUUAAAUAAUUAAUGCACAAUUACUUAUGUUUUAAUCCAAAACAUAUUAAUAAAAAUUAUAAUUCAAUCCAAAUUCAUUCUAAUAGUAAUAUGAGAAAUUUAUUUGAGAAUAAGAUAUAAUUCAGGGACUUUCUGAUAAUCAUAUAAGUAACCUCCCCACAUUUAAGAUGUACAUUUUCCUCAAUGUACAAAGAUAAAUAAUAUCAAUAUAAACAUAAUAUCAUAAAAGAGAGGGAGAGGUGGAACUGCCCUAAAUUUGGAUGUAAUCCUUGGAAUAGCGAAAGCGGAUUUAUAGACAUUAGAAAUGUAGUGCAUACGUAACUAGGUAGAGGUGAAGGUGGGGUAGGAUACUCCGGUGGUGGUAGAGGUUGGGUUCCACAAUUACAGUGCCAAGUGAAGAGGUUAUCGUGAUGGCUAUGGUCGUGGUCGAGCAGAACAUGGCAGGCAUAGAUUAUCUUUUCCCAGAAGGUUGUUUGUAUAUUCUUGAGUAGCACCAAUCGACUGAACUGUAACACCCCGAAUUUGGGCCUAGAAGUAUUGGGCCUUGAGUGGGGGUCCGUAAGGAGGUUGUGUAUAGGUAUAUAAUUGUGCAAUGAAAUGAAACAAUUAAAUGUUUGCUUUAGUGGUUAAUGGCUUUGAGAAGUGUUGGGGAAAUCUUGGGUUCAAACUUGGGCUUUAGCAAAAAUUUUGGUAUUAAGUGAAAGAAACCUGGAUGCUUGGAUGAGGGCCUUUUAAAUUAUUGUGUUAAAUAAAUGACACAAGGAAGCUUACAGUCUAGUGGUUGUAGCGUCAUUAAGGUUGUGUGGGAGCCUGGGUUCAAGCCUUGGCUCUUGCAAUUUAUUUUGGUAUUUUUUAAGGGAACCUGGACUUUGGCCUUUAGACCUUAUAAUUAAUUGGGGAUAAAAUAUGACACAAAAAGCCUUGUGGCUUAGUGGCAAGUAGCGUGUGGAGCAUUUGAGGGGAGGCAUGGGUUUGAAUCCCAUGGUAAGCAAGGAGCAUUUAUUUUACUAACAAGGGGUGGCAAGAGUUGGUGUUGAAUUUAAACUCUGAUGUUGGAAGGAUCCCACAUCGAGAAGCUAACAUAAGAGUGGAUACAAAGCUGGCUUUAAAUAGAGAGAACUAUGAGGAGAGUAAAGGUACCUUUCUUGGCUGAUCCCUUUCGCUGUAUGGCGUGCUCGUUUGGGUUGGGCGUCGGCUAAGAGUGCUCAGAGAGUGGAUUAACUCCAGUCUCCUAUCAGGUGUGUAUUUCUCACUACUCUAGCUGUAGGAUGGCUACUUCGGGCCGCGAUGGGCCGAAAGGGGCCAUGUGGGCCCAAUAAGCCUACGAGCCCAAUUGGAUAAGUUGCUUGAUUGUGUAGUAAAUAUUGGACUAGGCUAGGUGAAUCUCAUAUUUGUGGCUAAGAUUUGGGCUAAAAUGGCCACACGAGCGUGUGGGCCCAUUUAGGUAAAUUUGGUAGAAAAUGGAAUCCUGUCGGAUUACGCGUUAAUAGACUAAGACCGUUAUGGAAGAUGGGCUAAAUGGGCCUAGAUGACUAAUUCGACUAUGUAGGGCCCAUUGGGGGUUUUUGGCCCAAUAACUCGGUUUCGCUAAGAAUGGGCUAGAAUCGCUGUCAAAACACAUGGAAUUGUUAGUAACUGAUAAUGAACAUGGAAAACCCUAAUAUUUGGUAAAAUUACGAAAUUACCCUUAUAAUAUGAAAAUGACUGUUUUGCCUCUAGGUAAAAAUGAUCAUUGUACCCCUAGGGUUUAAUUAUGAAUUUGAUGCAUGAGAUUUUGAUGUACAUGAUUUGACAUGAUAUGCACAUGAUAUGUAUGAUAUGCACAUGAUGUAUUCAUUUAUGCAUGGGUUGGGUUUAUAUGGAUGGAGGAAGUGCAAAAGGGUUAUGCCCCAGUUACCGAAAAGAGCUUUGCCCCAGUUUACAGAAAAGGGCUUUUGCCCCAGUUUAUCAAAAAGGGCUUUUUCCCCAGUUAUUAAAAGAGGCUAGGCCUCCAGUUAUAUGAUAAAGCAGCUAUGCUGCCAGUGGAAAGUUUGGUUGGGUGGGUUGAGUUAUUCCCCACAUGGAGAGCUUGGUUGGUACGGGUGGAGAGUAGCGGUUGUUGGGUUGAGUAGUCUCCCCAAAUGGGCUUGCAUAUGUUCAUUGAUGUUGCAUGUAUUAUUGAAAUGGGCCUAUGGGCCAUAUCGUUACAGUAAAGGCUUCGGCCCAGUGAUAUGAAUAAUGAAAAGGCUUCGGCCCAGUGACAUGAAUAAUGUGAAGGCUUCGGCCCAUUAUAUGCUGAGAUUGAAUUUGGGCUUAGGCCCAGCAGGCUGGUAUUGUUUUGGGCUCUGAAAAGGGCUUGUUGCACACUGAGUUUCCAAACUCACCCCUUUUCCUUAACCUUGCAGGUGAGCCUUGAUGUUGGGACUUGGAGCCGGAGGGGAUUCAAAGUGGCCACAAUGAUCGUUUUUGGGCUUUGAAAUAAGUGAUUGGUUUUCUUUAGUUUACCUUAUUUAUUAUUUAUUUUUGGGUUGUAAUAAGGCCAUUUUAACUUUAUUUUCUUUUCUGGGAUUAUUUUAUUUUUAAUAACUUUAAACUGGUUGUUAAUAAUUCAAAUGGGCUAGACUUAGAACGCGGUUUCAAAAUGAUACUUGUUUCCAAAAUAACACAAUGUCACGAUCAUUUGAUUUAUCAAAGAUAUCCACCUAAAUAAAACUCGUUAAAACCUAGUGUGGCAAUGGUUGUGGGCAUGUCUAGGAUUGGAUCCAAUCGAAGAGCUUGGUCCUUAAGUAGCCUUCAUGGCUCACCUCCUCUGUUACAGAUUCCUACCUGGUGCCCAGCCUCCAUUCACUUGGUUAAGCUUAACAAAAGAUGGCUUUUAAAGCGCUAAAACGAAACGUGGAUUUUUAACUCCAAUGUGGCACGUCAGAUUCGGCCAUAACGUCUGGGCCGGGUUUUGUUGCGUCAUUAAGGUUGUAUGGGAGCCUGGGUUCAAGCCUUGGCUCUUGCAAUUUAUUUUGGUUUUUUUUUAGGGAACCUGGACUUUAGCCUUUAGACCUUAUAAUUAAUUGGGGAUAAAAUAUGAUACAAAAAGCCUUGUGGUUUAGUGGCAAGUAGCGUGUGGAGCAUCUGAGGGGAGGCAUGGGUUCGAAUCCCAUGGCAAGCAAGGAGCAUUUAUUUUGCUAACAGGGGGCGGCAAGUGUUGGUGUUGAAUUUAAACUCUGAUGUUGGAAGGAUCCCACAUCGGGAAGCUAACAUAAGAGUGGAUGCGAAGCUGGCUUUAAAUAGAGAGAACCAUGAGGAGAGUAAAGGUACCUUUCUUGGCUGAUCCCUUUCGCUGUAUGGCGUGCUCGUUUGGGUUGGGCGUUGGCUAAGAGUGCUCGGAGCGUGGAUUAACUUCAGUCGCCAAUCAGGUGUGUAUUUCUCGCUACUCUAGCUGUAGGAUAGCUACUUCAGGCCGCGAUGGGCCGAAAGGGGUCAUGUGGGCCCAAUUGGAUAAGUUGUUUGAUUGUGUAGUAAAUAUUAGACUAGGCUAGGUGAAUCUCAUAUCUGUGGCUAGAUUUGGGCUAAAAGGGCCACACGAGCGCGUGGGCCCAUUUGGGCCGAGAAUAGGCUUUAGGCCCAUUCGUAUUGUUAUCCCUGUUUAGAAUACUUUAGUUUACCAAAUUACUGAAAUACCCUCAAAUUUUAAAAUUACCAAAGUACCCUCGAUUUAUAGAAUUACCAUUUUACCCUCGACUUACAAAAAAUUACCAUUUUACCCUUGACUUACAGAAUUACCGUUUUACCCUCGAUUUACAAAAUUACUGUUUUACCCUCGGUUUAUAGAAUUACUAUUUUACCCUUGAUUUACAGAAUUACUGUUUUACCCUCGAUUUACAAAAUUACUAAAAUACCCUUGGUUUACAAAAUUACCAAAAUACCCUCGAUCAGUAAAAUUACCAAAAUACCCUAGUCUGUAAAAUUGUUAAAAUACCCAUGAUUUGUAAAAUUACCAAAAUACCCCUAGUUUGUAAAAUUACCAAAAUACCACUAGUUUGUGAAAUUACCGAAAUACCCUCAAUUUGUAAAAUUACCAAAAUACCCCUGAUUUACAAAGUUACAGAAAUACCCUUGACUUUCUAAAAAUUAUAGAAAUACCAUUGGUUUACAAAAUUAUAGAAAUACCAUUGGUUUACAAAAUUAUAGAAAUACCAUCGGUUUGAUGGCGAAAGGCGAGUGCUAUGAAGUAGGCGAGGUCGAAAACUUGCCCUUGCCUCUACUCUAUAAGAAGUAUGCAUCGUGAGUAUUAACGACGCCAGUGCUCUCUCGUCGCCCUGUUAAGGUGUGAGCUAAAAGGGCGUGCAGAUAUCGUAAUGCUGGAGAGAGAGUCGAUGCCUUGGAGCAGUUGGGGUGAUAGAUGCCCGUAGUAGGAAUGAGGGCUACCCAACAUGAGGAAGGUGCGUAAUGAAUGUGACGGUGGAGAUGGGGAAAGUUGUCGUCCUUCAUAAAUUCCUCUGUGUAAAGUCCCAAGGCAACUCUGAAUUCUAGGACACUCAGUUGAUGCACUAGACCGCCAAGACAGAGCUGGAUUGUGCCAGGGUCAUUUUACUCUGACAUAACCAUCUACAAAUGAAAUGUCGAACAAAGUUCCAAAGUGAACUCCAGGUAUGUUGGCUCAAUAAUGUCGAAGAAACGGUUCUAAGGAGUGGUAGUAAGAAGGGUCCGAACUCAGUCAGCAAGAUGGACCUGUUCCAAUGCAGCCCAGUCAAUACACUGACCCACGCUGAGGGGUCGAGCACAUAGAAUCUAAAACAUCUCCUCCUGAGGUCUUGGUGGGAACUGUAGAAAGGGAUGUUGUAUUUUAUGAUAUGGUUAAAAUGAAUGCACUAACAACAAUCAUAAAUCUUCAAUAAAAAUAAAUGCUAAAAAAUAAAGUUAACAAAAUAAUAAUCAAAAGUAAAAGAAUAAAAUAGGGCAUAGAGGGGUUGAAGAACAUGGGCACUGACGGUUGGUGGUGGUAAGCGCAAGAGGCGAGUGGUGCAGUGGUACGUGGUGGUUGGUGCAGAAGGCGAACGGUACGGGGGCUGCAGGUGGGCGGUGGUCGGAGGGGAAGAAAAGAGAAGAAAAGAAAGGGAAAGGGAAAGGGAAAGAGGGGAAAAAUGGUGGACAGAAUGAUUGUGGUGGCUGGGGUGAAUAGUGAAAAGGGUGAGGUGAAUAGUAGGUUUAAAUAGGGAUGGGGAAAUUUAGGGUUAGGGUUUUAAGUAAAAAAGGGGCCACGAUCGUGCAGGCCCCGUUUUAGACCACACGGCCAUUGCCCACACCCGUGUUUCUUGCUCCUAGCCCGUGUUUUUCGUGAAAUUUUAAGUCAGUAUCUCACACGGCCUUUAGGCACGCCCAUGUGUCCAGGUCGUGUGGUAUACACAGCCGAAUCACACAGCUAUGUGCUCUUUUGUUUGCUUCUCCUACGCCCAUUUGAGUUCUAACACGCCCUGUCUUAAUGUGUGCUUGUGGUCUGAUGUUUUAAGUUAGUGUCACCUAUGGCCUUUGGACACACCCGUUUGUCCAGGUCGUGUGUACGCAUGGCUGAAUCGCACAGCCGUGUCCUCUUUCAUUUUCUUCUCCUACGCCUGUUUGAGUUCUAACAUGCCCGUGCUUUAUGGUUAGGAUUACACACGACUGUUGGGCACGACUGUGGGACCUACUCAUGUCUUAUUCUGACUUGUUGAAGAUUUCAAGGUGUACGCUCAGGUUCCCACACAGCCUCAGGCAUGCCCGUGUUUUAUCCCACACGCCCGUGUGUCUGAACACACAGCCGUAUACCUUGCCCGUGGAGCUCCCUAUUGUAAUUAAAAGUUGAAAGUUUAGCUCCAAUUCUCACACGGCCUAGGACACGCCCGUGUGUCCAGGCUGUGUUCGCCACUGUCGAAUGUCAAAACUAAUGCUUUAAGAGUUUACACGGCUCAAGGCAUGCCCAUGUCUCCAACCCGUAGUAAGCACACAGCCUAGGACAUGCCCGUGUGUUAGGCCGUGUGUGUAAAAAGUUUCCUGCAUUUAAACUAUGAAAAAGGGAAGAAAAAAUAAACUUAUUUAGUGGGGUUAGUGCUUGGGUUGUCUCUCGAGAAGCGCUAAUUUAAAGUCUAAGCUCGAACCUUGAGGGCAUAUUUAGGCAGGUUCGCAGAGCCGUAGCUCCUCUCUAUUAUGUUUAAAAUCCUCACUGUUAUAAAGUUUAAGAUGAUGUAUGUUUACCUUGAAAGUGUCUUGGGAUGGAUGACUUACCUCUACUGUGCCAUAUGGAAAAAUGGUUUGGACUACGAAUGGACCUAACCAUCGUGAUUUUAGCUUCCCAAGAAACAAUUUGAGCCUUAAGUUGUAUAAUAGGACAAGAUCUCUAGCUUCAAAUUGCUUGUGAUGCUUUAAACGAGCAUCAUGGUGGCACUUCGUUGCUUCCUUGUAUAAUCGUGAAUUUUCAUAUGCAUUAGCUCGCCACUCAUUUAGCUCAUUCAGCUACAUCAACCUUUUCUCACCUGUAAGUUUGAGAUCCAAGUUUAGAAAUUUUAUAGCCCAGAAUGCCUUGUGUUCUAGUUCGAACGGUAGAUGACAACUUUUCCCAUAAAAAAGUCUGUAAAGAAAUGUUCCUAUGGGGGUCUUAAAAGCAGUUCGAUAGGCCCAUAAAGCAUCAUCUACUUCCAUUUCCCAAUCCUUCCUAUUUGACUCUACAGUCUUUUCUAGGAUAUGUUUAAGCUCUCGAUUUGCUACUUCGACUAGUCCACUGGUUUGAGGAUGGUAAGGGUUAGCUAUCCUAUGAUGCACUCCAUAUUUCUUAAUCACUUUAUCAAAUUGAGCAUUACAAAAAUGUGUUCUUCUAUCACUAAUAAUUGCUCUAGGUGUUCCAAAUUGAGAGAAGAGUUUCUUAAGGAACCUAAUCACCACUCUAACAACAUUAUUAGGUAAAGCCCGAGCUUCUACCCACUUCGACAUAUAAUCGACUGCUACUAGUAUGUAUUUAUUGCCAUAUGAACUAGGGUAUGGGCCUAUAAAAUCGAUACCCCAAAUAUCAAAUAUUUCACAAGAGAGCAUAUAUGUCUGAGGCAUUUCAUAACGUUUGGAGAUGUUACCUAUUCGUUGGCAUUUAUCAAAAGAAGUAAUAUACCUGUUGGCAUCUUUAAACACUGUGGGCUAAUAAAACCUGAUUCGAGCGCUUUAUGUGUGGUCCUAAUCCCACUGUAAUAUCCUCUAGUCGGUCCUAAGUGACAAUGUUCCAAGAUUUUAAUUGCUUCUGACUUUGUGACACAUCUUCUAAUGACUUGAUCUGCACAUAUACGAAAAAGAAAAGGAUCUUCCCCAAAGUAGUUUUUAACAUUAGUAAAGAAUCGCUUCUUUUACUGAUGGGUCAACCCUUUUGGUGUAACGUUAGUAGCUAAAUAAUUCGCAAUGUCUACAAACCAAGGUACCUCAGAGUUAUAUAUAGCAAAGAGUUGUUCUUCAAAGAACAAUUCAUUUAUCUCAUGUCCAUCAAGCUCCUUAAGAUGUGGGUUCUCUAAUCUGGAAAAAUGAUCUGCUGUAAGAUUUUCUACUCCAUUCUUAUCUUGAAUUUCUAAAUUGAAUUCUUGCAACAGUAAAAUCCAUCUUAUUAGUCGAGGUUUUGCAUCUAAUUUAGUGAGGAGAUAUCGAAGAGCUGAAUGGUCAGUGUAUACGAAAACUUUAGAUAAAAUUAAAUAUGGUCUAAAUUUAUCGAAUGCAAAAAUCACAGCUAAUAAUUCUUUCUCAGUCAUUGUAUAGUUUUCUUGUGCGGCUGUCAAUGUCUUGCUAGCAUAAUAGAUUGGUUGAAAAUGUUUGUCUCUUCGCUGUCUAAGAACUGCACCUACUGAAAAAUCACUCGCAUCACACAUUAGUUCAAAGGGUAAAUUCCAAUCAUGUGCAACUACAAUCGGGGCAUUAAUUAAUUUAUCUUUCAGAGUGUUAAAUAUUUCUAAACAUUCCUGAUUGAAAUUGAAAGGCACAUCCUUUUCUAGUAAAUUUGUUAAAGGCUUAGCUAUUUUAGAAAAGUCCUUAAUAAAUCUUCUAUAAAAUCCAGCAUGUCCUAAAAAGGUUCGAAUAGCCUUAACUGUACUAGGGGAGGUAAUUUCUUGAUAGUUUUAAUUUUCGCUUUGUCAACCUCGAUCCUUUUACUAAAAAUUUUGUGUCCUAACACAAUCUCUUCACGAACUAUGAAGUGACAUUUUUCCCAAUUUAGUACAAGGUUCAUUUUCUCACAUCUCAUUAGAACUCGUUUUAAAUUUUUAAGGCAAAGGUGGAAAGAGUUACCUAAUACCGACAAGUCAUUCAUAAAUACCUCCAUAAUGUCUUCUACGAGUUCAUCAAAAAUGGCUAACAUUCAUCGCUGAAAAGUAGCAGGAGCAUCACAUAAUCCAAAAGGCAUUUUUCAAUAAGCAAACAUAUCGUACACACAUGUAAAUGUCAUUUUCUCUUGGUACUCAGGAGCUAUUAGGAUUUGGAAGUAACUAGAGAGUCCAUCUAGGAAGCAAUAAUACAUAUGCCCAGAUAAUGUUUCCAACAUCUGGUCAAUGAAAGGUAAGGGAAAGUGAUUUUUUCUCGUGGCAUCAUUCAACUUCCUAUAGUCAAUGCAAACUCUCCAUCCUGUGAUUGUUCGUGUUGGGAUCAAUUCAUUCUUCUCAUUAGCCACAACAGUCAAGCCUCCUUUCUUAGGAACAACCUGUACAAGACUUACCCAAGAACUAUCAGAAAUAGGAUAAAUAAUUCUAGCAUCUAGAAGUUUAAUUACCUCAACUUUUAUUACUUCUUUCAUGCUAGGAUUCAGUUGUCUUUGAGCUUGCACACAUGGUUUAUAUUCAUCCUCCAUUAAAAUUUUGUAGGUGCAAAAGGAAGGGCUGAUUCCUUUAAUGUCAGAAAUUUUCCAAGCUAUGGCCCUUUUAUAUACUCUUAAUACUUGAAGUAACUCUUCUUUCUCCUUGGGUUGCAAGUUAGAAGCAAUAAUCACUAGUAAUGUAGAAUUAUCUCCAAUGAAUGCAUAUUCCAAGUGAUUUGGCAAUUGCUUUAGUUCUAAUUUAGAAGGUUCUUCGAUAGAGGGUUUUUGCUUAAGUUCUCUGUUUAUCUCAAUACCCUCAUAUUUUGCUUAUCUUGGAAAGGUUUCAUUAGUUUGUAACUUCCAUAACUCAGUGGUAAUGUUAUCUUCCCCCUUUCCUUGAGUAAGACACAGUUUCAACGUGUCUUUAAGGGCAAUUUCCUGAAAAGUGUCUUCAACAGAAUGAUCAAUGGAAUUAAUAAAAGAACAAGAAUCGUCUUACUCUUUAGAGAAUCGCAUGGCAUCAUAGAUUUUAAAGGUAAUUUCUUCAUUGCCUACCCUAAGCACAAGUUUACCAUCACCCACAUCAAUAAUAGCCCUAGCAGUGGCUAAAAAAGGGUGCCCUAAAAUUAAAGGCACCUCAACAUCCUCAUCCAUGUCAAGCACAAAAAAAUCAACAGGGAAUAUGAAUUUAUCUACUUUUACGAGUACAUAUUCAAUAAUACCCCUAAGAUAUUUAAUAGAUCUAUCAGUUAGUUGAAUACUCAUCCUAGUAGGUUUUGGUUCUCCAAGGCCAAGUUGCUUGAACAUUUUGUAAGGCAUCAAAUUAAUACUAGCGCCUAAAUCAGCUAGUGUCUUCUCAACAUGUAAACUACCAAUUAAGCAGAGAAUAGUAAAACUUCCUGGAUCUUUUAGUUUGGUUGGCAGUUUAUUUUGGAGUAUCUCUGAGCACUCCUCAUUGAGUUCUACUAUAGACAAAUCUUCAAACUUCCUUUUAUUUGCUAGAAGCUCUUUCAAGAAUUUUGCGUAUGUAGGCAUUUGCGAAAUAGCUUCAACAAAAGGUAAGUUAAUAUGCAACUGUUUAAAAAGUUCAAGAAAUUUACCAAAUUGUGCAUUCAUGCGGUCUUUCUUCAACUUUGCUGGAUAUAGGAUCGGUGGUUUAUACUCCUUCAAUACCGGUUUUUCACUUAUUCCAAGUUUUAUUUCCUCAUCCUCUUUCCUAUCAGUUUCUUAUGGUAAUUUCUUCUCAGAUUCAGUUAACACUUUCCCACUCUUUAAGGUAACUGCUUUCACAUGCUCUUUUGGGUUGGGUUCAGUGCUACUAGGCAGGCUCCUUUGUGGUCUCUCUGAAAUCAUCUUAGCCAGCUAUCCUAUUUGAUUCUCGGGCCCUUGAAUCGAUGCCUGUUGAUUUUUAAGUGCAGUUUCAAUGUUUUGAAAACGGGUUUCCGCCACUGAAAUAAACUUCGUCAUCAUCUCUUCAAGGUUCGACUUUUUCUCUUGCUGGUAAGGUUGUUUUUGGAAGCUUGGGGGUGGUGGUGGUCUCUGAUUUCCUUGACCUCCCCAUGAGAAAUUUGGGUGGUUCCUCCAACCUGCAUUGCAAGUGUUACUGUAAGGAUUAUUUUGAGGUCGAGGAUUAUUACCCAUAUACUUCAUCUACUCGUCCUCCAUGCUAGGGCCGAAGGGUAAAUAUUCUAAAUUGUCCAUUCCACCUCCACUGAUGUCACACUGCACCACAGGAUGUGCAUGCAUAGAAUCACAUAGACCAUCAAUCUUUUUAUUCAAGAGUUCCACCUGGUUUGAUAACAUGGUGACUGCAUCUAAGUUGAAAACACCAGCUGAUUUACUAGGCUUUGUCCUCAUUACUUGCCACUGAUAGUUAUUCAGUGACAUCUCUUAAAUAAAUUCAUAAACCUCUUUGGGUGUUUUGUUAUUUAAAGUUUCACCAGCUGCUACAUCGAUCAUCUGUCUAGUUGAGGGGUUCAAACCAUUGUGGAAAGUUUGAACCUAUAGCAUUAAAGGUAACCAAUGGUGAGGGCACCUUUUCAAUAAAUCCUUAUAUCUCUCCCAUGCAUCAUAUAGUGUUUCUAAAUCCAUCUGCACAAAAGAAGAGAUAUCAUUCCUUAAUUUAGCCAUUUUAGUCGGCAGAAAAUAUUUAAUUAAAAAUUUUUCAGUCAUUUUCUCCCAAGUAGUGAUUGACCCUCGUGGUAAUGAGUUCAACCACUCUUUAGACUUAUUCCUUAAUGAAAAGGGAAAUAACUGAAGGUGAAUGGCAUCGUCAGAAACGCCAUUGAUCUUAAAGGUGUCGCAGAAUUCCAAAAAAUUUGCUAAAUGAGUGUUUGGGUUCUCGUCCUGCAAACCAUCAAACUGAACAAACUAUUGUUUCAUUUGAAUAGUGUUAGGCUUCAGUUCAAAAUUAUUUGCAGCAACAGCAGGUCAAACAAUACUCGAUUCAAUUCUUGUUAAAAUAGGCUUAGCAUAAUCAUACAUAGUACGAGGAGUAGGAUUCUGAUUAACAGGAUUUGUAGCAACUACAGGAGGUAGCAGAUUAUUCUGAUUAUCAGCCAUCUCUUCAGUAAAAUCUAUAACUUCUUCUUGCUCUUCCUCUAUGUAUUGUAGACUUCGUCUUAUUUCUCUUCAAUUUCUACAAGCUGUACUCUCUAUUUCACUAUUGAAAAGCAAAAGUCCUGACAGGUUCCUUCUAGUCAUAAACUAGAGACACCUGCCAGAAACAAUUAAAAGAAAAAUUAGAAAAGAACAAUUAAGCUAAAAAAAAUAUAAAUUGCAAUAAAAGUAAAAAUGGCUAAAGUAAUAAAAAUCAAGCGUUGCUAAUAUCUUAGUCCUCGGCAACGGCGCUAAAAACUUGAUGGUCGCUAAACUGACUAAAAAUUCGACUAAGGCAAGCACACCUAUCGAACAGUAGUAUAGUUGUGGUGAGACUAGAAAUAUCGUAUCCACAAUGACUAAAAGUACUAGUAAUUACUAUCUUUUUAUUAUCUAGCCUAGGAAUUAAAAAGAAGCUUUUAAACUAAGAUUAACUACUUAAUUAACUAAAAACACGACAUAGGUAAAAAUUGGAAAAUACUGUUGGAAAACCAAUGGAGAAGACAAUACCCAAGGAAGAAUCCACCUAGACUUCACUUAUUACUUCCAAAUUAGAUAAUUUAUUCACUUGACUUAGUCUAUAGAAAUCCCUGAUUUAUGUUAAUAUCUCUCUCGAGACUAAGAACAACUGACUCUAAGUUGAUUAAUUGAAAUCUCUUUCUAAUUAAAACCUCUAUUGUCGCAUUAACUUGAUCUAUAGAUUCCCUUAUUAGAUUUAACUCUAAUCCAGCAGAUUUAUGUCAUCCUAUGUCAGGAUUGCAUUCAACUCUGCUUAAUUAUGCUAGAUCUACUAUUAAACAGGGACUUUUGCUCUACUGAAUAAGCACAUUAGACUUGAGUUAAUAUCCUGAAAUAUUAAAACAAGAAUUAACAACACAUAAUUAAGAAUAAGAACAAGUAUUUAUCAUAUAAUUCAAAUAGUAAUAAGAUCUCUCUUUGGUUUCAUCUCCCUUAGGUAUUUAGGGAGUUUAGCUCAUAACGAUGGGGGAAAACAUCUCAAAAUUAGGAAAACAACAAAACAUAAUGAAACCCAAAGAACUUCUUAAGGAAAUUGAAUAGAGAUCUUCAGUCUUGAAGUAGAUCCUACUUCUAAGCUGAUUCUAAUGGCUAACUUCAAGUAUUCUCUAUGUUCUACUCUACGUCCCUCUUUUUGAUCCUCUUCUAGUGUGUUUAUAUAGACUUUAGAAUGCUUUAAAACCCUGAAAAUUAGCCUUUUCUGAGUAGAAUUAGACUUGGGCUCGACAGGGGCACGGUCGUGUGGCGGGCCCGUGUGAAGGUGCCGUAAGUCGUGUGUAAUUCUGACAUGGUUUUAAAUCAACAUGGGCAUGACGCACGGGCAUGUGGACUACCCGUGUGUCUCACACGGGCAUGUGGAUUACCUGUAUGGGAGUGUCUAGGCCAUGUAAAGCACUGAAAUAAACCCAUUUUGUCCAUUUUUGGCCUUUUUCUUGCGCUUUUCACUUUUCCAUGCUCAUCUGGAUAUAAAACAUGAAAUAGGAAGGAUUAGGAGCAUCAAAUCCACUAAAUUUUAAUAUAAAUCAUAAAAAAAUAUGCUAAGCAUAGGGUUAAAAUAUGUUACUUUUAAGGUUUAUCAAUUGUAUGCUCGGUUUUAAGUUCUUAUUGAAUGUGAAUGACUGAAAUUUUCUUUAAUAUGAUGAUAUUCGGUAUAGAUUGUUCUAAACUGAGUCACGAGUCCAAUAAUGCCUAUUAACCUAUUUCGACGACAGUUAUGGGUUAAGGGUGUUACAUUUUAUUGGUAUUAGAGCUACAGUUUAGUCGGUUCUAAGACUAACGUAGCGUAUGUGAGUCUAGCUAUACAUGUCAUAUAUAAAACUGUGAUAGUGUGACGACUCCUGAUGUUCUUAAAUGUGUUUUUAUAUAUAGUAAUGGAUCCUGAACGAGCUGUAGCGGAUAACAUAGAAAGUAACGCGCUAGCUAUCGCUCAAGGAGUAGCGCCUACUAAAUCUAGACCUGUGACGAAUAGUCACGGGGGUGAGGCUAAAGAAGCCUUCUUUCAGAUAUUAAAUGAAUGGUUCACACAGUAUAUACGUACGAACCCCGCUAUUUCGCAGCUUCCACCCCCACCUAUUCCCCAACUGAUUCCAAUAGUUCCUCAAGGUACUGAUCUUCUGCGAUUGAAUAAAACACCUGUUGAUAGAAUACGGAAACAUGGGGCUGAGGAAUUUAGAGCUACUGCUAAUGAUGACCCAGAAAGGGAUAAAUUUUGACUCGAGAACACGAUUCAGGUAUUCGAUGAAUUACCCUACACACACGAAGAAUGUAUGAAGUGUGUAGUAUCGUUGUUAAAAGAUGCUAUGUAUCAAUGGUGGAAUACCUUGAUAUCCGUAGUUCUGCCAGAAUGAGUCACUUAGGAUUUCUUCCAAGUUAAAUUUAGAAAGCAAUACAUUAGCCAAAGAUUCAUCGACCAGAAGUGAAAAGAAUUUAGUAUGUCAGUUACAGAAUAUGAACGAGAGUUUGUACGACUCAGCAAAUAUGCCCGUGAAUGUAUAUCGUCUGAAGCUAUAAUGUUUAAAUGAUUCGAGGAUGGAUUAAAUGAAGAAAUAAAAGUGUUGGUGGGAAUUCUUGAGCUAAAAGAGUUUGUUGUUCUGUUUAAUCAAGCCUGUAAGGCCAAAGAUACGUGUAAAGAGAAAAGAAAAGUCGAUUCUAAGGUUAGAGAGUCUAGAAAAAGAUUUACAUGUAAAUCACAUCAAUCAGCAUCAAAUAAAUUUAAAGAAUAUCAACCUUGUUCUACAGCUUUUGCGAGAAUUUCUAUCAAAGACAAAAAUGCGAGAAAAUCAAGCUCAAAAGCUCAGGCAACAUCUAUGGCCAAGGCAGGAAGUGUUAGAAAUACUACAUCUGAAUGUAAACAUUGCAAUAAGCAACAUUACGAUGAAUACAGAUUAGUGAGUGGAGCUUGUUUUAAAUGUGGAUCUUUGGAUCAUUUUCUCCAUGAUUGUCAAGAAAAGUUCACAACUGAAAGAGAACAACCAGUGAAAACAAGUAACACGGAUGCUAGAGGGAGACCGCCCCGAAACACUGAAAAUGUGAGUGGUAAUCGAGGUGCUACGAGAGAUUCGACUGUGAGAUCCGAGGUACGAGCACCAGUCAGGGCUUAUGCUAUACGUGCACGUAAGGAAGCAUUAUCACCAGACGUUAUCACCGAUACUUUUUCUCUUUUUGUUACUGAUAUAGAUGCGUUGAUAGAUCUUGGAUCAACCCAUUCAUAUAUCUGUAUGAAUUUAGUAUUAAAAAAGAGUUUACAUGUUGAGUCUACAGAAUUUGUAAUUAAAGUAUCGAACCCCUUAAGCAUGUUUGUUUUAGUUGAAAAAAUUUGUAAAAAUUAUCCUCUGAUGAUCCGAGGUUACUGUUUUCUGGCUGAUUUGAUGCUUCUACCGUUCGAUGAGUUUGAUGUGAUUCUGGAUAUGGACUGACUGACUAUGCAUGAUGCAGUUGUGAAUUGUAGACAAAAGACUAUUGAAUUAAAAUGUCAAAAUGGUGAGAUUCUUCGAAUUAAUUCUAAUGAUUCGAAUGAAUUACCUACUGUAAUAUCAUCUAUGCUAGCUCAGAAAUACUUGAGAAAAGGUUAUGAUGCAUAUCUUGCAUAUAUAUUAGAUACGAAGGUGUCAGAAUCAAAGAUUGAAUCCGUACCUGUUCUUUGUGAGUUCUCGGAUGUAUUCCCAGAGGACUUACUGGAUUACUGUAGAUCAGAGAAGUCGAAUUUGGUAUUGAGUUAAUAUCGGGAACAACUUCGAUACCGAUAGCUCCGUACAGAAUGGCUCCAACAGAAUUAAAAGAGUUGGAAGCUCAGUUGCAAGAAUUGUGAAAUAGAGGUUUUGUACAACCGAGUUAUUCUCCUUGGGUUGCACCAGUAAUGUUUGUGAAAAAGAACGAAGGCUCGAUGCGCAUGUGUAUUGACUAUAGACAGUUGAAUAAAGUGACUAUAAAGAACAAAUACCCUCUACCACGAAUUGAUGACUUAUUUGAUCAGUUGAAAGGGGGUACGAUAUUUUCGAAAAUUGAUUUGAGAUCGGGUUACUAUCAGUUGUGAGUUAAAGAGUCAAAAGUGUUGAAACCCGCUUUUAGAACAAGGUAUGGCCUUUAUGAAUUCCUUGUUAUGCCUUUUGGUUUAACUAAUGCUCUUGCCAUUUUUAUGGACUUGAUGAAUCGUAUAUUCAGACCAUAUUUAAACAAAUUUGUUGUAGUAUUCAUUGACGAUAUUCUGAUCUAUUCACGAGAUGAAUUUGAGCAUACUAGACACUUGAAAAUUGUGUUACAAAUUAUACGUGAUAAGCAGUUAUUUGCAAAGUUUAGUAAAGGUGAGUUCUGGCUCAAAGAGGUUGGAUUUUUGGGACAUAUUGUUUCAGUCGACGGUAUUAGAGUUGAUCCAAGCAAGAUUUCUGCUAUUGUUGACUGGAAACCUUAGGGAAACAUAUCUGAAGUUUGUAGCUUUUUGGGCUUCGGGGGUUAUUAUCGAAGAUUUGUGAAAGGCUUCUCAAUGAUUGCAACACCAAUGACUUGAUUGCUACAAAAAGAUGUAAAGUUUGAAUGGUCAGAAAAGUGUCAGCAGAGUUUUGAACAGUUGAAAGCACUGUUAACAGAAGCACCAAUUUUGGUUCAACCUGAAUCGGGUAAAGAAUUCGUGAUUUAUAGUGAUGCAUCGUUGAAUGGAUUGGGUUGUGUUUUAAUGCAAGAAGGAAAAGUUAUAGCUUAUACUUCCCGAUAGCUGAAACCGCAUGAAAAAAAUUAUCCGACGCAUGAUUUAGAACUGGCUGCGACUGUAUUUGCAUUAAAGAUUUGGUGACACUACUUGUACGGUGAAAAUGCUACAUUUAUACGGAUCAUAAGAGCUUGAAAUAUAUGAUAUCACAGAAAGAUCUGAAUUUGCGACAACGAAGAUGGCUUGAACUAUUAAAAGAUUAUGACUUUGUGAUUGAUAAUCAUCCGGGAAAAGCUAAUGUAGUUGCUGAUGCUUUGAGCAGAAAAUCAUUGUUUACGUUACGAGCCAUGAAUACUAAAUUGAUGAUAAGUGAUGAUAGAUAUAUUUUACCUGAAUUGAAAGCUAAACCGGUAUUUCUGCAACAAAUAUGUGAAGCUCAAAGAAAUGAUCAUGGACUACAAGCUAAACGAAUUCAAUGUGAGCCUAUUUCUGAUUCAGAAUUUCAUAUUGGGAUUGAUGAUUGUUUAAUGUUCCAAAAUAGGAUUUGUGUAUCGAAAAAUACAGAGCUUAUUCAGAAAAUUUUGUAUGAAGCACACAGUAGUCACUUUUCUGUUCAUCCGGGUAGUACCAAGAUGUAUAAUGAUUUCAAACAGCAGUAUUGGUGGUCAGGAAUGAAACGGGAUAUCUCGGAGUUUGUAUCAAAAUGUUUGAUUUGUCAAAAAGUGAAAGCUAAACAUUAAGUACCAUCUAGUUUACUGCAGCCUGUAUUGAUUCCUGAAUGGAAAUGGGAUAGAGUCACCAUGAAUUUUGUAUCUAGACUGCCCCUAACUCCGAAAAAGAAAGAUGCUACUUGGGUUUCCGUGGGUCAACUAACAAAAUCUGCUCAUUUCAUUCCGGUACAUAUGGAUUACUCUCUGGAUAGAUUAGCUGAAUUGUACUUGUCUGAAAUCGUACGAUUGCAUGGUGUACCACUGUCUAUUAUUUUCAAUAAAGAUCCAAAAUUUACAUCAAGAUUCUGAAAGAAACUACGAGAAGCUCUUGGAACGAAAUUGAAUUUCAGUACAACUUUUCAUCCCUAGACGGAUAGUCAGUCCGAAAGAGUUAUACAGAUACUUGAGGAUAUGUUGCACUGUUGCAUUCUCGAGUUUGAAGUUAACUGGGAGAAAUAUUUGCCUCUGAUUGAAUUUGCGUAUAACAACAGUUUUCAAAUAAGUAUAAAGAUGGCACCGUAUGAAGCUUUAUACGGUCGCAAGUGUCAAACACCAUUAUACUGGACUGAAUUGAGUGAGAAAAAGAUUCACGGGGUUGAACUAAUCAAAGAAACAGAAGAAAAAGUGAAAAUGAUCCGAGAUAAUUUAAAAGCAGCUUCAGAUCGACAGAAAUCUUACGCAGAUUUGAAACGUAGAGAGAUUGAAUUUCAAAUAGGAGACAAAUUGUUUCUAAAAGUGUCACCAUGGAAAAAGGGUCUUCAGAUUGGUUGUAAAGGAAAGUUAAGUCCGCGAUUUAUCGGGCCGUAUGAGACUGUUGAAAUAGUAGGGCCUGUAGCAUAUCAACUAUCAUUACCAUCUGAGCUAGAAAAGAUACAUAAUGUUUUUCAUGUUUCGAUGCUACAUCGGUAUAGAUCAGAUCUGUCACAUGUGAUUUCUCCUGUUGAUGUAGAGAUACAGUCUGAUUUAUCGUACAAUGAAGAACCGAUCAGGAUUCUGGCCCGAGAAAUCAAAGAAUUGAGAAAUAAACGUAUAGCACUUGUGAAGGUUCUUUGGCAUAAACACGGGACUGAAGAAGCCACGUGGGAACCCAAGGAAGCUAUGUGAAAAUAGUACCCCAACCUUUUUAACGGUAAGAUUUUCGCGGACGAAAAUCCUUAAUGAGGGAGAGUUGUAAGAGCCCGUUUUUAGGUCAAAUCAGAAUAGUGGUUUUGGGACCACAAAUUUGAAGUCAAAAUAUUUAUUUUAUUAUUUUAAUAAGGUUUACAGCAUGAUAGAUUAUUUAUGUGAAAGUUUUGUAAAUAAAUUUUACUGUUUAAAUGUUUAAUUCGGUAAAAAGGACUGAAUCGCGCAACACGUAAAAGUUGAAUACUAUUGUUUAAAAGUAUUAUAUGGCUAUAGUUUGAAAUUUGGGAGUCCUUGCAUGUCAAAUAGACCAUUAUAAGGGUUAGUGGAAGUUGUUAGAUUGGUAUUUUUGAAAUUUUUAAAGUUUAAUAAGGUUAAAAAGGUAAAUUGAUUAAUAAUGUUAAUUAUAAUAAAAAUAAAACCAAAAUUUUCAUUUUGUUCAUCUUCUUGCUGAAAAUAUAGGGCGAAUAAACACCAUUUUUGCUUCAUACAUUCGUCUAGCUUCAAUCCUUGAUUAAGGUAUGGUUUCGACUCGGUUUUUAAUGAUUUCUACAUUUUUGAGCUAGUUGCAGCUUAAUCUAGCUAACCCGUACCUUCAUUUUUGAAACUAUUAUAGAUUUUAAAAUGUGCCAUUGUUGAAUACUUUAGUUCUUUGAAGUUUAAUGAUAGAUUAUGGAAGCUAGAUGAUAGAUUAUGGAAGCUAGAUGACAGCUAUACAAGUUUUAUAAAGUGAUUUUUGACAAAAAUGAGAAUUAGGGAUUAAUUUGUAAAAGAUAGAAAUGUUGUGGUUGAAAUUAUGAAUAAAAUGAAAAUAUGGGUGACAUUCGGCUAAGGUAAAUUUUAGUUAAAAAUGUGUAAUUUUCCAUUUUGUGUAUAAAGGAUUAAAUAGCAAAGUAGUCAAAAGUCUAGGGGUAAAUUUGUAAUUUGGCCAAAAAUGUGUGCUUUAGGCUAAAUUGAAUUGAAUGAAAGUUUGAAUGAGUUAAAUUGAUAUUGUAUAGAUCAAGAUAAGUAAAUACCGGAAUUAGAUAGGGGGAAAUGAAAAGUAGACAAGUCGUCGACGGUUAUUCGAACAACUCGAGGUAAGUUCGUAUAAUUAGAAUCGAACUAUACUAUACUUGUAAUGGUUGAAUUGAAUGUAUAUAAUAGAAUUAUUUGAUAUAUGAAUGAUUUGAUGAUAUAUCGAAUCUGUUACCGAGCUUAAGUUGAACUAUGUGAAUUCAUUGGAUACAAGUGACAUGUUACUGUACCUACCGAAAUGGUCAAGCUCCUGCAUUUAUUGCGGACUCACCAUAGCUCGUAUGAGAAUACUGAUUCAGCUCGAAAGAGCUUACUGUUCAGCUCAAUAGAGCUUCCCGUUUUCAGCUCAAUAGAGUUUACUGUUAUCAGCUCAUGAAGAGCUUACUGGCCAUGUCUCGAAAAAGAAUGUAUGAUGAUGAAUUGACGGAUUAUGGACAUUGUUCACUCGGUUAUCCUUUGAAGUUUUAAUAGAUUCAACGGGCAUGAAUAAUGUUAUAUGAACAAGUUACAGUUUAUGUAUUAGUUAAUUGACUAACAUGUUAUGGUAUUGUGUAAUUAGGAUGGCUUAUAUUGAAUGGUUGGCAUUAUACUAUUGCUUUGAUUACUUUAAUGGUAAGUUUAAUUCUGAAUUAUACGGACUUACUAAGCUUAGAAGCUUACUCUGUUUCCUUUUUUAUGUCUUAUAGAGGUUCAUUAGCUCGCUCGUUCUGGACAAGUCAGAGCUACACGUCACACUAUCCAAAUUUCCAUUUGGUAUUUUGAACUUAUGAACUUAUGUAAAAUGGCAUGUUUAGGCUAGUUUGAUAGUAAAAGUUAUGUUUUGGAAUCAUGGUUUGAGUAUGAAUUUGUAUAUAAGUUAAGCCAUGUGAUUUGGCUUAUUUGGUACCAUGUUUUGAUUGUAUAUAUAUGUGUUUGAAUAUGGUAUGUUUUGGUAUGAUAAUGUUUGAAUGAAAUUAUGCAAAUGUAGUCUUGAUUUAUGGAUGUUAAGUGGAUGAAUUGUACAUGUUGUUAUAUAGGUAUAUGGUCAUAUAAAUGGUAAGUUUGGAUAUGGCUUAUAAUGUGUAUUGAAUUGGUUCAUUUGGUUGCAAAUUGAGUUGUUUAAAUCUGGUCAAAUUUGAAUGUAUAUGCUUGUAUUUUAGGGUGGCAAAUUUGGCUAUUCAAAUGGCCUUUUUUUUGUCCACACGGGCAGAGACACGGGUGUGUGUCUCAUCCGUGUGUGACACACGGUCACGUUACACGGCCGUGUGUCCCCUGGGGUACCGUCAGUAUACCCUCCAGUUUUGACACGACCUAGACACACGGGCGUGUCUAUUGGUCGUGUGUCGCACACGGGCUGCUGCACGGACGUGUGGUCGGCCGUGUGGCCAAGUCAGUAACCUCUUUAAUUUUAACACGACCUGGCACAUGUGCGUGUCAUGUGGCUGUAUGGACAAGUCAGUAUGUAUACCCUGUUUUGCCACGGCCAUAUUUUCCAUUAAAUUAGAUUUUUACUAUAACACCCCGAAUUUUGGGCUUAGAAGUUUAGAGAUUUGAGCAUAGGGGCAGUGAGGAGGCUGCACAUAAGUGAUUAGUUGUGCACUUUAGUGACAAGAAUGGCAUGUUGGUCUGGUGGUUAAGUGAGUGUUAGCAUACCUUGAGGAUCUGGGUUCGAGUCAUAGGAGGCACAUUUUUAGAGAGUUUUUGUUUUAUUUAUUUUAUUUUGGUUUUUUUUAGUUAAUAAAUAUUUAGCUAUUAUAUUUUGUAUUUGUAUAUUUUUAUUUCUAUUUUUGGUUUGGAUGUUCCUCUUCUUUUUCUUUUUGUUUUGCCUUCUCUUUUUUUUUUCUUUUUGGGGGUUUUUGUGAAUGCUUUGGAAGUGUUUUGCCUGUUGAUUUUGGAUUGUCGCUCCUUCAUCGCCUAUACCAAUCACAAAAAUAGGUAUGGGAUUCAAACUUUUACUACACUAUUUUAUUCUUUGCUAAGUUUAUGUCGACUUCUCUUAACUAUAGACUACCAUUGGUUUUGGGUUUUUAGUCGACGGAAGUGAUAGGAAAUUGUCACUUUUUGAUAUAUGUUGAUAGGGCGUAGGUUGGGGACAGAACUGAUGGCUGAAACGGUAGUUUUUGGGGCUGUUUUAGGGUGGUUUCGUGACCACUCUGAUGGCUACACGGGCGUGUGUUGACUCACACGGCUGUGUGAAAUUGGGUGUUAGGGUUUUCAUGCCAAAUUGGGUGCCACACGACCUGGCCAUACGGCUGUGUGGCCGAUUUGAGUAUUUUGUUAGAAUUCACACGGCUGUGUCCCUUGGGCACACGAGUGUGUGAGUUUAGGGAUUAAGGUUUGAGUAAUUAGGUACCACAAGACCUGGCCACACGGCCGUGUGGCUAAUGGGGAAUUUAGGGAUUCCACAUGGGCGUGUGUUUUGGGACACAUGACGGUGUGGCUAAUUGGGAAUUUAGGGAUUCCACACGGGUAUGUGUUUUGAGACACACGGUCAUGUCUAAUGGGGCAUAGGGGUGUGUGAAACUUUCACACGGCUCUGUCAGCCCUGUACUCAAACCUAGUGCAAAUAGACAUUGAGUUACACGGCCUAUUCACACGGCCGUGUCCUUGCUUCAAACGGCCGUGUGCUACCCUACACACGGGCAUUUAGACCCCCAUAGGGCCUAGAUUGUCCCACACGCUGGGGCAAACGGGCGUGUGGCCCUAUUUCGCCAGAUUUUGUUUUUAGGACAAAUGUAAGUGCAAUCAUAACUCUUUGUGUUUCAACCCUCGACUAAGCCUUACUGAGGGUAAUUAUGACUCUAAUUUGGGCUUGAUAUGUGUGUAUUUGUGAUUGGUUGUGUGAUAAGCUUGAUGCUGAAUUCGAGUUAUGAUUGUGAACAUGUCUGAUUCUAUUUGUUCGACUGCAUACACACAUUCAUGUGCAUAAAGUGUUUUAGGUGGGAUUUUUGAAGAGAAAGAAGAUUGACUAAACUGAACUGGCAGCUAAUCUGUUGGUUGCUAGCCCUAAUACCAGAGGGUCGUGGGCAGUCCCAAUACCCUGAGGGUCGUGGACUUUACUGAUAAUGGUAUAGAGGGUCACCGCAUUGCACUGUACCACAUGUACGUUAGCUACGCUAUGUACCAUUAACGGAACUGGAAAUUUUACUGCAAUCUAUCGGUAUAGCGGAUUACCGCAUUGCACUAUACCGCAUGUACGUUAGCUAUGCUACAUACCAUUAUUUGAUCUGGCAGUUCAUACUGCAUGACUGUACCGCGGUUUACCACAUUACACAGUACAGCUUAUACGUUAGCUUUGCUGCGUAAUAUAUGUGACUUACAGUUUAUCUGCAUACUGUUAACCCCAAUACCAAGAGGGUUAUGGGCAGUCCCAAUACCCUGAGGGUCGUGGACAAUGCUGAUGGUCAUCGUUGCCGGGCAACCUGGGAUGACAUCAUAUGGAGUGUAAGGUUGGAUGGGAUUUUCGAGAUCCUAUUUAGAGUGAUUGGUUGGAUGAGCUUAAUAGCUCUAUUGAGGAGUGAUGGGAGACGGAGAGGUGUGUUGGUUGGAUGGAUGGGUGUUCUUUAACUUAACUGCAUUCAUAUGCAUCUUAUUGACUGUUUUGUGAAUGCGACUGUCUGUUGCACGGUUCGACUGAAAAGCAUUUAUAACACUGAAAUUGUUAAACUCUGAUUGUAUCUAACUGACUAAACGGGAACUAGUGACUAUUAAGAGUUUUGUUACUGAACUGAAUAGUAUUUACGAUUGUGUGACUAAUUGUGGUUCUUAGUAUGCUUCAAAUACUACUGUCUACCGGUACGUCCGUUUCGAACGUACCAACUGUUUCUAUAUAGCUCUGUAAGUAUGUUCCACUUUUGAUCUGCUACGGAUUUUUCUGUUUCUGAUUCUGUAGUAGAUGGUUUUGAUCUCACAUUGAGCUCAUGUAGCUCACCCCCUCUUUUGUCUCCCCUUUGAGGUACAUUUCGGAAUUUUGGAUGCUGGACUCGGUACGCGGAGGUCUCAGACAGUCUUGGCGCAAAAUUAGUACAAGUUAUAUUUUCAGUUUUUAUUUGUCAUUCAAAUUUUGAACUGUAGGGCUUUGUAAAACUAAGGUACAAAUUCUGACUUAAGUUCUAUCGUUUUUAUUCUUAUUUUAUAUACUAAACCUAGCUGAAAUUUUACUGUUCAAGUUUUAUAUAAUUAAAUGUUUUGAUACGACGUGAUAAUUUAUUUUUGUAAAAAUUUACUUACGAUCACCUCAGUAAUCAAUGUAGUAUUUCGGAUUCGGUCUAGACUUCUAGGCCGGGUUUGGGGUGUUACAUUUACUACCCAUUUUACAAAUUUUUACAAAUAGGUCCUUUUUAAGUGUUUUCAUCAAAAAUCACUUAAUAAAAGUUGUUUAUUUAACAUCAAACAAUCAUAUUCUACCAUUAAUCAUCAAAACACAUAAAUGUCUAACAUGGGUUAGACCCUAGACCUUAAUCAUAUCUUAAAUUAGUGAUAGAAAUAGGUAGAUCGAGUGAUAACAACUUCAAAAAUGUAAAGAGCAUUAAAAAUAGGACUAGAAUGGACUUACAAUCAAGCUCAGAAGAUGAACAAACCCUAGCUAUGGUUCUCCUUCUAAUUUUUGGCUGGAUGUAGAAGAGGGACAAAGAUUUUGGCUUUAUUUUCCCUUUUAAUUCAUUUAUUUACCAAAUGACCAAAAUACCCUUAAUGCAUAACUUUGAAAUUUCACCCAAUCAUGUUCAUUUUUGUUCAUAAAAGUAAUCAAUGGUCUAAUUACCAACUAAGGACCUCUAAUUUAAAAUCUCAUAGCAAUUGGACACCUUUAACAUUUAGAACUCAAGUUUUGCACUUUUUACAAUUUAGUCCUUUUGACUAAAUUGGGUGCCCAAACGUCAAAAUUUUUGAACAAAAUUUUCACAAACUCAUUCGUAAAACUGUAGACCAUGAAAAUAUAAAAAUAAUAAAUUUUACUGCGUCGAAUUUGUGGUCCCAAAACUACUAUUCCGACUAGGCCCAAAAUCGAGCUAUUACACACAUGGUGUGUAAGGCUGGUCGAAGAUGGUGUAUAGAGGAUGGGGGUAGGAUAUCUGAAUUUUGAUUCUGAUUUGCAUAUAUGCAUCUGCAUCUAUAAUGGGCUUAGGCCAGAAUCUGUAUCUGAUUUAUUCUGAUUUUCUGGUUGUGUGCAUGCUUAAUUCUAUGGGGUUACACACUGAGUUUAUGUAAACUCACUCUUUUUUAUUUAUUCUGUUCAGGUAAUCCACAAAGUUAGGCAGAUUGGUGUUGCGGAGCCCCUCGAUGACCACAUGUUUGAAUUGAUUACAGUUAUGAAUUAAAUCUUAUAUAUUCUGGUUUAUUCUGGGUUUUUUUAUGUAAUUCGGACUUUAUGGACUGUUUUAUUUUUAAUUUGGGUUAGACUGCAAUUUUAUGAUUUAUAAACUGCAAAACGCAAUUUUACUCGGAUUUUACCAAAAGCAUGGGUUUUCUAAAAAUGCGAACUGUUUUCCUUAAACAAGAUGGUUUUCUUAAGCUUCCACUAAAAUGGUACGUUUUAAAGCAAGUCGAUUACUUGAAAACAUGUUUUAAAUUAAAUGAAAGCAAUUAAGGGUUUUCUGAGCUUAAGGUUUUUAUCGAGUUAGCUCCAUUUUCAAAUCCCUUCUAUGUGACACCACUAGAUUCGGCCAUAACGUCUAGGUCGGGUUUGGGGUGUUACACUGAUGUUGGGACGACACAACAAUUUUUGGCAAUGGAUGUGGCGACGACUUCGUGAUGAGGAGAUAUGGCACAUCACAACAAUUCCUGAUGUUAUGCAGCCACGUUUUGUACAGCCGAACAUGACUUCUUCUCCCAAUUAGACUCUAAAUACUUUAGGGUUAUGUUAACUGUUUUAGCCCUUAGUAUUGAGUCUAUUUAAAAGGUCUUUGUAACCCUGAUUUAAACAUGCCAUUAGCAAGGGCUUUUCUGUGAGGGCGACAAGAUGUAGCCUACCUAUAGAGCUUUGGUGAGAGUUUGAGAGAAUUUUGUGAAACCCUUUUAUGAGAACGUUGGGUGUGAGCUUUGUAUUCGGGGCUUGGGUUUUUGUAUUUUCAUUGUAUUAUUGUUUUUUUUACUCUAUUAAUGUCAAGCCGAUGCCUCCUUUGCUUAUGGUUUUUUAUCCCUCUUUGAAGGUUUUCCACGUAAAAUAUUUGUGUCCAUUUUUUUCUACUUUUACUAUCUCGUUGUUUAUACGAUCGAUCCCCAACAAUAAUAUUUUUACAACUACAAAAUUUAAAUGUUAUCCUACUACUUAAACAUUUAUUUUACUAACUAAAGUUAUGUUUUGUGCGCACAUUUUCUCAAUAUUCACUUGACAUAACUUUAUCAUAAAUGUAUUCUAAAAGACUUGAGAACAUAUGCAUGUGAUAACCUAAAAUUUUCAUAUAUGAAUAUUAUAAUUAAACAUAAAUCACAUUCAUAUACAUACAUAAAAGGAUAUAAAUAACUUCACAUUUAAACAAAUAUAAUAAAACAUGUUAGUAAGUAUAUAACCUCAUCAUUAUUCAAUAAACUUAAACAUUAAACUACUUUUUCAAAAUUUACCACUGCCUUUUAUUUGGAAUAAGUAAUACUCUGGUAAUGGAUCAUUAUCACAAAAGAGUAUUUUUAAAGAAAAACUUUGUAAAAAUGUAAAUAUUAAUUGUAAAAUGUUAGGAUUUAAUCUUUGUAUUAUAAAAAUACUUCGUGUUAUAAGUUAUUAAAUAUAUUUUUUCAUGAGUUAGAUUGUUUAAAUUCUUUUUAUAAAAAAGUUUAUUUAUUCCUAAAAUUAAAUAAAAAGAAAUUGUUCAUUAGGUGUAUACUGUUAUUAAUAUAUUAUUAAGUGGAUUUCCAUCAUUAUUAAGAUAAAGUUUUAAUAUACAUUAAAUUCUAAUAGUUAUUAGAAUUAGAUCUUUACUUCUUUUAUAAUUAUUAUACCUAUAAAUAGAGACUCUGAUGAAGCAUUGUAAUAAUCCCUUUGAUCAAUAAAGUACAUUCUCUAUUACUUUCAUAUCUUCUUUGUUUUUUAUUCUCUCCAUCUCUCUUUAUUUUAUAACACGUUAUCAGUACGAUCUUGCUCAAAGUAAUAGUUUCAAUAUCUUUGACGACAAGAUGCAAAGUUUUUAAAGGAAGUUUCUUUUAUUUAAUGUUUCAUAUCUGAUUAUUAUUUUUCAUUCUUCUUUCAUUAUACGUUAUCAUUGUUUUGAUUAACUUAUUUUACUUUUUGUUCUUAAGAACAGUGAAAGAUUUGAUACUAUCAUCUAUAUAAAAUCGAGAAAAAAGAUCCACUCUCAAAGUCUGUUUUUUUGCUUGGGGAUGAUCUCUUUCUUUACAUUACAAAGGAUGUUUAUGAUCACUACUUCUCAUCCAUGUUAACGUAAGUCAAUCUAAUCAACUUCUUUUGAAAUUUGAUUUAAUUUCUAUUAAAAAGUUCAAUUAUAUAUUUCAAUAUCCAUAUCUCUAUGAAUUUAUAGAACCCUUCAUGCAUUUAGUUAUUGGGAUUUUUUAUGUGGAGAUAAAUAUUUUUUCAUUUUUAAUAGAAUUGAUUAGUUUAAUUUUAAUUUUGAUUAAGAUAUAUGGUUAUUGCAGAAUGUAAGUAAAAAUACUUAUUUCUAAUGAACUUUAGGAUAUUCACCUUGUCUGUGAUAAUUUCAUAUCAUUGUAAAAUUUGAGAUGAAAUUAUGUCAUAAGAGGUGGAGGUUAGAAAAUGUUUAUGUUUAAAAUUUUAUAGUUGUAAAGUUAUUUUAAUUUGACAUUAUACUAUUUUGUAUUUUAUUGUGGUAUGAUAUAUAAAAUAUAUAUUAUCUAACCAGAAUGAUUUAUUAGUGGCAUGAAUUUAUUAUUUGUUACGUUUAAUAUAUGUUUUAUUUAUACCUAUUCAUUUUAUUUUUAUAUGAAUAAAUAAAAAAUUUUUUAAAAUAAAUUAAGCAUUCAUUAAGGUUAUACAAUAAAAUAAUUUUAUGCUUCUGAAGAGCUAAUAUUGCAUCAAACUAUAAAAAGCUCUUUAAGAGCUUAUAUUUUAGCUCAUUGUGAUGCAAAAUUUUAUAAAAUAUAAUAUUGUUUUUCAAAUCAAGAAGAUAUAUGUUGAAUAAAACCUUCAUGUGUUUUACAUUAAAACCAUAUAUAUAUAUAACAUGAGAUACUCAUGUAUUUGUAUUAUAUAUAUUCCCCAAAGGAAUACAUUACACUAUAUGAUUGAAAUAUCUAAUGUGCUCCUACAGCAGCAAUAUUGUGAAAAAUGACUUUAACAGUAUUUUCGAAUAAUCCCAUACCUUCUAGUGGCUAAGAAAAAUAAUAAGUUACUAAUGAAAAACUAUGAAACUCUUUCCACUAGUUUUGUUUCAUUCCCUGAAGUGAAUGUAGUAGUACAUAACAAUUAUGAAAAAUGAAAAUAUAAAGAUCAUGAUUGUUGUUGUAAUUGAGGAUGUGAUUAGAGACUAAUAAUGACAACAUUUAUAGAUAGAUUUUGAUUUGAAAUCCACGCAUGUUUUGCAAUGUUGAUUAUGAAAUAAAGAAUCAAUGGAGGCGUUUAGACUCUAUCCUACUAGAUUUAUUGCAUUCCCUGAAGUGAACGCAAAUAUAAAGAAAAUAAAAGAUAUAAUCAUAAACCACUAAAAGUGAGAACAUAGUAAUAAAUAAGAGAACAAUAAGAGUUCUCAAGAUAACUCUUCAAAGGGUAAAGAUAACUUAUGUUGUUAAUGUGAUAUGAAAGAUUAUUGACCACAUAUGUGGCAUAUGCCUAAAUCUUUUGUUUCUAUUAAUAUUCUUUGAGGAAGGAUACGAGAAUGUAGUAAUAAAUUCUAUCAUUAUAGAUAGAAAGUAUUUAUCUUAUUUAGAAUUAAAACAAACAAAUAUUAUUCCAAUAUUUGAUAGUACAAAAUUCGUCGAAAGCUCUAGAAGAGCUAAUAUAUUAAUAUCUUGUGAUGGUUAACCCAUUGGUUUUAAAAUAUAUUUAUAAUGAAUCUUAUAUUGAGAUUGUGAAUGAUGAAAAUAUUAUAUUUCAUAUGAAUCACUAUUAUUAUAAAUAUCUAUUUUGAAAGGAUGAAAAGGAGAGGAUUGAGCUAUUAAUUAAUAUUUAUUUUAUAAUAUUUGUAAUCUUCUUUUGUCAUUAUCCCCAUUAAGGGGUUGGAAGCAAAAUAUUUGAAUGCGAAAGAUCUAUUUAUGAGCAAAAAAAUAUGAUAAUUCUAUCUAAAACUCGUUAUGGUUGGAUGAACCUGAAGUUGUAAUUAUUAUUUUUAGAUAUUUGAAGAUUUUGGUAUAUUCCCUGAAACGAAUAUUGCAUAUAAUUGUUUGGAUAUUUAUUUUUUUGACUUAGUGACAUUAUAAUAUUCACAUUGAUUUAAGCAUUUCCAGUAGUAAAUGUCACAAUAGCACUUAUAUGUGGAUACAAAGUAAAAGGAGUGAUAGUAAAAGUAUUAAUUUGUUACAAUUUAGUACAAUUGAAACACAUGUUAAAGUAAACCAGAAGUUUACUGAUACAAAUGCAUUUACUACUUUGCAUGACCAGUUAGACCAUCCCAUAUCAUUUAUGAUGCAAAAAUUAAUUAAGAAUUCAUAUGGACAUUCAUUAAAGAACUAGAGGAGUUUUUAAUUUAAAAGAAUUCUCAUGUGUUGCUUACCCUCAAUGAAAAUUUAUUAUUAGAAACUCAUUAGCUAAAGUUGAGAUUUAAUGCCUCGCAUUUCUAAAACGAAUAUGGGCUCAUUCAUCCACCAUAUGAAAUGAUUUUGAUAUUAUAUGAUUUUGGUAGAUGCAUAUACAAUAAUCAUAUAUGUGUUAUCAAUUUGCAACCUGUCGUUUGCAAGAUUGCUUGUUUAAAUAAUUUCAAAUCAUGCAAUUAAGACAAUUCAUCUUAUUAAUACUGAUGAGUUUCUAUCUCAAUCUUUUAUUGAUUGAGUUUGAAAAACUUUGUAAAAGUUUGCACAUUAUGGUUUAGAGAAAUUAUUGAUUCAACACCUCUGAUUAAUGUCUAAACCAUUACUUUUGAGAACUAAACUUCCUAUUUCAACAUGAGAUUGUGUUGAUUUACGUGUUGUAUGCAUCAAGCCAAUAAGUUAUAAAUACUCUCCAUUACAAUUGGUUUUUGAUCAAGAACUAAACAUUUCUCAUCUUUGAACUUUAGUAUGUGUAUAUAUGCUCCAAUUUCUCCACCGUAACGCUCAAAGAUGAGUCAAUCCUCAAAGAAAGUUGAGAAUAUAUAAUAAUUACAAGUUUCUUUAUAUUAUUAGAUGUUUUGAAUGUAUUUGAGAUUCAAUUAUGAUAUGAUUUGUGAUUAUAAUUUUGAUUCGAUAGUUUUUCCGACAUUAGGGGGAGAGAAAUAAUAACUUGUAAUGAGUUAGGGGGAGAGUAAUUUGAACCAGAAGUUCAAUAAGGAUAAUUUAUUACAAGUUAAUUGUUAGAUAUAUUUACAAAGUUAAUGAGAAUAACCAAGUGUUAUAUGUUAUCUAAUAUUUUAAUUUGAAUUAAAAUUCCAGUAGGACAAUUAAUUAGAAUAAAUAAUUGAUUGAUUGGUUCUAAAGAUGAAAAUUCUUCUAGAUGGUCAUAUAGUAGAGGCGAGUGCUCUAGAAAAGACCCAAGACAUGACUAAUAAGUAAAACUCUAGAAGAGAUUUAGGUACCUGAAACUGAAUUUUAAAAUAAUGAAAAUAAAAGAUCUCGAUAAGUUAUGUCAAUUUGAGAAAAUAUGAAACUGAAUAAUAAAAGUGGUCGAUAAUGAUUUUGCAUACAAUAUUAUUAUUGAAAUAAUGAAAUAAAAGAAGGAGCUUAAAUAAAUCUAUUGAGAAAUAUAUAUAUGUGGAAUAAAUUGAUCAAAAUAGAAAGACGCAACUCAAGUACAAUUAAAUUCGUGGAGUUUUUGUACCAGUAGUCCAAAUAUCUAAAUGUAUAAAGCAAGUAAGGGUGCAAUUGAAGUUGUUUUGCAAAAACAGAAUAAAAAUAUGAAUUUUUUUGCUAAGUCCUAGUAUUGAUUAUGAAAAGAUAUAAUAUUCUUUUAUUGUGAAUGUUUUUUUCUAUGAUUUUCUAUUAUUUUCCGUUGAUCAAAUUAUUUUCUGUAAAACAAACACAAGAAAAUACAGAAAAUAUUUUCUAUAAAAUUUUUUACAUAUAAACAAACACACUCUAAAAGUAAAAUGGAGAAACACUGCUAACCUUCUCUACGUUGAUCGUCUUAAAUAAAUUAAAACAUUUGAUACUUGACUGACGGAUCACAAAGUUUAUAUAUUAAUUCAUGUUAAAUUUGUUUUAAGUGAUUGAAAAGAGAUUUUUUUUUUAACCAGUCGCGUGAAGCGAAUUAAAGGAAAGAAUUUAGCUUUAUAUAUGGAAAAGUAAAAGGUAAAAUUGCAACCUAGGUGUUUUAUAUUUUCAAAAAAAGUAUUGUUUUAACCAAUUAAAAAUGGUUAAAUUUGAAAAAGAUAUUUUCGUGUUUUCAAGUAAAAAUUUAGGGACUUCAGCAUUUUCAAAUUUUCUUAUGUUAUUCAAGUUUUAAAAAACAACCAAUUUAAUACAUAUAAAUUUUAUAUGUAAAUUAUAACAAUUUAUUUAUUAUUAUUAGAAUAACAUAAAUAAUAAUAUUUAUAAGAAAUUCAUAAUUUCAACACUAAAAUACCUUAUUUUCAAUACUACUUUUUAAAUUAUCCUUUUAAUAUAUUUUAAAAAAAACACUAGUACAUUUCUAAUUUUCCUUUUUUCCCACAAUUUUUCCCAAUUACAUUAAAAAUUCAUGUCAAAUAUAUUCUAGCUCAGAAGAAUUUCCUAAAUAACAUUAUUAUUUAUCUUACAUUUUUUCUUAUUUUAUAUACAUGACAUAACAAAAAUAAAUAUUUAAAUUAAGAAUAAAAUUGAUUAAUCUUUAUAAUUUACUUCAUUAAAGAAUAUAAUAUAUUCAAUAUUACAAUUAUUUUAUAUUUUAAAAAAAAAUUAUACACGCAAUCGACUCAUGGGAUAAGAAAACUAGUUACAAAAUAUAGCAACAAAUGUUGUUGACAACUUGAAUCAAUUGUAAACAAUUAAAAAGCUCUCCUUAUAUUAAGUCUCGUCUAAAUUAAGCCACAUUACUAGGUUAGGAAAGAUUGAAUAUCUCCAUGAGGUUCUGCAUGAACUAAAUGUCCAAAUUCACAACUCAGCCUUUGUAUUAUCAUAUCAAUUCACAAGAAAAAAUAAACUAAAUGUCCAAUUUCACAUGAUUGUUAAAAGCUAAUAGAGAGAUGAUUGUGAAUAUGAACACUAUGUAUGAUAAUCAAUUAUUGAAAGAUAAAAUUUACGCUGGAAAUAAAAAAAAAGUUUACCAGGUUUUCAUCUAAUAUUCAAAAACUACAGCUUCUUCUCUUCAACAUUUUAGCUUAGAAUAAUACACAAAAUGCACAGGCAGAAGAGGCAAGCAAAUCUUCAGGAAUUUGAGGCUGGCGUCUGGAUUCAUCAUUUGUGGGAAGGAAGUCAUUUUUAGAAUGGAAGAUCUCACAAUAUUUGGAACAUGGUAUCUGUAAAGAGCGUGUUCAAAAACAUAUAAGAGAAAUAAAAUAAGGUGGGAGUAAACAUGGGCAGUAGUUGAAAGCCAAAAUGAUUCAACUAUAAACCCCUUUACAUUUUACAACCAAGUUGAAGCUCAUUCACGCAAAGCUGCGAUUGGAAAUUAUCCAAUCACCCACAUUUAUGAUCCCAAGUUCCAUCAAAAGCAUAAUAAUAAUAACCUUAAUUACCUUUGGAUUCUAAGAUGAUCCAAUUAAUGUCCAAAAAAAAAACCUUCAUUUGGAUGACAAUCAAAACAUGUUCCCUUAAGUUAAACAUAUUGUGCAGAUCUAAUUCUAUUUUUUUAAAAAAAAGAAGCAAAAAUACAUUUCUCAUGAAAGUAAAAAAUGACUGGAAAUACCUGCGUCAGAACAUUUGUUUUCUCAGUCACUGCCCCUUCUAUAUUAUGAGUUCUUCAUCAAAUUCAAUGACAGGGAUGUGGGAAAUGUUAAGCCAAUCUUUACCUUUAUCCUUUUCACAAUGUUCCUUCAGCAAAGGAGAUUUUUUAAUGCACAAACGAGAAAGAGAGGGAGGGAGCAUGCUUGGCGGAAUGGAUUGGAGCUUGGGACAAUUACAGAUAUACAAAUACAAAAGAGAGUGCGGAAGCAUGUUUGGGGGCAUGGAUUGGAGAUUGGGACAAUUGUAGAUAAACAAAUAAGAAAGAGAGUGUGGGAGCAUGUUUGGCGGCAUGGAUUGGAGCUUUGUACAAUAGUAGAUACACAAAUGAGAAAGAGAGGUGAGGUGUUGAAACCCCUUAUACUCCAAACUCUUUAGAUUUCGAAGACCAAUGAUCCAAAGAGUUUCAAGAGAAGAGGGAAACAGAUGUUCAUCUGGAAAACACUCCAUCUCUACUUCUGAAAAUGAGAUAUAGAGAGUUGUAAGAGAAAGGAGUUUAUGCAAACUCCAUUCCCUUUUCCUAAUCAAGCUAUCAAUUAGUUUAUCACUACUUUCGAUUCUAAUUUCUUUUAAUUUGGAGGGCAAACCCUCUUUUGGAACCCUCUCUAUUUCUGGACAUUCAGUUAUUUCCAAAACCUCAAGGGAUGGAAAGGAGUGCAUUUGCUCUGGCAAUGACUUUAGACUUCUGCAACGGAAAAGCACAACUCGGGUCAAAUUGGUGACAGCUAAUCCAUCUUCAAUUUGAAAAUAUAUCAAAUUUUGGCAGCACUCUAUAACCAAAGAAUUGAGAUGCUGGUGGUGAGAGCCCUCUAAAGCAGCACUAAUAAACUUCAAGUCUUCACAUCCCCUAAUAUGAACUUGCUUUAGCAUAGGAAGCGAUCCUAAUGGGAAAGAUUCCAGUCCAUGACACUUCCAACUGUUUAUAUCCAAGGAUUCAAGGGAUGUAUACAAGAAGAUAUUGGAAUAAUCCAAGCUUUCACAUGAAUUGAUGCUAAAUCCCUUCAGCGUGAUGGGCACCCUAACUUCAGGAAGGGAUCUAAUUUCUGAACAAUUCCACAAACAUACCUUUUCAAGAACUGUGCAUCGUUGCAACAUUUGUUCCAAUACGGAAUCAUCCAUAUUCGAAUCUCUAAUGUCCAACUCCCGAAGCCCACAAGCCAAUGGCUCCAACUGCAAUGCUUUGCAUUUCUUUAACUCAAGUUCCAAAAUGCUUGGUGCCGUUGGAAGCAAGCCUCCAAGCUUCUCACAAUCUUCAAUCUUCAGUUUCUUUAAACAAGGGAGGUGUUUGGGUAGACAUUUGGUUAGCUCGGGACAAUUAUCAAUGCACAGCUCUUGUAGAAGAGGGAAAGCUUCAUCAGUCCAACAAUACACCCAUUCCUCCCACUGGGCCAUAUUCUUAAAGCUUAGAAUUUCAAGAGAUUGAAAUGGCUUAGUCGAAGCUUGUCCAUUCCCGUAGAACUCAUCACCAACUAUUAACACUCCACUCAAACCGGAAAUGGAGAGAGAUUUCAAAGAUGGUAACUGCCCAAGCGGUGGUAACGAUAUGCAAAAUUUACAAUCAUGUAACCUCAAAGAUACUAUAUUUGAGAAGGAAGAGUGCCCCACCCAUUCCGGAAAUCUCGUACCUUUAUAACUUUGAAUAACAAGAUGCUCCAAAUUUGUAUGAGGCUUUAGUUGUUCAAGUACUUCUCUAUCCUGCCUUGAAUCACCAUCAAUAUCAUCAUCUUUACCCCAUCUCAACUCCAACUUUUUAAGGUCCACCUUAUCCUUCAAAUUGGCAUCUUUGGCAUCCAUGGCACAUGCAACAGUUUUUAGUCCCGAAAUGGAAAGUCUUACACGUAGAUGCUUGAGCUUUCCCAACUCAUUAAUGCUUGAUCCAGUUUGAUAGCCUAAAACAAAAUUUGUUACCAUUCGAAGAUCUUUCAACUUACCCAUUCCUUCUGGCAUUCUUGCUAGGUUUGUUCCCUUGAUAUCAAGAUAUAGCAUGUUGAUCAAUCUCUCCAAAUCUUUUGGCAACUCAUCAAGGUCACUGCAUCCACGCAAUUUUAGUGCUUGCAAAUCAUACAAUGUACACAAAGAGUUUGGCAACCUUUUAAUUUUAGUUCUUGAGAGAUUCAAAUUUCGUAGAUGCUUCAAAUUACCAAUAUCUUCUGGCAAAUCGUUGAUAUUUGUAUACCCAGCCAAUGAAAGCACUCGUAAGUUUGAUUUCACCAUCAAAUGAUGCAUUAGCACAUUGCUAACAUAUCACCUAAAAGAGAAGACGUCACAUUAAAGAAAGUACACAGACCCUUUGCUUUAGCUAAACUCUGAAAUUUUUGUUGCACAUCAUAUUCUUCUUGGACAUUAGACAAAUGACGGGUCCUUUCGGUUAUUACACAAGAACCACCACCACCACCUUCCAAUCUGCAAAUGAACUCUCCGGUAACAGAUUUAGCCAAGUCACUCAUUAGAUCAUGCAUGAUAAAACAAGAUUUCUUUCCUUUAGAUUGUUGAAAGAAUGACCUUAAUCUUAAAUCUUUGAAGUACUCGUUACCCCGUUCUUCCAGAUCUCCAUUGUCUUUGGAAUGCUCUAAAAGACCUUCAGCCAUCCAUAAUUGAAUAAGUUCUUCCUUUUUCAAAUUCGUAAUCUUUAGGGAAAAUUGAACAAUAAGCAAAACAUCGCUUCAAAUGGGAAAAAAGAUAAUGGUAACUCAAUGUUAACGCUGGAAGAAUAUUAGUUGCAUCAUUUGGAAUGUCCCAAAAAUUGCUAUGUAAAAUUUUGUUCCACUCACCAAUAUCUGGUUGGCAACGCAGAAGACCUCCAAGAGCUUUUGCAGCCAAAGGGAGACCGCCACAUCUUUUAACAAUUGCUUCUCCGAUUGCCAUCAGAUCUGGAUGCCUGGUGGGGCUUGAACCAUCAAAUGCAUGCUUUGCAAAUAACUUCCAACAAUCAUCAUCUGAUAACACAUCUAAAUGAUAAGUUGGAACGUUCCUCAUGAUUGCUGCAACGUUUUCAUCACGUGUUGUUACAAUAAUCUUGAUAUUCUUGGCCUCAGAAGUGAAGGGACUUGCAAGCUCUUUCCAAUGAAAAUAAUUCUUGUUCCAAACAUCAUCCAAAAUGAUUAGAUAUUUCUUUCCCGACAGCUGCUCUUUGAGUUUAAGUUGAAGCUGAUUUAAGUUCUGGUUUCCAUCAAAGCUACAUUUCAUCUCUUCAAGAAUGGUUUUGGUUACCUUGAAAGCAUCAAAUUCCUCUGAAACACACACCCAUGCUUUGCGGUCAAACCAUUUAUCCACUCUGGGGUCGUUGUAGAUCAAUUGGGCAAGGGUGGUUUUGCCAAGCCCGCCCAUACCCACAAUGGGAAUCACAGCUAUCUGAUUUUCAGACAGAUUUUGAGGAUCCAACAACUUCAUUAUUUCUUCUUUUUCAUCAUCUCUGCCAUAAACAUCAGACUCGUCCACCAAAGAAGUUGCAGGCGUUCUUUGAAAUGCCUUUUCUCCUUUAUAGUUUUCUUUCAGACCCAGAAUCUGUGUUUGGUUGAGUAGGUAGUCUAGUCUUCCAAGAACCUCCUCCAGCUUGGACUGCAUCCCAUCUUUGAAAGGAUUGAAAGAAGAGAAAAAGCUACUAACCUGCUUCAUAGGAGUAGUUUGAUGUUCGGAUUCGAUCUUGUUCGAAAGAGCUUCAGUAGAGAUCUCGUCCAGGAGGUCCUCGGCAUCAUAAACAGCAUUUUUGAGCUCAUCAGUCCAGCUUUUGACAUUUGGGUUGGUAAUCUGCUUAUUUUCACCAUCAUCCAACACUGCUUUCACCGACAUCAAGGUUGGCUUGAGUUUGUUCAGCAGCACAGCUUC
rnacentral:lncRNA from 1 species